rnacentral:lncRNA from 1 species
GUUAGUUGAUCUAACGCCCACUUCAGAUUUGUUAAAUUUUGUCAUCAAUCAGUAUUUGCAUUAGUGGUUUAGUGUCUUAGUUUUGUUUGUGAGGUCUUGGGUUUAAGUCCUGUUUUUAUUUUGGGGAAUUAAAUUACUUUUGUCAGACCUAGGUCAAAUAUUGUUUAGGUUGGUGGUGUGGGAUUGGGUUUUGUUUUAAACUCUUAAAAAACGAUGGUAAGUUAGCAGGUUGUUGGAUUAGAUUUGAGAGGGAUUUUGUUCUUAUUUUUAUUCUUUUAUUCUUUUUAUUUUAGUUUUUUUUUUCUUUCCCAAAAUUUCCCACGUUUGCCUCAACUUCGCUUCACGUUAUUGUUUUCUUCCCUCUUCUUUCUUCGGUUCUUUUUUUUUUCCUUUUUCAACUUUUUUGUUUGGCUUCUUUACCUUCUUGUUUCGGUUCUUUUGUUACUUCUUUAUGGUGUAGCUUCUAUUUGGUUGGCCCCAAUCCUUAGCGGUAAGGUUCUAUCAUCUUUUACUGUGUUCUUUUGUGAAAUUGUUCGUUGGGCAUUUGGGGAUUUCGGAAUUUUGUUUGUAUGGUGCGAAAUUUGUAUUUUUUUGUGUUAUCUAAUUAAUCCGCUAUGUUUUAGGAGAAGUUCAAGAUGCGUUUUGUGUUCCUCCAGCGACUUAGGAUUUGCAUAGAAGCUGUUCGUUUAAUGGUAAGUAUGUGGAUGUAUUUUUGGAGGGUUGUAUAAGCUCGGUUGUGGUCAAUUCUUAGUUAGAUUUCGCAAAUCAUUAUUAAAAUUGGUUGUGUUAAUUGUCAAUUUAGGUGGGGGAUUACUCAUUUUUGGAAUCGUAUUCGGAUGUGUAAUGACCCGAAAAACAACAAAUGACAAAAGUCGAAAAACUGCACUGUCGACGCCACACGGCCCUGUGAGAAAUUAUUUAGCCACAAAGUCUGGGCCAUUUGGACCCGUGUUGCCCACAUGGUCGUGUGUGAGACUGUAUGGGCCCAAUAUUUUGAAUUUUCCCUAGUGCCAUAAACAUCAUUUGGGUCGAACGUAUGUUAUAAAUUAAGUAAAAUCUAUAAUAUGCUAUGUAUGAUCUGAUAUACGGUAAGCAUGACUUGAGUUUGAUAUUAAGCAUGUUUGACAUAUACAUUUCCGACAUCUAUGAUUACUAUAUGUUUGUGCAUUUGGGGAUGGGAUUGUGUAUAUGGAGGAAGUGUGAACAGAUAUAUUUCUACCGUAUUUGGUGGCACAACCAUACAUAUUUAUGUAAAUGGCGAUAAAUCGCUUAAUAAACUGGCAACUCAGCUACAAAUAAUUUGAAAAGUGUCAUACCGACGCUAAAUGGUGUGUAGGGAUGGAUGAGUAUAUAAUGUCAUAUAUGGUGCCUUGGGAUGAUCGGAGAUGAUGUGUAGGGGGUGGGGGUAGAACUAUAAAUUUGCAUCUAUUAUGUUCUAAUAAGCUUUGUUUCUAAUAUAUGUAUGUCUAAAUGGUUUCUGUAUGUGAUGUUACACAUUGGGUUUCGAAAACUCACUCUCUGUUUGACUGUCACUUUCAAGUAACCCUCAGACUUAGGCGGACUGGUGCGAUUGAAGCUUGGUUAUAAUAUUUUGAUUUCUUCUAACUUACUUAAAAUUUGGAAUUUACGUGUUUUAAAAAAUUUGGUCUGUCUUUGGUCAUUUUGGGACUGUUUAAAUUAUUGGACUUUACUUUAUGAUUUUAAUUGUUUUAUUGUUUUUGGUGGGUUUAUAAUAUGUUAUGUGAAAUGUUGAUUUAAAAAUAUUAAACUGUGUUUUAAAAACUGGACUUAAAUAAGAUUUUUCCCCUGCAAACUCAAAUGUUUUAAAAAUAUACUUAUGUAUAAACGACGAUUUUAAUAAUCAGAUAAGAAAGAUAGGCUUACAAACAAAUCAGAUUUUUAUGUAACGAAAGUUAACGACGUUUUGUAAAACUAAUGUACUCAGGGUUAUUAUAUAAUUUACAGUAAUAUCUCCGGAUCUAACCAUAACGUCUAGACCAAGUUUAGAGUGUUACAACUAAAAUAUGAUAAUUCUCAAUUAAAAACAAAGUUAUAAAAAAUAACAUGCAAUCGAAAAUAAUAAUAAUAAUUAUAUUUUUAGUCAUUAAAACUAGGAAAUAGAGAAGAAAAGAAAGAAAUACCUAUUAUGUAAAUGCCAUCCCUUGAUGUUAGCCACUUCAGUCAAAGCAUUUCGUCACUUUUGGAUCUUGUCUUUAUUUUCUUUGCAUCUUUCUUCGUGUUUGGAGAAGGCUUCUUCAACUUUUCCUUUUUGUUUUCUUAAAUCAGAGGGAUCCACAUCGUAGAAAAUUGGAAAUACUUUAUGACCCUUGUCAUUUUUUUGUUUAACAAUCUCGGCAAGCUCCUCCAAGCACCAACCUGAAACGGCAUAGGUUUCCGAAAAAACGAUUACCGAGCACCAUGAUUGCUGAAUUGCGUUGAAGAGUUCCGGUGCGAUCUCUUCACCAGCUUCCAACUUUGGAUCAUCUCUAAAAGUGACGAUCCCAUUUCUAUUUAGAGCAUCGUAGAGAUGAUCCGUAAAGUUCUUGCGAGUAUCUUCACCUCUAAAACUCAAGAAAACAUCGUAUUUCUUUCUAGAAAUGGAUGAGGAAGUCGAAAGUAAUGACGACAUGAGGAUGUAUGAGAAGAAAAAUAUAUGUGGAUGUAAUGUUCAAAAUCAGAAAACAGAUGGCUCAAUACCUCAGAAACAAAGUAGAAGCAGCAAGUAUAUGAGGGAAAAACAGAGGACUUCGUAAGGAAUUUCUGUGUACUUUGCCAAAUGAAUCUAUCAGUAUAAUAAUAGCUAUGAAAGGGAGUAGGUGUGGAAAUUCGGGGUUAUAGGUGUGGAGCCUACAAUUAUUAUAAAGUGAAGUGUUGGAAAUUCUAUUGGAAAUUUGACGUUUUACUUUAUUAUUCAAAAUAAUAACUAAUUAACUAAUAUUAAUUAAGUGAUAAUUAAUAUACUUAAAAUUCUAUUAAAAAAAUAAUUCUAUUUUAUAUCAAUAAAAUUAACAUAACUUUUGUUUAUGUCAAAAAAAAAAUUUAAUAAUGAUAAAUUAUAAUUAUAAUUAUCACAAAAUUUUUUCCCUAUAUUUUAUUCUUAAGGUUCUAUUGAAGUUAUAACUCAAUUUUAACAUUAGUACAAGUUUUUUAAAUUAAUAAUUGUAAUUAUUUUUAGCUGGGUAAUUAUCACAACUUCUAUUAAAUUAUACUUAUUUUAUUUUGAUAAAAUGCCUAAAAUUAUCCAUAAUGCUUCCCCAACCCUUAUAAAUGCACUUCAACAUGCUUGAACAUACAUCCUCUUGCAUUAGCAAUAAUAUCGAUGUCAACUGAGUUAAACUCAGUCAGCAAUUAUAAUUUUUUUAAAUGUAUAAUUAUCAAAAUUUUUAUUUUGUUUCAACUUUCUUUAACCAAUAAUUCUAAAUUAAAUAUUAUAAUUAUUUUUAAAUAUAAAUUUAAUAAUAUGAAUGAAAACAAAUGGUAUUCUCGUCAAUUCAAAAUCAAAAUUCCUAUUAAAUUAUAAUUUAUUUUUAAAUAUGAAUUAGUAAUAUAAAAAAAUAGAGGUUAUUUUCAAAAUUAUUUUCAAACUCCUUGUUAUAUAUAUAUAUACAAAUUACGCACUCAUCUUCCUUUCUAAUAAAUUAACAAGUGCCAAAUUAUUCAACUCCGCUUGAUUAGUGCUGUUCAAAUCUGCUUUAACUUUACCUCCAUAAUACGCGGAGACCACGAAAAGCACUCAUUCCUUAAUACCAUAGUUCCCACGACGCCACUAUUGAAAACAAAGGCAUUUCUAUUUGUCAAAAGUCUCCAGCGGGCCAUAGCAAAAAGAUUACCCCAUUCACAGAAAAAGCAGCUUGAGUUUCGGAGAAAUUCACCGUUCUCCCAUGUCCUAGUGCCCAAUAGACACCAUCCACUACAUCUUCCCAAAUAUUGGACAAAGCCCUCCAGAAAAAAGUUUCUAUCUUUUCUUGAUUGGUUCAACAUUCAUUAAAAUAGUUUCCAAGGCUCUUUACCCAUUGCCUUAACAAAUUUGCAUUGGCUGAAAAUUUUCAACUUUGGUGGCAACAACUUCAAUAGAGAAAUUCCAUCAUGGUUUGGUCACUUUGCUGAGUUUCGAGUCUUACAGUUGCACAUUAACAAUUUCAGUGGCACUAAAAAUAUAUAUAAACCAACACUUUAGUUUUAGUUCAUUCGUACAUCUCACAAAGAAAUUAAGGAUGAGGAGAUAUCUAACUCUAUUAUUCGCCAACUAUGGGAUUGUGGAGGUGACUAUGAGUUUUUGACACCAAUUAAGAGUUGGAUUGAAAAUCUUACAUUUUUUAGGAAUAUUAUUAAAGCAGGUUAUUCCAAUUAGCUUAUCUAAGAAGUUGGCUUAAUUGACAUCAAUUAAUUGGUAGAUGGCUCAAUUGUCAUAAAUAGAAAAAUAUAUAUUUACUCUAACUUUGCUAGAACUAAACUUAAUGGUAAUUGUUUUAAAGUCAUGCUUCAAUAUUUAAACAAUUGUUCAUAGAAAUUGAAUAAGAAUGAACGAAUAAAACAAUAACCAUGAAUAGCUUACAUUUGAGAUUGUUAUCAUCGAGAUACCAAGUGUUGAGCAUAGUAAAAAUUUCGAUUUCUGUAGGUAUAUAUACUUCCCUCUAAAUUGUUGAUAUACAAGGAUAAAAGCUUCAACUUUUUGCACUUGAAUAAGCUAUUUGGAAUUCAAUUAAAAAUUUGAUUCUCACUCAAUUUUAACUUUUCUAGUUUUGACAAAUUUCCCAAAUAGAUGGAUAAGACCAGUGAAGUUGUUAAUGUGCAACUAUAAGACUUGAAGUUCAGCGAUGUGACCAAACCACAAUGGAAUUUCUCCAUUGAAGUCGUUGUCCCCAAUCUUCAAAAAUUUCAGUCGAGACAAAUUUGUUAACGCAAUAGGUAAAGAACUAUGGGAACUGUUUUCAUGAAUUUAGAGCCACGCAAGGAAAGAUAGAUUUUCCAAUUGAGAUGAAAUGGUGCCUGCGAUAUUCAUGCUUGAUAAAUUUAGAGUGGUGAUUUUGUGGUGUCUGGAUCCGUAUGUGAGACCAAUUCGGUUAUAAAUAGAGGUAGAAGUAGACCAAUUUGAUUAUUAAGAGGUUGUAAGGAUCAUGAGUUAUAUGAGAAUUCAGUUCUAGAAUGGCAGAUUGAUCAGUGGUGAUUUUGGGUGAAUUCACAGACAAAAUAGCCUCAAAGGUUACUAUUUGGCAGAGAAUGAGAUACACUGUAAAAGCCAAUUCCACUAAUUAUCCUCUUGGAUUUCAACACCUGAUAAGGCUCUCACCCAAAAAAGAGCUCUAAGCUUGGCAAGAAAGAGAGUCUCUUCAACCAGAACAAGUUUCGCAUUAAAAGUAAAAUCGUUACGCGGCAGUCAUAUCGACCAUAACCCCGCUGCACAGCAGAGGAGCCACCACUGUUUAAUAUCACCUUUAAACAUCCAGCCAUUGCAUUCAACAAAAAAACCAAGGAUUGAUCGUGAUAGACAGCCUUCAAUCCCCCCACCACGACAAAGUACAGUACCAAAAAUUACGCAUCAAGGAACAACUAAACAAUAAAUGGUCUGACGUUUCCAGAUCAGAGCUACACCAAGCUGGGAAGUUGAGAAUGAGAUCAAAGAAAUGCAAGAGAAAGUUGAUACUUUGCAAGAUCCCAGUUCGUUCAUCGCCGAGGGAAAAGCUUAUAAUUAUUCUCUUCUUUUAACAACAUAUUAUCUUUAAUAUUUAAAACAAGGAUAAAGUGCACUUUUAGUUUUCGUUUUGGUCCCCAGGUAACAAAAUGAUAACAUGGUAUUAAUUAUGUAAAUGGUUAUUUUUAAAUCCUUAAUCAUAUGGUCCCCCAAGGUUUUUACAUUGUUUUGUUUCUUUUGUCACCCAACCGACAGUUGAGUAACAAAAUAAUAAUAUGACAUUUUUUAAUUGUCAUAAUAACAAAUUUAGCUCUUAAUGUUGAUAUAUUCUAUCAAUUUGGACAUGAUUAUAUAUAAAAGUUAUAAAAAAAAUUAAAACAAUAAAAAAUUCAAAAAAUAUAUAAAAAUAAGUAAGAAUUCAAAAAAUAUAUAUAAAAAAUUAAAAAAAUGAUGAGAGAUACAUAAAAAUAUAAAAAAAAACUUCAAAAUUUUUAAAAAUAAAAAAUUGUUAAAAUUAUAAAAAUCAGUAGCCCACCACCACACAUCAGUCAACAUCUGAUAUAUAUUUUUUGUGUUUCAAGUGUCAAUUGCCAUGUAAAUCACUAGUGGUUUAUAGACAUGACAAAGGUUCACGACUAUUGUAAAAUCCCAUGAGCAAAUAGAAGUUGUAAAUUAAUGUGUAUAUAUAUAUAUAUAUAUAUUUAUAUCAUUAAAAUAUCUAUUAAUAUAUAUAAAUUUGUUGUCCUUAAUGAUCAUUUUGUAUUUUUAUUACAUAUCAUCUUACCAUCAUAAGUGAGUUAUUGAACCAUCAUAAGUGAGUUUAUCUUCAAUAACAUAUCUCAUCAUUAAUUUUAUCUCACUGCUAUAGUAUUUAAUUUUAUUACUACCUUAACUGUAUAUUUAAUCUCUUUAGAACUAAUUUCACCAUUCAUCCAAAUAAACCAUGUGUAAGUUUUUGCUCCAUAGCAAGGCAACUAUUAAUUUAUUUGUAGCCUUAAAAAAUUUUAAUUUUAGGAAAAAGGUCAAUAUAUAAAAGUCUUAAAUUUUGUUAUCUAUAUAUAUUAUAAAUUAUCACAUGAUAAGUUCUUUUUACUUUAGAUAUAUAUAAUAAGGGGAAGGAUGACAUGUAAGACUAACAUAAUUUUGCAUGCUUUCUUAACUCUAUUUUUGUAAUUGAUAUUUUAUAUUCACAUGUAAUUAUUAUCUAUUGUUAUUUCAAUUCGAUUAAGUAAAUUAUAAAAUGAUCAUUAAAUUAUUAAUUUUUUAUUUAAUCACUAAAUUUUUGGAAAUAAAAUAUUUUGAUCACUUUUCCAUUAAUUACAGUUUAUUAAUUUAAUAAUAAAUUUAGCCUUUAAAAUUUACUUUUCAGAAAAAAGUUAUUAAAUCAAUAGUGAGGUGUUAGGGAAUUGUACACAAUUAGUUAAACAGAGAGGACAGAGCUUGGAUGAUAUCUAGUGACUGAGAUUUGGAGUUUAGAUAUACAAGGUUGAAAUGAAGCAAUGGUGGAGUUGAAAUGAAAUAAUUGUUUUGUGAAAAUGGGAUAUUUUUACUUUUUUAUCCAUUCAGACAUAUUACUGUUCCUGUCUUCCUUUUCAUGUUUUUAUAAAAAACAGAUUCCCACCAUUCUUUUCUCUUUGGUAAAUGUUGAUUGCUGAGAGGACAAUCUUUUUGCACAUUCCCGAAUUCUAUGGACAUCAUUUUUUGCAUCUCAAUCAAAGGUUUGAAAAGUUAAAAUUAUAUUUAGGAUUUUAUUUUACUUCCCAAUGAUAUCCAAGUAUUGAACUUUCAUGCUCGUAUUAUGGACACGAAUAUACAUUAAGAGUUCCAUCACAUCAAUCAAUGUUGCGGAUAUAAAGAAUACUUAAUUAUGGUAAAUAAGAAUCUAUUUGUACGAUUAAACAAAAACAGGGAAAAAGAGAAACUUAAUUAAAUAGGAGAAAAUAUCUUGAAAAGGCUAGUCGUUUAACAUUUGAUAAUUUCAUUCUAUUGGUUUUUAAUUUGAAUAGUUCAUUCAUUUAAAAUAAUCAUAAUUGUGCAUCAAUUAUGAAAGAAGUCAGAAGAAAAUUUUUAAUUUUUUAUUUAAUCACUAAAUUUUUUGAAAUAAAAUAUUAUGAUCACUUUUCCAUUAUUUACAGUUUAUUAAUUUAAUAAUAAAUUUAGCCUUCAAAAUCUACUUUUCAGAAAAAAGUUAUUAAAUGAAUAGUGAGGUGUUAGGGAAUAGUAUACAAUUAUUAAAAGAAGUUUGAUAGGUAAAUUAGAGAGGACAGAGCUUUGAUGAUAUCUAGUGACUGAGAUUUGGAGUUUAGAUAAACAAGGUUGACAUGAAGCAAUGGUGGAGUUGGAAGGCAGUGUUAUUAAAUACUAAAUAAUUGUUUUGUGAAAAUGGGAUAUUUUUACUUUUUUAUCCAUUCAGACAUAUUACUGUUCCUGUCUUCUUUUUCAUGUUUUUAUAAAAAACAGAUUCCCACCAGUCUUUUCUCUUUGGUAAAUGUUGAUUGCUGAGAGGACAAUCUUUUUGCACAUUCCCGAACUCUAUGGACAUGAUUUUUUGCAUCUCAAUCAAAGGUUUGAAAAGUUGAAAUUAUAUUUAGGAUUUUAUUUUACUUCCAAAUGAUAUCCUAGUAUUGAACUUUCAUGCUCGUAUUAUGGACACGAAUAUACAUUAAGAGUUCCAUCACAUCAAUCAAUGUUGCGGACAUAAAGAAUACUUAAUUAUGGUAAAUAAGAAUCUAUUUGUACGAUUAAACAAAAACAGGGAAAAAGAGAAACUUAAUUAAAUAGGAGAAAAAAUCUUGAAAAGGCUAGUCAAGUCGUUUACCACAAGUAGUUUAACAUUUGACAAUUUCAUUCUAUUGGUUUUUAAUUUGAAUAGUUCAUUCAUUGUGCAUCAAUUAUGAAAGAAGUCAGAAGAAAAUUGUGCAGUAAUCAAAUGCAAUUUUCUUCGCUUUUAUCAGGUCUUUGAGUUGGAGGAAAAGAUGGUCCAAUUGAGAUACACUUGAAAAGUUUAAUGAUGAAUUGAAAUGAAUUCAUUGUUAUGUCAUGUCAACACUGUUAAAUUAAUAGUUAAAUCAGUAUUUUACGUUAAAAAAUUCAUAAUUUAUCUCAAUAAAAUGUUGAGAGCCAAAUUACUAAAAAAAAAAAUGAAUAUAGGUCAACUUGUCAAAUUUUAUAAACACUAAGAACCUUUUUUUUUUUUAUCAUUAUGCCUAAUUUUAAAGGUUUUAUUUACAAUACAAUUAAAUUACUAUUUGAAUUUACAUUUUAAAAACAACGUUCAUUUCAAUAUGUAUAAUUUACAUUACAUGAUAUGAUAAAAACAACUAAUUAUAUUUUGCUAAUUCUCUAAAUUCGUCCGAGCCUAUAAUUGUUAAAGUGUCCGCUUCCAUUCCAACUUGAUGACUUUUGUUGGUCCCUCACUUGCAUGAUCCUUUGAGCAGAUUUUCAUGCUUCUCUUGGUCUAGGGGACAAACAUAAAGCACCAUCAUUAUUUUUGUUGCACUGAGAUCAUCUAUAUUAACUUACCUCAAAUUGAGAAAUUUUUGUUGAUAUCACAUAAAUACAAUCAUUGAAAAUCUUACUCAUAUAGACCAAAAAUCAUAUUUUUAUUUCUCUAAACAAUAACAUUAGACAAUAACAAAAACGAAAUUAUAGAAUUUUGAAAAAAAAAUAUUAGAUAUGAAAAUGUCUCUCAACAGAAAAGAUUUUCCAAAUAAUUAAAAGAGUUUAUAUUUGAAUAAGUGUUAAAAAUAAAUGUCUAAACUUAAAUACUUUGUAAAAAAUAUAAAUUGAAGUGUUGGAAUAAUAUUAUUUUUACUUCAAGCCAUGAAGUUUAAACGGUACUUUUGUUAGAAGGAAUUCAACCUAUCCAAAUAUAUAAAAAACAAUUUUGAUUGAUUAAAUUGAACACAUAAGUUGGUCUCAAAUAAAAAUAAAAUGGUUUUUAACUCAGUCGAAAUUAUGAUCUAAUCCUCACUAAAGAAUUUUCACCUUAUUAUUACAUGUAUUGUCGUCGAAGCUAUCUAUUUUUCUCCACAUUUCUAUCUCAAUUAAUUAUAUUUACUUCAACCUAAAAAUAAAAUAUAGAUGUAAGUCAAUAUAUAUAAUGAGAAUAAAAUUUUAAUAAAAAAAAACCAAUCAAAAUAUACACAUUUCAAUUAUGUAAAAAGGAAUGAAUUAGGUGAAUAAACUUUUAAAAGGUAAUUUUUUUUAAAAAAAUUAGUAUAUAAUAAAAUGAUCAUAUCUCAAAUACAAAUAAGUCUAGAAUGAUUAAUUUAAAUGAAAUAAAAGAUGUAAACAAGGUAGAUGAGUAAAAAAAUUUAGUAGGGCAAGGUUGGUUAAGUAAUUUACCAUAGUUAAUGUGUCUUCCCAGAUUGGCCAAUUAUAAAAAAUUGAAAAAAAGUUGCAUCCGUUUUGGUUGCGUCCCUUCUUCCUCCGCUUCAUCGUAGAUAUUAGGUUUCUAUUUUAUGUGAGAAGUGCUACCUACUGAUUCAUGGUUGUGAGCAGAGUGUUGGUGGAUGUGUUCAAAAUUUGGAGAAGAUUGAGUGGUAUGGCACUGCAACUCUUUUAUCUCUUCCAAAUCUUUCUCAUACACUAUUCUAAAACCACACUUCUUCACCUUAACACUGCAUCCCAUGAAAGACGCCUCAAGCUCAUCGCAUUUUUUAUCUAAGCAAUGUGUUGUCCAUAAAUUAGUGGUUUCACAGUCGUCAUAUUUAUCCUCCAAGGAAGGAUAUAAUUUAUCACGCGACCAAUAACGAAGAAAAAGGUGAUCUUUCAUUAUUGGUUCACGCAGCCCCCAGCCACUCCAGUCAAUCUGUCGAUAAUUUCUACCUCGAAAAAUAGACCCAUUACAGCUGGCUUGCUCAGAAUUUCUACAAUAGAUAUAUGCUCUACAACUGAUAUCCUGUUUGUCAUCCCUUGAAGCAUCAUGUUGGUGUUUAGAACUCGAACUUUGAUGGUUGAUCGAGAGAUUUAAAGCAGAAAGAAGAGACAAGAAGUUUUAAGUAGAAAAGAAAAUAAAUGAAGGCUGGAAUAUAUUAAUUGAUUUGCACCUCAACUAUUUAAAUACAAAAGUUCAAGCUAAAAAUAGAAAAAAAAAGUUCUAAAAAUCUGCUAGUAACAAAAUAACAAACAAAUCAAAAAAUCUAAUCUCCUAAAGUCAAGGAGAAUUAUUCAAACUUAGUAAUAGAAAAAAUUUAAAUGGCAGCAAUCUUAAACACAUUAUCUCAACACUCCUCCUUGUUUAGAUGCUGCAAACUCCAAGUUUCUUCCUGAAGCUUUCAAACUUGCUAAGUGGCAAUGGUUUGGUGAAGAUAUCUGCAAUUUGAUCUUCAGAUUUGCAGUAACAAAGAGACACAUCACCACUCUUUUGAACUUCUCGAACAAAAAAUAACUUGAUGUUGAAAUGCUUAGUCUUCUCAUGAAAGACUGGAUUGUUAGAGAUUGCAAUGGCAGCCUGGUUAUCAACUAGAAUCUUUGUGCUUUGCUUCUGCUCCAUGUUUAGAUCAACAAGGAUCUUCCUUAACCAGAGAGCUUGGUUAACUGUUGCUGAUGCAGCCACAAAUUCUGCCUCAGCAGUGGAUUGAGCUACAAUUUCUUGCUUCUUCGAGCUCCAAGAGAACAUGCCUGAUCCAAGGCAAAAACAAUAACCAGAGAUACUCUUCAUAUCAUCAGUUGAGCCACCCCAAUCACUGUCAGAGAAACCAAUCAACUUCAAUUCCCUGUGCUUUAAAAACUUUACUCCAUAAUUCCAGGUCCCCUUAAUGUAUCUGAUAACUCUUUUUGCAGCUCUCAUGUGAGUCUCAUUGGGACAAUGCAUGAAUCUGGAGAGAAUACUUACAGCAUUCAAGAUGUCGGGUCUGGUUGCUGUUAAGUACAUUAGACAACCUACCAAACUCCUGAACUCAGCUUCAAUGACUUUGGCAAAACCAUCAUCUUUGAUUAGCUUCUCUUUUUGAUUCAUAGGAGUACUCAUUGCUUUGCAAUCUUCCAUAUGAAAUUUUCUAAGUAUCUCCUUUACAUACUUUCUUUGACAGAUGAACACUUCAUCUUGGCUUUGUUUGAUCUCAAUGCCAAGGAAAUAAGACAUCAGACCAAGGUUUGUCAUUUCGAAGACCUUUUGCAUUUCCAAUUUGAACUGAUUAACUUGAUGAUAUUGCUCCCUGUAAUCAAUAAGUCAUCUACAUAAAGAGAAAUGACUAAAGUAUUUGUACCUUCAUGCUUGACAUACAGUGUGAGCUCAGAUUGACUUUUCUGAAAGCCAAGUCCCAUCAAAUGAUCAUCAAUUCUACUAUACCAUGCUCGUGGAGCCUGUUUUAGGCCAUACAAAGCCUUCUUCAGCAAGUAAACUUUGUCUUCAUUGCCUCUGCUUACAAAACCUUCAGGUUGCUCAACAAAUAUUUCUUCUUGCAAGACUCCAUUUAGGAAUGCAGAUUUAACAUCCAACUGAAAAACUUUCCAGUUCUUUUGUGCAGCAAGAGCAAACAGCAACCUUACAGUGUCAAGCCUGGCAACAGGUGCAAAUGUUUCUGAAUAAUCGACUCCAAAGACUUGUGCAUAUCCCUUCACAACAAGUCUUGCUUUGAAUUUGUUAACUGAACCAUCGGGAUUUAGUUUCGUUCUGAACACCCAUCUUACUCCAAUUAUCUUUCUGUCUAGAGGUCGAUCAACCAACUCCCAAGUUUUAUUUUUCUCGAUCAUCGAAAGCUCUUUAUCCAUUGCAGCCAUCCAAUGUUGACUGUUUUUUGCAUCAUGAUACCCUGCAGGCUUACAAAUAGCCAUGUUACAUCUUUGGUAAAUGUCGGAGAGUAGCCUUGUACCUCUGACAGGCGCAUCAUCAGCCAAAACAUCUUGCCCUUCAUCUUCAAGCUCUUCUAACGUGCUGCCAAUUGUAGAACGAUUUGGUGCACUAGACCUUUGGUUUGUCUUGAUCGAGUCUUCCCAAUUCCAUUGCUUAUUUUCAACAAAAUAAACAUCUCUGCUCACAAUAGCACGUCUAGUGUGUGGUUGAAAGACUCUGUAAGCUUUAGAUACAGUGCUAUACCCAACAAAAAUGCCAGCUUCUGCCUUUUUGUCAAGCUUAUCACGCUUGACCUGUGGAAUGUAAGUGAAACAUAGGCAACCAAACACUCUAAGAAACUUUAAAGAAGGUUUGUAACCAUACCAAGCUUCAAAUGGCGUCUGAUCCUUCACAGCUUUUGUUGAAAUAUGAUUUUGCAAGAACACAGCAGUGUUUGCAGCUUCUCCCCAAAAGCCUUUUGGAAGAUUCUUCUCAUGAAGCAUACAACGAGUCAUCUCCAUUAUGAAUCUGUUCCUCCUUUCACUGACUCCAUUUUGUUGUGGAGUGUAUGGCGCCGUCAACUGAUGCUCAAUUCCAGCCUCUUCACAAAACCUAUUAAAGGUUUCUGAAGUGUACUCCUUGCCAUUAUCAGAUCUUAAAAUCUGAAUCAUGCAUCCACUUUCAUUCUCAACUCUAGCUUUGAAUUUCCAGAACAUACCAGCAACUUCUGAUUUUUGCUUCAACAAAAAAAUCCAACACAUUCUUGUUAGAUCAUCAAUAAAGGUUAUGUAAUAGAGGUUACCAUUUAACGAAGGCGUUCUCUGAGGACCACAAAGAUCAGUAUGAACAAGCUGUAACUUCUUCGAGGCUCUCCAGGCUUGUUUAGGAAAGGGUUGUCUAUGUUGUUUCCCAAAUUUACAAGCUCGACAAUGAGGUAGAUCAUCAUCAAUGUCUGUAAGUCCUUCCACUAGCUUCUUCGACUGCAUUUGAAGUAAUCCUCGAUGGUGAAAGUGCCCAAGUCUCUUGUGCCAAGUCUCAGUAGCACUAACUCUGGAUUUAAAAGCCAUUUGCUCCUUUUCCAUUGGAUUAAGAGCAAAACUUUUUCCCUUCAUUUUGACAUUGAACAAGUCUCUGCCAUUAGCAUCUCUGAUCAAGCACUGCUUAUUUUCAAAUAGCACUUUAUAGCCUUUAUCCAGCAACUGGCCAACACUUAAGAGAUUUUGAUCAAUUUUAGGUACAAAUAAAACAUCUGAAAUGAAUUUUGUACCUUCAUAGCUUGUAAUAGCUAUUGUGCCUUUUCCCUUGACUUCCAAGUACUCACCAUUUCCAAUCCUCACUCUUUUGACUUCAGUGUUUCUCAAUUCCUCGAAGAGCUCCUUGUCAUACGUCAUGUGAUUUGUGCACCCACUAUCAAUCAACCAGCUCUCACUUGAUUCUCUGCCUGAGAAACAAGUAACCACGAACAAUUGAUCUUCUUCUUCUUGAUCAACUACCUGUGCAUCUACUUCUUGCACCUGGCCUUUGACCUUGCAAAUCACUGCUUCAUGUCCAAGUUGAUUGCAUUUGGAGCAUUUGGCGUCAGGUCUUUUCCAACAUUCGAAUGGUGGAUGACCUUUCUUCUCACAAUGGUGACAAGGUGGGUAGGAUUUCUUGACACCUCCUUUUUUGCUCUUCUGAUAAUUGCCUGAUGAAUUUUCUCCACUCGUCGACUGGUUAUUAAAAUUUUUCUUCUUUUUAUACCUGUUGUUGUCUUGAUGCUUGACAGGUAAUGCCCUUCUAUCACUCCCUCUUGCCUCAUGGAUCUUCUUUGCUCUUGUGCUUGUAAAGCAUUCAAGAGCUCUGCAAGAGAGAUCUUUGACAGGUCCUUGGUGUUCUCCAGAGUAGUAAUGGUCGCUUCAAACUUCUCUGGAACAGUGACCAGCAGCUUUUCUACGAUUCUAGAGUCGUUCAAUUCAGAACCAAGCAAUCUCACCUUGUUGGCAAUACUGAGAAGUCUGUCAGAAUAUUCUUUCACUGACUCAGAUUCCUUCAUCUUCUGCAACUCGAAAUCUCUAAUUAGAUUCAGGAGUUUCAUUCCACGAAUCCUCUCAUCUCCUUCAUACUCAGCCUUGAGGUAAUCCUAGAUUUCCUUUGCUGAUUUCAGAGACAUUAUCCGUGUGAAAAUCAUUUGAGACACAACUGCAAAUAAGCAAGCUUUUGCCUUUGAUUUCCUUAUCUUCUUUUCCUCUUGUGCUUUAAUCUGUGCCACAGUAGGAUUUGCUGGAAGUGGUGGGACCUCGUAAUCCUCUUCUACAGGUUCCCAAAGAUCCAAAGCCUCUAGGUAAGUCUCCAUGUGAACUGCCCACAUCUGGUAAUUGUCUCCAUCGAAGACUGGUGGUGCAACAACUGAAAAAUUGGACCCUCCUUCCAUUUUAACACGCAAAUAACCUCACAGAUCUCUCAAGAAAACAGCUCUGAUACUAAUUUGUUGGUGUUUAGAACUCGAACUUUGAUGGUUGAUCGAGAGAUUUAAAGCAGAAAGAAGAGACAGGAAGUUUUAAGUAGAAAAGAAAAUAAAUGAAGGCUGGAAUAUAUUAAUUGAUUUGCACCUCAACUAUUUAAAUACAAAAGUUCAAGCUAAAAAUAGAAAAAAAAAGUUCUAAAAAUCUGCUAGUAACAAAAUAACAAACAAAUCAAAAAAUCUAAUCUCCUAAAGUCAAGGAGAAUUAUUCAAACUUAGUAACAGAAAAAAUUUAAAUGGCAGCAAUCUUAAACACAUUAUCUCAACACAUCAUUAUUGACAAAAAUGCAGCAGCAAGCAACUUCAAUCCAUUGGCUAUCUUUCCGAAGGUCGAUAGGUAGGCGUAUCAUAAUGAAUGAAGAGUCGCUUUUUUGUUGGCUAAACCAUUCUGGGAUUUCACUUCCGGGAAUAAUAAUAUCAAAGAUUUUUCUUGAAUUUGCAGAUGCCUGCAAAGUAAAACACAAGUCGUUUGGUAACUAGAACCAUAAAUUCUCAAGUAUGAGAUUUUGUAAGGGAGAAAAUGGAGAUUAAUCGACCUUAAGCUGUUCUUUCAGCAGUGUUAAUGCAUUCAUAUUCUCGGCCAAUUUGAAGCAGUUAAUGGCUCUAAAGGCACCCUUAUCUGUUCUAUUGCAUACUUCACGUAGUGUUAAUGCAUUGAUAUUCUCAGCCAAUUUGAAGCAGUUAAUGGCUCUAAAGGCAGCCGAAUCCACUAAAUUGCAUACUUCAAGUGAAGAACAACCAUCUAGCCACACUUGUCCUAACCUUGUCGGUAUCUCAGGCAACAAUUUAAGCAUCUUGCAAUAUGACAAUCCAAGAAACUGAAGCUUGGAUAGUCCAGUAAGAGAUGCAGGUAUGCUGAUGACAUUGUUACCACAAAGACCAAGAUGUACCAAAGAGGAUAGACCAGAAAUAUAACUAUGAAUAUCUGCUUCACCAAGAGUGCACAUGUUGCAAUUUGACAAGUCAAGAAACCCAAGCUUCGAGAGUCGAGUAAGAGAUGCAGGUAUGCUGAUGAAAUUGUUACCACGAAGAUCAAGAUGUUUCAAAGAGGAUAGACCAGAAAUAUCACGUGGAAUAUCUCCUUCACAAAGAUUGCAGUCCCUUAGACUUAGCCGUCUUAAUGAACUCAAACCUGACAUCAAAGGCAACAUUAGAGCCAUGGGAGUUGUCCUUCUUCCUUGGAUUACCUUGAAAAGAGAAGACAAAUUUGGUCGCAACUUUGCUUGCUGUAAAUUCUCCGAGAAAUUUUAAACUCUAUAACAACCAGAAAGCUCUAGAGUUUUUAUACGUUCCAUUUUCCCAUCCGGAAACCUUACAAGACUUGAACAACCCGAAAAAAUUAAUGUUUCAAGAGAUUCCAUUCUAAUUUUGGUCGGAAGAGUCCUAAGACUUUUGCAAUCUCUUAAAUUCAAAAGUUUAAGGCUCUUAAGCACUCCUAUUGAUGGAUGAACAUCCACUAAUUUGGUACAGCCUUCCAAAAUUAAAACUUCAAGAUUUGAUGCUGUUGUGAAGUUUGGUGUCUUGAUCAGGUUUUGGGAAACUUUGAGGCUCAUUAUUUUCAACUUAUACAAGGGCUGUUGAAGACAAUAAUAAAUUAGAGAGAAAAGAGAACAUAAUAAUUCUCAUUUUUGUUUUUGUAUUUUUACCUUAAUCGGAGUUUAAUAAUUUAUAUUAAAAUAAUUUAAAACAUAAGGAUAAGAUGAGUUAAUUCUUACUCUAUUUCCCUUCCAUAGUUGUUUAAUGUGACUAUACGGUAAAAGAAGUGCAACAAGGUUGUUUGGUUGGAAACUUGAAGGCAAGUAUCUUAAAGGAUAUCCUGUCCAAUCUAAAAGCCGUAGUUCAUUAGAAAGAUAUUUGAGAUUAUCACAAUUUGAUUGGCAAAGCACUUUGAGCAGUCUCAAGUUUUUCAUCUUCGAAAAGGUAUUGGCACUCAAAUUGAGCAUCUUGCUUGAUUCCCUAAUAACCAUGAGUAAAACAAAUAUGGGAUUCAAAAUAUACAAAGACAUUCAAUAUCUAAAAGCUUUGUUGCAUCGAUAGAUGAUCAAUUUCCAUGGUAAUGCAAAAAAUUGAAUCAUUCCAAAUUGGAAUGAGAAGGAAGACAAUGAGAGAGAGAUAUUUUCUUUUCUUUUCUUCUCACUUUUUGCUAUACCAAGAAAUAGUGAGGAGGGAAAUAUAUUUUCCAUUCAAUUUUCCAUCUUUCCAAUCAAGUUUUCCAUCCCCACAGUUUUCCACCAUUUUGAUUUUCUUUCCACUCUGCCAAGCAAAGCCAAAAGUUUUUUUAUUGUUAUUUUUUAUUAGAUUUUUUUACAAAAAAUAAUAACAAUAUUAAUAGUACAUAUUGAUAAAUUUAUAUGUAUGUUUUCUUACCUUUUAUUGUCGAUGAUCAUAUCUUCAAUCACUUCGGUAGCCUAAAAGUAAUCAAGAAUAGACAAUAAAAAUGCAAAAUAAAUUAUCUAAAUUGUACAAUAAAACUUUUGAAAUUUACAUAUAUGUUCAACAUUAUCACAAUCUUUUGGUCGAAAUAUAGGAAAUAAAAUAUUUUCGAAUGAGAGUAAUUCAAUAGAAUUAAACACUUGUAUAACAAAUCAUUAUUAAUAUUUAUACCCAACUUUUAAAGCCACUCAAUGUUAGUUAAGGAUCGAUAUGUAAACCAAUUAGACUAAGCUUUUUGAUUUACAUCAUAUAUUGAUAAAAAGAAAAUUUUGUAUAUAAUUUUUGUUGAAUGAUUUACCGUGUUUUUUGUUAGGACAUGAUGGACGUCCCUUUCUUUCCACAAUCUACAACGUUUUCCAGGUUCAUCAACACAUUUUUCUUCAACAAUUUUUCUUCCCAUUUCUUGCAACAAGGCAUGCAUCCGCAAAUGUUGGUUGUCAUCACUAACUUUUAUGAGAGAUUUCUUAAUGAGAACAUCGAUUCCGAUAUCUGGAAAAAGCUCACAACCAUCCAAUACUUUCAUUACCAAAGCUCUCUUCUCACCGUUGAAAAAGCAUGCUAUAUCUAGAAAUAUAUUCUUCUCCUUUUCUUCCAAUCCAUCAAAGCUAAUUCUUAGCGUGUUAAGAAUUUCUUUGUUAGAAUCUUCUUUUAAGUCUUUCGAUUGCACUUCUCCAAUGAACUAUAUCUCUAUGGCACAAAAAUGAACCCAAAACUUCAAGAGCUAAGGGGAAACCACCAGCAUAACAUACAACAUCUUCAGAAAGCUCAAUGAAAUCAUCUUUUGGCACUGUAUCACUAUGAAAAGCUUUCAAAUUGAAAAGUCAAAGUGCAGCAUCUGGAUUCAAUGUUUUAUGCUCAUACACACCAUCGACUCCGUAAGAUUGGAGUAAAUGUUCAUCUCUUGUUGUUACAAUGAUUCGACUCCCUAGACCAAACCAAUCACGCCUUCCAACCAAGCAUUUCAAGUGUUGUACGUUAUCUACAUCAUCAAGAACAACAAGAACCUUUUCACUACACAACCUGCGGCUAAUUAUGGCAUUCCCUUCAUGAACAUUGAAAAAAUUGAAGCAUUCAUUUGGCAAGAUUUGAGAAAGAAGUUGUUUCUGUAAAGAAACAAGUCCACAUUUGUUUGAAACUUCUUGAAUAUCAGCAAGAAAGCUUUUGCCUUCAAAAUGUGGUGACAUUUGAGUGUAAACAACCCUGGCAAGAGUUGUUUUACCGAUGCCACCCAUUCCACAAAUUCCUAUAAUGCGGACAUCAUCCUCCCCAAUGUUUAUUUUCAAAUACAACUCCUUCAAAGGUAAGCUAAUUCCAACCAAUUCAUCAUGAACAAUUGGAUAUGUCUCACAUAAUUUGGCUGAUAUCUUCCUAACAAUGUCUCGGAUAAACUCUGACUCAUUCCUUCAAUGAAAUAAAAAGUUGUUUCUAUCUUUCAAAUUCUCUUUGUCAUUUUUAGUUCAAUGAAUCAUGAAAUAUAAUAUAGUUGGAAGCAAACAAAAACCAAGAAUAAGACAGCAAGAUAUAUUAUGGCAUCAAAAUACUCAACUUUCUCGUUAGAAUUCUUAAUUAAACACGAAAUUAUAAAAAAUUACAUGCAAUCUAGAAAAAAACAAUUAUUUAGCCAUUAAAAUUAGGAAAUAGAAAAAAACAAUUAUUUAGCCACAUCGGUGAAUCUUGCCUCCCUAACAUUGCAGUUAGAAGAUUAAAGCUACAGCAGCGAAUCUUACUUCUCAGAUAGUACAAUAGAACAGAUUAAAGCCACAGCGGCGAAUCUUGCUUCCCUGACAUCACAGUUAUGAGUUACAAAUCUAAUCUCCCCGACGUUACGGUGGAGUGGAUCGAGGCAUCGAUUCCUAUACCUCUGAAGAUGCAGUAGGAUGGAAUGAGGCAACUCGAAGAAGAAGAGCACCAAGGUUCAACACGACCGGGCAAAAUUGGUCAUCUUUAGUCUUUGCUCUAUUCUCGUUACACGACAAUGAGCAAAGAGGGGCAGCUGUAGGGCCCAAAUUUUGCCCGGGCCCAAUGCUUAACAAACCAAGCCCAAAAUUAUAACCCAAAUCACUAACCCAAAAGACCCAACUAAAACCCAAACCCACUAAUCUAUAACCCAAUAUACAAAAAGCCUAAUCAGCCCAAAUCCCAACCUGAGAGCAGAAACACCUAGGGUUUCUAGAUCCCCUGGCGCCGCAAGCUCCCACGCGUGGCCUCCUCCCACGCGCACCUCUGCACGUUGCACCUUGCCACGUCCUCGUACUGUACCUGCAAAACAACAGAGCAACAACGCAACAAACUAGCAGCAGCAGGAAUGCACACAAAAAAUAGCAGUAGAAAUCGGCAGCAACAAAAAAGAAAAUAGCAGUAGAAAAAUAGGGGAUUUUCAGUUUUUUAUUUGAUUUUUCGGGCUAUAAAAGCCAAACAUGCAAAUUGUAUCAAGGACCCACGAAUAUUGUAUCAAAAAAAUCUUUGAGAGAAAAGCAAUAGAAAAGAGCAGUUUCAAGAGGUGAUUUGAAAUUGAUUCUACUUUUUCUUUCUUUGCGAUUUCUUCUUUCUUUUCUGUUUCUUCAACCUUAGUUUUGUUUUUCUUGUUUGCAAAAAUAGAAAAAGGAGAUAAAAAAGGGCUUAGGGAUCUUACUGAGGGUCGGUACGUCGCCGGAUCCCUCCUCCGUUCAGGUCGAGGUUGAAUGAGAGGGGAGGGACCUUCGAUUUUGAAGCGGCGCUGAGAGGAGAGCAUUCGGAUUCCUUUUAUUUUUGUUUGUUUUUUUUAUUUCUAUUUUGAAAAAUGAAAUGGUGGCUGCCAAUUUAGGGUUUGGCUUUUGACCCUUGCCUGUUGUAUGAAACGACGCCGUUUGGAGUCUGACUAGUGGCUCCAAAACGGCGUCGCAUUGAUCCAGACCCGCGCGCAACCCGACCCGCUCCAUGGGGGAACCGCACGUUAUUCGUUAAAUGGGUUAUUUGUCCAUCUAGUCCCUCUACAUUGGAAACGUGUUCCAAUUUGGGCCAUGUCAAGGCACUGCGUUUUGAGGGAAGGGAAUAUUUCCUAUUUGCCCCUCAUGUUAUCCACGUGUCGCUUUUUGGCCCUCGGUUUUGUUUUAUUUUUUUCUUUUAAUUUUGUUUCAAAUUCAAUUCAAUCCUUAUUAAUAUAUUUAAAUUCGCUUGUUUUCUUAUUUAUUCAAUUAUUUAUUGUUAUGAUAUUUUUAACUUAAAAUUUAAUAUUACUAGAAUGUUUAAACUUAUUUAUUAUUUUCAUACUAAUCCAAUAUAUUUCAUAAAUUUUAUAAUAGUUUUAUUUUAUAAUACUUUUAAAAAUUCACUAUACAAUAAUAUUCUUAUACAAUGCUCUAUUUAUAUAUGCAUACAUAGUUCAUAUUAAACUAUUUUCAUACAUACAUGUACAUAUAUUAUAUUAACGAUUUCAUAUUAUAUAUAUUUUCCCUUAUUCCUAUAUUUAUAUAAUUGUUUUCUUUUAAAAGCCCUACUUUAUAUAUUUCGUCUAUUUCAACCUCAUUCAUAUAUAUAUUAUUAUUAGGUAUAUAUUAUCAUUCAUAUUGUUAUUAACACCUUCUUUUCACAUGAGUAAUAUUUUUUAAAUUAAUAUGUAUAUAUUAUUUCAUGUAUUUUGGUUUUCUUCGUAUACAAUAUUCACCUUAAACUUCAUUUUGAUAUUUUUUAUGGUAUUUAUUUUUUUUAUCUUCAUUUUUGAUUUAUUUUAAACUCAUGUAUGUAUAUUGUUUAUUUUAAAUUUUACGCAUAUAACUCAUUUUUAUUGAUAAUUCGUUUAUUCUUUGGAUGUCGAUAUUAUUAGCAUUGGCAUAAUGUAUGAUUGAGAUUGUUGUUACUAUGUUUGCUUGUAUUUGCCUAUUGAUUAUUCGCAAUUCAUUAGUGUAUGUUAUUUACAAAUCAUCCUUUAUGUCGUACAUUAUAAUUCAAUCGUUUUUAUUCGAAAGAUCACAAAUAUCAAAAUCAAUUUAUCCAAAAAUCUUCAAAAUACUCGAAGUUUGGAAUCCUCGAGAGAAUUGAGCCCUAACGUAUUGGGUUCCAAUUUCCUCGUCGAUUAUAAAUAAUCGAAUUUUUUAAACAUACAAAUUUCAAAUAAAAGCUCACUCUCGGGAAUUUGACGCGUUGUGUCCUAACGCAUUGAAUAUGACGUAUUAUUUUCUCGAGACGAGAAUUUUAAGGUAAUGUUCGAUAUUUAGGAAUUUUGUGAAAUCGAACCCUAACUUACUGGGUUUUGAUUUUCUCAUUUGACCCAGAUAAUCGGACAUCCUCCUCAAGAUGCAUAGGUUUUAAAAGACAAGAGAUAAACUUAAUUUUGAGGAUUUAAAAUGUUGCACUCUAACUUACUGAGUGUGACGAUUUAUUUCUUUGAAAUAAGUGAAUCUCAUCGUCUAAUUCAUUUUAUUCAAAAUAAAAGGAUCGUAUUUUAAAAUCUUUUCAAAAUUUUGACAUUAAGACAUUAAACAAUCAAAUCGGUACCAAUUUUAGGCGUCACGAGGGUGCUAACCCUUCCUCGUGCGUAACCGAUUCCCGAACGUAUUUUCUCAAAAAUUCGCAGACCUAAUAUUAUUUUCAAGAUGAUCCGAUCACACCACAAUAAAAGAUCGGUGGCGACUCCCCAUUUCCAUUUUCAAAAUCGAUACCUUUUUUUUAAAUUAUUAAAAGUGGUUUUGACAGUCGGGAAUUUCUAUAAUGGAUAUAAGUUGUACUACCAUCGGAACCACCAUCAUUGACGAAAAUGCAGCAGAAAGCAACUCCAAUCCAAUUUGUUUGGUAUAUGUGAAACGUUUUGUGAGUUUGUUUUUUAAAAUAAAGGUAAAUUUCAACAAUUAUUUUUUAAUCAUCAUUAUUAAUAUAAUUGAAAUCCCAUGCAAUGUAUGUUAGUGAUAAUGAAAAAUUGAAAUGUGACAUACUCUUGAUGUGUUUAGAAAAAAAAUUAUAACCAUCAUGGCAUUGGUUGAAUUUGUUAAUUUAAAAGUUUUAGAAAUCCAAUGUUUUAGGUUCUAAUCUCAAUUUUAUAUAAAAACAUAAAAAAAUUACUAUAAUAAUAUUUGUUACUUUUAAAAAUAGUAAAUUUUUUAGUCAUUUUCCAAAUAAGUUAAUAUCUAAUUGACUUAUAACUGAUAAGUAAAGUAUAAUAUAAAGUAUGUUUGGUUAAAAAUAAAAUUCUGUGAAAAUGAUAUAUAAUGUUUAAUAUAAUGUAAGUUAUUAAUAUAGUAAAAUUGGAAAUAAUUUAAAGAUAAUUAUUAUAUUAGAAAAUAUAGGCAUUAAAGUUGAGGCAUUUUAAGAAGUUUACCAAAUUUUAUAUAAUGUAAAUCAUAAAGACUGUUCCUUACUACCACCGCGCACGAUUAGCGCUGUUGGAAGCGUUAGUCCCCUGCUUUAACUUUACCUCCAUAACAUGCCGAGACCAUGAAAGGCACGCAUUCCUUCAUACCAUAUAUAGUUCCCGCAACGCCACUACUGAAAACAAAGGCAUUUCUAUUUUACCAAAGUUUCUAGCAGCCAUAGCAAAAAGAGUACCCCAAUCAGUUCCUUUCACAGAAAAAGUUCUUUGAGCUCCGGAGAAACUCAAUGCUCUCCCAUUUCCUAGCGCCCAAUAAACACCAAUUACUACAUCUUCCCAAAUGUUGGACAAAGCCCUCCAGAGAAGCGAGCAAUUAGAAGGAUGUAUUGAAGCCGACCAUCUACUUAUUACCCCAUACUUGUUUCCAAGGACUUCAACCCAUAGCACAUUCACGUUAGAAAUGACAUUAAAAGCUACCUUAAUCAUGCAAGCUUUGUUGUGGUCUCGUACUUUCCUCAACCUAACUCCACCAUUCUUCAAAGGCAUACAAAAUUUAUACCAGCUCACUAAGUUGGUUUCCGAUUGCCAAAUGUUGACCCCAAAUGAAUCCUCGAACCAGCUUCUCAUUUUUGUUGCAAUUGUUUAAGUGAUCACCUAAAAUUGAGAAAUUUUUGUUGAUAUCACAUAAAUACAAUCAUUGAAAAUCUUACUCAUAUCGACCAAAAAUCAUAUUUUUAUUUCUCUAAACAAUAACAUUAGACAAUAACAAAAAUGAAAUUAUAGAAUUUUGAAAAAAAAAAAUUGGAUAUGAAAAUGCCUCUCACACGGAAAAAUUUUCCAAAUAAUUAAAAGAGCGUACCUUAUUUUUAUAUUUGAACAAGUGUUAAAAAUAAAUGUCUAAACUUAAAUACUUUGUAAAAAAUAUAAAUUGAAGAGUUGGAAUAAUAUUAUUUAUACUUCAAGCCAUGAAAUUUAAAUGGUACUUCUGUUAGAAGGAAUUAAACCUAUUUAAGUACUAUUAAGGACUUGUAUUUAAUCUUCCAAAUAUAUAAAAAAAAAAUUUGACUGAUUAAAUUGAACACAUAAGCUGGUCUCAAAUAAAAAUAAAAUGGUUUUUAACUCAGCUGAAAUUAUGAUAUAAUCCUCAUUAAAGGAUUUUCACCUUAUUAUUACCUAUAUCGUCGUCGAAGCUAUCUAUUUUUCUCCACAUUUCUAUCUCAAUUGAUUAUAUUUACUUCAACCUAAAAAUAAAAUAUAGAUGUAAGUGAAUAUAUAUAAUGAGAAUAAAAUUUUAAUAAAUAUCAAAAUGUACACAUUUCAAUUAUGUAAAAAGGAAUGAAUUAAGUGAAAAAAGUUUUAAAUGGUAUUUUUAAAAAAAAAAUUAGUAUAUAAUAAAAUGAUCAUAUCUCAUAUGCAAAUAAGUCUAGAAUGAUAACUUUAAAUGAAAUAAAAUAUGUAAACAAGGUAGAUGAGUAAAAAAAUUUAGUAGGACAAGGUUGGUUAAGUAAUUUACCAUAGCUAAUGCGUCUACCCGGAUUGGCCAAUUAAAAAAAAUUGAAAAAAAGUUGCAUCCGUUUUGGUUGCAGCCCUUCUUCCUCCGCUUCAACUUAGAUAUUAGGUUUCUAUUUUAUGUGAGAAGUGCUACCUACUGAUCCAUGGUUGUGAGCAGAGUGUUGGUGGAUGUGUUCAAAAUUUGGAGAAGAUUGAGUGGUAUGGCACUGCAACUCUUUUAUCUCUUCCAAAUCUUUCUUAUACACUAUUCUAAAACUACACUUCUUCACCUUAACACUGCAUCCCAUGAAAGACACCUUAAGCUCAUCUCAUUUUUUAUCAAAGCAAUGUAUUCUACAUACAUCAGUGAUUUUACAGUAGUCACAUUUAUCCUCCAAGGAAGGAUAUAAUUUAUCACGCGACCAAUAACAAAGAAAAAGGUGAUCUUUCAUUAUUGGUUCACGCAGCCCCCAGCCACUCCAGGUCCAUCCACCAUUUCUACCUCGAAAAAUAGAUCCAUUACAGCUGGCUUGUCCAGAAUUUCUACAAUAGAUAUUUGCACUACAACCGAUAUCCUGUUUGUCAUCCCUUGAAGCAUCAUUAUUGACAAAAAUGCAGCAGCAAGCAACUCCAAUCCAUUGACUAUCUUUCUGAAGGAGGAUAGGCAGGGGAAUGUUAAUUGGAGAGUCACUUGUUUGUUGGCUAAACAAUUCUGGGAUUUCACUUCCGGGCAUCAUAAUAUCAAAUUCUAUUGAAUUUGCAAAUGCCUGCAAAAUAAAACACAAGUCGUUUGGUAACUAAAACCAUAAAUUCUCAAGUAUGAGAUUUUGUAAGGGAGAAAAGGGAGAUUAAUCGACCUUAAGUUUUUUUUUUCAGCAGUGUUAAUGCAUUCAUAUUCUUGGCCAAUUUGAAGUAGUUAAUGGCUUUAAAGGUACCCAAACAGAAAUUGCAUACUUCACGAAAGGCAGCCGAAUCCACUAAAUUGCAUACUUCAAUUGAAGAACAACCAUUUUGUUGCGCGAAAGCGUGUAAAAGAUAAAAUUAUUGUACUAAAAAAUCACACUAAGUUCAAUUCUCAGGAAAGAGAGGUGGAUCACGAGGAUCACUUAAGUACAAGGUCUUUCCUAGCCAGAAUAUCCUUCUAUCGUAAUUUAAUAGCACAAUAAAUCACUACAAUCACACUCGCAAAAUAUGCAAAAUAAACAAUAAAAAACACUAGAAUUUUAACGAGGUUCAGCAAAUUUUGCCUACGUCCUCGGGCACUACCAAAUAUAUUUCACUCCAAAAUACAAGUGAAAAUUUACAUAUGAGGAGAGAGAACAAUGCCUUAAGUAGAGAAUGGCAUUUGUGGGAUGUAGAAAAUGAGAAAUAGCUAGGCCUAUUUAUAGUUGAAGCUCAAGGAUCAACUUGCAAAGUCCCUAUACAAUUAGGGACCAAAAUUACAAUUAUCCCAAGCCAAAUUUCAUCCCAAAAAUCUAUACCUUAAAUGCUUGGAUUUUCGGUGCCAAUUUUCUGACACCAAUAUCUUUGAAAAGUCAAAGAUUGUAGGUUGCCAAUAAUCUCCACCUUGAAGAUUUGAUUAGGAUAAUCUUAUAUUCACACAAUUCUUUCUGCCUUUGACAACAAUACUUGAUAGUGCCUUCUUCAACUGUUAAACUUGCAGGAUAUUGAUCAAGUUCAAACAAUGUUUGAACUUGAUUGUUGUUACCACCUUGGUCAACAUAUCUGCGGGAUUAUCUGCAGUCUUGAUCUUCUGAAGACGAAUUUUCCCCUCAUCAAUAAUUUCCCGCACAAAAUGGAAUCAUACGUCGAUAUGCUUUAUACGUGCAUGAUAGACUUGAUUCUUUGCUAAAUGAAUAGCACUUUGACAAUCACAAUACACGUUAAUAUGCUCCUGAACCAAUCCCAAGGUUUUAACCAUACCUUGUAACCAAAUAGCUUCCUUUACAGCCUCAGUUACAGCCAUGCAUUCGGCUUCUGUGGUUGACAACACAACUGUAGACUGCAAUGUAGACUUCCAACUUAUUGGUCUUCCAGCAAGUGUAAACACAUAACUGGUGGUUGAUCUUCGUUUGUCCAAAUCACCGGCAUAGUCAGAAUCAACGUACCCAAUAACAUCUUUACCAAGUGUAGUAUCCUGCUUGAACAGUAAUCCAAUAUCCACGAUCUUCAGAAUAUACCGUAGAAUCCAUUUCACAGCUUGCCAAUGUCCUUUUCCAGGAUUAUGCAUAUACCUGCUCACUAUACUAACUACCUGUGAUAUGUCGGGUCUUGUACACACCAUUGCAUACAUCAAGCUACCCACUGUAUUAGAAUACGGAACUUCUAACUUGUAUUCUCGUUCCGUAUUCGUCGAAGGAGAUAGUUGUGUAGAAAGCUUGAAAUGAGAAGCCAUGUAACACCCCUUACCCAUAUUCGACACCGGAAUAGAGUACGAGGCAUUACCAGAAUACAUGCACUUGUAAACGUAUUGAACCGAGUUAUAAAAUUCCAUUAAUUAUUAAAACUUUCAAAUUAAUAACAUGCUUUUAUAAUUCUUCAUAAUAUAAAUAAUACAACCUUUCCUACCAACCACAAUCGAGCUUCCGAUAACCAUCUCACUACAUCUAAUAAUUGUACAUAUUACUAAUAAUAAUUCAAUUUCAAUAAUAGAACACAUAUCUAUAUAAUAUUCAUCAUCAAAUAACAUUCACUUUAAUUAAAAUUAUACAGAAUAUAGUUCAUAAGAACUUACCAGGCUAAAUUGCAGAAAUACCAAAAUAUAGGGACAUUUUGGAAAUUUUCUAUUUUUCUCGAAUUUCCAUCCAAUCUUGAUCUAAAUUAAUAUUUCCUUAAAUUUACUAAUUUAAAUAAUAAAACAACUCAUUUCAUGCAAUUUGAUCGUUUUUUGACAUUUUUACAAAUUUACCCUUAAAUUUUUACAUUUGUUCAAUUUAGUCCCUGAAACAUAUAAAUUGAUCAUUUCUAAUAAAAACUCAUGCUAGUUGAAUAAUCAUAUAUUUUCCUCCUCCUCCUCUCCAUUCCACAUCCUUAAUGUAUGUAACAUGCAUAUAGGUAACAUUAUCUAUAAUUUCACCAUUUACUUAUAUAUUCAUUUAAAGCUGUCCACUUGAGUCAUAGUCACUAAAUUAUUUAUAUCUUGAGCUACAGAACUCAAAAUUAAGAUCUGUUAAUUUUCUAUAAAACUAGACUCACAUAUCUUCUUAUCUCAAAAUUUUCAGAAUUUUUGGUUUAGCCAAUAAGUACAGUUUGUUCUUUAAAGUCAUCCCUGUUCUGCUGUCUGACAGUUCCGACCCUUCUUCACUAAAAAUUAACUAUCUUCUCGUACAGAAUUUUGAAUGAUGUUACCAUUUAUUUCUAUUAAAAAUAGACUCAGUAAGCAUUUAAACAUAUAAAUUUAAGCCUCUAAUUAUUUUUCCCCAAUUUUUUAUGAUUUUCCAAAGUCAGUACAGGGGAACCCGAAAUCAUUCUGACCUUAUCUCACAAAACAUAUUAUAUCUCAUAAUUUACAAUUCCAUUGCUUACAUCGUUUCUUCUAUGAGAAACUAGACUCAGUAAGCUUUAAUUUCAUAUUUUUUUCAUCCUCUAAUUCAAUUUAUACGAUUUUUGGUAGAUUUUCAAAGUCAAACUACUGCUGCUGUUUCAAAACUAUUUUAGUGUAAAAUGUUGAUUACUAAGUCUAUAACACUCUUAUUUUACUUCUCUACACUAUUUCUCAACACUUUCUCUUAUUUUCUCUUCACUAACAUAUCAAGAACAUAUAACCUUAUAUAUUAACAUCAAUCUCAUAUUUUUUUUAAUAAUAUAAAACUCAAAAAUAUAUUGAAAUCAUGAUGUUCUUACCUUACUCAAUUGACUUCAAUCUUUAACUUGAUUUUCUCUCUCCUCCAGCCUCUAUUUCUUGAAUCUACCUUAAUAUUCUAGCUCCCCAUAGUCUCCUUGUCAAUUUUCUCUCUUGGUGGCUAUGGAAAUUUCUUUGAUUUCUAAGUGAAAAUGGUGGAUUUUUGGUGAAAGGACCAAAUUGUAAAGAAAACAAAGCUUUCUUUCUUCUCCUCUUCUGCUCACGUUAAUGCAUGCAAAAAUGGUGGGGGAUGGAUGCUUUUCAUCCUUCCUUCCACAUAUAUAUAUACUAAAUAAAUUAAUAAUAAUAAAAUAAUAUCAUUUAAAAAAAUCAAAUUAAAAUAUUAAUAAAUUAAUAUUUAUUUAUUUAUUAAUCUAAAAUAUCUCCAACAUCAUCAUUAUCUUCUAGAUUUCUCUCUCUUCUAAUUGACCAUUUUGCCCUUUAUGAUCUUUUAAAAUUCCAUCCUUGAGUCAUCAUUUAAUUUUGUAAAAUUGUGAUUUAGUCCCUCAAACUUCUUCACCUUUUUCAAUUUGGUCCCAAUCCAUCCAUUUUUCUUAGUUUCUAGAUUAUUCCACCCUUAAAAUCUUUAAACCAUUGGUCCUUCAACUUUUUCAUAUUUACACUUUAACCCUUCAACUUUUGAGUAUUUACUCUUGGGUAACAAAACUUUUCUCACUUUUGCGAUUUAAUCGUUUCUUGAAUUAAUAUGUUAUAAUAUACUUCCCAAUAUUGCCAUAACUCAAAAUUACCCCUUUUUAGAACUUUAUUUCCUUAUUUUACUAUAUUAGAGAUAUUAUCUUACUUUCCUUACUGUAGAAAUUUUCGGGGUAUUACAUUUCUCUCCCCCUUAAAAUAAAUUUCGUCCUCGAAAUUUCCUUGUGUUAUUUUGAUCAUGAAAUUCAUCAUUUCUAUAUUCUGUCAAUUAUUCUUUUUUAUUCAUUCCUAUCAUUAACAUUUCAACUCUGGAAUUUCAUCGUAGCAAAACAGUACACUUUUUAAAUAUGCAUGCAAAACAGAACAAUAACUGUUCACAAACCGGCCAAUCCAAUAGGGCUUUUGUCUGACAUCAUAAUUAGCUAAAAUUCUCAUAACAUAAGAACUCCAUUAGAAACUGAACAGUUAUACACAUAUCUCUGAGGAUAAAAGAAUAUAUAUAAUAUCCAGAAAAGAUCAUCGUGUUCAUUUCGAUUGUAAUCGUCUCACAUAGGCAUCUUUACCACUUAAUUAUCAUUUCUCUGACUAAUUCUGUUAUCACGGAACUCACAUUAUUCUAUUCACUAAUAAUCUGAUAUUUCUUUAAAAAUUGAGUUUAUUUAUUAUACUAUACUCAACUCUGUUUGCAUUACUAAUUAUUUGACCACUGAACUCUUUAGUUCACAUUUAUAAGCUUAUUCAACAUAAUUCUCGUAAAAAUUUUCUUCAUAAAGCAAUACUAAUAAAGGGGUGAUGGUGAGGUCAUAAAGCCUUUAACUUAUUCUCAUAUAUAUAUAUAUAUAUAUAUAUAAGACUUAACAUUCAUCUUCAAUGUAAUACCACCAUAACCACCUAGUUCAUUCAUAUAUUUUCUCACAUAUAGGGGUCACACGCCCAUGUGUCUACCUGUAUGGACAAAAUCAGGCUAUUUUUCAAGCCUUAUUUCUCACCCAUUUGACCUUUUAACUUCACCAUUUGUUCACUUUAUAGCCACAUCAAUAAUCACCAUUUUCUUGUAUUUCAGAUAAAUACAUAUAACCAUACAUAAGCAUGCACAUCACUAUUUCUUCUUGUCAAUCACAAUUUCAACUGACAGAUUCAUGUAAAUGAGCUCAAUAUCAUUAUCUGUUUAAUUUCUAUCACUUAAAUUCACAUACACAUAAUUUAUUAACAUAAUCUGACAAACAUAAUCUCUAAAUGGUGAGAUCACAUAAUUGAGCUAAAUUUUAUUGUUCAAUAUGUUUUAUCACAUAAAAUUUGCUUAACACUUACCAAAAUUUAUCAAAUUAGAGAACGUCUUACGGAAUUGAGUACCUCGUUUUCUCGAUACCAUAGUCCAACUAUGGUCUUACAUGUAAUCACUUAUCACAUACCGAUGCCAUAGCCCAGCUAUGGUCUUAUACGGAAUCACAUAUCACUUAUCGAAAGUACUCAUUCCUGCGUUCUACUCAAAUUAAUCUUCCAAUUCAAUUUCCAGCAAGCUGAUUUUCUGUGUCACAGUCACUAAUUUAUUUUUAUCUGGAGUUAUAGGGCUCCAAAUUGAAUUAUGUAAAUUUUCCCCAAAACUAUACUCAUAUCCCUUUCCACCAUAAAAUUUUCAGAAUUUUUUUAUUUAGUCCAUUAGUACAAUUUAUUCAUUAAACCUUCCCCUGUUUCACUGCCCGACAGUCCUGACCUCUCCUUACUAAAAUUUACUUAUCUCCCUGUAAAAAAAUUCAAAAAAUGUUCUAGUUUCUUUCUCUUAAAAAUAGACUUACUAAGGAUUUCAAGCAUGUAAAUUUCAAGCCAUAAUUAUUUUUGUACAAUUUUUAGUGAUUUUCCAAAGUUAGAACAGGGGAUUUCGAAAUCAAUCCAACCAUGUCUCAAAUAAAUUCAAAUAUACCCAAAUAUACAACUCUUUGCUUUCUCUGUUUUUUUCAUAUAAAAAUAGACUCAUUCAGCUUCAAUUUCAUAUAUUAGUCAACCUCUAAUUCAUUUUCCACCAUUUAUGGUGAUUUUUCAAAGUUGCCCAACUGCUGUUGUUCAAAACAGUUUUGUAUUUAAAUUGUUUCUUUUGUAUUUUUGAUAUUUCCUUCCAUCUUAUACAUGGGUCGAUUAAGUAUCAAACCCAAUAUUCCUCCCAUAAACUUUUCCACCACAUAUAAAUAUUCACCUUCCCAAUUUACUCGUUGAACACUCGGAAUAUUAACCGUUAUCGGUGGAUUCAGCACUUAGCAACCACCAGUGAUUAGGGGAAUCAGCACUUAGCAACCCCUUUCACAUUCAAAGAUAUGGUGGAAUCAGCAGUUAGCAACCACCACUGAAUCGGGGAAUCAGCACUUAGCAACCCCUUGGGGGAAUCAGCACUUAGCACCCCCCUUCACAUUUAAAAUACGGUGGGAUUAGCACUUAGCAACCACCAAUGAAUCGGGGAAUCAGCACUUAGCAACCCCUUGGGGGAAUCAGCACUUAGCAACCCCCUUUAUAUUCAAGAUAUGGUGGAAUCAGCACUUAGCAACCACCAAUGAGUCGGGGAAUCAGCACUUAGCAACCCCUUGGGGGAAUCAGCACUUAGCAACCCCCUAAUAGUUAAUGGUACCCGGUUCACAUAGUAGCCUGCACAUAGUACUACACAUGUGACCAUUUACAUCUGAUACACGUAGUAGCCUACACAUAGUACUACACACGUGAUCGAAGCUAUCCGGUUUUCAUAGUAGCCCGCACAUAGUACUACACAUGUGACCCAUCAUUCCGGUACACGUAGUAGCUUGCACAUAGUACUACACACGUGACCAUCACUUUCACUUUUACAUAGUGGCCUACACACAGUCCGUGCCACACAUGUGAUCAUUUCUAUCACUUCAUUCGUAUCCCCUUUUUAUUCUGAAGGUUCAUUCGAGAAUUUUUCUCUUUUUCUCACUUCUCUUUUUAUCGAUCAAUUUCAAUUUCUUAUCUUUCUUGAUUUAUAACAAUACAUUUAACUUAUAUAACAUUCACACUAUUCAUUCCAGUCCAAAAAUCAUACUUUGGAAAAAUUAUGUUUUUGCCCCUAAAGUUUCACAAAAUUAUGAUUUUGCCCCUAGGCUUGUAAAAUAAUUUUUAUUCAAUUUCCUUGCAUUUUAGGACAAUUUCAAUCCACAAUUUUCACUUAUUCACACACUUAUGAAUAAAAUAAAUCUCAUCAAGGUCGGGAGAUAUCACACUAUCACAGGUUAUAUAAUGACAUGUAUAUUCCAAACAUCACAUACGCUACGUUCGGCCCGAGAAUCGACUAAACCGUAGCUCUGAUACCACUAAAUGUAACACCCCUUACCCAUAUUCGACACCAGAAUAGAGUACGAGGCAUUACCAGAAUACAUGCACUUGUAAACGUAUUGAACCGAGUUAUAAAAUUCCAUUAAUUAUUAAAACUUAUAAAUUAAUAACAUGCUUUUAUAAUUCUUCAUAAUAUAAAUAAUACAACCUUUCCUACCAACCACAAUCGAGCUUCCGAUAACCAUCUCACUACAUCUAAUAAUUGUACAUAUUACUAAUAAUAAUUCAAUUUCAAUAAUAGAACACAUAUCUAUAUAAUAUUCAUCAUCAAAUAACAUUCACUUUAAUUAAAAUUAUACAGAAUAUAGUUCAUACGAACUUACGAGGCUAAAUUGCAGAAAUACAAAAAUCUAGGGACAUUUUAGAAAUUUUCUAUUUUUCUCGAAUUUCCAUCCAAUCUUGAUCUAAAUUAAUAUUUCCUUCAAUUUACUAAUUUAAAUAAUAAAACAAAUCAUUUCAUGCAAUUUGAUCUUUUUUUGACAUUUUUACAAAUUUACCCUUAAAUUUUUACAUUUGUUCAAUUUAGUCCCUGAAACAUAUAAAUUUGUCAUUUUUAAUAAAAACUCAUGCUAGUUGAAUAAUCAUAUUUUUUCCUCCUCCUCCUCUCCAUUCCACAUAAAAUUAAGAUCCACUUGAGUCAUAGUCACUAAAUUAUUUAUAUCUUGAGCUACAGAACUAAAAAUUAAGAUCCGUUAAUUUUCUCUAAAACUAGACUCACAUAUAUUCGUAUCAUAAAAUUUUCAGAAUUUUUGGUUUAGCCAAUAAGUACAGUUUAUUCUUUAAAGUCAUCCCUGUUCUGCUGUCUGACAAUUCCGACCCUUCUUCACUAAAAAUUAACUAUCUUCUCGUACAGAAUUUUGAAUGAUGUUACCAUUUAUUUCUAUUGAAUAUAGACUCAGUAAGGAUUUAAACAUAUAAAUUUAAACCUCUAAUUAUUUUUCCCCAAUUUUUUAUGAUUUUCCAAAGUCAGUACAGGGGAACCCGAAAUCAUUCUGACCUUAUCUCACAAAACCUAUUAUAUCUCAUAAUUUACAAUUCCAUUGCUUACACCGUUUCUUCUAUGAGAAACUACACUCAAUAAGAUUUAAUUUCAUAUUUUUUUCAUCAUCUAAUUCAAUUUAUACGAUUUUUGGUAGAUUUUCAAAGUCAAACUACUGCUGCUGUUUCAAAACUAUUUUAGUGUAAAAUGUUGAUUACUAAGUCUAUAACACUCUUAUUUUCCUUCUCUACACUAUUUCUCAACACUUUCUCUUAUUUUCUCUUCACUAACAUAUCAAGAACAUAUAACCUUAUAUAUUAACAUCAAUCUCAUACUUUUUUUUAAUAAUAUCAAACUAAAAAAUAUAUUGAAAUCAUGAUGUUCUUACCUUGCUCAAUUGACUUCAAUCUUUAACUUGAUUUUCUCUCUCCUCCAGCCUCUAUUUCUUAAAUCUAACUUGAUAUUCUAGCUCCCCAUAGUCUCCUUGUCAAUUUUCUCUCUUGGUGGCUAUGAAAAUUUCUUUGAUUUCUAAGUGAAAAUGGUGGAUUUUUGGUGAAAGGACCAAAUUGUAAAGAAAACAAAGCUUUCUUUCUUCUCAUCUUCUUCUCACGUUAAUGCAUGCAAAAAUGGUGGGGGAUGGAUGCUUUUCAUCCUUCCUUCCACAUAUAUAUACACUAAAUAAAUUAAUAAUAAUAAAAUAAUAUCAUUUAAAAAAAUCAAGUUAAAGAUUGAAGUCAAUUGAGCAAGGUAAGAACAUCAUGAUUUCAAUAUAUUUUUGAGUUUGAUAUUAUUAAAAAAAAAGUAUGAGAUUGAUGUUAAUAUAUAAGGUUAUAUGUUCUUGAUAUGUUAGUCAAGAGAAAAUAAGAGAAAGUGUUGAGAAAUAGUGUAGAGAAGGAAAAUAAGAGUGUUAUAGACUUAGUAAUCAACUUUUUACACUAAAAUAGUUUUGAAACAGCAGCAGUAGUCUGAAUUUGAAAAUCUACCAAAAAUCGUAUAAAUUGAAUUAGAGGAUGAAAAAAAUAUGAAAUUAAAUAUUAUUGAGUCUAGUUUCUCAUAAAAGAAACAGUGUAAGCAAUGAAAUUGUAAAUUAUGAGAUAUAAUAGGUUUUGUGAGAUAAGGUCAGAAUGAUUUCAGGUUCCCCUGUACUGACUUUGGAAAAUCAUAAAAAAUUGGGGAAAAAUAAUUAGAGGCUUAAAUUUAUAUGUUUAAAUCCUUACUGAGUCUAUUUUUAAUAUAAAUAAACGGUAACAUCAUUAAAAAUUAUGUACGAGAAGAUAGUUAAUUUUUAGUGAAGAAGGGUCGGAACUGUUAGACAGCAGAAUAGAGAUGACUUUAAAGAAUAAACUGUACUUAUUGGCUAAACCAAAAAUUCUAAAAAUUUUAUGAUAACAAGAUAUGUGAGUCUAGUUUCAGAUAAAAUUAACGUAUCUUAAUUUUGAGUUCUGUAACUUAAUAUAUAAAUAAUUUAGUGACUACAACUCAAGUGGACAGCUUUAAAUGAAUAUAUAAGUAAAUGGUGACAUUAUAGAUAAUGUUACCUAUAUGCAUGUUACAUACAUUAAGGAUGUGGAAUGGAGAGUAGGAGGAGGAAAAUAUAUGAUUAAUCAACUAGCAUGAGUUUUUAUUAAAAAUGACCAAUUUAUAUGUUUCAGGGACUAAAUUGAACAAAUGUAAAAAUUUAAGGGUAAAUUUGUAAAAAUAUCAAAAAACGAUCAAAUUGCAUGAAAUGAGUUGUUUUAUUAUUUAAAUUAGUAAAUUGAAGGAAAUAUUAAUUUAGAUCAAGAUUGGAUGGAAAUUCGAGAAAAAUAGAAAAUUUCCAAAAUGUCCCUAGAUUUUGGUAUUUCUGCAAUUUAGCCUGGUAAGUUCUUAUGAACUAUAUUCUGUAUAAUUUUAAUUAAAUUGAAUGUUAUUUGAUGAUGAAUAUUAUAUAGAUAUGUGUUCUAUUAUUGAAAUUGAAUUAUUAUUAGUAAUAUGUACAAUUAUUAGAUGUAGUGAGAUGGUUAUCGGAAGCUCGAUUGUGGUUGGUAGGAAAGGUUGUAUUAUUUAUAUUAUGAAGAAUUAUAAAAGCAUGUUAUUAAUUUGAAAUUUUUAAUAAUUAAUGGAAUUUUAUAACUCGGUUCAAUACGUUUACAAGUGCAUGUAUUAUGGUAAUGCCUUGUACUCUAUUCCGGUGUCGAAUAUGGGUAAGGGGUGUUACAAGCCAACGGGGUACUUACGGGUUUUGUCUGCUCGUUCAUGCCAAACUGCUGUAGGACUUUCUUCAAAUACUGCUUCUGAGACAAACUAAGUCUACCUUGAGCUCUAUCUCUACAUAUUUCCAUGCCAAGAAUCUUCUUAGCUUCACCCAGAUCUUUCAUCUCAAACUCAAGAUUGAAUUGAGUUUUUAAUUUCUCAAUCUCAACUUUGCUCUUAGAUGCUAUCAGCAUAUCAUCAACAUAUAAGAGCAAGUAUAUGAAAGUUCCUACUUGUAGCUUCUGUAAAUACACGCAAUGAUUAAAUUUACUUCUUGUGUACCUUUGCCCUUUCAUAAACUGCUCAAAUCGCUUGUACCACUGCCUCGGAGAUUGUUUCAAUCCAUAAAGUGACUUCGUCAGUUUGCAAACCCAAUUUUCUUUAUCAGCAACCUUGAAUCCAUCAGGCUGAGUCAUAUAGAUUUCCUCCUUUAAAUCACUGUGUAAAAAGGCCGUCUUCACAUCAAACUGAACUAGUUCAAUGUCAUACUGCGCAACCAAGGCUAGCAAAAUCCGAAUAGACGAAUGCUUCACAACUGGAGAAAACACUUCAUUAUAGUCUAUUCCUUCUUUUUGAGCGUAACCCUUUGCUACCAAUCUAGCCUUGUAUCGAAUUUUAUUUUUACCAGGAAAUCCUUCCUUCUUUGCAUAUACCCAUUUGCAUCCAAUUGCCUUCUUUCCCCUUGGACAGUGUCACCAACUCCCAAGUCCUAUUUUUAUGAAGAGACUGCAUUUCUUCAUUCAUAGCUUGCUUCUGUGUUACUUAUUACUUCUGUGUAAGUAGAAGGAACAUCAUCAUCUGCAAUUGGAAUCAUCAAAGCGAGCAGGCUUACAAAUCUCUCUUCUUAGCCUCCUAUAUGCAAUUGAAUCUUGUUGCUGUAAAAGUUCUUGGGUCGAAACUUUUUCAUCAUUUGUUCCUUCAAUAUUAGCUGGAUCAUCAUUAACCUUUUCAAGCUCCACCUGCUGCAAAGUGCCACUGGUUUGGUCAUCCUUUUGUGAAUCCUUGUUCUUCAUCAUGGUUGAUUUAUCAAAAGUCACAUCUCUACUAAAAACAAUCUUCCUUGUAUCAGGACACAAGAGACGGUAUCCUUUUACUCCUUCUACAAGGUUUGUUGCUAUGUGAACAACCUCUUACUGUUAAAACUUCUGCAGUUGUAUCUCUGUGAUCUCUUUUAUCUUUCUUUCGAGUCUCAGAUCUAUACAAUGCACUGCAGACUGCAUCAAAUGUGAUCAUAUCCUUCCCAUGAAGCAAUGUGGUGGUAAGAUGAUCAUAUUCAUCAGGAAGAGAAUUCAACAACAAUAAUGCCUUGUCUUCAUCUUCAAAUUUCUCAUCAAGUCUGCUAAAAUUUUAUUGAAUGAGUUCACAUGGUCAUUCAUCGACAUACCGGGUGCAUACGUGAACCGAAAAAGUUUCUUUUUCAUAUAAAGCCUAUUUUCAAGACUUUUCGUUAGAAACUUUUCUUCUAGUGUAUCCCGCAACUUCUUUGUUGAUGUCUCCCUCAUGACAGAGUACUUCUGCUCUUUGGCCAAACAUAGGCGGAUUGUACCACACGCCUGUCUAUUGAUCUUGGCCCACUCCUUGUCAUCCAUCUUGUCAGGUUUUUCUUCAAGGGCUAUAUCCAACUCUUGCUGACAUAAGACAUCCAGGAUCUCACAUUGCCACAUACCAAAAUUAUUGGUACCAUCAAAUUUCUCUACUUCAAAUUUUGCAUUGGUCACGGUAGUCUUUGUUGAUGACGAUGCCUCUGCCAUUUUUCUCCUCAAGCCCAACUACUGUAUAUGUGAACAGUACCGUCUAUGUGAAUAGUGCCAUGGAUGAACAAUACCGUAUACAUAAAUAGUAUCGUAAACGGUCGUAUUCCCCAAGUACGAAUCUAGCUCGGACACCAAUUGUUGUGCGGAAGCGUGUAAAAGAGUAAAAUUAUUGUACUAAAAAAUCACACUAAGUUCAAUUCCCAGGAAAGAGAGGUGGAUCACGAGGAUCACUUAAGUACCAGGUCUUUCCUAGCCAGAAUAUCCUUCUAUCGUAAUUUAAUAGAACAAUAAAUCACUACAAUCACACUCGCAAAAUAUGCAAAAUAAACAAUAAAGAACACUAGAAUUUUAACGAGGUUCAGCAAAUUUUGCCUACGUCCUCGGGCAGUACCAAAUAUAUUUCAGUCCAAAAUACAAGUGAAAAUUUACAAAUGUGGAGAGAGAACAAUGCCUUAAGUAGAGAAUGGCAUUUGUGGGAUGUAGAAAAUGAGAAAUAGCUAGGCCUAUUUAUAGUUGAAGCUCAAGGAUCAACUUGCAAAGUCCCUAUACAAUUAGGGACCAAAAUUACAAUUAUCCCAAGCCAAAUUUCAACCCAAAAAUCUAUGCUUUAAAUGCUUAGAUUUUCAGUGCCAAUUUUCUGACACCAAUAUCUUUGAAAAGUCAAAGAUUGUAGGUUGCCAAUACAUUUAGAGACACUAGUCCCGAAGUUGUCGGUAUCUCAGGAAACGAUUUAAGCAUCUUGCAAUAUGACAAUCCAAGACACCCAAGCUUGGAUAGUAGUCGAGUAAGAGAUGCAGGUAUGCUGAUGAAAUUGUUACCACCAAGAUCAAGAGACCACAAAGAGGAUAGACCAGAAAUAUCACGUGGAAUAUCUCCUUCACAAAGAUUGCAGUCCUUUAGACUUAGCCGUCUUAAUGAACUCAAACCUAACAACAAAGGCAACAUUGGAGCCAUGGGAGUUGUCCUUCUUCCUUGGAUUACCUUGAAAAGAGAAGACAAACUUGGUCGUAACUUUGCUUGCUGCAAAUUCUCCAAGAAAUUUUCAACUCUAUAACAACCAGAAAGCUCUAGAGUUUUUAUACGUUCCAUUUUCCCAUCAAUCUCCGGAAAUCUUACAAGACUUGAGCAACCCGAAAAAAUUAAUGUUUCAAGAGAUUCCAUUCUAAUUUUGGUUGGAAGCCUCCUAAGACUUUUACAAUCUCUUAAAUUCAAAAGUUUAAGGCUCUUAAGCACUCCUAUUGAUGGAUGAACAUCCACUAAUUUGGUACAGCCUUCCAAAAUUAAAACUUCAAGAUUUGAUGCUGUUGUGAAGUCUGGUGUCUUGAUCAGGUUUUGGGAACCUUUGAGGUUCAUUAUUUUCAACUUAUACAAGGGCUAUUGAAGACAAAAAUAAAUUAGAGAGAAAAGAAAAAACAUAAUAAUUCUCAUUUUUGUUUUUGUAUUUUUACCUUAAUCAAAGUUUAAUAAUUUAUUUGAAAAUAAGCUAAAACACAGGGAUAAUAUGAGUUAAUUCUUACUCUAUUUCCCUUCCAUAGUUGUUUAAUGUGACUAUAUGGUAAAAGAAGUGCGACAAGGUUGUCCGAUGGAAAGCUUGAAGGUAAGUAUCUUAAAGGGUAUCCUGUCCAAUCUGAAAGUCGUAGUUCAUUAGAAAGAUAUUUGAGAUCAUCACAAUUUGAAAGGCAAAGCACUUUGAGCAAUCUCAGUUUUUUCAUCUUGAAGAAAGUAUCCACACUCAAAUUGAACAUCUUGUUUGAUUCCCUAAUAUCCAUGAACAAAACAAAAAUGAGAUUCAAAAUAUACAAAGACAUUCAAUAUCUAAAAGUUAUGUUGCACAGAUAGAUGAUCAAUUUCCAUUGUAAUGGAAAAAAAAAUCAUUCCAAAUUGGAAUGAGAAGGAAGACAAUGAGAGAGAUAUUUUAUUUUUAAAUGUUUUAUUUUCUUUCUUUCUCACUUUUCGCUAUACCAAGCAAUAUUGAGGAGGAAAAUAUAUUUUCCAUUCAAUUUUCCAUCUUUCCAAUCAAGUUUUUCAUCCCCUCAGUUUUCCACCCUUUUGAUUUUCUUUCCACUCUGCCAAGCAAAGCCAAAAGGUUUUUUUUUUGUUGUUUUGUUUAUUGAAUUUUUUACAAAAAAAUAAUAACAAUAUUAAUAGUACAUAUUGAUAAAUUUAUAUGUAUGUUUUCUUACCUUUUAUUGUCAAUGAUCAUACAUUCAAUCACUUCGGUAGCCUAAAAGAAAUCAAGAAUAGACAAUAAGAAUACAAAAUAAAUUAUCUAAAUUGUACAAUAAAACUUUUGAAAUUUACAUAUAUGUUCAACAUUAUCACAAUCUUUUGGUUGAAAUAUAGGAAAUAAAAUAUUUUCGAAUGAGAGUAAUUCAAUAAAAUUAAACACUUAUAUUACAAAUCAUUAUUAAUAUUUAUAAUCAACAAAUGGAAAUUAUUUUAAAGCCAUUCAAUGUCAGUUAAGGAUCAAAAUGUAAACCAAUUAGACUAAGCUUUGGAUUUACAUCAUAUAUUGAUAAAAAUAAAAUUUUGUAUAUAAUUUUUGUUGAAUGAUUUACCGUGUUUUUUGUUAGGACAUGAGGGACAUCCCUUUCUUUCCACAAUCUACAACGUUUUCCAGGUUCAUCAACACAUUUUUCUUCAACAAUUUUUCUUCCCAUUUUUUACAGCAAGGCAUGCAUCUGCGAACGUUGGUUGUCAUCACUAACUUUUAUGAGAGAUUUCUUAAUGAGAAUAUCGAUUCUAAUAUCUGGAAAAAACUCACAACCAUCCAAUACUUUCAUUACCAAAUCUCUCUUCUCACCAUUGAAAAAGCAUGCUAUAAGUAGAAAUAUAUUCUUCUCUCUUUCUUCCAAUCCAUCAAAGCUAAUUCUUAGCGUGUUAAGAAUUUCUUUGUUAGAAUCUUCUUUAAGUCUUUCGAUUGCACUGCUCCAUUGAACUAUAUCUCUAUCGCACAAAAAUGAACCCAAAACUUCAAGAGCUAAGGGGAGACCACCAGCAUAACAUACAACAUGUUCAGAAAGCUCAAUGAAAUCAUCUUUUGGCACUGUAUCACUAUGAAAAGCUUUCAAAUUGAAAAGUCUAAGUGCAUCGUCUGGAUUCAAUGAUUUAGGCUUAUACACACCAUCGACUCCGCAAGAUCGGAGUAAAUACUCAUCUCUUGUUGUUACAAUGAUUUGACUCCCUAAAUUGUAAUUUUACCAAAUUAAAUGAUGACUCAAGGAUGGAAUUUUAAAAGAUUAUAAAGGGCAAAAUGGUCAAUUAGAAAUAGAGAAUUCUAGAAGGUAAUGAUGAUGUUGGUGAUAUUUUUAAUUAAUUAAUUAGAUAAAUAUUAUUUAAUUAAUAUUUUAUUAAGAUUUCUAGUAUUAUUUUAUUAUUAAAUGAUUAAUAUAAAAGGGAGGAAAGAUGAAGAGAAUUCAUCAUCUUUCCCAUGCACCAACGUGAGAAGAAGAAGAAAGAAAGAAAGUUUUCUUUUCUUUACAAUUUGGUCCUUUUUACCAAAAAUCCACCAUUUUCACCUAGAAUUCAAAGAAAUUUCCAUAACCACCAAGAGAGAAAAUUGAUAAGGAGACUAUGGGGAGCUAGAAUAUCAAGCUAGAUUCAAGAAAUAGAGGCUGGAUGAGAGAGAAAAUCAAGCUAAAGAUUGAAAUCAAUAGAGCAAGGUAAGAACAUCAAGAUUUCAAUAUAUUUUUGAGUUUGAUAUUAUUGAAAAAGUAUGAAAUUGAUGUUAAUGUAGGAUUUUAUUAUAUAAGGUUCUAUGUUCUUGAUAAGUUAGUGAAGAAAAAUAAGAGAAAGUGAUGGGAAACACUAUAGAGAAAGGGAAUAAGAGUGUUAUAAAUUUAGUAAUGAACAUUUUGCACUAAAACAGUUUUGGACAGCAGCAGUAGAUUAAAUUUGAAAAAUCACCAUAAAUCAUGGAAAUCGAAUUAGAGGAUGAGAAAAAUAUGAAAUUAAAGCUUAUUGAGUCUAGUUUCUCAUAGAAUAAACAGUGUAAGUAAUGGAAUUUUAAAUCAUGAGAUAUAAUGAAUUUUGUGUGAUAAGGUCAGAAUGAAUUCGGGUUCCCCUGUUCUUACUUUGGAAAAUCAUCAAAAAUUGCAUAAAAAUAAUUAGGUUUUAAAAUUUACAUCAUUAAAAUCCUUAAUGAGUAUAUUUUUAAUAGAAACAAAUGGGAACAUCAUUCAAAUCCCGUACAAUGAGAUAAUUAAUUUUUAGUAAAGAAGGGUCGAAACUGUCAGACAGCAGAACAAUGAUGACUUUAAAGAAUAAACUGUACUUAUUGACUAAACUAAAAAUUCUGAAAUUUUAUGGUAAGAAGAUAUGUGAGUCUAGUUUUUGGAAAAAUUAGCGGAUCUUAAUUUGGAAUUUUUUAUCUCAAGAUAUGAAUAAUUUAGUGAUUAUUACUCAAGUGGAUAGCUUUGAAUGAAAAUAUAAAUAAAUGGUGAAAUUAUAGGUAAUGUUACAUAUAAGCAUAUUAUAUACAUUAAGGAUGUGGAAUGGAGAGGAGGAGGAGGAAAAUAUAUGAUUAUUCAACUAGCAUGAGUUUUCGUUAAAAAUGGUCAAUUUACCUAUUUUAGGUUCAGGGACUAAAUUGAACAAAUGUGAAACUUUAAGGGUAAAUUUGUAAAAAUGUCAAAAAGUGACCAAAUUGCAUGAAAUGAAUUGUUUUAUUAUUUAAAUUAGUAAAUUGAAUGAAAUAUUAAUUUAGAUCAAGAUUGGGUGGAAAUUCGAGAAAAAUAGAAAUUUUCCAAAAUGUCCAUGAAUUUUGCUAUUUCUGCAAUUUAGCCUGGUAAGUUCGUAUGAACUAUAUUUUGUAUAAUUUUAAUAGAAGUGAAUGCUAUUUGGCAAUGAAUAUUAUAUAUAUGUGUGUUUUAUUAUUGGAAUUGAAUUAUUAUUGGUAAUAGGUAUAAUUAUUAUAUGUUUUGAAAUGAUUAUCGAAAGCUCGAUUGGGUUGGAAGCUUGUUGGAGAUAUAUCACAUUAUCCAUUGGUUCUAUUGGUAAUUUUGGAUGAUUUGAUUCUGGUUAUAAUGACUUGUAUAAGUUAAAUUGGUUAAUGAUAGCUCAUAAAUGUUUUGAUUUUGAUUGGUUAUAAAUAUGAAUGCUUGAUGAAAUGAAAGGUCUGAAAAUUAAUUUGUAAACUCCGGUAAUGCUCUAUAACCCUAUUCUAGAGAAGGAUACGGGUUAGGGGUGUUACAUUCAAGGUAUUAGUGGUAGUAGGUAACAAUUAGGUGACCUUAUGCUGAUUUUGACAAGCUAAUUGCUUGAUUUAUGUAUUGGCAUUAUGCCAUUGAAAUUUUUGAAUGAAUUCCAUCAGUUUUUGUUCCAAUACUCUUCACUUAUCUUUGCUUUCUUUUUUUCUCAAAUUCUAUUGUUUCUUUAGCAAGCAUCGAGCCUUGCUACUCAAGUCUCAGCAAACUUGUUUGUUUCUUUGUUCAUAGCACCAACAAUUGGUAUCUAGAGCUGCAAUCUUAAGGGACCUGUUAUUUAAAAUAAUGGCCUCAUCAAACUUCUCACCAGCUGCACCACCAGUCUUCAAUGGAGAAGGCUAUCACAUAUGGGUGGUCAAAAUGAAGACCCACCUGCAGGCUUUCAAUAUGUGGGAAGUGGUCAACUCUGAUGUUGAACCAAAGCCACUCAGAGCCAAUCCAACAGUGGCUCAGAUUAGGGAGCAUGCUGAUGAAAGGAUCAAAAGGCACAAGGCCAUGUCUUGUAUCCAAAACUAGUGCCAGAUGUGAUAUUUAAAAGGAUCAUGGCCUAUGAAACACCAUAGCAGGCCUGAGACAAAUUAAAAGAGGAGUUUCAAGGGACAGAGAGGACAAAGCAGCAACAGUUGUUGAACUUGAGAAGGGACUUUGAGAAUUUGAAAAUGAAGGAAGAAGAAACUGUCAAGCAGUACUCAGACAGGAUUAUGGCUGUAGUAAACAGCAUAAGGCUCCUUAGUGAGCAGUUCAGUGAAGCAAGGAUUAUGGAGAAGGUGAUUUCCACCUUACCUGAGAGGUAUGAGGCAAAUAUUUCAUCCCUCGAAGAUUCAAGGGACUUGACCAGCAUCACAUUAACAGAGUUGAUCAAUGCUCUUUAUACACAAGAGCAAAAAAAAGCAAGUAGACUAGAGAAGCACCAGGAAGGUGCCGUUCAAGCAAAAAUAAUAUCUGCCUCGAGCAACACUGCUUACAAAGGUAAGAAGACUUGGAGAGACAAGCCAAAGUUUGAUUCUACAAAGAGAAGGGACCAACACUGCAGACAUUACAAGAGACCUGGUCAUUUAGAAGCAGAUUGUUGGUUUAGACCAGAUUUGCAGUGUCAACACUGCAAAAAGAUGGGGCAUGUUGAAAGGGUUUGCAGAAAUAAGAGCAAACCGAGACAAAAUCAAUUCCAAUAGCCAAAUGCUGAGGCUCGAGUGGCCAAGGAAGACAGUGACCAUGAGGAGCAAGUUUUUGCUGUGUCAUGCUCAGCUGCUCAAGAGAAGAUUACAAGUGGCUGGCUCUUGAACAGUGGAUGCACCAACCAUAUGACACCAGAUGCAACCAUCUUCAAGUCCUUAGACAGAAGCUGCAAAACUAAGGUCAAGAUUGGUAAUGGCCAUUUUAUAAAAGCAAAAGGUAAGGGUGAUGUGCUGAUAUGUACUCCUCUAGGUAACAUGACUCAUCUCAAGUGUGUUACUAGUGCCUGAAAUUGAUAGAAACCUGCUCAGUAUAGCUCAAUUGCUAGAAAAAGGGUAUUCUGUGGUGUUCAAGGGCAAGGAGUGCCAAAUCAGUGAUCCAAGUGGAUCUAAGCUCAUGGCAGUCACUAUGGCUGAUAAGAGCUUUGUUGUAGACUGGAUAAAUGGCUCAGAUACUGUCUACACUGCCAUAACAAAUGAAUCUAAGCUUUGGCAUCAAAGGCUUGGUCAUACCAACUACAGAUCAAUGGAUCAGCCAUCCAGGGAAGAUUUGGCUAAAAACUUUAUUGGUUCUGUUGAAAAACAAGAAUUUUAUGAAGUAUGCCAGUAAGGAAAGCAGGCUAGACUCCCAUUUCCCUCAAAUCAGGCCUGAAGAGCCUCUGAAAGGCUACAGCUAUUGCACACUGAUGUGUGUGGUCCCAUGAAGACUAAGUCAUUGAAUGGAAGCAGGUAUUUCACCCUGUUUAUUGAUGAUUUCUCAAGAUUUUUUUGGAUUUAUUUUUUGAAACAGGAAUCAAAGGUAGGCUCAGUUUUUUCAUAGUUCAAGAUUACUACUAAAACUGAAACAGGGUGUAAGCUUAAGACCAUAAGGUCUGACAAUGGGACUGAGUACACUCAGCUCAGUUCCAGACCGAUGAGGCAAGCAUCAAACACCAUCUCACCAACACCUAUACUCCUCAACAAAAUGGUGUGAGUGAGAGAAAAAAUAGAAGCUUAAUGGAUUUGGCCAGGUGUCUACUGUUUGAGAAGAAUCUGCCUAAAACCAUGUAGACAGAGGCAGUCAACACUGUUGUGUACAUUCAGAAUAGGCUUCUAACCAUGGCCUUGGCUUACAAAACUCCAUUCAAAGCCUGGUUUGGCUUCAAACCUUCAUUGGCUCAUCUGCGAGUCGUUGGCAGCAUAUGCUAUGCUCAUGUCCCAGAGUUAAAAGAGACAAAUUAGGGAAGAAAGUUGAACCUGGUAUAAUGGUGGGGUACAACUCAGUCAAAAAGGGCUAUAGGAUCUUAGAUCUAUUAACGAACAAGGUGUUUGCAAGUAGAGAUAUGGUGUUCGAUGAGAAAGCAUGUUGGAACUGGGAGAAGAAUGAACCACAGGCAGUUUUUGAAGACCUUGUUACAGAUCAAACUGAGCCAGAUCAAAAUGGUCCUGAAAUAGACAUUGAUGAUGAACUAGUUAGGGGCACUAGACAUUGGCUGAGAUUUAUGAAAGAGCUCAUGUUGCUAUAGCAGAACCGAACUACUUUGAAGAGGCUAAAGCACACCAAGGCUGGAAACAAGCAAUGGCUAAAGAAAUCAGCAUGAUCUAGAAGAAUCAAACUUGGAAACUGGUUGAAAGACCAGCCAAAAGGAAGAUCAUUGGGGUGAAAUGAGUUUAUCGACCCAAGCACAAUGCUGAUGGGAGCUUGAAUAAGCUAAAGGCAAAGCUGGUUAUCAAAGGGUUUAGCCAGAAGUAUGGUCUGGAUUACUUGGGGACCUUUGCACCAGUGGCCAGGCUCGAUACCAUCAGGUUGCUGAUUGCCUUAGCAGCACAAAUGUAGUGGAAAAUCCACUACCUUGAUGUGAAGUCUACCUUUCUCAAUGGAAUUCUUGAAGAGGAGAUCUAUGUUGAAUAACCUCAAGGCUUUGGAAUAGCUGGUAAAGAACACUUGGUUUAUAAGCUAAAGAAAGCCUUGUAUGGCUUGAAAUAUGCUCCAAGGGCCUGGUAUAGCAGGAUCGAUAGCUACCUGGUUAGUUUGGGGUUUGAAAGAAGCAAGAGUGAGCCAACAUUGUAUGUCAAGAUGGAAGGAGUACAAAUACAACUCAUUGUGUCUCUGUAUGUUGAUGACUUGUUGGUGACAGGAGGAGACCGAACAAUACUGGUCGAUUUUAAGACCAAAAUGUAGCAAAUGUUUGAGAUGUCUGAUCUAGGAAGGAUGACUUACUUUCUUGGCAUGGAGGUGACUCAAACACAGAAUGGGAUAUUCCUAAGUCAAAAGGCCUUUACCUCUAAGGUUUUGGCCAAGUUCUCCAUGCAAAACAACAAAGCAACUAAGACUCCUAUUGCUAUUGGAGAGAAGCUAUCGAACCAUGGUGAUUUUGAAAGGGUUUGUGAAACUACCUACAGAAGUUUAGUUAGUUGUUUGCUGUAUUUAACAGCCACUAGACCUAACAUUGUGUUCGAUGUAAGUUUUCUCUCAAGGUUUUUUCAUUGCAGUAAUGAGAAGCACCUUCAAGCUAGAAAAAGAGUGCUCAGGUAUGUCAAGGGUACAUUGAGCCAUGGAUUAAUGUACAGCAAACCUAAAAGCCUGAAGCUAGUUGGCUACACUGACAGUGACUGGGCUGGUUCAAUUGAUGACAUGAAAAGCACCUCAUGGUAUGAUUCUAAUCUUGGUUCAGCCAUGUUUAGCUGGAGUUCGAAGAAGCAAACAUUGGUGGCUCAAUCUACUGCUGAAGUUGAAUAUGUUGCAGCAGCAAGUGCUGUCAACCAAACCAUUUGGCUAAGAAAAAUUAUGGCUGACUUGAAUAUGCAUCAAAGGGAAGCAACAUAGAUCUUUUGUGACAAUCAAUCUGCUAUUGCAAUUGCAAAAAAUACGGUGUUCCAUGGAAGAACAAAACAUUUCAGCAUUAAACUCCAUGUUAUUAGAUAAAUGAAGCAAGCUCAAGAAGUGAAACUGGUUCAUUGCAAUUCACAUGAUCAACUUGCUGACAUUCUGACCAAGGCCCUUAGUGCAACAAGGUUUGAGCACUUAAGGAAGAAAUUAGGAGUUUGCAACAUGCCAACCAAGGAGGAGUGUUGAAGGAUGGUCAGCAUGUAGCAAAGAAGCAGGCAACAAGUAGGCCAUGAAGAUCGAGCCAUGCAGAAGCUGCUACAGCAAGCACAAUUGUUCUUUUUUUGUUUAUUUUGUAAUCUUUAGUUGAUGUAAUGUAUUUUAGUUCAUUUUGAACUAUGUCAGGUUGAUGAUUGAUGUAAUUUGUUGAUGAUAGAGUUGUUAACUCAGCCUUUGUUUAAGUGUGCAAGCUUGUUUUUACAAGUUUCAAGGUAUUAGUGGUAGUAGGUAACAAUUAGGUGACCUUAUGCUGAUUUUGACAAGCUAAUUGCUUGAUUUAUGUAUUGGCAUUAUGCCAUUGAAAUUUUUGAAUGAAUUCCAUCAGUUUUUGUUCCAAUACUCUUCACUUAUCUUUGCUUUCUUUUUUUCUCGAAUUCUAUUGUUUCUUCAGCAAGCAUCAAGACUUGCUACUCAAGUCUCAGCAAACUUGUUUGUUUCUUUGUUCAUAGCACCAACAUAAUUUCAUUUUUCAAAACUCUACAAUAUGUCAUUUUGUUCACCAAAAACUCAACUAACCCAACUAAAGUAUCUUAAAACUUGUAAACAUUGCUUGCAUACAAGUUGAUUUGUGUCAAUUAGCACCUAAAUGUGUCAUUACAAUAUUAGCUCAGUUCAUUUUCAAUAAAGUAACUGUACAAAAAACUAAACCAAAACAAUAUGACAUUUGAAUUGAUGUAGCAAGCAGUUUUUAGUUCACAGCUCACAUGCAUUGUUGCUUGCAUGCAGCUCACAGUUCCCAAUUCGCCAUAUGUAGAGAUAGCUCGUACUUUGGUGAGCUCGCAUCUUUUGCUGAGCUCGCACUUUUUUAGCUUGCCCUUUUUGCAUCUUGGACUUUGGAGAGCUCGCACUUUUGAACAGUUCGCAAGCUCACAUUCUUUGGAUAGGUUGCACUUCUUCAGACUGCUAGCUGUUGCAUGGUUGGCCAACUUGCAACAUAGGCUUUGAGACAGAGAAGAAUAACAGUGUGAGAAGAAUAAAACUCCCUUAGCUUCAAUGCAAAAAGAAUAAUAUAGGGAGAAUCCUACUAAGAACAACAGGGGUCAAUAUCCAUAUGGCUAUUCUAAGGACAUGAUUUUUUUUGCAUCUGAAUCAAAGGUUUGAAAAGUUGAAUUCUUUGAAGUGCCCAUUCAAUAAACUAAGAAAUCUGAAAAGUUGAAAUUAUAUUUAUCAUAACAUAUCAUUUUUUAUUUAUAUCAAGGAUUUUAUCAUGUUAGUAUUAUGAACACGAAUAUAAUGAAUACUAAAUUAUGGUAAAUAAGAAUCUAUUUGUACGAUCAAACAAAAAAAAGGGGAAAAAAAUCAGCAAAGAGAAACUUAUAAAAUAACUAAAUAGGGGAAAAAUCUUGAAAAGGGUAGUGAAGUAGUUUACCACAUUUAAUGCUUCUUCCCUGAUUUGGCCAUUACAAAAUUGAAAGUUUUUUGCAUCCGUUUUAGUUGCAGCCAUUCUUCCUUCGCUUCAUCAUAGAUAUUAGGUUUCUGUUUUAUGUGAGAAGUGCUAUCUACUGAUCCAUCGUUGUGAGCAGAGUGUUGGUGGAUGUGAGAAGAUUGAGUGGUAUGUCACUGCAACUCUUUUAUUUCUUCCAAAUCUUUCUCAUACACUAUUCUAGCACCACACUUCUUCACCUUAGCACUGUCUUCAUUAUUUGGGUUUGAGAAAGACACCUCAAACUCAUCACAUUUUUCAUCUAAGCAAUCUGUUGCCCAUAAAUUAUUUGUUUCACAAUGACCAUAUUUAUUUUCCAAGAAAAAUGGAUAUAAUUUAUCACGUGACCAAUAACGAAGAAAAAUGUGAUCUUUCACUAUGGGCUGGUUAAAUCGUUUACCCACCAACCAGCCGGUCCCAUCAAUCAGUCGAGGAUUUCUCCCACGAAAAAUAAAUCCAUUACAACUGGCAUCUUCAGAAUUUCUACAAUAUAUAAAUGCUCCACCACCGAUAGACACGUCAUCCCUUGAAGCAUCAUUAUUGACAAAAAUGCAGCAACAAGCAACUCCAAUCCAUUGACUAUCUUUCGAGACGGGUAUCUUAAUUGAAGAGUCACUUCUUUGUUGGCUAAACCAUUCUGGGAUUUCACUUCCGGGCAUUAGAAUUUCAAACUUUUUUCUUGAAUUUGCGAAUGCCUGCAAAAUAAAACACAAGUCGUUUGGUAACUGAAACCAUAAAUUCUCAAGUAUGAGAUUUUGUAAGGGAUAAAAUAGAGAUUAAUCGACCUUAAGAUGUUUUUUUAGCAGUGUUAAUGCAUCGAUAUUUUCAGCCAAUUUGAAGCAGUUAAUGGCUUUAAUGAAACCAAAAUCCACUAAAUUGCAUACUUUUGAUGGACUUGCAAAUACUUCAAGUGAAGAGCAAUCAUCUAUACGCACAUCUGCUAUACUUGUUAGAAGCUCUGGCAACGAUUUAAGCAUCUUGCAAUUUGAUAAUCCCAGUAAAUUAAGCCUGCUAAGUUGAGUAAGAGCCAAAGGAAUGGUGAUGAAAUUGUUACCGCUAAGAUAAAGAUAACUCAAAGAGGAUAGACCAUGAAUAUCUGCUUCACCAAGAGUGCACAUGUUACAAUUUGACAAAUCAAGAAACCAAAGCUUCGAGAGCCGAGUAAGAGGUGCAGGUAUGCUGAUGAAAUUAUUACCACUAAGAUCAAGAUCUGUCAAGGAGGAUAGACUAGAAAUAUCACGUGGAAUAUCUCCUUCACAAAGAUUGCAGUCCCUUAGUUUUAGCUUUCUUAAUGAACUCAAACCUAAUAGCGAAGGCAACAUCCGAGGCAUGGGAUUCUUCCUUCUUCCUACGAUUACCUUGAAAAGAGAAGACAAAUUUGGUCGUAACUUUGCUUGCUGCAAAUUUUCCGAUAAAUUUUCAACUCUAUAACAACCAGAAAGAUCUAGAGUUUUUAGACGUUCCAUUUUUCUAUCAAUCUCCGGAAACCUUACAAGACUUGAGCAACCUGAAAGAAUUAAUGUUUCAAGAGAUUCCAAUCCAAAUUUGGUCGGAAGAUUCCUAAGACUUUUGCAAUCUCUUAAAUUCAAAAGUUUAAGGCUCUUAAGCACUCCUAUUGAUGGAUGAACAUCCACUAAUUUGGUACAACCUUCCAAAAUCAAAACUUCAAGAUUUGAUGCUGUUGUGAAGUCUGGUAUCUUGAUCAGGUUUUGAGACCCUUUGAGGUUGAUUAUUUUCAACUUAUACAAGGGCUGUUGAAGACAAUAAAUAAUUAGACAGAAAACAUAAUAAUGCUGAUUUUUGUGUUCAUUACCUUAACCAAAGCUUAAUCAUUAAUAUUAAAAUAAGCUAAAAUGAUGAGUUAAUUCUUACUUUGUUUCCCUUCCAUAGUUGUUCAAUGUGACUAUAUGGUAAAAGAAGUGCGACAAGGUUGUCCGGUUGAAAGCUUGAAGGCAAGUAUCUUAAAGGAUAUCCUUUCCAGUCUAAAAGUCUUAGCUCAUUAGAAAGAUAUUUGAUAUCAUCACAAUUUGAGACACAAAGCACUUUGAGCAAUCUCAAUUUUUUCAUCUUCGAGAAGGUAUCGGUACUCAAAUUGAGGAUCUUGCUUGAUUCCCUAAUAACCAUGAGCAAAAUAAAAAUAAACUUAAGAAUAUACAAAAACAUUCAAUAUCUAAAAGCCAUGCUGGAUCAAUAUUACUUUUUUAAGUAUCCAUAUCUAGCACUUAUAUCUAUUGCAUAUCUGAAUAUGGUAUUGAGAUAUGAUUAAUAACAUAUUAGAAAAUACUUUAUCUAACACUUAUAUUCGACUUUUAAUUACCUAAGCCUAAAAAAAUGGAACUAUUAUUUUGAUUUAUGUUCGGUGCACUGAUGUAUAGUUCUAUACAUUACCAGUGAACCAAAUGGUGGCAUGACCUGAAUUUAUUUUUAAAAACUUUUAAUGACAUGUUAUAACCUAGUUCAUUGAUAUAGAUUUUCAUUACAUCAAAUAUAAACCAUUAACAUUAGCAAAGACAAUGACACACAUCUCUUUAUAAUUUCUUUUGAAAGAGUAAUGUGUUCCUAUAUAAAUUUUAUAAAUAGAACAUAAAAAAAAAUUACGCUUUAAGGGUGUACUUGGUUGAGUGGAAAUGUCAAGGGAUAUGAGGAUGAAUUGUGCUUGGUAAAGAAGAAAAGUGAGAAGAAAAAAAAAGGGGAGAAAUGAUCAUUUUAUAUUAGUGAGAAGGGAAAUGUAGUAUCUACAAUACUAGGAGUACAUAUUGAUAAAUUUAUAUGUUUCUUUUCCUACCUUUUAUUGUCUAUGAUCAUGCCUUCUAUCACUUCGGUAGCCUGAAAGUAAUCAAGAAUCGAUAAUAAGAAGAUAAAAUUAAUGCUCUAAAUUGUAUGAUAAAACUUUUAAAAAUUUACCUACAUGUUCAACAUUAUAGCAAUCUUUUGGUCGAAAUACAGUAAAUAAAAUAUAUUCUAAGAGAGUAAUUCAAUAAAAUUAAACAUUUAAUUUACAAAUCAUUAUUAAUAUUUAUAAUCAACAAAUGAAAAUUAUCUUAAAGCUACUCAAUGUCACUUAAGGAUUGAUAUAUAAACAAAUUAGACUAAACUUUAGAUUUACACCAUAUAUUGAUAAAAAGAAAAUUUUGUAUGUAAAUUUUGUUUAAUGGUUUACCGUUUUUUUUGUUAGAACAUGAUGAACAUCCUUUUCCUUCCACAAUCUGCAACGUUUUCCAGGUUCAUUAAUACAUUUUUCUUCAACAAUUUUUCUUCCCAUUUCUUGCAACAAGGCAUGCAUCCACAAAUAUUGGUUGUCGUCAUCAACUUUUAUGAGAGAUUUCUUAAAGAGAACAUCAAUUCCAAUAUCUGGGAAAAACUCACAACCAUCCAAUACUUUCAUUACCAAAUCUUUCUUCUCCCCAUUAAAAAAACAUGCUAUAUCUAGAAAUAUAUUCUUCUCCCUUUCUUCUAAUCCAUCAAAGCUGAUUCUUAGUGUGUUAAGAAUUUCUCUGUUACAAUCUUGUUCAAGUCUUUCAAUUGCACUUCUCCAUUGAACUAUAUCUCUACCGCACAAAAAUGAACCCAAAACUUCAAGAGCUAAGGGAAGACCAUCAACAUAAUGUACAACAUGUUCAGAAAGUUGAUUGAAAUCAUCUUUUGUAGUUGUAUCACCACCAAAAGCUUUCAAAUUGAAAAGCCUUAGUGCAUCGUUGGUGUUCAAUGUUGUAGGCUUAUACACAUCAUCGAUUCGAUAAGAUCGGAGCAAAUGUUCAUCUCUUGUUGUUACAAUGAUCCUACUACCUAAACUGAACCAAUCACGCCUUCCAACCAAGCAUUUCAAGUGUUGUACAUUAUCAACAUCAUCAAGAACAACAAGAACUUUUUUGCUAGACAACCUGCGGCUAAUUAUGGCAUUCCCUUCAUGAACAUUGAAAAAAUUGAAGCAUUCAUUUGGCAAUAUUUGAUAAAGAAGUUGUUUCUGUAAAGAAACAAGUCCAUACUUGUUUGAAACUUCUCGAAUAUCAGCAAGAAAGGUUUUACCUUCAAAAUGAGGUGACAUUUGAGUGUAAACAACCCUUGCAAGAGUUGUUUUACCGAUGCCACCCAUUCCACAAAUUCCUAUAAUGCGGACAUCGUCUUCCCCAAUAUUUAUUUUCGAAUACAACUGCUCCAAACGUGAACUAAUUCCAACCAACUCAUCAUGAAGAACUGGAUAUGUCUGACAUAAUUUUGCUGAUAUCUUCUUAACGAUGUCUCCAAUAAACUCUGAUUCAUGCCUACAAUGAAAUUAAAUUUAGAUGCUAUAUUUCAAAUGCACUUCUUCAUUUUUAGUUCAGUGAAUAAUGAAAUAUAAUAUAGUUGGAAGCAAACAAAAAGCAAAAAUAAGACAGCAAGAUCUGUUAUAGCAUCAAAUGACACAACUUGCUCCUUAGUUGAAAUAUGGGAAUUCUCAAUUACACACAAAAUUAUAUUAAAAAAAAUGCAAUCCAAGAAAAAAAUAGUCAUUAAAAUUAGAAAAUAUAGAAGAAAAGAAAGAAAUACCUAUUAUGUAAAUGCCAUCCUUUGAUGUUAGCUACUUGAGUCAAAGCAUUUCGCCACUUUUGGAUCUUGUCUGUAUCUUCCUUGUACCUCUCUUGGUGUUUGGCGAAGGCUUCUUCAACUUUUCCUUUUUGUUUUCUUAAAUCGGAUGGAUCCACAUCAUAGAAAAUUGGAAAUACUUUAUGUCCGUUCACAUUUUUUUGUUGAACAAUCUCAGCAAGCUCCUCCAAGCACCAUCCUGAAAAGGUAUAGGUUUUUGAAAAAACGAUGACCGAGCACCAUGAUUGCUGAAUUGCAUUGAAGAGUUCAGGUGCGAUCUCUUCACCAGCCUCCAGCUUUGGAUCAUCUCUGAAGGUGACGAUCCCACUCCUCUUUAGAGCAUCAUAAAGAUGAUCCGUGAAGUUGUUGCGAGUAUCUUCACCUCUAAAACUCAAGAAAACAUCAUAUUUCUUUUUAGAAAUGGAGGAAGAAGUUGACGGUAACGAUAACAUGAGGAUGUAUGAAAGGAGAUGGAUAUCUCAAUCUGGUGUUCAAAAUCAGAAAAUAGAUCGCCCGAUACCCACAAAGAAACUAGAAAAAGUAAGUAUAUGAGCAUAUAUAUGAGCAGAGGGGCGGAAAUUAGGGGUCAAAAGAUGAGCAAUGGAUGUUCUUGCCAAGAAGUAUCCAAGAAGGUGAGAGUUGGCAAAAUGGAAAUUACGUAAUAAUUAAAAAGUUGGACGGUUUGUAUUUUACGUAUUUAAGAAUUAUGAGUAGAUAAGAUUAUGACUAAUAAUUAGAAUUAAUUUAUGGGCGGGUUAAAAAGUUUACCAAGCAACCAACUACUCGCAUCCACACGUGGAAGAUUUCUAUCUCCAGAUACAGAUCCAUUUCGACCGGCUUGUCCAGAAUUUCUACAAUGGAUAACAGCUCUGGAGAUGAUAACCCUGGCAGGGCAGAAGUAUUUUUUUUUUAAGGUACAAACUUAAAUUGUAACUUUUAUUAUAGUAAAAAUAUAAUUUUACAAUUUUAAUAGUUUAUAUCUUCAUAAUAUUUAAAAGAUUAAAUUAAAUUUUUAUUAUUUUUAAGAGGGUCAACGUGUAAUUUUGUUUUUAUUAAUUUAAAGUUUUAUCAUAUCAUUUUUUAUUUAUUAAAUGUGUGGUAUUUAUAUCUAGGAUGAUUCAACUUUUAAUUUCAAAAUGCAUUUUGCCUUUCUUUGAUUUACUACUCUCAAUAUCAAUUUCGUGUUGGUGUUAUGAACACCAAUAUAUUUCUAGUUCCAUCACAUCAAUCAAUGUUCCCAAUAUAAUGAAUCUAUUUGUACCAUCAAACAAUCACAAAGAAACUUAACUAAAUAGGAGAAAAAACCUAUUUGUACGAAAGGGCUAGUGAAGUAGUUUACACAAUUAUUGCUUCUUCCCUGAUCGGCCGGUUAUAAAAUUGAAAAUGUUUUGCAGCCGUUUAGGCUUCGGCCCUUCUUCCUCUGUUUCCUCGUCGAUAUCACGUUUUCGUUUUACAAAGGAAGUGCUGCCUGCGGAUCCAUCGUUUUCAGUAGAGUGAUGAUGGAUAUGUUCAAAGUUUGGAGAAGAUUGAGUGGUAUGGCACUGCACCUCUUUUAUAUCUUCCAAAUCUUUCUCAUACAUUAUUCUAACACCACACUUCUUCACAUUAACAGAAGGAUACCUUUUUGCAGAUUGGAAGGACAUCUCAAGCGAUAAAUUCUUGGUUUCCCAAUUAUCCUUUAAGGAUAAUGGAUAAAAUACUUCACGCGAGAAAUAACGAAGUAAAAGGUGGUCCUUCUUUAUGGGUCGUCGAUCAAAAUCAAUGAAAUUGAAAUCGACCCUUCGACUAUUUUUAACUUGAAAAACAGAUCCAUCACUACUAGAUUGUCCAGAAUAUGUAGAAUGGAUAUAAGCUGGACCACCGAUAACCUUUAUCUCGGAACCAUCAUCAUCGCCAAAAAUGCAGCAGACAGCAACUCCAAUCCAUUGUCUGUCAUUCUGAAUAUUGAAAGGCAAAGGUAUUUCAAUUACAGAGCCGCCUCUCUGUUGGCUGAACCAUUCUGGGAUUUCACUGCCAGGUAUAACAACAUCAAGUCUUUUUCUUGAAUUCUCAAAUGCCUGCAAAUUAAAACAUCAGUCGUUCUUGAAUUUGCAAAAUAAAAUAUCGGUGGUUCUGUAACUAAAACCAUGAAAAAAAAAAAAAAAGAGGGAUCAAUGAACCUUAAUAUGUGUUUUCAGCAAUGUUAUUGCACUCAUGUUCUCAGCCAAUCUGUAGCUGUUAAUGGCUAUAAAGUAAGACCGAUUAUGUUUCCAAUCACUUGUCUUCUUUGCUAGAAGCACAGGCAACGAUUCAAGCUCACUGCAAUUACACACUCCAAGCCUUUGAAGAUUGGAAAGACGAGCAAGAGACGCACCUAUGCUGGUGAAAUUGUUACCAUGAAGAUCAAGAAUUCUCAAUGAGGAUAGACCAGAAAUAUCACUAGGAAUAUCUCCUUCACCCAUAUUGCGCAGGCCGCACCUUGACAAACUAAGUUCUUCAAGCUUGGAGAGCCCAGUAAGAGAUGCCGGUAUUCUGUUGAAAUUGUUAACGCUAAGAUCAAGAAAUGCCAAAGAGGAUACACAAGAAAUAGCACUAGGAAUAUCUCCUUCACCAAGAUUGCAGCCCCUUAGUUUCAACUUUGUUAAUGACCUCAAACCGGAUAAUGAAGGUAGCAUUGGAGCUAUGAAAUUCAUCCUUCCUGUUUGGCGUACCUUGAAAAGCGAAAGGAGAUUUCUUUUCAACUUAUACGGACCCUUGCAUCCAUCAAAAGACAAAACUUUAAGAUUUUUCAAUUGAGAAAUGAAGGAUGGUGGUUCUUUUAUGGCUGUUUCACACAAGUCAAGCUUUUCCAAAGAUUCUGCUUGAUGCAAAUUCUCUGGCAAAUAUUCAACUUUAUAACAACCAGAAAGAUCAAGAGUUUUUAGAUGUUCCAUUUUCCCAUCAAUCUCUGGAAACCUUGCAAGAUUUGAGCAACCCGAAAGAAUUAAAGUUUCAAGGGAUUCCAUUUCAAUUUUGGUUGGAAGUCUCCUAAGACUUUUGCAAUCUCUUAAAUUCAAAAGUUUCAGUCUCUUAAGCACUCCAAGUGAUGGAUGAACAUCUACUAAUCUGGUACAAUCUUGCAUAAUCAACACUUCAAGAUAUGGGGCUGUUGUGAAGUCUGGUGUCUUGAUGAGGUUUUGGGACCCUUUAAGGCUGAUUAUUUUCAACUUAUACAAGGCCUGUCCAAAACAAUAACAGAUUAGAGAGAAAAGAGAAAACAUAAUAAACCUCAUUAUUAUUAUCUUAUUCAAAUUUUAACAGUUUAUAAUAUUAAAAACUUAAUAGUUUAUAUUAAAAUAAGCUAAAACACAAGGAUUAGAUGAAUUUAAUUCUUACUCUAUUUCCCUUCCAUAGUUGUUCAAUGCGACUAUAUGGUAAGAGAAGUAUGACAAGGUUGUCCGGUUGAAAGUUUGAAGGCAAUGAUUUUAAAGGAUAUCCUGUCCAAUCUAAAAAUCGUAGCUCAUUGGAAAGAUAUUUGAAAUCAUUACAAUUUGAGACGCAAAGCACUCUCAGCAAUCUUAAUUUUUUCAUCUUCAAGAAGACAUUGACACUCAAAUUGAGCAUCUUGCUUGAUUCUCUACAAAACCACGGGCAAACAAAAAAUAAGCAUUAAAAUAUACAAAAACAUUCAAUACCUAAAAGCUAUGUUUCUCCAAUAAUACUAUUUUUUAGGAUUUUCAUCCCUUACUUAUACCUAACAUGUGUCCAAAUAUGAGCAUUGAUAUAUGAUCCCUCAAGAACUCUUUAAAUAUAUAUGAAAAAACUUCUUAAAAAAAUCACACAUACCCAUUUUAGACAUAUAUCCCAUUUGACUUCGAAUUACCUAAGUUUUAAAAACUAGAAUUAAAAUCUUGAUUUAUAUUGGUGCAAUGAUAAUGCAUAAUUUUAUUUAUUAUUACUGAACGAAACAAUAACACAUCAUUAAAAAUUUAAUUGGUUUUAUUUUGAAAAUUUUUUGAUGACAUAUUAAAAUCUUAUUUAUAAAGAUACACCAUAGUGCAUCAAAUAUAAGCAUUUAAUAUUAGCAAGGAUAUAUCUUGAUUGUGUUUCUUUUGAAAGUGUUAUGCCUUGCUAGAUAAAUUUCAUAAAUAUAACAUUAAAUAUUAAGCAUUAAUGGUUUUUUUUUUCCAUCGAUUUUCAUUGGAUACUUUUACCAAAAAAAACCAAUAACAAUAUUAAUAAUACACAUCAUAAAUGUGUAUGUAUGUUUUCUUACCUUUGAUUGUCAAUGAUCAUGCUUUCAAUCAUUUCUGUAACCUAAAAAAGCAAGAAUAGAGAAUAAAUAACUUUUUGAUCGAAAUAGAGUAAAUAGAUCAUUUUAAAUAAGGUAAAACAUUUCCGAUGAGAGAGAUUCAAUUAAAUUAAAUACUUAUUUAUACAAAUCCUUAUUAACAGUAAUCAUCAACAAAAGGCAUUUAUGUCAGUCAAAUUUUUAAUGUACUCCUAUAUUAAUCAAUUGGACUAAGCCUUACUCAAUUUUAUUUCAGAAAUAAAGUAAAAUAUUUUCGAAUGAGAGUAAUUCAAUAAAAUUAAAAACUUAUAUUACAAAUCAUUAUUAAUAUUUAUAAUCAACAAAUGGAAAUUAUUUUAAAGCCACUCAAUGUCAGUUAAGGAUCGAUAUGUAAACUAAUUAGGCUAAAUUUUAGAUUUAUAUCAUAUAUUGAUAAAAAGAAAAUUUUGUAUAUAAUUUUUGUUGAAUGAUUUACCGUGUUUUUUGUUAGGACAUGAUGGACAUCCCUUUCUUUCCACAAUCUACAACGUUUUCCAGGUUCAUCAACACAUUUUUCUUCAACAAUUUUUCUUCCCAUUUCUUGCAACAAGGCAUGCAUCGUCAAACGUUUGUUGUCAUCACUAACUUUUAUCAAAGAUUUCUUAAUGAGAAUAUCGAUUCCAAUAUCUAGAAAAAACUCACAACCAUCCAAUGCUUUCGUUAUAAAAUCUCUCUUCUCACCAUUGAAAAAGCAUGCUAUAUCUAGAAAUAUAUUCUUCUCUUUUUCUUCCAAUCCAUCAAAGCUAAUUCUUAGCGUGUUAAAAAUUUCUUUGUUAGAAUCUUUUUUAAGUCUUUGGAUUGCACUUCUCCAUUGAACUAUAUCUCUAUCGCACAAAAAUGAACCCAAAACUUCAAGAGCUAAGGGGAGACCACCAGCAUAACUUACAACAUCUUCAGAAAGCUCAAUGAAAUCAUCUUUUGGCACUGUAUCACUAUGAAAAGCUUUCAAAUUGAAAAGUCUAAGUGCAUCGUCUGGAUUCAAUGUUUUAGGCUUAUACACACAAUCGACUCCGUAAGAUCGGAGUAAAUGUUCAUCUCUUGUUGUUACAAUGAUUCGACUCCCUAAACCAAACCAAUCACGCCUUCCAACCAAGCAUUUCAAGUGCUGUACAUUAUCAACAUCAUCAAGAACAACAAGAACCUUUUCACUGCACAACCUGCGGCUAAUUAUGGCAUUCCCUUCAUGAACAUUGAAAAAAUUGAAGCAUUUAUUUGGCAAGAUUUGAGAAAGAAGUUGUUUCUGUAAAGAAACAAGUCCACAUUUGUUUGAAACUUCUCGAAUAUCAGCAAGAAAGCUUUUGCCUUCAAAAUGAGGUGACAUUUGAGUGUAAACAACCCCUGCAAGAGUUGAUUUACCGAUGCCACCCAUUCCGCAAAUUCCUAUAAUGCGGACAUCAUCUUCCCCAAUGUUUAUUUUCGAAUACAAGUCCUUCAAAGGUAAGCUAAUUCCAACCAAUUCAUCAUGAACAAUUGGAUAUGUCUCACAUAAUUUGGCUGAUAUCUUCCUAACAAUGUCUCCGAUAAACUCUGAUUCAUUCCUACAACGAAAUAAAAAAUUGUUUCUAUCUUUCAAAUGCUCUUUGUCAUUUGUAGUUCAAUGAAUCAUGAAAUAUAAUAUAGUUGGAAGCAAAGAAAAAGCAAGAAUAAGACAGUAAGAUAUAUUAUGGCAUCAAAAAACACAACUUUCUCGUUAGAAUUCUUAAUUAAACACAAAAUUAUAAAAAAAUUACAUGCAAUCUAAGAAAAAACAAUUUUUUAGUCAUUAAAAUUAGGAAAUAGAGAAGAAAUGAAAGAAUUACCCAUUAUGUAAAUGCCAUCCUUUGAUCUUAGCUACUUCAGUCAAAGCAUUUCGCCACUUUUCGAUCUUGUCUUUAUCUUCCUUGUACCUCUCUUCAUGUUUGGCAAAGGCUGCUUCUACUUUUUCUUUUUGGUUUCUUAAAUCGGAUGGAUCCACAUGGUAGAAAAUUGGAAAUACUUUAUGUCCAUUAGCAUUUUUUUGUUGAACAAUCUCAGCAAGCUCCUCCAAGCACCAUCCUGAAAAGGCAUAGGUUUUUGAAAAAAUAAUUACCGAGCACCAUGAUUGUUGAAUUGCUUUGGAGAGUUCGGGGGCGAUCUCUUCGCCAGCCUCCAGCUUUGGAUCAUCCCUGAAGGUGACGAUCCCACUACUCUUUAGAGCAUCAUAAAGAUGAGCCGUGAAGUUCUUGCGAGUAUCUUCACCUCUAAAACUCAAGAAAACAUCAUAUUUCUUUCUUGAAAUGGGCGAAGAAGUCGAAGGUAACGACAACAUAAGGAUGUAUGAAAGGAGAAGGAUACCUCUAUCUGGUGUUCAAAAUGAGAAAAUAGAUCUCCCGAUCCUCGCAAAGAAAGUAGAAAAAGUAAGUAUAUGAGCAUAGGGGUGGAAAUUAGGGGGUCAAAGAUGAGUGAUGUAUGUUCUUUCCAAUAAGAAUCCAAGAAGGUGAGAGUUGGCAAAGUGGAGGCUGUUAAAAAUGUUGGACGGUUUGUAUUUUUCGUAUUUAAUAAUUAUAGAGUAGAUAAGAUUAUGACAAUAAUCAUUAGAAUAUAUCUUUAAUAAUUAUUCUUCGUUAUGGGCUGGUUUAAAAGUUGACCAAAUAACCAACUACUCGCAUGACACGUGGAAAACUUCUAUCUCGAAAGACAGAUCCAUUUCAGCUGCUUAAGAUUAUUUUUGGUUAGAGCCGACCCGAUUAAUGAACAAAUAAAUAAAAAUAAGAAAAAAAUUUAAAAUAUGAACACAACGUGGAAAAACUCUCUGAAAAUGAUAAAAAAUCACAGGUAAUGAUAAUUUUAUUAUAAUGGUAAAAGAAUGAAUGGUACAAAAGAUGAAGAUAAAAAUUAAACUCCGAAAACAAAGAACUCUCAAAACAUAAACACAAAAUUCUCUAAAAGUGUUAUGAAUUCUAAUCUCUAAUAGGUGUAUUUUCUAAUACUGUAAAAAAAUUCUAUUGAUAGGCUAAAUUCGUAUGUGAAAUAAUAAUAAAAUAAUCUAGACUAAUCAGAUUUUGAUUGAAACAAAUAAAUAGAGUUUAAUUGGAAGAUUAUUUAUCAAAUUUGACUGAAAUAUGAGUCAUACUCAACAAAUCUCCACAUUGACUGGUAUUUCCACAACGCCACCUUUGCUAAAGCCUACCAAGAGCCUAUCUUGACCUAUGUAGGGAAUUAAUUGAGUUGAAUUUGUGUUUAGAAGCUGGAAUGCUUCUAGACUUCAACUUGUGCAUUGUCAAAUCAAAACUAACCCGGAUCUGAUUUUCACAAACACAAUGCUCUAACUUUUUAAAAUCGACAUCUAAAAGAGAACCUCCGCUCCAAACGAGUUAACUUUGACUCCGUAAUAGAUGAGGGACGUCCGAUUUCACUAAUCACUGUAGAACCUUUAAAAAAAUAAAGACUGUCGGUCCUUUUACCUUUUAACAAACUGAGAGUCCCACAAGACACCUUAAUGUCGUUAGACUCGAUGUUGAUUCUGUAACUUUUCGAGUCUAAAUUACUUAAGCAGAUGAGAUUCUUUCGUAAAUCAGGUACAUACCUGACAUCUGAGAAUGCCCUAAUCGCCUCAUCGUGCAUCCUAAUUUUAUAGUAACAAUACCAAUUACCUUACCAGAUGAAUCAUUUCCCAUACGCUUAGCUCCACCUUCAACCGAACUGUAUGUGAAGAACCAUUCUCUAUUGGGACACAUGUGGAAAGAACAUCCCGAAUCUCGGAUCCACUUGGACAUAAGCUCAGAACUACCGCUUGUUAACACUAAUAAAAAAUCAUCACCGCUUUUGUCGGCCAAAUUAGCACAAGCUACACCUUCCUCAUUGCUCUCAAUAGCCUUUUUAAUUUGCAGUUUAUAACAAUCUGCUUUGACGUGACCUAACUUCUAACAAUAGCGAAAUCUUUUGUCUCGCUUCUUUCGCUUCUUUGAUGUUACCAAAAUAGAAGCUUGCCUAUUUUCCUUGCUAUCCAAACCAAACUCAUUGUUGAGUUUAUCUUUGCUUAACAAAUGACCCUUCACGUCCUCCAAUGAGAGAUUAUCUCUCCUAUAAGUCAUUGUUUCCCUGAAAGACUUGUAUAAAGGGAGUAAAGAGCACAAAGAUAAUAUAGUCUGCUCCUCAUCAUCAAUUUGAACCUCAACGUUAUUUAAAUCAUUUAAAAGAGUAAUGAAUUGACUGAUGUAAUCUCUAAGAAGCUCACAUUUGUUCAUGCGAAAUGUAAAUAGUUGUUGCUUUGGAGAGUUCGGGUGCGAUCUCUUCGCCAGCCUCCAGCUUUGGAUCAUCCCUGAAGGUGACGAUCCCACUACUCUAUAGAGCAUCAUAAAGAUGACCCGUGAAGUUCUUGCGAGUAUCUUCACCUCUAAAACUCAAGAAAACAUCAUAUUUCUUUCUAGAUAUGGGCGAAGAAGUCGAAGGUAACGACAGCAUGAGGAUGUAUGAAAGGAGAAGGAUAUCUGUAUCUGGUGUUCAAAAUCAGAAAAUAGAUCGCCCGAUCCUCGCAAAGUAUAUGGGCAUAGGGGCGGAAAUUAGGGGUCAAAGAUGAGUGAUGGAUGUUCUUUCCAAUCCAAGAAGGUGAGACUUGGAACAGUGGAGGAUAUUAAAAAUGUUGGACGGUUUGUAUUUUACGUAUUUAAUAAGAUUUUGACAAUAAUCAUUAGAAUAUGUCUUUAAUAAUUAUCCUUCGUUAUGGGCUGCUUAAAAAGUUUACCAAACAACCUACUACUUGCAUCGACACGUGGAAAACCUCUAUCUCGAAAGAUAAAUCCAUUUGGGCUGGUUAAGAUUAUUUUUGGUUGGAAAUCGAUUCGAUUAAGCAACGAAUAAGUAAAAAUAGUAAAAAAAUUGAGAAAUUAAACACAUAAAUUUAACAUGAAAAAACUCUCCGAAGAGGAUAAAAAAUCACAGGUAAAGAUAAUUUUAUUAUAAGGGAAAAAGAACGAAGAGUAUAAAAGAUGGAGAUAAAAAUUAAAUCCCGAAAAUAAAGAACCCUCAAAAUAUAAACCAAAAUUCUCCAAAAGUAUCAUGAAUUCUAAUCUCUAAUGGAUGUAUUUUCUAAUAUUGUAAAAAAAUCUAUUUAUUGACUAAAUUUGUAUGUCAAAUAAUAAUAAAAUAAUCUAAACUAAUUAGAAUUUGAUUAAAAUAAACCAAUAGAGUUUAAUUGGAAGAUUAUUUCAGUUGUUGUAAGGAUCAUGAGUUAUAGUGGUGAUGCUGGGUGAAUUCACAGACAAAAUAGCCUCAAAGGUUGCUAUUUGACAGAGAUUGAGAUGCACUGUAAAAACAAAUUCCACCAAUUACCCUCUUGGAUUUCAACACCUGACAAGGCUUUCACCCGAAGAAGUGCUCUAAGCUUGGUAAGAAAGAGAAUCUCUUCAACCGGAGCAAUUUUCGCAUUAAAAGUAAAAUCGUUACGCGCCUAUAUCGACCAUAACGCCGCUGCACAACAGAGGAGCCACCACUGCUUAAUAUCAUCUUUAAUUUUAUUUUUCAUAGAAGUUUGGCUUUAAAGCUAAUGUCAAAUGGAUUUAUGGAUGGUAUUUAAUUAUAAAUUAGACAAGGCUUGAGGGGUGGUUUUAAUUUAUAAAUUUAGGAAGCUUUAAAUGUAAUUUAUAUGGUAAUUAUUAUAAUGCAACGAUUAAAGAAAGAAAAGUUUGUGCAGAAUUUUCAAAAUUGGAUGGCGCUGGAAUUAUAAGUUGCAAUGAAUAAAAGAAAGAAAAAGUUGUGCAGAACUUUCACCAUAUUCACUAAAUUAUACUGCUUGCCCCUCCUUUUCUUUUCAAAUAUUUAUUUAUUUUUGGUGACGGGUUCAUGCUUUUAAUUUCUUUAUUACUAUGAUUACGAAUCAAACUUUAUUUUAAUAUUUGUGGUGUUUUAUAAGUUGUUACAGGGAGAUGUUUUAUUGGGAUCAAUUACAUUAAAGAUCACUAAAUUAUUAAUAAGUUUAUAUUUUGGUCAUUGAAUUUUAAAAAGUUAUUAAAUAAUCGCUAAAUUAUUUAAAUUUUUUUAUUUAAGUCACUGAAUUAUCCAAAAAAAUUUAUUAAAAUUAGUUAUUCGUUACAUUUUUUUAUUUUUCUUUUAAAUAUACAUAUAUUUAUUAGGAAAGGGUCAAAGGUUUUGAUUUGUUUAUUAUUAGGGAUAAAUGUCAAAUUUAUAUAUGAACUUUGGUUCAAAGUGCAAUUUGAUACAUGCAUGAAUUUUGACUUGGUGCAAUUAUCCACAUGAAAUUUAAAUUGUGGUUCAUAUAUAUACAUGAAAUUUAAUUUUGAUUCAAUUGAACGCAUUUAAAGAAAUGAAUACAUAUAAUUAUUUUCACAUUGAAUAAAAGUUCAUGUCUUCUGUUAUUAUCAUGGGUGAUACAUGGAUUUAAAGGAGCUCAUGUGUUCAUAGCGAUGAACUAUUAUUGAGUGUUGAUUUUCACUUACCGUAGUUAAAGUGAGUUGGGAGAGAGUUUACUUAAUUGUAUAAUAGUGAGGUUGCACCAAGUUAGGCUUGAAUAAUUUUAUUGUAUUGUGAAGUUUAUAGUGGAUUCAUCUGACAGAUGUAGGACGAGUUUCAAACUACACAAUCAUCUUGGUUGUGCUCUUUAUUUUGCUUGUUGCAUGUGUCAACUCAAAAAUUAAUUUUUGUUUUUCAAAAAAUUUAAACUUAUAAUUAUAUCAAUAGUCUCCAUUAAAAUUUAUCUAUCAAAUUAAAUAAACAACUCAAAAAUUAACUUGUCUGCACAUAAUUAUAGAUAUUAAACUUUUUUAACUUUUUGAAUUUUUAAUGAUUUUUGUCUCCAUUAUUGUAAAAAUUUAAAUUAAUUCCCAAAUAUGUAAUGCUUGUGAUUAUUUUUGGUUGGGGAUCGACCCGAUUAAGCAACGAACAAGUAAAAAUAACGGAAGAAUUGAGAAAUUGAACACACAAAUUUAACAUGAAAAAACUCUCUGAAGAAGAUAAAAAAAUUACAGGCAAAGAUAAUUUUAUUAUAAUGGCCAAAGAAAGAAAAUUACAAAAGAUAGAGAUAAAAAAAACAAAUAAUUUUACUAUAUUUAGAGUAUAAAUACACAAGGUUGAAAUGAAGCAAUGGUGGAGUAGGAAGGCAGUGUUAUUAAAUACUAAAUAAUUGUUUUGUGAAAAGGGGAUAUUUUUACUUUUUUAUCCAUUACAUAUCACUGUUCCUGUCUUCCUUUCCAUGUUUUUGUAAAAACCAGAUUCCCACCAUUCUUUUCUCUUUGGUAAAUGUUGAUUGCUGAGAGGACAAUCUUUUUGCACAUUCCCGAACUCUAUGGACAUGAUUUUUUGCAUCUCAAUCAAAGGUUUGAAAAUCCCAUUCAAAGCUGCAAAGUUGAAAUUAUGUUUAGGAUUUUAUUUUACUUCCGAAUGGUAUCCAAGUAUUGAACUUUCAUGUUCGUAUUAUGGACACGAAUAGUCCAUCACAUCAAUCAAUGUUGCGGAUAUAAAGAAUACUUAAUUAUGGUAAAUAAGAAUCUAUUUGUACAAUUAAACAAAAACAGGGAAAAAGAGAAACUUAAUUAAAUAGGAGAAAAUAUCUUGAAAAGGCUAGUCAAGUAGUUUACCACAAUUACUGCUUCUUCUCUGAACGACCCAUUAUAAAAUUGAAUUUUGUUUUCAUCUGUUUAGGUCCUCUGUUUCCUCGUGGAUAUUACGUUUUCGUUUUACAGGGGAAGUGCUACCUGCGGAUCCAUCCUUGUCAGUAGAGUGAUGAUGGAUGUGCUCAAAGUUUAGAGAAGAUUGAGUGGUAUGUCACUGCAAAUCUUUCUCAUAGAUUAUUCUAACACCACACUUCUUCACCUUGAAAGAAGGAAAACCAUCUGCGCCUUUGAAAGACAUCUCAAGCUUAUCGCAUUCAUGAUCAGAGCAAUCCAUUGUCCAUGCAUAUUGUAAUUCACGAGAGAAAUAACGAAGAAAAAGGUGGUUGUUCGUUAUGGGCUGCUCCUAUUCCCCACCUAAACCAAUGAAACUGGGAUCGACCGUUCGAGGAUGUUUAACUUGAAAAACAGAUCCAUUAUGACUAGAUUAUCGGGAAUUUCUAUAAUGGAUAUAAGUUAUACUACCGAUAACCCUUUCAUCGGAAAAUGCAGCAGAAAGCAACUCCAAUCCAAUUUGUUUGGUAUAUGUGAAACGUUUUGUGAGUUUGUUUUUUAAAAUAAAGGUAAAUUUUAACAAUUAUUUUUUAAUCAUUAUUAGUAAUAUAAUUGAAAUCACAUGCAAUAUAUGUGACAUUAGAAAGUAGUGAUUAUGAAAAAUUGGAAUGUGCAAUACUCUUGAUGUGUUUAGAAAAGGUUAUAGUUAUAGAAAAAAUUAUAUAACCAUCAUGGCAUUGGUUGAAUUUGUUAACUUAAAUGUUUUAGAAAUCCAAUGUUUUAGAUUUUAAUCUCAAUUUUUUAUGAAAAGAUAAAAAAAAAAUUACUAUAAUAAUAUUUGUUACUUUUAAAAGUAGUAAGUUUUUUAGUCAUUUUUUAAAUAAGUUAAUAUCUAAUUGACUUAUGACUGAUAAAUAAAGUAUAAUAUAAAGUAUGUUUGGUUAAAAAUAAAAUUAGAUGAAAAUGAUAUAUAUUUAAAUAUAGAAUAAAUUAAAUUUUAUAUAAUGUAAGUUAUUAAUAUAGUAAAAUUGGAAAUAAUUUAAAGAUAAUUAUUAUAUUAGAAAAUAUAGGCAUUAAAGUUGAGGCAUUUUAAGAAAUUUACCAAAUUUUAUAUAAUGUAAAUCAUAAAAACUGUUCCUUAAUACCACCGCGCACGAUUAGCGCUGUUGGAACCGUUAGUCCCCUGCUUUAACUUUACCUCCAUAACAUGCCGAGACCAUGAAAGGCACUCAUUCCUUAAUACCAUAUAUAGUUCCUGCAACGCCACUACUGAUAACAAAGGCAUUUCUAUUUUACCAAAGUUUCUAGCAGCCAUAGCAAAAAGAGUACCCCAAUCAGUUCCUUCCACAGAAAAAGUUCUUUGAGCUCCAGAGAAACUCAAUGCUCUCCCAUUUCCUAGCGCCCAAUGGACACCAUUUACUACAUCUUCCAAAAUAUUGGACAAAACCCUCCAGAGAAGCGAGCAAUUAGAAGGAUGUAUUGAAGCCGACCAUCUACUUAUUACCCCAUACUCGUUUCCAAGGACUUCAACCCAUAGCACAUUCACGUUAGAAAUGACAUUAAAAGCUACCUUAAUCAUGCAAGCUUUGUUGUGGUCUCGUACUUUCCUCAACCUAACUCUACCAUUCUUCAAAGGCAUACAAAAUUUAUACCAGCUCACUAAUGUUGGUUUCCGAUUGCCAAAUGUUGACCCCAAAUGAAUCCUCGAACCAGCUUCUCAUUUUUGUUGCAAUUGCUUAAGUGAUCACCUAAAACAAGACCGUACAAAGAUUGAUCGGUCUAAAAUGAGAUAGUAAUUCCUGUCUUGCCACCUUGGGAACCAACACAAUAAGAGUUUGAUUCAAAAUAGAAGCAAACAUUUGAUAAUUUCAUUCUAUUGGUUUUUAAUUUGAAUAGUUCAUUCAUUUAAAACAAUCAUAAUUGUGCAUCAAUUAUGAAAGAAGUCACAAGAAAAUUGUGCAGUAAUCAAAUGCAAUUUUCUUCACUUUUAUCACGUCUUUGAGUUGGAGGAAAAGAUGGUCCAAUUGAGAUAUACUUGAAAAGUUUAAUGAUGAAUGAAAUGAAUUCACUAUUAUGUUAUGUCAACACUGUUAAAUUAAUAGUUCAAUCAGCAUUUUGCGUUAAAAAAUUCAUAAUUUGACUCAAUAAAAUGUUGAGAGCCAAAUUACUAAGAGGAAAUGAAUACGGGUCAACUUGUCAAAUUUUAUAAACACUAAGAACUUUUUUUUUUAUCAUUAUGCCUAAUUUUAAAGGUUUUAUUUACAUUACAAUUAAAUUACUAUUUGAAUUUACAUUUUAAAAACAACGUUCAUUUCAAUAUGUAUAAUUUACAUUACAUUACAUGAUAAAAACAACUAAUUAUAUUUUGCUAAUUCCCUAAAUUCGUCCAACUUGAUGACUUUUGUUGGUCCCUCACUUGCAUGAUCCUUUGAGCAGACUUUCAUGCUUCUAUUGGUCUAGGGGACAAACAUAAAACACCAUCAUUAUUUUUGUUGCAUUGAGAUCAUCUAUAUUAAUUUACCUCAAAUUGAGAAAUUUUUGUUGAUAUCACAUAAAUACAAUCAUUGAAAAUCUUACUCGUAUCGACCAAAAAUCAUAUUUUUAUUUCUCUAAACAAUAAGUACAUUAGACAAUAACAAAAAUGAAAUUAUUGAAUUUUGAAAAAAAAAUAUUGGAUAUGAAAAUGUCUCUCACAUGGGAAAGAUUUUCCAAAUAAUUAAAAGAGCAUACUUUUUUUUUUAAUAUUUGAACAAGUGUUAAAAAUAAACGUCUAAACUUAAAUACUUUGUAAAAAAUAUAAAUUGAAGAGUUAGAAUAAUAUUGUUUAUACUUCAAGCCAUGAAAUUUAAAUGGUACUUUUGUUAGAAGGAAUUAAACCUACUAUUAAGGACUUAUAUUUAAUCUUCCAAAUAUAUAAGAAAACAAUUUUGACUGAUUAAAUUGAACACAUAAAUUGAUUUCAAAUAAAAAUAAAAUUGUUUUUAACUCAGCCGAAAUUAUGAUCUAAUCCUCAUUAAAGGAUUUUCACCUUAUUAUUACAACCUAAAAAUAAAAUAUAGAUGUAAGUGAAUUUAUAUAAUGAGAAUAAAGUUUUAAUAAAUAAAAAAAUAAACCAAUCAAAAUGUACACAUUUCAAUUAUGUAAAAAGGAAUGAAUUAAGUGAAUAAAAUUUUAAAUGGUAUUUUUUAAAAAAAAAUUAGUAUAUAAUAAAAUGGUCAUAUCUCAUAUGCAAAUAAGUCUAGAAUGAUUACUUUAAAUGAAAUAAAAGAUGUAAACAAGGUAGAUGAGUAAAAAAAAAUUUAGUAGGACAAGGUUGGUUAAGUAAUUUACCAUAGUUAAUGCGUCUUCCCGGAUUGGCCAAUUAUAAAAAAUUGAAAAAAAGUUGCAUCCGUUUUGGUUGCGGCCCUUCUUCCUCCUCUUCAUCGUAGAUAUUAGGUUUCUAUUUUAUGUGAGAAGUGCUACCUACUGAUCCAUGGUUGUGAGCAGAGUGUUGGUGGAUGUGUUCAAAAUUUGGAGAAGAUUGAGUGGUACGGCACUGCAACUCUUUUAUCUCUUCCAAAUCUUUCUCAUACACUAUUCUAAAGCCACACUUCUUCACUUUACCACUGCAUCCCAUGAAAGACACCUCAAGCUCAUCGCAUUUUUUAUCUAAGCAAUGUGUUGUCCAUAAAUUAGUGGUUUCACAGUCGUCAUAUUUAUCCUCCAAGGAAGGAUAUAUUGUAUCACGCGACCAAUAACGAAGUAAAAGGUGAUCUUUCAUUAUUGGUUCACACAGCCCCCAGCCUCUCCAAUCAAUCCGUCGAUAAUUUCUACCUCGAAAGAUAGAUCCAUUACAGCUGGCUUGUUCAGAAUUUCUACAAUAGAUAUAUGCUCCACAACCGAUAUAUUCGUCAUCCCUUGAAGCAUCAUUACUGACAAAAACGCAGCAGCAAGCAACUCCAAUCCAUUGACUAUCUUUCUGAAGGUUGAUAGGCAGGGGUAUGUUAAUUGAAAUGGCACUUGUUUGUUGGCUAAACCAUUCUGGGAUUUCACUUCCGGGCAUAAUAAUAUCAAACUUUUUUCUUGAAUUUGCGAAUGCCUGCAAAAUAAAACACAAGUCGUUUGGUAACUAAAACCAUAAAUUCUCAAGUACGUAUGAGAUUUUGUAAGGGAGAAAAUGGAGAUUAAUCGACCUUAAGCUGUUUUCUCAGCACUGUUAAUGCAUUCAUAUUCUCGGCCAAUUUGAAGCAGUUAAUGGCUCUAAAGGCACCCGAACCUAUUAAAUUGCAUACUUCACGUAGUGUUAAUGCAUUGAUAUUCUCAGCCAAUUUGAAGCAGUUAAUGGCUCUAACGGCAGCCGAAUCCACUAAAUUGCAUACUUCAAGUGAAGAACAACCAUCUAGACACACGUGUCCUAACCUUGUCGGUAUCUCAGGCAACGAUUUAAGCAUCUUGCAAUAUGACAGUCCAAGAAACUGAAGCUCGGAUAUUCGAGUAAGAGAUGAAGGUAUGCUGAUGAAAUUGUUACCACUAAGACCAAGAUGUACCAAAGAGGAUAGACCAGAAAUAUAACUAUGAAUAUCUGAUUCACCAAGAGUGCACAUGUUGCAAUUUGACAAGUCAAGAAACCCAAGCUUCGAGAGUCCAGUAAGAGAUGCAGGUAUGCUGAUGAAAUUGUUACCACGAAGAUCAAGAUGUUUCAAAGAGGACAGGCCAGAAAUAUCACGUGGAAUAUCUCCUUCACAAAGAUUGCAGUCCCUUAGACUUAGCCGUCUUAAUGAACUCAAACCUGACAACAAAGGCAACAUUGGAGCCAUGGGAGUUGUCCUUCUUUCUUGGAUUACCUUGAAAAGAGAAGACAAAUUUGGUCGCAACUUUGCUUGCUGCAAAUUCUCCGAGAAAUUUUCAACUCUAUAACAACCAGAAAGCUCUAGAGUUUUUAUACGUUCCAUUUUCCCAUCAAUCUCCGGAAACCUUACAAGACUUGAGCAACCCGAAAAAAUUAAAGUUUCAAGAGAUUCCAUUCUAAUUUUUCCCGGAAGACUCCUAAGACUUUUGCAAUCUCUUAAAUUCAAAUGUUUAAGGCUCUUAAGCACUCCUAUUGAUGGAUGAACAUCCACUAAUUUGGUACAGCCUUCCAAAAUUAAAACUUCAAGAUUUGAUGCUGUUGUGAAGUCUGGUGUCUUGAUCAGGUCUUGGGAACCUUUGAGGUUCAUUAUUUUCAACUUAUACAAGGGCUGUUGAAGACAAUAAUAAAUUAGAGAGAAAAGAGAAAGCAUAAUAAUUCUCAUUUUUGUUUUUGUAUUUUUACCUUAAUCAGAGUUUAAUAAUUUAUAUUAAAAUAAGCUAAAACACAAGGAUAAGAUGAGUUAAUUCUUACUCUAUUUCCCUUCCAUAGUUGUUUAAUGUGACUAUAUGGUAAAAGAAGUGCAACAAGGUUGUCUGGUUGGAAGCUUGAAGGCAAGCAUCUUAAAGGAUAUCCUGUCCAUUCUAAAAGCCGUAGUUUAUUAGAAAGAUAUUUGAGAUCAUCACAAUUUGAUAGGCAAAGCACUUUGAGCAUUCUCAAGUUUUUCAUCUUUGAGAAGGUAUCGACACUCAAAUUGAGCAUCUUGCUCGAUUCCCUAAUAACCAUGAGUAAAACAAAAAUGAGAUUCAAAAUAUACAAAGACAUUCAAUAUCUAAAAGUUAUGUUGCACCGAUAGAUGAUAAAUUUCAUUUGUAAUUAAAAAAAAUCAUUCCAAAUUGGAAUGAGAAGGAAGACAAUGGGAGAGAUUUUUUAUUUUCAAAUGUUUUAUUUUCUUUCCUUCUCACUUUUCGCUAUACCAAGCAAUAGUGAGGAGGAAAAUAUAUUUUCCAUUCAAUUUUCCAUCUUUCCAGUCAAGUUUUCCAUCCCCUCAGUUUUCCACCCUUCUGAUUUUAUUUCCACUCUGCCAAGCAAAGCCAAAAGGUUUUUUGUUGUUGUUUUUUAUUGGAAUUUUUACAACAAAUAAUAACAAUAUUAAUAGUACAUAUUGAUAAAUUUAUAUGUAUGUUUUCUUACCUUUUAUUGUCGAUGAUCAUACCUAUGUUUUCUUACCUUUUAUUGUCGAUGAUCAUACCUUCAAUCACUUCGGUAGCCUAAAAGUAAUCAAAAAUAGACAAUAAGAAUACAAAAUAAAUUAUCUAAAUUGUACAAUAAAACUUUUGAAAUUUACAUAUAUGUUCAACAUUAUCACAAUCUUUUGGUCGAAAUAUAGGAAAUAAAAUAUUUUCAAAUGAGAGUAAUUCAAUAAAAUUAAACACUUAUAUUACAAAUCAUUAUUAAUAUUUAUAAUCAACAAAUGGAAAUUAUUUUAAAGCCACUCAAUGUUAGUUAAGGAUCGAUAUCUAAACCAAUUAGACUAAGCUUUGGAUUUACAUCAUAUAUUGAUAAAAAGAAAAUUUUGUAUAUAUUUUUGUUGAAUAAUUUACCGUGUUUUUUGUUAGGACAUGAUGAACAUCCCUUUCUUUCCACAAUCUACAACGCUUUCCAGGUUCAUCAACACAUUUUUCUUCAACAAUUUUUCUUCCCAUUUCUUGCAACAAGGCAUGCAUCCGCAAAUGUUGGUUGUCAUCACUAACUUUUAUGAGAGAUUUCUUAAUGAGAAUAUCGAUUCCAAUGUCUGGAAAAAACUCACAACCAUCCAAUACUUUCAUUACCAAAUCUCUCUUCUCACCAUUGAAAAAGCAUGCUAUAUCUAGAAAUAUAUUCUUCUCCUUUUCUUCCAAUCCAUCAAAGCUAAUUCUUAGCGCGUUAAGAAUUUCUUUGUUAGAAUCUUCUUUAAGUCUUUCGAUUGCACUUCUCCAUUGAACUAUAUCUCUAUCGCACAAAAAUGAACCCAAAACUUCAAGAGCUAAGGGGAGACCACCAGCAUAACAUACAACAUGUCCAGAAAGCUCAAUGAAAUCAUCUUUUGGCACUGUAUCACUAUGGAAAGCUUUCAAAUUGAAAAGUCUAAGUGCAUCGUCUGGAUUCAAUGUUUUAGGCUUAUACACACCAUCGACUCCGUAAGAUCGGAGUAAAUGCUCAUCUCUUGUUGUUACAAUGAUUCGACUCCCUAAACCAAACCAAUCACGCCUUCCAACCAAGCAUUUCAAGUGUUGUACAUUAUCAACAUCAUCAAGAACAACAAGAACCUUUUCACUAGACAACCUGCGGCUAAUUAUGGCAUUCCCUUCAUGAACAUUGAAAAAAUUGAAGCAUUCAUUUGGCAAGAUUUGAGAAAGAAGUUGUUUCUGUAAAGGAACAAGUCCGCAUUUGUUUGAAACUUCUCGAAUAUCAGCAAGAAAGCUUUUGCCUUCAAAAUGAGGUGACAUUUGAGUGUAAACAACCCUCGCAAGAGUUGUUUUACCGAUGCCACCCAUUCCGCAAAUUCCUAUAAUGCGGACAUCAUCUUCCCCUAUGUUUAUUUUCGAAUACAACUCCUUCAAAGGUAAGCUAAUUCCAACCAAUUCAUCAUGAACAAUUGGAUAUGUCUGACAUAAUUUGGCUGAUAUCUUCCUAACAAUGUCUCCGAUAAACUCUGGUUCAUUCCUACAAUGAAAUAAAAAAUUGUUUCUAUCUCUCAGAGGCUCUUUUUCAUUUUUAGUUCAAUGAAUCAUGAAAUAUAAUAUAGUUGGAAGCAAAGAAAAAGCAAGAAUAAGACAGUAAGAUAUAUUAUGGCAUCAAAAUACACAACUUUCUCGUUAGAAUUCUUAAUUAAACACAAAAUUAUAAAAAAUUACAUGCAAUCUAGAAAAAAACAAUUUUUUAGUCAUUAAAAUUAGGAAAUAGAGAAGAAAUGAAAGAAUCAUUCCUUAUGUAAAUGCCAUCCUUAAUCUUAAAACUUCAGUCAAAGCAUUUCGCCACUUUUGGAUCUUGUCUUUAUCUUCCUUGUACCUCUCUUCAUGUUUGGCAAAGGCUUCUUCUACUUUUUCUUUUUGGUUUCUUAAAUCGGAUGGAUCCACAUGGUAGAAAAUUGGAAAUACUUUAUGUCCGUUAGCAUUUUUUUGUUGAACAAUCUCAGCAAGCUCCUCCAAGCACCAUCCUGAAAGGGCAUAGGUUUUUGAGAAAAUAAUUACCGAGCACCAUGAUUGCUGAAUUGCUUUGGAGAGUUCGGGUGCGAUCUCUUCGCCAGCCUCCAGCUUUGGAUCGUCCCUGAAGGUGACGAUCCCACUACUCUUUAGAGCAUCAUACAGAUGACCCGUGAAGUUCUUGCGAGUAUCUUCACCUCUAAAACUCAAGAAAACAUCAUAUUUCUUUCUAGAAAUGGGCGAAGAAGUCGAAGGUAACGACAGCAUGAGGAUGUAUGAAAGGAGAAGAAUAUCUCUAUCUGGUGUUCAAAAUCAGAAAAUAGAUCGCCCGAUACUCCCAAAGAAACUAGAAAAAGUAAGUAUAUGAGCAUAGGGGCGGAAAUUAGGGGUCAAAGAUGAGUGAUGGAUGUUCUUUCCAAGAAGAAUCCAAGAAGGUGAGAGUUGGCACAGUGGAGGCUAUUAAAAAUGUUGGACGGUUUGUAUUUUACAUAUUUAAUAAUUAUAGAGUAGAUAAGAUUAUGACAAUAAUAAUUAGAAUAUAUCUUUAAUAAUUAUCCUUCGUUAUGGGCUGGUUAAAAAGUUUACCAAACAACCAACUACUCGCAUCGACACGUGGAAAACUUCUAUCUCGAAAGACAGAUCCAUUUCGACUGGCUUGUCCAGAAUUUCUGCAAUGGAAGCAUCAUCACUGACAAAAAUGAGACAGGAAGCAACUCCAACCCGUUGACCAUUCUGAAUAUUGAGUGGUAGAGGUAUCUAAUUGUAGAGCCACCACUCUGUUGGCUAAACCAUUCUGGGAUUUCACAUCCAGGUACAAUAACAUCAAACAUUUGUCUUGAAUUUGCAAAUGCCUGCAAAAUGAAACUUCUGUCGCUUGGUAAAUAAAACCAGAAAUUCCCAAGUAUGAGAGGGAAAGAAAGAGAGAUUAAUUAAACUUGAGAUGUAUUUUCAACAAUGUUAAUGCAUUGAUGUUCUCAGCCAAUCUGUAGCAGUUAAUGGCUUUAAUGGAAGCUAAAUCCAAUAAAUUUCAUACUUUUGAUGGACUUGCAACUACUUCAAGUGAAGCACAACCAUCUAUGCACACUCUUGCUAUACUUGUUAGAAGCUCAGGCAACGAUUUAAGCUCAUUGCAAUUUCAUAACAUAAGCUCUUUGAGUAAGAGACGCAAGUAUGCUGAUGAAAUUGUUACCACUAAGAUCAAGAUCUGUCAAGGAGGAUAGGCAAGAAAUAUCACUAGGAAUAUCUCCUUCACGAAGAUUGCAGUCCCUUAGCUUUAACUCUCUUAAUGAACUCAAACUUGACAACGAAGGCAACGUUAGAGGCAUAAAACUUGUCCUUCCUUUUUGGGUUUCCUUGAAAGGAGAAGGAAGAUUUUGUUGUAACUUUGAUGGUCCCUUGCAUCCAUUGAAAGACAGAGCUUUAAGAUUUUUCAAUUGAAAAAUUAAGGAUGGUGGUUCUCUUAUGCUUGUUUUAGCUCUUCCAAAUAUUCUACUUGCUUCAUAUUCUCUGGCAAAUUUUUAACUUCACAACAACUAGAAAGAUUAAGAGUUUUUAGACCACCUAUUUUCCCUUCGAUCUCCAAAAACCUUACAAGAUUUGAGCAACCCAAAAGAAUUAUUGUUUCAAGAGAUUCCAUUCCAAUUUUGGUUGGAAGACUCCUAAGACUUUUGCACCCUCUUAAAUUCAAAAGUUUAAGCCUCCUAAGUACUCCCAAGGAUGGAUGACUUCUACAAUUCUUGUACAACCUUCCAAAACCAGAAUUUCAAGAUUUGGGGCCAUUGUGAAGUCCGGUGUCUUGAUUAGGUUUAGGGACACUUCAAGGUUGAUCACUUUCAACUUAUACAUAGGCUGUGAAAAACAAUAAUAAAUUAGAGAGAAAAGAGAAAAAAUAAGAAAACUUAUUUUUGUUGUUUAUUUUUUAUCUUAAGCUAAAAAAUAAGGAUUGGGUGAAUUAAUUUUACUCUAUUUCCCUUCCAUAAUUGUUCAAUGCUAUUGAAUGGUAAGAGAAGUGCAACAAGGUGGUCCGGUUGGAAGCUUAAAGACAAGGAUCCUAAAGGAUAUCCUAUGUAAUCUAAAAAUAGUUUUUCCAUUGAAAGAUAUUUGAAAUCAUCACAAUUUGAAGGCCAAAAGACUUUGAGUAAUUUCAACUCUUUUAUUUUCGAGAAGACAUCAACAUUCAAAUUAAGUGUCUUGAUCGAUUCUCUAAUAACCAUGGACAAAACAAAAAACUUAGCUUCAAAAUAUACAAAAGCAUUAAUACCUAAAAACCAUGUUGCCACGAUACUUUUUUUAAGUAUCCUAUAAGGUAUAUCUAAAUAUGGGCAUUAAGAUAUGACUCUUCAAGAAUUCUUUAAUACAUGAAAAAAUCUUUUGAAAAAUGAACAUACCCAUUUUGAACAGUUAACACGCACAAUUGACUCCGAAUUACCUAAACCUAAAAGUAUUAGAACUAAAAUUUUCAAUUAUAUUUGGUGCACUCGUAAUAUAUAAUUUUAUGCAUUAUUAGUGAACUAAAUGGAGACGCAUAAUUAAGGAUGAAAUUACUUGAAUUUAUUUUAAUAAAAUUUAAUGACAUGUUAUAAUCUAGUUUAUAUAUUGUCAAUUUAUCAAAUAUAAACUUUUAUUUUUCAUAAAAAAGAAACAUCUCUCUCUAUUUUUAUUUUUUUUAGAAAGAAUAAUGUGUUACUUGAUAAAUUCAUAAAUUAGCAUUCAAAUAUUAAGUACUAAGUGUUUUUUUUUUCACUAUAUAUUUUUUACAAAAUAAAACUAAAUAAUAACAAUAUUAAUAAUACACAUCGAUAAAAGUAGAUAUAUACUUUCCUACCUUUUAUUGUCGAUGAUCAUGCCUUCAAUCAAUAAAUAGGUUUUUUCUCAAAGCUAGUGAAUAUCACUUUUUAGGGAUUGUUAUAUAGAUGAAUUAGAAUAAACUUUAAGUUUAUAUUAUAUAUUGGUUAGAGAUCCAAUAAAAAAAAUUAGUAUGUAAAUUUUGUGGAAUGGCUUACACUGUUUUUUGUUAAGACACAAUGGAUGUCCCUUUUUUCUCACAAUUUGUAAUGUUUUUUCGGUUCAUCAACAUAUUUUUCUCUAUUAAUUUUUCUUCCCAUUUCUUGCAACAAGUCAUGCAUCCAAAAAUAUAUGUGUGUUCAUUGAAGAUCUUUCUCUUCUCCAUUGAAGAAACAUGCUAUAUCUAGAAAUAUAUUAUUCUCCCUAAUUUCUUCCAAUCUAUCAAAGCUUAUUUGACGUCUAUUGAGAAAUUCCUUAUUAGAAUCUAGUUUAAGUCUUUCGAUUCCACUUCUCCACUGAAAAGCAUCUCUACUGCACAAAAAAGAACCCAAAACUUCAAGAGUUAAGGGGAGACCACUAGCAUAAUGUACAGCAAGUUUAGAAAGGACAAAAUUGUAACAAUUUGGACUAAUUUGAAUAAAAUUAAGAACAUAGAUAGUGAUGCUCCAAAGGGAAUAUUAAGAUAAAGUGAGACCGAAAGGUAAUCUUGUCGUGCACCUGUUCAUUAGUCCCGGAUUAACUGGUAAGAUUGGAAGAUAAACUAGACCUAAUCUGUCUAAGUUGGCAAAAUUAAGACCGGAAGAUAAAAUAGAGCCACUUGGUAAUUAUGUGAUUUAUGUCAUUGGUCCAAGAUUUGGUGAACCACAUCGAAGUCAACCAACCCCUAUUAGUCAUUUGCUAGAUUGUCCUUCUAGUUUACAUUUCUUGUAAUUUAGUCCCUAGAGUAGAAUAUUUAAUUUUCUUGUAAACUUAUCUUUUAUGAAUCACCGUAAUAUAAAAUUGUAUCAAUAGCCACUUAGCCUCUAUUGUGUACGUUAGUUAUUGCUCAAUCGCCUAUUCCUUUGGGUUGAAUCCUUAGAAUACUUUUGCAUUUCAUUAUAACACUAUAAAUAUAAAUAUUAAAACUGACCUGUACGCUUGCAGUAAAAUUGGGCUUUUAAAAUAGUUAUAUAAAUUUAGUGUUUUAAGCACACGCAUGCAACCGGUCAGUAGUCAAUCUCACCCCAUUAGCCACCAUGACAUGAAGUUGACUAAAGUGCUCCACUAAUAAAUCCAACCUCUUAACCAGCUUAGAAUCUAGAAAAUUGUGUGUACUUCUUGAGUCAACCAGGAUAAUGACAUUGGAGUGACCAAUACUUGCUAAAAACUGCAUAGAAUUAUGUCUCUAUAAGCCUUGAAGGGCGUGUAAGGAUAAAACGGGGGCAGUGUGUUUCGUUUCCUAUUCUAACACUUUCAGUUGUUCAGGACAUUCUUGGAAUUCUUCAAACAUUGGACUCUUGCUUCCACCCUCAUGAUCUGAAUAAAGUUCCAGAACCAGCUGAUAAAGUUGAGACUUGGUGCACUUAUGACCUGGGGUGUAUUUGGAUGCACACCGAAAGCAAAGUCCCUUCUUUCUUCUCUCUUCUAUUUCAGCUUGAGAAAAGGGUUUGGUUUGGAAUUUUUACCCCGAGUUACUAUUUGGAGGUCCAUUUAGCCUUAUCGAGUUACAGUGGUGAUAUUGCACCUUGGGACCAAGAAUUAGGGGGCUAAGGUGACUUAUUCCCCCACUUACAUUCAAACUCUUCUUUGUGAACUUAGCCACAAUGCGUUCAACCUAUCGAGCUAUUUGAUAGUCUUCCACCAGUGUUUGAGCCUUGAACAACCGUAGAUACUACCCCAUCUCAGGUUUAAGAUUGCAAGUGAAAACACUAAGGACGUAAUCCUCAGUUAGAUGUAACUGAUUAAGCAAACUUACAAAACGGUCAUGGAAUUGGUCCAUUGACCCUUUCUCCUUGAGUGAAAUAUGUCCUAACAUGGGGUCUAAGAAGGAGUUAGAUCUAAAACGAUCCCUCAGCCCUCGAACAUAUAUCUCCCAAGUCAGGUGAUGUAAUCCCCCUGUCAUUGCACAAAAGUGAUGCCAAUCUAGGCCUUUACCUUCUAAGUGCAACAUUACCAUUCUAACAUUGGUCUACUUUAUUAUAUUUGCAGCUUCAAAGAAUCGUUCUAACUUGGACCACCAAUCUUGAUAAUCUGUCCCAUCAAAUCAUGGGCAUUCUAGCCGAAGAGUUUUACUGACAAAGUCCACAAGACCAACUUGAGAAAAAGUAUUCAUGUUUUCCAAAUCCGACACAGGUGAUAAUGUAAGUGGCUUUUUGGAAGGGAACUUAGGAGGAGAGCCUCCCAUAAUGCCCUUGUCUUGAACUCUUCCAGUUACACUGGUAGAAGCAUUUUGACCAAAAUAGUGUUCAAAAAGAGAGUGGAGUUCAGUUUGAAUCUCACCUUUGAUACUUUCAUGAAAAUCCUUUAACCGAGAUUCGAUCUUAGCAUCAAUCUAGCUAACCUCUAAUUGCAUCUGAGAGAGCUCGUGUUGCAGCACUCCCAUCUUUUUUUGUAACCUGGUGGUGACUCUAUCAUUUGCCAUAAAAAUCGGCUUCAGCUCUAAUACCUUUGUCAUGGGAAAAUCUUUAGGGCAGAAGAGAAAUUGGAUAGCAAGAGGAAGAAAAAGGAGUUGAGAGAAAUCAGAGAGAUAGAAGGAAAGAGAGAACUGUAUUCAUUCCAAUAGCUGCCUUCCCCUACCUUGAUUGGUGUUUUUAGGGCGGGUAACGACCCUCUCAAACAAAUUGACGGUUGUUAAUACAACUAUAGCAAAACGCACCAUUUUUUAGUAAAUGACAAAACGUCUCUAAACGCAGUCGUUUGGACCAUAUUUAACCCUCCCCCCUUAAACCUGUUGUUUCAUUAUAACAUUAAACUAAACGUUGUGUUUUACAAUAAUUAAGGCUAAAACAGAAGUAAACAGAAAUUAACAGAAAUUUAAACAUAAUUGUUGUCUUUAGUUCUAUUCCGUGACAUGCAAUCCUUUCACCGCCCUCUAGCCUCGGCUCAUCCCUAAAAGUGAUGAUUCCAUUCCUUUUUAGAGUAUCAUAAAGAUGAUCGGUGAAGUUCUUGUGAGCAUCUUCACCUUUAAAACUCAAGAAAACAUCAUAUCUAUAUCUAGAAAUGGAUGAGAAAGACAUGAGGAUGCCUGAGAAGAAAAAUAUAUCUCAAUCGAGCGUUCAAAAUCAAAACAAUAUUUCCCAUCAUUUAUUUUUCCAAAUGAAUAUGGAUAAUAAUAAUAUUAAAGCUUUUAAUCAAUUGUACAUAUCCUUUAUUAAAUUCCCAAUUUUUUUUGUAUUAAAUAUUACAAAAUCAUUCAGAUUCUCUUAAUAUGCUAAUCAAUUCUUGUUGGCUCAAAAAAAAAAAACAUUUUUGUACACGUAGACAAAUAUAUUGAAAAUUUGUCGUGAAUAUCAUGCCACCACCUCAUGAUAUUCAAUAAAUUAUUAAAUUUUGGACAGAAAAUUCACCAACCAAAGAUGAAAAAGUAAUUUUAAUUUGUAAUUCAAAUUAUUAAAUUUUAUCAGUAUUUUCUACAUUUUUCUAAUGUUUAAAGUAUUUAGGGUAUCAAAUGUGUAAUAUAUCCAUCAAAAUGUUCUGUUUUUUAAUUAUAUAAACCCCCAAAAAAAUUAAACAAAAACCAGAUAAUCCAUUCCUACAAGAUAAUCCACUCCAUUGAUUUGUGAUUUUGAGAUUUUAAUUUAAAAGAUAAAUAUCGAAAUAUAUAAUUUUUUAAAAAAUUAAAAACUGAGACCAGUAUAAAAUUAUUUAUCUCAGAUGGAAUGCUCGCUUAGGUGAUAUUUUAUUAGGAUCAGAUAAACGAUCUCAUCGAGAGAGAGAGUCAUCACAGGAUGGAUGAUUGGGAUUGGUAGACGAUGAGACUCCAUGAGUGUGGAGCCUUCCUUGAGUGGACAACGGCAGCGUUGGGUUCACACCUGCGCUUGGAGAGGACUUUGAAGCCUUCACAAAUCAUGUAAAGAAAUGAAAGAAAAUGAAGAAAAUGUUAAAAGCAUGUGCCAAACGUACCAUGAUUAGGGAAAUGAGAUACAACAUUACAAAGCAUGAGUCCAACUAAUAAAAUUAAAGCUGACUUGAAUUUUAUAGGAUGGGAUAAUUUCAUUUUCGGUCCUCUAUAAUCUGCACUAUAUGCGUAGCUCCUGAUUUUAUGUUAUGUUAUGUUAUUUAUUUAAUUCAAUCCCUACCGUUUUUUAGUUUUUUCUUAAUUAGUAUUUGUGACUCUUAACAUUAUUAUUGUAGGUAUUUAGAUAAUAUUUUUACUAUUUGUAUUUAUAAUUUAUUUUAAAUAUUAGAAGCUAUUAUUCUCUUAUCUUUAAUUACUUUUAAUAAUUUUGAACUGUUAUUAAACAAGUGCAAUCUAUUACACAUUAUAUUGUCAAAUAUAUUUCACGUGAUUAAAUUUUAUAAAAAUGAUAUGUAUAAAUUUGAAAUUUAUUUUUUCUACUUUUAUUUGUAAGAAUUUAAUUUAUUUAUUUUUAAAAUUUUAAAAUUCAGAUUUAAUUGUUAACACAAAUUUUUCCUUAAAUUUAUGUGAUAUUUUGAAAUUAAAAAAAAUACACAUUCACUUUCUAGAAAAAGUUGAAUUGGAAUUAUGGUAGAUAAAACGAAUGAAGCAUGAAGAUCACCGUGUGCCAAAUCCAACCACCUUCCUUUUCUUAUACAAAAUUUUAAAGAGUUUCACAAUGAUGCCCUCAAGAAAAGAAAGUAUACAUCAAAGGAAAAAGGAAUUGUGUAAUGAGCGAUGUCAGCUUCACCGAUUAUUUCUUCUUAUCACAUGCCAAAGCAAUUUCCUUGUACAGACUGGGAAAACUCCUGGAAUUUCGUCUAAGUUUGAACGAGGUCGAGUUUUAUAUAAUACUGGACUACCAAGUGUAUGAAGUCGACCAAACACAGAUUACUUCGUCUGUAAUAAAUAAUUAUCAUAAUGUCGUGUUUGAUAAUGCUUGUGUUGCUGCUUUUCCUCCUGGUUGUUGCAUCUUCAGAUAUCAACCAGGGCCAGUUUAGUUUCAAUGGUUACUUGAAUGUCGAGGGAGUUGCAGGCGUAGAUUCAAGUGGGCUGUUUACACUUACAAAUACCACAAGCCGAAUAAUUGGUCAGUUCUUCUACCAGAAUCCGAUCCAGUUCAAGAACUCCACAAAUGCAACUGUUUCCCCCUUCCCCACUACAUUCAUUUUUGCAAUUGUACCUGGAUACACCGACCUUGGUGGCCAUGGAUUGGCCUUCGUUAUCUCCCCUAACGAUGAAAUUUCUGGAGCUCUUCCCACCCACUAUCUCGGUCUUUUCAAGGAAACAAACAUAGGCUUAGACUCGAACCAUGUUGUAGCGAUUGAGCUGGGCACGGCCCGGACCAUUGCGGUCGGUGACAUAGACGGCAACCACGUCAGCAUCGACAUCAAUAGCCCAAGAUCAGUGACAGCUGCUUCUGCUGGGUAUUUCACUGAUGAAAGUGAGUUCAAAAAUCUCAACCUCAAGAGUGGAGAUCCAAUGCAGGUUUGGGUUGAAUACGACGGGCUCUAGAAGCAACUCGAUGUUACAUUGUACCCAAUCAAUGUAACGAAGCCAAAACCUCACUUUUAUACUUGAAAAAGGAUCUGUCUCCAUAUUUGUAUGAGUCUAUGUUUGUCGGCUUCUCGUCGUCCACCGGUGUUCUUGUAUCGUCGCACUACAUAUUGGCUAUUCUAAGGACAUGAUUUUUUUUGCAUCUCAAUCAAAGGUUUGAAAAGUUGAAUUCUUUGAGGUGCCCAUUCAUUAGACUAAGAAAGCUGAAAAGUUGAAAUUAUAUUUAUCAAAACAUAUCAUUUUUUAUUUAUAUCAAGGAUUUUAUCAUGUUAGUAUUAUGAACACGAAUAUAAUGAAUACUAAAUUAUGGUAAAUAAGAAUUUAUUUGUACGAUCAAACAAAAAAAGGGGAAAAAAUCAGAAAAGAGAAAGUUAUAAAAUUAACUAAAUAGGGGAAAAAAUAGUGAAAAGGCUAGUGAAGUAGUUUACCACAUUUAAUGCUUCUUCCCUGAUUUGGCAAUUAUAAAAUUGAAAGUUUUUUGCAUCCGUUUUGGUUGCGGCCCUUCUUCCUUCGCUUCAUCAUAGAUAUUAGGUUUCUGUUUUAUGUGAGAAGUCCUAUCUACUGAUCCAUCGUUGUGAGCAGAGUGUUGGUGGAUGUGAGAAGAUUGAGUGGUAUGUCACUGCAACUCUUUUAUUUCUUCCAAAUCUUUCUCAUACACUAUUCUAGCACCACACUUCUUCACCUUAGCAUAGUCUUCAUCAUUUGGGUUUGAGAAAAACACCUCAAACUCAUCACAUUUUUCAUCUGAGCAAUCUGUUGCCCAUAAAUUAUUGGUUUCACAAUGACCAUAUUUAUCCUCCAAUGAAAAUGGAUAUAAUUUAUCACGCGACCAAUAACGAAGAAAAAGGUGAUCUUUCAUUACGGGCCCGUUAUAUCGUUUACCUAAACACCAGCCGAGCCUAUCAACCACUCGAGGGUUUCUACCUCGAAAAAUAGAUCCAUUACAACUGGCUUCUUCAGAAUUUCUACAAUAGAUAAAUGCUCCACAACCGAUAGACUCGUCAUCCCUUGAAGCAUCAUUAUUGACAAAAAUGCAGCAACAAGCAACUCCAAUCCAUUGACUAUCUUUCGAGACGGGUAUCUUAAUUGAAGAGUCACUUCUUUGUUGGCUAAACCAUUCUGGGAUUUCACUUCCAGGCAUCAGAAUUUCAAACAUUUUUCUUGAAUUUGCGAAUGCCUGCAAAAUAAAACACAAGUCGUUUGGUAACUGAAACCAUAAAUUCUCAAGUAUGAGAUUUUGUAAGGGAGAAAAUAGAGAUUAAUCGACCUUAAGAUGUUUUUUUAGCAGUGUUAAUGCAUCGAUAUUUUCAGCCAAUUUGAAGCAGUUAAUGGCUCUAAUGAUACCCGAAUCCACUAAAUUGCAUACUUUUGAUGGACUUGCAACUACUUCAAGUGAAGAGCAAUCAUCUAUACGCACAUCUGCUAUACUUGUUAGAAGCUCUGGCAACGAUUUAAGCAUCUUGCAAUUUGAUAAUGCAAGGAAAUCAAGCCUGCUAAGUUGAGUAAGAGCCAAAGGAAUGGUGAUGAAAUUGUUACCCGUAAGAUAAAGAUAACUCAAAGAGGAUAGACCAUGAAUAUCUGCUUCACCAAGUGUGCACAUGUUGCAAUAUGACAAAUCAAGAAACCGAAGCUUCGAGAGCCCAGUAAGAGAUGCAGGUAUGCUGGUGAAAUUGUUACCACCAAGAUCAAGAUGUUUCAAGGAGGAUAGACUAGAAAUAUCACGUGGAAUAUCUCCUUCACAAAGAUUGCAGUCUCUUAGUUUUAGCUUUCUUAAUGAACUCAAACCAAACAGCGAAGGCAACAUCUGAGGCAUGGGAUUCUUCCUUCUUCCUACGAUUACCUUGAAAAGAGAAGACAAAUUUGGUCGUAACUUUGCUUGCUGCAAAUUCUCUGACAAAUUUUCAACUCUAUAACAACCAGAAAGAUCUAGAGUUUUUAGACGUUCCAUUUUUCUAUCAAUCCCCGGAAACCUUACAAGACUUGAGCAACCCGAAAGAAUUAAUGUUUCAAGAGAUUCCAUUCCAAUUUUGGUUGGAAGAUUCCUAAGACUUUUGCAAUCUCUUAAAUUCAAAAGUUUAAGGCUGUUAAGCACUCCGAUUGAUGGAUGAACAUCCACUAAUUUGGUACAACCUUCCAAAAUCAAAACUUCAAGAUUUGAUGCUGUUGUAAAGUCUGGUAUCUUGAUCAGGUUUUGGGACCCUUUGAGGUUCAUUAUUUUCAACUUAUACAAGGGCUGUUGAAGACCAUAAAUAAUUAGACAGAAAACAUAAUAAUGCUAAUUUUUGUAUUCUUUACCUUAACCAAAGUUUAAUCAUUUAUAUUAAAAUAAGCUAAAACGAUGAGUUAAUUCUUACUCUAUUUCCCUUCCAUAGUUGUUCAAUGUGACUAUAUGGUAAAAGAAGUGCGACAAGGUUGUCCGGUUGAAAGCUUGAAAGCUUGAAGGCAAGUAUCUUAAAGGAUAUCCUGUCCAAUCUAAAAGUCGUAGUUCAUUAGAAAGAUAUUUGAUAUCAUCACAAUUUGAGACACAAAGCACUUUGAGCAAUCUCAAUUCUUUCAUCUUCGAGAAGGUGUCGAUACUCAAAUUGAGCAUCUUACUUGAUUCCCUAAUAACCACGAGCAAAACAAAAAUAAGCUUCAGAAUAUACAAAAACAUUCAAUAUCUAAAAGCCAUGCUGGAUCGAUAUUGUUUUUUUAAGUAUCCAUAUCUAGCACUUAUAUCUAUUGCAUAUCUGAAUAUGGUAUUGAGAUAUGAUUAACAUAUUAGAACACUUAUAUUCGACCUUUAAUUACCUAAGCUUAAAAAAUCUAGAACUAAUAUUUUGAUUUAUGUUUGGUGCACUGAUGUAUAGUUCUAUACAUUCCCAGUGAACCAAAUGGUGGCAUGACCUAAAUUUAUUUUUAAAAACUUAUAAUGACAUGUUAUAACCUAGUUCAUUGAUAUAGAUUUUCAUUACAUCAAAUAUAAACCAUUAACAUUAGCAAAGACGAUGACACACAUCUCUUUAUAAUUUCUUUUGAAAGAGUAAUGUGUUUCUAUAUAAAUUUUAUAAAUAGAACAUAAAAAAGUAAGCUUUAAGGGUGUACUUGGUUGAGUGGAAAAGUCAAGGGAUAUGAGGAUGAAUUGUCCUUAGUAAAGAAGAAAAGUGAGAAGAAAAAAAAGGGGGAGAAAUAAAUAUUUUAUACUAGUGAGAAGGGAAAUGUAUUAUCUUUCAACUUUCUGUUUACUCUACCAAGCAAAGUCAAAAGGUCUUUUUCUUGUUAUUUUUUAUUGGACUUUUUACAAAAAAAAUAAUAACAAUACUUGGAGUACAUAUUGAUAAAUUUAUAUGUUUCUUUUCUUACCUUUUAUUGUCGAUGGUCAUGCCUUCAAUCACUUCAGUAGCCUGAAAGUAAUCAAGAAGAUAAAAUUAAUGCUCUAAAUUGUACAAUAAAACUUUUAAAAAUUUACAUGCAUGUUCAACAUUAUUGCAAUCUUUUGGUCAAAAUACAGUAAAUAAAAUAUAUUCUAAUGAGAGUAAUUCAAUAAAAUUAAACAUUUAUACCACAAAUCAUUAUUAAUAUUUAUAAUCAACAAAUGAAAAUUAUCUUAAAGCUGCUCAAUGUCACUUAAGGAUCGAUAUAUAAAGCAAUUAGACUAAGCUUUGGAUUUACACCAUUUAUUGAUAAAAGAAAAUUUUGUAUGUAAAUUUUGUUGAAUGGUUUACCGUUUUUUUUGUUAGAACAUGAUGGACAUCCUUUUCCUUCCACAAUCUGCAACGUUUUCCAGGUUCAUUAACACAUUUUUCUUCAACAAUUUUUCUUCCCAUUUCUUGCAACAAGGCAUGCAUCCACAAAUAUCGGUCGUCAUCAUCGACUUUUAUGAGAGAUUUCUUAAAGAGAACAUCAAUUCCAAUAUCUGGGAAAAACUCACAACCAUCCAAUACUUUCAUUACCAAAUCUUUCUUCUCCCCAUUGAAAAAACAUGCUAUAUCUAGAAAUAUAUUCUUCUCCCUUUCUUCUAAUCCAUCAAAGCUGAUUCUUAGUGUGUUAAGAAUUUCUCUGUCACAAUCUUGUUCAAGUCUUUCAAUUGCACUUCUCCAUUGAACUAUAUCUCUACCGCACAAAAAUGAACCCAAAACUUCAAGAGCUAAGGGGAGACCAUCAACAUAAUGUACAACAUGUUCAGAAAGUUGAUUGAAAUCAUCUUUUGGAGUUGUAUCACCACCAAAAGCUUUCAAAUUGAAAAGCCUUAGUGCAUCGUUGGUGUUCAAUGUUGUAGGCUUAUACACAUCAUCGAUUCGAUAAGAUUGGAGCAAAUGUUCAUCUCUUGUUGUUACAAUGAUCCUACUACCUAAACUGAACCAAUCACGCCUUCCAACCAAGCAUUUCAAGUGUUGUACAUUAUCAACAUCAUCAAGAACAACAAGAACUUUUUGCUAGACAACCUGCGGCUAAUUAUGGCAUUCCCUUCGUGAACAUUGAAAAAAUUGAAGCAUUCAUUUGGCAAUAUUUGAUAAAGAAGUUGUUUCUGUAAAGAAACAAGUCCACACUUGUUUGAAACUUCUCGAAUAUCAGCAAGAAAGGUUUUACCUUCAAAAUGAGGUGACAUUUGAGUGUAAACAACCCUUGCAAGAGUUGUUUUACCGAUGCCACCCAUUCCACAAAUUCCUAUAAUGCGGACAUCGUCUUCCCCAAUAUUUAUUUUCGAAUACAACUGCUCCAAACGUGAACUAAUUCCAACCAACUCAUCAUGAAGAACUGGAUAUGUCUGACAUAAAUUUGCUGAUAUCUUCUUAACAAUGUCUCCAAUAAACUCUGAUUCAUGCUACAAUGAAAUUAAAUUUCGAUGCUAUAUUUCAAAUGCACUUCUUCAUUUUUAGUUCAGUGAAUAAUGAAAUAUAAUAUAGUUGGAAGCAAACAAAAAGCAAGAAUAAGACAGCAAGAUCUGUUAUAGCAUCAAAUGACACAACUUGCUGCUUAGUUGAAAUAUGGGAAUUCUCAAUUAAACACAAAAUUAUAUAUAAAAAAAAUGCAAUCCAAAAAAAAAAAAAAAUUAGUCAUUAAAAUUAGGAAAUAUAGAAGAAAAGAAAGAAAUACCUAUUAUGUAAAUGCCAUCCUUUGAUGUUAGCUACUUGAGUCAAAGCAUUUCGCCACUUUUGGAUCUUGUCUGUAUCUUCCUUGUACCUCUCUUGGUGUUUGGCGAAGGCUUCUUCAACUUUUCCUUUUUGUUUUCUUAAAUCGGAUGGAUCCACAUCGUAGAAAAUUGGAAAUACUUUAUGUCCGUUCACAUUUUUUUGUUGAACAAUCUCAGCAAGCUCCUCCAAGGACCAUCCUGAAAAGGUAUAGGUUUUUGAAAAAACGAUUACCGAGCACCAUGAUUGCUGAAUUGCAUUGAAGAGUUUAGGUGCGAUCUCUUCACCAGCCUCCAGCUUUGGAUCAUCUCUGAAGGUGGCGAUCCCACUCCUCUUUAGAGCAUCAUAAAGAUGAUCCAUGAAGUUGUUGCGAGUAUCUUCACCUCUAAAACUCAAGAAAACAUCAUAUUUCUUUCUAGAAAUGGAGGAAGAAGUUGACGGUAACGACAACAUGAGGAUGUAUGAAAGGAGAUGGAUAUCUCAAUCUGGUGUUCAAAAUCAGAAAAUAGAUCGCCCGAUACCCACAAAGAAACUAGAAAGAGUAAGUAUAUAUAUGAGCAUAGGGGCGGAAAUUAGGGGUCAAAAGAUGAGCAAUGGAUGUUCUUGCCAAGAAGUAUCCAAGAAGGUGAGAGUUGGCAAAAUGGAAAUUACGUAAUAAUUAAAAAGUUGGGCGGUUUGUAUUUUACGUAUUUAAGAAUUAUGGGUAGAUAAGAUUAUGACUAAUAAUUAGAAUUAAUUUAUGGGCCGUUUAAAAAGUUUACCAAACAACCAACUACUCGCAUCCACACGUGGAAGAUUUCUAUCUCCAGAGACAGAUCCUUUUCGACCGGCUUGUCCAGAAUUUCUACAAUGGAUAACAGCUCUGGAGAUGAUAACCCUGGCAGGGCAGAAGUAGAAUUUUUUUUUUAAGGUACAAAAUUAAAUUGUAACUUUUAUUAUAGUAAAAAUAUAAUUUUAUAAUUUUAACCGUUUAUAUCUUUAUAAUAUUUAAAAUAUUAAAUUAAAUUAUUAUAAUUUUUAGGAGGGUCAACGUGUAAUUUUAUUUUUACUAAUUUAAAAUUUUAAAAAUCUUAAAAAACUUAAAUAAAAAACUUUUCAUUUUAAGAGAAGGAACCCUACUAUCCCCUAGAUUCGCCUCUGUAUCUCUGAGAAGCAUCAUCAUUGAUAAAUAUGCAACAGGAAACUACUCCCUUCAUUUGUCUUGAAUUUGCAAAUGCCUGCAAAAUAAAACUUCAGCGCUUAGUAAAUAAAACCAUAAAUUCCCUUCAUGGACAUUGAAAACUUUUGUAGCUAAAUACGCCUGAGAUUUUGCUCCUGAUUCAUCAUGUCUUAUCUGCCUGCCUUUGCCUUUCCAUUUAUUCCUGGAUAAAUUUCUGUUCUUCAUAUUUCUUCUAUUGAGAGGACAUUUGCUCCUCCAUAACUCUUAUUCUCUUCUGCAUGUCCAAAUAUUGCUAACUACCAGAUUGAUUAUGUUAGAACCUUUGAUCCAUUGGUGAUGCUUCGGCAUGGUGUUUAAUUUUUGGGGUUAUAAUACCAUGAAGGAGUAUUGGUAAAACUGAUGGUAUGAAUUGUAUUAAAAAAAAGUUUAUGCAUAUAACAUAAAAUGUAUUAAAAAAUCCAUUAAACUUUACAAGUUUCAAUCAGGCACAAAAGAAUGAAUUGUAUGAAUAAAAAUUUAAAUGGUAUAAAAAAUUAUGUUCUACAAAUUCGAGAUAUGUGUAGAAUAUGAGUUUAGUGUUUAACAUGUUCAUACUCAAAAUUUAGAAUUAGUUAUAACAUUUCAAGAAUAUUACCAAAUCCUAUGUUGAGUAAAGAUGUCCAAAAUGAAUACUUCAAAUCAAAUAAAAGACGUGCAUAAAAUAGAUUAGUAUGUCUAAAAAAUAAUUAAUAGUCGAUUGAGUUUUAGCUCGAUUGAUAUCAAUAUUUUUGUCAAUACAGGUGUGAAAAUAGAAUAUUGGUAAUGACAAUGUGUCACAAAGAAAAAGAGAGAAAAAUAAAGAACACACAGAUUUUACGUGGAAACCCUUUCGGAAAAAAAUCACGGGCUGAGGAGAAGAUAAUACACUAUACCGAAUUCGAAUGAAUACAAGAGGAGUAGACUAUGUCUAUUUAUAGGCUUGUAAAACUAUAUUCUAAUAAGAGUGUAGUAAGAUUGAAACACCUUAUUCUAAUUAAUAUCAAAUAGAUGGAGUUUAAUAAGGUUUAAAAACCUUAUUCUAGAAUAAAAUAAAAGAAGUGUAGUUCUAUAUGGAUUUUACUUUUAUUUUAUUUUACCAUUGUAUUUUAUUUAAAUAAGAAUUCAGGUCACUCAAUUCUAACAAUCUCCACCUUGACACGAAUUUUUAAUGAACAAGUUCUUCAUUGCAAACUCUCAACGAACAAGUUCUUCACCUCUUUCAUAAAACCCCAUUACAGGUUUAACUUCAACAAUGAACACCAACCAAGUCUAAGCAAUGCUCAAAUUUGGUUAUAGGAAGUGACUUAGUCAUCAUAUCUGCAGAAUUUUCAUGAGUAUUAAUUUUACUCACAACAAUAUCACCACGAGCAAUAAUAUCAUGAACAAAAUGAUACCGGACAUCAAUGUGUUUUGUUCUUUCAUGAAACAUUUGAUCUUUUGUAAGGAAGAUGGCACUCUGAUUGUCACAAAAUACUGUACUGAUUUGAAGGUCUUCAUUGAGUUCACUAAAGAGUCCCUUCAACCAAAUAGCUUCUUUACAAGCCUCAAUAAUCGCCAUGUACUCAGUUUCAGUGGUAGACAAAAUGACUGUAAUUUGCAAAGUGGCUUUCCAACUGAUUGCACAACCUCUAGUUGUAAAGACAUAACCUGUGGGAGAUAUUCUUCUAUCAAGGUCUCCAGCAAAAUCAGCACCAACAUACCCAAUGACUCCACAUCUCGUUCUUCCAAACUGUAAGCAAACAUCAGUAGUACCUAGUAAGUAUCUUAAAAUCCAUUGAACUUCUUUCCAAUGUUCUUUAUCUGGAUUUGCCAUGCAUCUGCUAACUUCACUGACUGCAUAUGAUAAAUCUGGACGUGAACAAAACAUAGCAUACAUGAGAGAUCCCACUGCACUAGAGCAUGGAACAUGUGACAUGUACUCAACCUCAUCAUAUGAUUGUGGAGACAAAGCUGAUGAAAGUCUGAAAUGGGCUGCUAAAGGAGUAUUAACAGGCUUAGCACUCUGCAUAUUGAACCUGCAAAGAACUUUCCCCUUCUGACUUAGGUACAAUUUACUUGCUUUUUUGUCUCUGAGAAUCUUUAUACCAAGUAUCUUCUUUGCUGGUCCCAAAUCUUUCAUCUCAAAUCUUUCACUUAGUUGGGCUUUGACCUUUCUUAUCUCUUAUUUUUCUUUCGCUACUAUCAACCUAUUAUCAACAUAAAGGAGUACAUACACAAAAGAAACAUCAUUGUUUUUCUUAAAGUAAACACAACUGUCAUAGCUACUUCUUUUGAAAUCAUGAGAAGUCAUAAAGAAAUCAAACCUUUUGUACCACUGUCUUGGUGACUGUUUCAAACUGUAAAGGGACUUUUUUAGCAAGCAAACAUAGUCCUCUUUUUCUGAGACUAUAAAACCCUCUAGUUGUUGCAUGUAAGUAUCCUCCUCAAGUUCUCUAUGCAAAAAUACAGUUUUUACAUCUAACUAUUCAAGCUCCAAAUCAUGCAUAGCCACAAUACCAAGUAAAGCUUGAAUCGAACUAUGCUUCAUAACUGGGGAGAACACAUCUGUGAAGUCCACUCCUGGAAUUUGACUGUAACCCUUUGUAGCAAGCCUUGUUUUAUAUAUGGGUUCUUCAACUCCUAGAGUCCCUUCAUUCUUUUUAAACACCCAUUUACAACGAACAAUCUUUUUAUCUUUAGGAAGUUUCACAAGAUCUCAUGAUUUGUUUUUCUGGAGUGAUUCCAUCUCUUCUUGCAUAGCAAACAUCCAAUUUUCUAAGUCUUCACAGCUAACCGCCUCAAAAUAAUUAGAUGGCUAUUGGUUUGCAUCUAUAUCUUCAACCACAUUUAAAGCAUAAGCAACUAGAUCAGCCUCGGCAUACUUCUUUGGGGGUUUAAUUUCUCUUCUACUUUUGUUUUUGGCAAUAAAGUAUUAUGGCGAAGAAGCAACUUUAUUCUGAAUUUUUGUACUGGCUUGAAAAGUCGACUCUAUUGUAGAUUCUGGAUUAAUCUGAUGCUCCACCUACUUUUGAUUUUCUUUAUUGGAAGAGAGAUAAGUUAGGUAGCAUAGUAGUUUCAUCAAAAACAACAUUUCUACUAAUCACAACAUUUCUAUUUUUAGGACACCAUAACUUAUACCCUUUUACACUAGCUUUAUAACCAAGAAAAACACAUUUAAUGGAUCUCGGUUCUAAUUUUCCAUUAUUAACAUGAGCAUACGUACGACACCUAAAGAUCUUUAAGUCAGAAUAAUCAGCAGGAUUACCAAGCCAUACCUCUUGUGGAGUCUUUUUCUCAAUGGAAAUGGAUGGAGAUCGAUUGAUCAAAAAACAUGCAGUAGAGGUUGUUUUGGCCCAAAACGACUUUGGUAAGUUGGCAUUUGACAACAUACAUCGAACCUUCUCCAUGACCAUUUUGUUCAUUUGUUCUGCAAUGCUGUUCUGCUGUGGAGUAUGACAAACUGUCAAGUGUCUCACGAUCCCUUCUGACUUGCAUAGUUAAUUAAACUCAUCAAAACAGAACUCUGAGCCAUUAUCUUUGCGGAGGUAUUUUAUUUGUUUUCCCGUCUGUUUUUCAAUCAUAUUUUUUCAAGACUUAAAUGCAAAAAACACAUCGCUUUUUUGUGUAACUCAUACCCAACCGUUUGAUUGUAUCAAUAUUCUGCAGAAUUGUAAUGUAGGACAAGAUUUCCAUGAACUAAACUAUAUCACAUGUUACACAAUACGAAAUUAAUACAAACAUGAAACAUAUUUGCUCAUGUGCACACACUUGUAUAUACGUGAUUUAAGUUAAACAAUAUAUUAGACAUGGCAUGAUUAACAACUGAUUAUAAAAUAAAGGUAUUUAGUUACACGCAGACACACAUGUAUCUAAACUCUUUACCGUUGAUGGAGAUGAAAGGAAAAUAUCCCCCCAAAUGUUAGAAUGAAAGUUGGUUGAGGGACGCUUCUGGUUGGACAUGGAUCCAUGAAUUGAAGAAGGAAGCUUUGAUGAAGACAUUUCGUUAGCUAGUAACUAUGUAUGUUGGAAACCCUACGAAAUGAGAUGAAGUGGUGUGAGGCAAAGAGCUCCUAUGUUGACUUAUUUAUACAACUUUCUCAGCAUGUGAAAAUCCUACAUUUACCUAUACAUCUGGAAAUUGAACAGUAGGAUUCGGUAAAAAUCAAAUCGCAUAGUGCCUUAUUAAUUAUUUUUUAAAUUUAAAAAAAAAGAAGAAAGUUAUUGAGAUUAUUUAAAAAUUUUGUAAAAAUAAAAAAUAUAUUAUAAAAUUUUAAAAAUUCAAAAAAAUAAAAAUUUAAUUAUUGAUUUGACAUCCACGUGUAUGUCCACGACAACAAAUUAAAUGUUUGAUUAAAAAAUUCAUCCAUUUUGGGUGAUUUGACAAAAAAAAAUAAGUUCAAAGAUUAAAGAGGUAGAAAAUUAAAUAGAGGGCUAAAAAGAUUUGGUUUUUUUUUUUUGUAAUGUUGGAAGCCUAAAUGUGUCAUUAUACCAAAUUAACUCAAUCACUUAAAAAUAUAACUAAACUAUAAACAAAACAAUUUUUAUAUGUCAUUCAAUCAUAAGUGAAGUGAUAAAUAAUUUGUAUUCAAGUUUUAAGUUGAUAUUGACAUUGUUGCCAGUGUAGGAGGAUGUGGGUUCAAGCAAGCUGAAGCGUGUCAUUCUCCUUUUUCAGGGUUAAGAAGGGAAUAUAAAUAGUUCUAGGUAUUAUAUCAAAAAAUAAUUUUUAGUUGACGUCAAAAUUUAAUUUCAUCCUCAUCCUUAUAAACAACUACUUUUUUGAAAAACAAAAUUUAAUGAAGUAUUAAUAAAGAAAUAAAAAUGUAAAUGGUUUUGAAAAAAUUUACUAUUGCUAGCAAGAAGUGUGUUGCUAAUAGAGACAGGACACUAAGAAAUUGGUGCCUAAGUUGGUGGGCACUUCUUUAGGCACUAAACGAGAAAAAUAGAAAAACACACGAACAUGAUUACGCAAUUCAGUUACUCUACGUCUGUGGAGCCUAGCUCAGUUAAAAGUUUGUACUCUUUUCAACAAUUACAAAGUGAACCCUAAUUGUAGGAAAAAAAAAUCCAAUUUGAAAAUGGUUUUCUUGCCCAGUAAAAAAUUAAAAUUUUAAAAACUGACCCAGUUUGUGAUAUUUAUAGCAGUAAACCUUAGACCGAAAUUAUACCUAUGUUUUUGGUUAAGCGAAUCCUAGACGUUUUUCGAUUUUCAACUAAACGAGUUACGUGAUUAUCAAGUGAAUUUUAAAAAUAAAAAUAAAAAUGUCACGCAAGAGAAUUUAAUAGAAAAAUUUUAACAAAAUUUUUCAACUAAACGAGUUUUUGGUUAAGCGAAUCCUAGACGUUUUUUGACUUUCAACUAAACGUGUUACGUGAUUAUCAAGUGAAUUUUUUAAAAAAAAUUUAAAAAUGUCACGCAAGAGAAUUUAAUAGAAAAAUUUUAACAAGGGUAACGAUCAAUCCUGAAUUUUUAAAUUCAAAAACUAGAAAAUUAUGCUCCUAAAAAUAAAAAUAGAGGACUAAAUUUCAAAUGUAAAAGUAUAUAGGGAUCUAGUGUAUAUUUUAAUAUUCAAAUUUUUAGUCUUUAAUUUGACACAAAUAAUAAUUAACCUAACGUGGAAUGUGGGUCGAGUCCAUACUAGUUUUGGGUCAAAGCCUAAAAACGUGUUAUAUUUCUGUUUUUCCUACAAAACUUUGUUGUCAAGAGUUCAAAUUUUACAUAUAAUUUAUCUAUAUUACAAUGAUUAAUAUAACAAUAUCUUAAUGGGUUGAGUAGAAUGGUUCAACAAGUACAAAGAUGAUGAAGGAAACUUUAACAUGUCCUUAACAAGUGAUGUGAAAGGCUUACUAGAAUUAUAUGAAGCUUCACAUUUACGUGUGCAUGGGGAAGAUAUACUUGAAGAAGCUCUUGGUUUCACCACCACUCAUCUAGGUUUAGCCAAAGCUGCGGGCACUAUCGAAUAUCCCCUUUCAGCCUUAGUCUCCCAUGCUCUAUACCAACCCAUCCGCAAGGGCUUGCCAAGGUUGGAGGCUAGGCGAUUCAUUUCCAUUUACCGAGACGAUGCUUCACAUAACAAAACACUGUUGAAGUUUGCAGAGUUGGAUUUCAACUUGUUACAAAUUUCACACAAGGAUUUCAAGGCAAUAUAUUACUCCUUCAACAUUCAAUAUUUUAAUUGUUUAUCCUAAUUUAAAAGGACUAACUGAUACCUAAUGAUGAACUAUACAUAGGCUAAUUUGAGUUUUGUUUCAGGUGGGGGAAAAGUUUAGACUUACCUACAAAACUACCUUUUGUUCGAGAUAGAUUGGUAGAAGCUUACUUUUGGGCACUGGGAGUGGAUUUUGAGCCACAAUACUCUUUUGCUAGGGAGAUAUUAGCAAAAACAAUGGUCAUGACAUCAAUAAUGGAUGACAUAUAUGACGCAUAUGGCACACUUGAAGAACUUCAACUCCUCUCGAAUGCAAUUCAGAGGUUAGCAACUUCACACGAUUCAAUUUUAAAUUUGAAAGUUGAUUCAGUUAGUUCAUUGUAAUCAUGUAUAAAAAACAUUACUCAAUAUGUUUGAUUUUGAACUUUUCUCUAAUUGAUUUUGCAGGUGGGAUGUUGAUUAUAUAGAUCAACUCCCAAAAUACAUGAAGUCAUUUUACAAGCCAUUGUUAGAUCUUUUUGGAGAAAAUGAGUAGGCAAUGAUUAAGCAAGGAAAAUAAUGUUAUGUCAAAUAUGCGAAAGAUUAUACAUUCGUACCUUAUCUCAUUUUUUAAAUAAUUUUACAUAAGCAGUAAAAAUUAGUAACCCCUUUCUCCUUUUCUCAUAUAUUAUAUGAGGAAAAUGACAAGUAGUGUUGGCAAUGAAGCAAGGUGGAGUGGGACUAUUCACCUUAACCCCAUCCAAUCUUUAUAUCUCCUACCUUGACACCACUCCGAACAUGAUUUUAUUUGAAAUUUCAUAUCCAACAAAUUUUUUUUUUCUCAACUUUACCCAACUCACACAAAAAUAUUAAAUAAUUUUUAUGUUGUAUUACUUUUUACAAUAUCAAAUAAAAUGCAUAAUAUAAAAUCAUAUAAAAAUUUAAAAUAUCUAACUAAAAAAUAAAAAAUUUAAAAUUUUAUAAAAUCUUAUAGAAGUUUAAAAAAUUUAUAAUUAAAAUAUAUAAAAUUAGUUAUGAAAUUAAAAAGGUAUUUUGGUAAUUUUUUAAGAUAGUGCAAGUUUAAGUAAAACCUUAUCUCUUCCCAAACUCUAAUUUUCAUAAAAAUAAAAUAUGUUUUAUAGGGUUGGAUCGAAACAUAUGGAUUUGGGUCAUUUUUAUUAUCCCUAAAUAUACAUAUAUGUUUAGCAUGAUUAUAUUCCAUUUUAUAAAAAUAUAUAUAUAUUUAUAUAUGAAGGAUUAUAAGUUGGUACUUAUAUACUCUAAACUUGAAAAUUUAUUAUGACCUAAAGGUAAUGACUACAAUGAAAACUUUGUACCAAUAAUGGAGGAGUAUAUGAGGAACGCGGUUUUAUCUGUUGGUUAUAUCAUGUUAACCGUCACAUCUUUUAUUGAGAUUUUUGAUUGGGCAUCCAAGAACCCUAAAAUCACUGAUGCUUCUUCCGUUGUUGAUCGUCUCAUGAAUGAUGUUACUUCACACAAGGUACCUUUUUUUCCCGAAUUUUGCAAGAGUAUUUUCAAUAAGUUAUAUUUGAUGAAUAAAACUAAUAUAAAUAUAUAGUUUGAGCAAGAGAGAGGGCACUGUGCAUCAGCUUUGAAUGCUACAUGAGAGAACAUGCAGUUUCAGAAGAAGAAGCAUGUACUGAAUUGAAGAAGCAAGUGGAGAAUGCUUGGAAAGAUAUCAACCAGGAAAUCAUAUUUAGUGAGAUAUCUAAAGUUGUUCCAAGACCGGUUCUUACACGAGUUCUCAAUUUUACAAGAUUGGAGAUGAGUACACACAUGUUGGGAAAAAUACAAAAGAUGGGAUAACUCUGUGCUCAUUGAUCCAAUCUCAGUCUCCUAUUGAGGAAUUAAGACUCUAUAUCAUCUAGCGAUCCAUUUCCUGUUUGUGUUGCUUUUAUAUGUUAUAUGCUUUUAAGAUGUUAUUUAAAUCCUAACAUCUCAGUAAUCCAUGGUGUAUAUUUAUGUUACUCUUUUUUACUAUGUUUUAUGUCGUAUUUUGAUAAAUUUUCAAAUCUCAAGAUUUCUUGAGACUUAAAGGGUUGGUGAAUGAAUCAAGGCGUUGUUAUUUAAAUGGGUUUUAUGGUUGUUCUUUUGGUGCAGUUCUGAUUGUGUCUCAACUGCUUUUUGUUUAUGAGAUUUUAGUGCAAGGGAUCAUGAGUGGUAGUUGUGUUGCAAAGGGCUAAUCCUUACAGUAUAUCAACAUGGGAUGAUGGUGAAUGAACCUUGGCUUUAAAGUUUUUUAGGUGUUAAUGAUGGUAAGUAUGUGAUUGCUUAAGAGAUUAAAGGUAUGGGUUUUAAAGAAAAUGGGUGGAUGGAAGGAAUUGUGGGUAAUCAGCAGUGCAUUUUACUGGAGGAGGGAAGUGCAACUGGUAGGGGAUUUCUAAGUUCUUAGAAUGGUUUGCAUGUAAAUUUUGGAGUUCUAAAAAAAAAAAGAGUUAACUUAAAUCACUUUUGAGAUGAAUUUCAAUGGAAAUGUGAAAUUCCCAACUAUAUGUUUUCUAAAAUGAAGAAACAAGAGAGAGAAAAUCUAACUAUUUUGCAAAGAGAAAAAAAAGAAGCCAUUUUUAUAUUACCCACUCUGCAUUGAGAAAUUAUUUUAUGGACCUUUUUAUCACAUCAUCUAGGAUUUUUUACACAAAUAAUACAAAAAAAAUUAAAAAAAUAACAAAGUAAUACAACCAUUUUAUUAUGUACCAAAAUGGUACAAACAGUAAAAAACCUAGUCGAGGGCCUGCCACAGGCGGCACCUGUGUCAUGUUUUCCUGGGGCUCCCCAAUUUGUUUGUUUUUGUUGUUUAAGGUUUAUGAUGUGAUUGGUUUUGAUUUAAUUGAGAUUUAAUUUUAAAUUUAUUUUUUUACAAGGUAUUAUUUGAUUAAAAAUAGAUAUUAAGAUAUGUUUAUAUUUAUCUAUAUUUUCAUUCAUUCAUAAUUUAAUUUUAAUUUUUAUGUUAUGUACAUUCUAUGUUUUAUUAUUUAUGUUAUGUACAUACUAUGUCUUAUUAUUUUAUCAUUUAUGUUAUUAUUUAUGUUUUAUUAUUUAUGUUAUCUACAUUCUAUGUUUUAUUAUUUUAUUUAAUUUAUUUGUUAAGUGUGUUUUAUGUUGAUUAGAUAUAUUUUUUAUGAAACUUAUUUAGCAUGUUGUAAUGAGAUUUUUUUACAAAAAUAGUAUUAAAAAUAAAAUACCGAAAAAAUAUUUUUAUGACAAAAUAAAAUACAAAAAGAAAUAAAAAUGAAAAUAGUAUAUUUACUGAAAGUAAUAAAAUUCGAAAAAAAAAAAAUUACGAACAAAGGGUCAAAAUAAAGGUUUUUUACUAAAUUUAUAAAAAAAACACACAAAAAUAAUAUAUUUCAGACAUUAUGUACUAAAAUAAUAUAAAAUAAUAAAAUACAAAAAUAGUAUAUCUUUUGAAAGUAAUAAAAUCCGAAAAUAAGAAAAAUAUGAACAAAUAGGCCAAAAUAAGGGUUUUUUUAUAAAUUUAUAUAAAAACACACUAAAUUAAUACAUUUCAAACUUUAUGUACUAAAAUAAUAUAAAAUAAUAAAAUACGAAAAUAGUAUAUUUUUUGAAAGUAAUAAAAUCUGAAAAUAAGAAAAAUACGAACAAAGGGCCAAAAAAUCGGGAAAACAUGGCACAGGUGCCGCUUGUGGCAGUGGCAUCUUUGGUGCUGCCUCUGCCACUGGCACCUUUGGUGCCGCCUAUGGCAGACCCUCGACCAGGUUUUUUACUGUUUGUACCAAUUUGGUACAUAAUAAAAUGGUUAUAUUAUUUUGGUAUUUUUUUAAUUUUUUUUGUAUUAUUUGUGUAAAAAACCUCAUCAUCUAUGGUCCCACCCAAUUAAAAGAAGACGCAUCAUCUUUGAUUCCACUUCUCCACUGAGAAGCAUCUCUACCGCACACAAAAGAACCCAAAACUUCAAGAGUUAAGGGGAGACCACUAGCAUAAUGUACAACAAGUUUAGAAAGGACUAAAUUGUAACAAUUUGGACUAAUUUAAAUAAAACAAAGAACAUGGAUAGUGAUGCCCCUAAGGGAAUAUUAAGAUAAAGUGAGACCGAAAGGUAAUCUUGUCGUGCACCCGUUCAUUAGUCACGGAUUAACUAGUGAGAUUGGAAGAUAAACUAGACCUAAUCAGUCUAAGUUGGCAAAAUUAAGACCGGAAGAUAAAAUAGAGCCACUUGGUAAUUAUGUGAUUUAUGUCAUUGGUCCAAGAUUUGGUGAACCACAUCGAAGUCAACCAACCCCUAUUAGUCAUUUGCUAGAUAGUCCUUCUAGUUUACAUUUCUUGUAAUUUAGUCCCUAGAGUAGAAUAUUUAAUUUUCUUGCAAACUUAUCUUUUAUGAAUCACCGUAAUAUAAAAUUGUAUCAAUAGACACUUAGCAUCUAUUGUGUAUGUUAGUUAUUACUCAAUUGCCUAUUCCUUUGGGUUCAAUCCUUAGAAUACUUUUGCAUUUCAUUAUUACACUAUAAAUAUAAAUAUUAAAACUGACCAGUACGCUUGCAGUAAAAUUGGGCUUUUAAAAUAGUUAUAUAAAUUUAGUGUUUUAAGCACACGCAUGCAACCGGUCAGUAGUCAAUCUCACCCCAUUAGCCACCAUGACAUGAAGUUGACUAAAGUGCUCCACUAAUAAAUCCAACCUCUUAACGAGCUUAGAAUCUAGAAAAUUGUGUGUACUUCUUGAGUCAACCAGGAUAAUGACAUUGGAGUGACCAAUACUUGCUAAAAACUGCAUAGAAUUAUGUCUCUAUAAGCCUUGAAGGGUGUGUAAAGAUAAAACUGGGGCAGUGUGUUUCGUUUCCUAUUCUAACACUUUCAGUUGUUCAGGACAUUCUUGGAACUCUUCAAACACUGGACUCUUGCUUCCACCCUCAUGAUCUGAAUAAAGUUCUACAACCAGCUGAUAAAGUUGAGACUUGGUGCACUUAUGACCUGGGGUGUAUUUGGAUGCAAACCGAAAGCAAAGUCCCUUCUUUCUUCUCUAUUCUAUUUUAGCUUGAGAAAAGGGUUUGGUUUGGAAUUUUUACCCCGAGUUACUAUUUGGAGGUCCACUUGGCCCUAUCGAGUUACAGUGGUGAUAUUGCACCUUGGGACCAAGAAUUAGGAGGCUAAGGUGACUUAUUCCCCCACUUACAUUCAAACUCUUCUUUGUGAACUUAGCCACAAUGUGUUCAACCUAUAGAGCUAGUUGAUAGCCUUCUACCAGUGUUUGAGCCUUGAACAACCAUAGAUACUACCCUAUCUCAGGUUUAAGAUUGCAAGUGAAAACACUAAGGACAUAAUCCUCACUUAGAUGUAACUGAUUAAGCAAACUUACAAAACGGUCAUGGAAUUGGUCCAUUGACCCUUUCUCCUUGAGUGAAACAUGUCCUAACAUGGGGUCUAAGAAGGAGUUAGAUCUAAAAUGAUCCCUCAGCCCUCGAACAUAUAUCUCCUAAGUCAGGUGAUGUAAUCCCCCUGUCAUUGCACAAAAGUGAUGCCAAUCUAGGGCUUUACCUUCUAAGUGCAACAUUACCAUUCUAACAUUGGUUUACUUUAUUAUAUUUGCAGCUUCAAAGAAUCGUUCUAACUUGGACCACCAAUCUUGAUAAUCUGUCCCAUCAAAUCAUGGGCAUUCUAGCUGAAGAGUUUUACUGACAAAGUCCACAAGACCAACUUGAGAAAAAGUAUUCAUGUUUUCCAAAUCUGACACAGGUGAUAAUAUAAGUGACUUUUUGGAAGGGAACUUAGGAGGAGAGCCUCCCAUAAUGCCCUUGUCUUGAACUCUUCUAGUUACACUGGCAGAAGCAUUUUGACCAAAAUAGUGUUCAAAAAGAUAAUCCACUCCUACAAGGUAAUCCAUUCCUACAAGAUAAUCAACUCCAUUGAUUUGUGAUUUUGAGAUUUUAAUUUAAAAGAUAAAUAUCGAAAUAUAUAAUUUUUUUAAAAAAAUUAAAAACUGAGACCAGUAUAAAAUUAUUUAUCUUAGAUGGAAUGCUCAAUUAGGUGAUAUUUUAUUAGGAUCAGAUAAACGAUCUCAUCGAGAGAGAGAGUCAUCACAGGAUGGAUGAUUGGGAUCGGUAGACGAUGAGACUCCAUGAGUGUGGAGCCUUCCUUGAGUGGACAACGGCAGCAUUGGGUUCACACCUGCGCGUGGAGAGGACUUUGAAGCCUUCACAAAUCAUGUAAAGAAAUGAAAGAAAAUGAAGAAAAUGUUAAAAGCAUGUGCCAAACGUACCAUGAUGAGGGAAAUGAGAUACAACAAUACAAAGCAUGAGUCCAACUAAUAAAUUAAAGCUGACUUGAAUUUUAUAGGAUGGGAUAAUUUCAUUUUCGGUCCUCUAUAAUCUUCACUAUAUGCGUAUAGCUCCUGAUUUUAGUUUAUUUAUUUAAUUCAAUCCUAACCGUUAUUUAUUUUAGUUUUUUUUAAUUAGUAUUUGUGACUCUUAACAUUACUAUUGUAGGUAUUUAGAUAACUUAAUAGAGAUAAUAUUUUUACUAUUUGAAUGCAUAAUUUAUUUUAAAUAUUAGAAGCUAUUAUUCACUUAUCUUUAAUUACUUUUAAUAAUUUUGAACUGUCAUUAAACAAGUGCAAUUUAAUAAUCUAUUACACAUUACAUUGUCAAAUAUAUUUCACGUGAUUAAAUUUUAUAAAAAUGAUAUGUAUAAAUUUGAAAUUUAUUUUCUGUACUUUUAUUUGUAGGAAUUUCAUUUAUUUAUUUUUAAAAUUUUAAAAUUCAAAUUUAAUUGUUAACCCAUUUUUUUCCUAAAAUUUAUGUGAUAUUUUGAAAUUUAAAAAAAUACACAUUCACUCCUACUAUUGUUUCUAGAAAAGUUGAAUUGGAAUUUUGGUAGAUAAAACGACUGAAGCAUGAAGAUCACCGUGUGCCAAAUUCAACCACCUUCCUUUUCUUAUACAAAAUUUUAAAGAGUUUCACAAUGAUGCCCUCGAGAAAAGAAAGUAUACAUUAAAGGAAAAAGGAAUUGUGUAAUGAGUGAUGUCAGCUUCACCGAUUAUUUCUUCUUAUCACAUGCCAAAGCAAUUUCCUUGUACAGACUGGGAAAACUCCUGGAAUUUCGUCCAAGUUUGAACGAGGUCGAGUUUUAUAUAAUACUGGACUACCAAGUGUAUGAAGUCGACCAAACACAUAGAUUACUUCGUCCGUAAUAAAUAAUAAUAAUAAUGUCGUGUUUGAUCAUGCUUGUGUUGCUGCUUUUCCUCCUGGUUGUUGCAUCUUCAGAUAUCAACCAGGGCCAGUUUAGUUUCAAUGGUUACUAGAAUGUCGAGGGAGUUGCAGGCGUAGAUUCAAGUGGGCUGUUUACACUUACAAAAUACCACAAGCCGAAUAAGUGGUCAAAUCUUCUACAAGAAUCCGAUCCAGUUCAAGAACUCCACAAAUGCAACUGUUUCCCCCUUCCCCACUACAUUCAUUUUUGCAAUUAUACCUGGAUACACCGACCUUGGUGGCCAUGGAUUGGCCUUCGUUGUCUCCCCUAACGAUGAAAUUUCUGAAGCUCUUCCCACCCACUAUCUCGGUCUUUUCAUUGAAACAAACAUAGGCUUAGACUCGAACCAUGUUGUGGCGCUUGAGCUGGGCACGGCCCGGACCAUUGCGGUCGGUGACAUAGACGGCAACCACGUCGGCAUCGACAUCAAUAACCCAAGAUCAGUGACAGCUGCUUCUGCUGGGUAUUUCACUGAUGAAAGUGAGUUCAAAAAUCUCAACCUCAAGAGUGGAUAUCCAAUGCAGGUUUGGGUUGAAUACGACGGGGUCUAGAAGCAACUUGAUGUUACAUUGUACCCAAUCAAUGUAACGAAGCCAAAACCUCACUUUUAUCCUUGAAAAAGGAUCUGUCUCCAUAUUUGUAUGAGUCUAUGUUUUUCGGCUUCUCGUCGUCCACCGGUGUUCUUGUAUCGUCGCACUACAUAUUGGCUAUUCUAAGGACAUGAUUUUUUUGCAUCUCAAUCAAAGGUUUGAAAAGUUGAAUUCUUUGAGGUGCCCAUUCAAUAGACUAAGAAAGCUGAAAAGUUGAAAUUAUAUUUAUCAUAACAUAUCAUUUUUUAUUUAUAUCAAGGAUUUUAUCAUGUUAGCAUUAUGGACACGAAUAUAAUGAAUACUAAUUUAUGGUAAAUAAGAAUCUAUUUGUACGAUCAAACAAAAAAAGGGGAAAAAAAUCAGAAAAGAGAAACUUAUAAAAUUAACUAAUAGGGGAAAAAUCUUGAAAAAGCUAGUGAAGUAGUUUACCACAUUUAAUGCUUCUUCCCUGAUUUGGCCAUUAUAAAAUUGAAAGUUUUUUGCAUCCGUUUUGGUUGCCUUCUUCCUUCGCUUCAUCAUAGAUAUUAGGUUUCUGUUUUAUGUGAGAAGUGCCAUCUACUGAUCCAUAAAGGUGUGAGCAGAGUGUUGGUGGAUGUGAGAAGAUUGAGUGGUAUGUCACUGCAACUCUUUUAUUUCUUCCAAAUCUUUCUCAUACACUAUUCUAGCACCACACUUCUUCACCUUAGCAUUGUCUUCAUCAUUUGGGUUUGAGAAAGACACCUCUAACUCAUAACAUUUUUCAUCUGAGCAAUCUGUUGCCCAUAAAUUAUUGGUUUCACAAUGACCAUAUUUAUCCUCCAAGGAAAAUGGAUAUACUUUAUCACGCGACCAAUAACGAAGAAAAAGGUGAUCUUUCAUUAUGGGCUGGUUAAAUCGUUUAUCCACCAACCAGCCGCUCCCAUCAAUCCGUCGAGGAUUUUUACCUCGAAAAUUAGAUCCAUUACAACUGGCUUCUUCAGAAUUUCUACAAUAGAUAAUUGCUCCACAACCGAUAUGCUCGUCAUCCCUUGAAGCAUCAUUAUUGACAAAAAUGCAGCAACAAGCAACUCCAAUCCAUUGACUAUCUUUCGGAACGGGUAUCUUAAUUGAAGAGUCACUUUUUUGUUGGAUAAACCAUUCUGGGAUUUCACUUCCGGGCAUCAUAAUAUCAAACUUUUUUCUUGAAUUUGCCAAUGCCUGCAAAAUAAAACACAAGUCGUUUGGUAACUAAAACCAUACAUUCUCAAGUAUGAGAUUUUGUAAGGGAGAAAAUAGAGAUUAAUCGACCUUAAGAUGUUUUUUCAGCAGUGUUAAUGCAUUGAUAUUUUCAGCCAAUUUGAAGCAGUUAAUGGCUUUAAUGAGACCAAAAUCCAAUAAAUUGCAUACAUUUGAUGGACUUGCAACUACUUCAAGUGAAGAGCAAUCAUCUAUACGCACAUCUGCUAUACUUGUUAGAAGCUCUGGCAACGAUUUAAGCAUCUUGCAAUUUGAUAAUGCAAGGAAAUUAAGCCUGCUAAGUUGAGUAAGAGCCAAGGGAAUGGUGAUGAAAUUGUUCCCCGUAAGAUAAAGAUAACUCAAAGAGGAUAGACCGUGAAUAUCUGCUUCACCAAGUGUGCACAUGUUGCAAUUUGACAAAUCAAGAAACCAAAGCUUCGAGAGCCGAGUAAGAGAUGCAGGUAUGCUGAUGAAAUUGUUACCACUAAGAUCAACAUCUGUCAAGGAGGAUAGACUAGAAAUAUCACGUGGAAUAUCUCCUUCACAAAGAUUGCAGUUCCUUAGUUUUAGCUCUCUUAAUGAACUCAAACCUAACAGCGAAGGCAACAUCCGAGGCAUGGGAUUCUUCCUUCUUCCUACAAUUACCUUGAAAAGAGAAGACAAAUUUGGUCGUAACUUUGCUUGCUGCAAAUUCUCCGACAAAUUUUCAACUCUAUAACAACCAGAAAGAUCUAGAGUUUUAAGAUGUUCCAUUUUUCUAUCAAUCUCCGGAAACCUUACAAGACUUGAGCAACCCGAAAGAAUUAAUGUUUCAAGAGAUUCCAUUCCAAUUUUGGUCGGAAGAUUUCUAAGACUUUUGCAAUCUCUUAAAUUCAAAAGUUUAAGGCUCUUAAGCACUCCUAUUGAUGGAUGAACAUCCACUAAUUUGGUACAACCUUCCAAAAUCAAAACUUCAAGAUUUGGUGCUGUUGUGAAGUCUGGUAUCUUGAGCAGGUUUUGGGACCCUUUGAGGUUGAUUAUUUUCAACUUAUACAAGGGCUGUUGAAGACAAUAAAUAAUUAGACAGAAAACAUAAUAAUGCUAACUUUUGUAUUCUUUACCUUAACCAAAGUUUAAUCAUUUAUAUUAAAAUAAGCUAAAACGAUGAGUUAAUUCUUACUCUAUUUCCCUUCCAUAGUUGUUCAAUGUGACUAUAUGGUAAAAGAAGUGCGACAAGGUUGUCCGGUUGAAAGCUUGAAGGCAAGCAUCUUAAAGGAUAUCCUGUCCAAUCUAAAAGCCGUAGUUCAUUAGAAAGAUAUUUGAUAUCAUCACAAUUUGAGACACAAAGCACUUUGAGCAAUCUCAAUUUUUUCAUCUUCAAGAAGGUAUCGAUUCUCAAAUUAAGCAUCUUGCUUGAGUCCCUAAUAACCAUGAGCAAAACAAAAAUAAGCUUCAAAAUAUACAAAAACAUUCAAUAUCUAAAAGCCAUGCUGGAUCGAUAUUGCUUUUUUAAGUAUCCAUAUCUAGCACUUAUAUCUAUUGCAUAUCUGAAUAUGGUAUUGAGAUAUGAUUAACAUAUUAGACAAUACUUUAUCUAACACUUAUAUUCGACUUUUAAUUACCUAAGCCUAAAAUAACUAGAACUAAUAUUUUGAUUUAUGUUUGGUGCACUGAUGUAUUGUUCUAUACAUUACCAGUGAACCAAAUGGUGGCAUGACCUGAAUUUAUUUUUAAGAACUUAUAAUGACAUGUUAUAACCUAGUUCAUUGAUAUAGAUUUUCGUUACAUCAAAUAUAAACCAUUACAUUAGCAAAGACUAUGAAACACAUCUCUUUAUAAUUUCUUUUGAAAGAGUAAUGUGUUCCUAUAUAAAUUUUAUAAAUAGAACAUAAAAAAAAAUUAAGCCUUAAGGGUGUACUUAGUUGAGUGAAAAAAUCAAAGGAUAUGGGGAUGAAUUGUGCUUGGUAAAGAAGAAAAGUGAGAAGAAAAAAAAGCGGAGAAAUGAUCAUUUUAUAUUAGUAAGAAGGGAAAUGUAUUAUCUUUCAAUUUUCUGUUUACUCUACCAAGCAACGUCAAAAGGUCUUUUUGUUGUUUUUUAUUGGACUUUUUACAAAAAAAAAUAAUAAUAACACUACUAGGAGUACAUAUUGAUAAAUUUAUAUGUUUCUUUUCCUACCUUUUAUUGUCGAUGAUUAUGCCUUCUAUCACUUCAGUAGCCUGAAAAUAAUCAAGAAUCGAUAAUAAGAAGAUAAAAUUAAUGCUCUAAAUUAUACGAUAAAACUUUUAAAAAUUUACAUACAUGUUCAACAUUAUCGCAAUCUUUUGGUCAAAAUAUAGUAAUUAAACUAUAUUCUAAUGAGAGUAAUUCAAUAAAAUUAAACAUUUAUAUUACAAAUCAUUAUUAAUAUUUAUAAUCAGCAAAUGAAAAUUAUCUUAAAGCAAUUAAGAUAAAAGAAAAUUAUUAAUAUUUACAUACAAUGUCAGUUAAGGAUCCAUAUAUAAACCAAUUAGACUAAGCUUUGGAUUUACACCAUAUAUUGAUAAAAGAAAAUUUUGCAUGUAAAUUUUGUUGAAUGGUUUACCGUAUUUUUUGUUAGAACAUGAUGGACAUCCUUUUCCUUCCACAAUCUGCAACAUUUUCCAGGUUCAUUAACACAUUUUUCUUCAACAAUUUUUCUUCGCAUUUCUUGCAACAAGGCAUGCAUCUGCAAAUAUUGGUUGUCAUCACUGACUUUUAUGAGAGAUUUCUUAAUGAGAACAUCGAUUCCAAUAUCUGGAAAAAACUCACAACCAUCCAAUACUUUCAUUACCAAAUCUUUCUCCUCCCCAUUGAAAAAGCAUGCUAUAUCUAGAAAUAUAUUCUUCUCCCUUUCUUCCAAUCCAUCAAAGCUAAUUCGUAGUGUGUCAAGAAUUUCUUUGUUAGAAUCUUGUUUAAGUCUUUCGAUUGCACUUCUCCAUUGAAUUAUAUCUCUACCGAACAAAAAUGAACCCAAAACUUCAAGAGCUAAGGGGAGACCAUCAACAUAAUGUACAACAUGUUCAGAAAGUUGAUUGAAAUCAUCUUUUGUAGUUGUAUCACCACCAAAAGCUUUCAAAUUGAAAAGCCUUAGUGCAUCGUUGGUGUUCAAUGUUGUAGGCUUAUACACAUCAUCGAUUCGAUAAGAUUGGAACAAAUGUUCAUCUCUUGUUGUUACAAUGAUCCUACUACCUAAACUGAACCAAUCACGCCUUCCAACCAAGCAUUUCAAGUGUUGUACAUUAUCAACAUCAUCAAGAACAACAAGAACUUUUUUGCUAGACAACCUGCGGCUAAUUAUGGCAUUCCCUUCGUGAACAUUGAAAAAAUUGAAGCAUUCAUUUGGCAAUAUUUGAUAAAGAAGUUGUUUGUGUAAAGAAACAAGUCCACACUUGUUUGAAACUUCUCGAAUAUCAGCAAGAAAGCUUUUACCUUCAAAAUGAGGUGACAUUUGAGUGUAAACAACCCUUGCAAGAGUUGUUUUACCGAUGCCACCCAUUCCACAAAUUCCUAUAAUGCGGACAUCGUCUUCCCCAAUAUUUAUCUUCGAAUACAACUGCUCCAAACGUGAACUAAUUCCAACCAACUCAUCAUGAAGAACUGGAUAUGUCUGACAUAAUUUUGCUGAUAUCUUCUUAACGAUGUCUCCAAUAAACUCUGAUUCAUGCCUACAAUGAAAUUAAAUUUCGAUGCUAUAUUUCAAAUGCACUUCUUCAUUUUUAGUUCAAUGAAUAAUGAAAUAUAAUAUAGUUGGAAGCAAACAAAAAGCAAGAAUAAGACAGCAAGAUCUGUUAUAGCAUCAAAUGACACAACUUGCUCCUUAGUUGAAAUAUGGGGAUUCUCAAUUAAACACAAAAUUAUAUAUAAAAAAAAUGCAAUCCAAAAAAAAAAUAGUCAUUAAAAUUAGGAAAUAUAGAAGAAAAGAAAGAAAUACCUAUUAUGUAAAUGCCAUCCUUUGAUGUUAGCUACUUGAGUCAAAGCAUUUCGCCACUUUUGGAUCUUGUCUGUAUCUUCCUUGUACCUCUCUUGGUGUUUGGCGAAGGCUUCUUCAACUUUUCCUUUUUGUUUUCUUAAAUCGGAUGGAUCCACAUCGUAGAAAAUUGGAAAUACUUUAUGUCCGUUCACAUUUUUUUGUUGAACAAUCUCAGCAAGCUCCUCCAAGCACCAUCCUGAAAAGGUAUAGGUUUUUGAAAAAACGAUUACCGAGCACCAUGAUUGCUGAAUUGCAUUGAAGAGUUCAGGUGCGAUCUCUUCACCAGCCUCCAGCUUUGGAUCAUCUCUGAAGGUGACGAUCCCACUCCUCUUUAGAGCAUCAUAAAGAUGAUCCGUGAAGUUGUUGCUAGUAUCUUCACCUCUAAAACUCAAGAAAACAUCAUAUUUCUUUUUAGAAAUGGAGGAAGAAGUUGACGGUAACGACAACAUGAGGAUGUAUGAAAGGAGAUGGAUAUCUCAAUCUGGUGUUCAAAAUCAGAAAAUAGAUCGCCCGAUACCCACAAAGAAACUAGAAAAAGUAAGUAUAUGAGCAUAGGGGCAGAAAUUAGGGGUCAAAAGAUGAGCAAUGGAUGUUCUUGCCAAGAAGUAUCCAAGAAGGUGAGAGUUGGUAAAGUGGAAAUUAAGUAAUAAUUAAAAAGUUGGACGGUUUGUAAUAAUUAUGAGUAGAUGAGAUUAUGACUAAUAAUUAAUAGAAUUAAUUUAUGGGCUGGUUAAAAAGUUUACCAAACAACCAACUACUCGCAUCCACACGUGGAAGAUUUCUAUCCCCAGAGACAGAUCCAUUUCGACCAGCUUGUCCAGAAUUUCUACAAUGGAUAACAGCUCUGGAGAUGAUAACAGCUCUGGAGAUGAUAAACUUACUCUGGCAGGCAGAAGUCAGAAUUUUUUUUUUAAGUUAACUUUUAUGAUAUUAAAAAUAUAAUUUUAUAAUCUUAAUAUUUAAAAUAUUUUAUAACUUUAUAAUAUUUAAAAUAUUUAAAGGAUUAAAUUAAAUUUUUAUUAUUUUUAAAGAAUUAAAGUGUAAUUUAAUCUUUACUAAUUUAAAAUUUUAAAAAUCUUAAAAAGUUUAAAUGAAAAACUUUUCAGGAGAACCAAACCUACCAUCCCUAGAUUCGCCUCUGUAUCCCGAGAAGCAUCAUCAUCGAUAAAAAUGCAACAGGAAGCUACUCCCUUCAUUUGUCUUGAAUUUGCAAAAUAAAACUUCAGCGCUUGGUAAAUAAAACCAUAAAUUCCCUUCAUGGACAUUGAAAACUUUUGUAGCUAAUUACGCCUGAGAUUUUGCUCCUGAUUCAUCCUGUUCGCCCUAAGCUGCCUGCCUUUGCCUUUCCAUUUAUUCCUGGAUAAAUUUCUGUUGUUCUUCAUAUUUCUUCUAAUGAGAGGACAUUUGCUCCUCCAUAACUCUUAUUCUUUUCUGCAUGUCCAAAUAUUGCUAACUACCAGACUGAUGAUGCUAGGACCUUUGAUCCAUUGGUGAUGCUUCGGCAUGGUGUUUAAUUUUUGGGGUUAUAAUACCAUGAAGGAGUAUUGGUAAAACUGAUGGUAUGAAUUUUGUUGGUUUUGAUUUUGUGGGGAUAUUGUUGAAACAUACAUUAGAUCCUGGUUUGAUUUCUUAGUUUGCUCCAUAUUUGCUUCGAUACUCUGACCAAUGAGGUUUGUAACUUGAACAUUGGCAAGGUCAAACUCAAUAAUAGGAGGAUCAUUGGGAUCUAGAUGUUUCAUGCUUGUCUACGCUUACCGCACCAAUUGUUAACUAGUGAGGUGAACAAAAGGAAGAAGAUGUUGGUUUGAUGAAGGAGGUGUUGGAACAUUUUCAAAUAUUUAUAGUAUCCCAAAAGGUCGUAAAUAAACCAUGCAAUGCAUGCAUACUUAUUCUAAAAUGGACACGACACCUUUUACUAAUAUUAUUCUUUCUUGCACUCCCAUUGGCUUAGGUACACUGCAUGCGUUGUCCCUUCAUGCCGUCUAUUUAAUAAUGUCGUUAAUAAUUUUAAUGUGGUCUUCACUCCAUCCAUCGAUCGUGUCUAGCCUCAGUUUUCCUCCAUACAUCAAAUCAUUUGCAUUUGAAUAUCCCAUCUCUCCUUUUAAUUUUAAUUAUACUGAGUCUUCUUAUGUAAAUUUAGUUUAUUCAGGUUGUGCUUAUGAAUUUAGAUUCAAAAUAUGGAGUUAAAGACGAUUAUAUGAUAAAAGGCAUUGUCUAUGGUUUUUGCUGCAGAAAAUUGUUAACUUUCGGGAUGACGCCAUUAUAAAAUUUGUUUGCAUGAACUAAUUAAUCCAUAGACUUUAAUUAUGUACUAUGUAACGAUUGUAUGAUGAAAGGAAUUGUCUAUGGUUUCUGCUGCAGAAAAUUGUUAACUUUCGAGAUGACGCCAUUAUAAAAUUUGUUUGCAUGAACUAAUUAAUACAUAGACUUUAACUAUGUACUAUGUAGGCGUCCUAGUACAAGGAUUGGGUUGUGAGCAAUACUAAUGGCAGUUAGGCCAUCACAGUACAACUUCAUUGGUGAAGUUAUUGGUUUCCUCAGCUCUUCCAUAAUUCUUUUUAACGACAUCAUUUCACAAAUUCCUUGAGCCAUUGAUCUAAACUCGGCCUCUGCACUACUUCUUGCUACAACACUUUGUUUUUUGCUUCGCCAAGUCACAAGGUUUCCCCAAAAAAAUGUACAGUAUCCUGAUGUAGAUAUUCUAUAUGUUAUUGAGCCUGCCCAAUCUGUAUCUGUAUAAGCUUCAAUUCCACUUUCUUCAAAUUUCUUGAAGAAUAAGUCUUUUCCAGGUGAACUCUUCAAGUAUCUCAGAAUCUGAAACAUUGUUUCUUCAUGUUCUUCCAUUAGGGAGUGCAUAAAUUGACUCACUAAGCUCACUGAAAAAGCUAUGCCUGGCCCUGUAUGUGAUAAGUAAAUUAACUUACCAACUAAUCUUUGGUACUGCCCUUUAUCAACUAAUCGACCUUCUUUAUUUCUGAAUUUUACAUUUGGAUCAAUUAGUGUGUCAGCUGGGCAGCAACCACUCAUCCCAGCCUCUUUUAAAAAAUCAAUCAUAUAUUUUUUCUAAGAGACCACAACACCCUUCUUGGAUCUCAAACUCCAAUGCUAGAUGCUCCUUGAGACGCCUUAUUUAAUCUACAUCAUCUUCUGUAAGAAUGAUAUCAUUGACAUAAACUAUAAUAAUUGUUAUUUUACCUUUUUGACAGUGCCGAUAGAAGUAAGCUUGUUUUUUAACAACUUGAGUGAAUCAUUCAAACCAAGCUCGAAGAGAUUGCUUUAGACCAUACAAAGAUUUCUUGAGCUUACAUACUCGAGUUCCAAAUUUUUACCUUUUUGACCGAGCAACUUUCAUUCCAAGAAAGUAUUUCAAAGGACCCAAGUCUUGGAUCUCAAACUCCAAUGCUAGAUGCUCCUUGAGAUGCCUUAUUUUAUCUACAUCAUCUCCUGUAAGAAUGAUAUCAUCGACAUAAACUAUAAUAAUUGUUAUUUUACCUUUUUGGAAGUGUCGAUAGAACAUUGUGUGAUCAGCUUGCCUUUGUGAGUAACCUUGUUUUUUAACAACUUGAGUGAAUCGUUCAAACCAAGCUCGAAGAGGUUAAUUUAGACCAUACAAAGAUUUCUUGAGCUUACAUACUCGAGUUCCAAAUUUUUCUUCAAAACCUAGAGGAGGAUCUAUGUAAACUUCUUCUUCAAGUUUUUCAUUUAGGAAAGCAUUCUUCACGUCUAGCUGCUAUGAAGACCAAUCAAGAUUAACAGUAAUUGAUAAAAGAACUCUAACAGAAUUUAAUUUGGCUACUGGAGCAAAUGUUUCAAGAUAAUCUAUCUCGUAUAUUUGAGUGCACCCUUUAGCUACCAGCCAGACUUUGUAUCUAUCUAAAGAUCCAUCUGGUUUGAAUUUGGUUGUGAACACCCAUUUACAACCCACUAUUUUUUUCCCUAUAGGUAAUUCUACUAUUUCCCAUGUACCUAUUUUUUCAAGAGCGCGCAUCUCCUUUAAAAUAGCCUCCUUCCACUCAAGAACCUAUAAAGCAUCUUUCACAUUUUUGGGUAUUUCACAGUAUCGAGAUACGAAACAAAGGCUGAGAAUGUCAAAGACAAUGUUUUAUAGGAUACAAAGUUAGACAUGGGGUAUUUGACAAAAUUUCUAACACAUUUUCUUUUAACAAUUGGAAUAUCUAAAUCAGAAAAUUCAUUGGCUGGAUUAUGAGCUUUACCUGGACUUUUGACAAGAUCUUGUAGGUCGGAUUCUUGGUGAUGAAUCUGGUAGAUUCCACUUUCUUGACUUCAGUUUCUUUUUGAGUAAACAAUUAACUCCUUUGUUUGUUCUUUAUUCUCAUGAUCAGACUUUACGCCUUUAUACUCAUUUUUAUUAAUAACAUUAACAUCAUUAAUUUCUGUGUUAAUCAUAAAUUUACCUUCCCCAUUAUUAGAAUCUCUAUGUUGUAUAUUUCUAGUCUUUUCUUGAUCAAUUAUAGAAUCUUCCUUACUAUAAUUUCCUCCCUGAAGAUUAGAAUCAAAAUAAGAUUGCAUUUCAACAAAUGUGACAUCCAUGGUACAAUAAUCUUCCUAUCAAUUGUAUCAUAACAUUUGUAACCUUUUUUAUUAGAAGCAUAGCCAACAAAGGCGCAUUUUUUUUUCUCUAGGAUCUAGUUUACCAUGGUUGUAAAGAUGAACAAAAACACUACACCCAAAAACUCAAAGGGAUAAAUCUAUGAUCAAUUUAAAGUUAGGAAAGUUAUCUUUAAAGAGACGAAAAGGAGCUCUAUAGUUUAGAGUUGUACUGGGCAUUCUAUUAAUAAGAUAUGUAGCUGUUAACAAGGCUUCGCCCCAAAGAUAACGUGGUACCUGACUAGUGAACAUCAAGACUCUAGUUACUCUAAAAAGAUGUUGGUUUUUUCUUUCUACAAUCCCAUUUUGUUGUGGGGUAUUUGUACAAGAGCUUUGGUGGACUAUUCCAUGUUUGAUUAAGAAAACACUUAAUUGGUCACUAAAAAAUUCCCCACUAUUGUCACUCCGAAAUACUUCUAUUUUCACACCAAAUUGUGUUUUCACCAUAGCAUAAAAAGACUGAAACACAUUUUUAACUUCAGACUUAUCUUUUAAUUUAAAAAAACCCAACAAAUACGAAUAUGAUCAUCAAUAAAUGUGACAAACUAACGUUUUCCUGAAAAAGUUGAGACUCUUGAAGGUCCCCUGUAAUCACUGAAUUUUGCCUGGGUUGGAUUUUGGGCCGGGCUGGUCUCGUAUGGGCCCGAUGAUCGGGCCCAUUAAGAUUUAAUUUUGAACUUGUUUUAGCCUAUUUUUAAUUACUGUUUUAAAUAUUAAUAAAAUAGUAGUAAAAAAAAUCUCAAAAAAAAUAUAAAAAAUACAAAAAAAUAUAAAUUACAUUUUAACCCCUCUACUUUUUAAAAUUUACAUUUUGACCCCAAAAUUUUCUUUAAAUUACACUUUGACCCCUAAUAUUUCGUAAAUUACAGUCAAGCCCCUAAACUUUCCAGAAAUUACAUUUUUGCCCUAUAUUUUCCUAAAAUCGCAUUUUUGCCCCAGAAACUUUACACCCGUUACAAUUUAGUCCUUCUGGGCAUGACAAGACUGCCCCCAACCAGCAUCCGGGCGUGCACCGCACCCUACGCCUGACACCGCCAAUCAGCCAUGCUCCCCACCUCCAUGCCACCUGAAAACAAGAAGGAAAAAGACAAAAUUGAAAGAUUAAAAGGAGAAAAUUGAAGAGAAAGGUGGGGAUUUUUGGGCAGCCAAAAACAAAAAAAAACAGCAGAGAAAAGAGAAAAAAAACAGCAGCAAGCCAAAAGCCUCCACCACCACCCUCCCGCAACCAUCGUCGUCGCACCACCAUUGUGACGCCACCACCACCGUCACACCUACACAAAUGAGGGAAGCAACAAGCAAAUUAUAAAAGCAACAAGCAAAGAAAAAAUAGCAACCAAAAAGAAAAGGAAGAAAGAAAAGAAGAGAAGAAGAAAGAAAGAGAGAAGAGGAGAGGCCGACGAUCGUCACACCGGACGGAGGAGGCGGCGGCGGCGUAGUGACUUGGGGCUAAGGUGACCCGAAGAAGAAAGAAAAAAGAAAGAAAAAAGAAGGAAAAAGGGAAAGAAAAUAGAAAUAUAUAUAUAUAUGCCGGGCUAACCCGACCUGAUGACCCGGAUCCGACCCGCGCCCGACCCAGCCAGCAGCCAACAGGCCAACAGCAGGCCACUCCAACUGUUGGGCAGCAGCCCACUAAGGCCCAAUUCGCAGCAAAAAAAAAGAGGCCUGUCUUUCAAGCCCAAAAUUUGGGCCUUUGGUAAUUUUUUUCUUUUUAAUCUAUUUUAUUUUAUUUAAUGUAUUUAAAUUGUGUUUUAUUUAAUUUAAAUUAGUAUGUUUAAAAAUAGUUUUCAUAGAUAUUAUUAUGUCAUUUUAAUUACAUAUUUUUUUAAAAUAAUAAUGAUAAAUAUUUUAAUGCAUAAGGCAACGAACCGAUUUAGCAUCGAAUCAUCGAAUUCAUCGCUAUGUUGGAUGAAUAUCGAUGGCUCGUGUUAAAUACGGGACGCCCUUCUAAAAAAUCAAAAAUAUUCAAAAUUCCUCGUAUUUCAAUAAAAAUCCUCCUGUUUCAUUAGAAUCCCGAUUAAAUAUUAAAUUGAAUUGAUUUAACACUAAUUCGAUGGUUUCAUCGCCAUAUCGGGGUGAAUAUCAUCAAUUCGUGUUAAAUACGUUAUUUUUUAAAGAAAAAUCGUUUUUAAAAAAUUUUCAUGUUUUCAAAAUUUUCUCGUAUUUCAAAAUUUUUGACUUUUUGCGUUUUCAAAAAAAAUUCUCGUGUUUCAAAAUUGUCGUGUUUUCAAAAAUCUUCGUGUUUUUAAGAAUUUUUGUGUCUCUAAAAUUCUCGUGUUUUAAAAUUUUUUCGUGUUUCCAAAAUAAUAAUAGUAAUAAUUGUUUCAAAAAUCUGUGUUAAAAAAAUUCGUAUUUUGAUCGGAUCGCGAUUAACUAUUAAAUUGAACUCGUAUUUUUGAAAAUGAAGACAACGCGCGUUUAACGAGAUACCAAUUUUGGGCGUCGCGAGGGUGCUAAAACCUUCCUCGCGCGUAACCAACUCCCGAACCCUAAUUUUCUCUGGAUUUCAACGUAGACCUAAAAUUGCCUCUUUUUUAGAAAAGUUUAAAAUUAAAUUUUUUCUUCUAAAAAGAGAGUUUUGAAGGUGUCCGAUCACACCUAGAAAAAGAUUGGUGGCGACUCCUUUUUUUUUCAAAUAAAAUCAAAACUCCGCUUUCAAAUUUUUCAACAAUCAAUUUGAUUAGCGCCCGUACUCGAAAUUUUUUAGGUCGCUACAUCCCCAAACAUCACUAUGAAUUAAUGAAAAAGGUUUGGAAACUUAAUAUUUUUAAGGUGGAAAGACUGACCGAUGAUGUUUAGCCUGUUCACAAAAUUCACAAUGAUAUGAAUAAGGACUUUUAUUUUUAAAUAGAUUAUUUAACAAAUAUCUUAACUAGUAAAAAUUAGGAUGAACAAGCCUAUAAUGCCAAAUCAUAAUUUUAUCAAAACCAGAAACAGAAUUUAAACAUAAAGUAGUUGUUGGUUGACUUAGAUGGUCGUCGUCAAUAAAGUAAAUUCCACCAGAUUCUUUAGCAUUGCCAAGCAUCCUCCCUGAGACCAUGUCCUGAAAUUUACACAGAGAUGAGUUAAAUAUAACAUUGACAAUUCGAGGAUUGGAAUAAUUUACUGACUGAUAUGAGAUCACAAGCUAGAUUUGGUACAUGUAAAACAUCAUGUAAAACCAAGGAAGAAGAAAUUUUAACAGUGCAUUUCCCAGCUAUUGCCGAGAACGACCCAUCUACUACUUUGAUCUUUUUGUUUCCUGCACAAGAUGUGUAAGUUGAGAAAAGAAAAUGACUACUAGUCAUGUGAUCACCUGCUCCAGAAUCGAUGAUCCACGUGUUGUUUUACAAGGCUUGACACUGAAAAAAAUAAAAAAAAUUUAGUACCUGAUUGAGCAAAGGAGAAAGAAGGAUUAUUGGAUGAGUUAAGAAUAGAAGAAUUCGUCCAAAAUUGUGGUGACUGAAAAAGUUUGUGUAGAUGCUCUAAUUGUUCCUUAAUGAAUGGAGACCCUUCUAAAGAACUUUGACCCUCAUAAUUUUUAGUAGUUGUUUUAAAAACUCUACUAUCCCCUAAUUAUGAACCACGACCAUUGCCACUCUUUUUUUUCCAUUCAUCGGUUUUCCAUGGAGCUUCCAACACGUUUCUCGAGUGUUAAGGGUUAAGGGUUCAACUAAGAAACUUAACAAAAUUCUGAAAUUUAUGUAACUCAAACCUCAAACCUUUAGUGAGCAAACAAAGCACACAACCACAGAAGCAAACACAUUUUCCUUGACACAACUUAGCAAUUAAAAUUCAAAUUUUGGGGCGUUACAAUGUUGCAAAGCUAGUUUGUAACAAAACAUAUAUAUAAAUUGAAUUCAAAUCAUGCAUAAAAGUACAAACCAUAUUCGAGUUCCAAUCGUGUGUUCGAGAUUUUCCUUUCAGAGUUUUGAACUAACAAUUUUAAUGUAAUAUUUCAUGAUGACUACUACAACACAUGAAAGUGGAACACUAAGGGAGUUGGCUUCCAACUUUGUUGAACUUGAUCGUUUUGAUGGUGGCAAUUUUCGACGAUGGCAGAAAAAGAUGCACUUUUUAUUAUCAACUUUGAAGAUUGCUUAUGUUUUGGAUACUCCAAGACCUGAAGAGAAUGAAAACGAAUCUGUUGCUGCAACCCGAGAAAGACAAAAAUGGGACAAUGCUGAUUGCAUGUGCAUGUGUAAUACCCCAAAAAUUUUUACAGUAAGAUAUUAUCUUUGAUAUAAUAAAUAAGGAAAUAAAGUGAAAAAAAGGGGAAAUUUUGGAGCUAUGUCAACAUUGGGAAGUAUAUUAUGACAUAUUAGUUCAAGAAAGGAUUAAAUCGCAAAAGUGAGAAAAGUUUUGUUGCCCAAGAGUAAAUACUCAAAAUUUGAGGGGUUAAAGUGUAAAUAUGAAAAGUUAAAGGACCAAUGGUGUAAAUAUUUUAAGAGUAGAAUGAUCUAGAAACUAAGUAAAAUGGAUGGAUUAGGACCAAAUUGAAAAAUGUGAAGAAUUUUAAGGGACUAAAUUACAAUUUUACCAAAUUAAAUGAUGACUAAAGGAUGGAAUUUUAAAAGAUUAUAAAGGGAAAAAUGGUCAAUUAGAGAGAGAGAAUUCUAGAAGGUAAUGAUGAUGUUGGUGAUAUUUUUAAUUAAUUAAUUAGAUAAAUGUUAUUUAAGUUUUUUUUUUUUUGAAUUUGUAAAUUGCUGCAAAAGAAAACAUUGGUCGUUUGGGAACGAGAACCAUAAAUUAUCAAGAACCUUCGGUUUUUUUCAACAAUGUUAAUGCAUUGAUGUACUCUGCCAAUCUAUAACAGUUAACCACUUUAAUGAAAGUCGAAAGCGCUAAAUUGGGUACUUCCAAUGGACUUGCAAGUUCAUCUACUUCAAGCGAAGCACAACCAUCUAACCGCACAUCUUCUAUACUUGUUAGAAGCUCAGGCACUGAUUUAAGCUCCUUGCAAUUUGACAAUCGAAGGGUUUAAAGCUUUGAAAGUCGAGUAAGAGUUGAAGGAACGCCAUUGAAAUUGUUACCACUAAGAUCAAGUAAUAUCAAAGAGGAUAAACCAGAAACAUCACUUGGAAUAUCUGCUUCACAAAGAUUGCGAACAUUGCUAUUUGACAAUCAAAGAUAUUGAAGCUUGGAGAGUCGCAUAAGAGACACGGGUAUGUUGCUGAAACUGUUACCACUAAGAUCAAGUUUUUUCAAAGAGGAUAAACAAGAAAUAUCACUAGGAAUGUCUCCUUCCCGAAGAUUGCUAUCCCUUAGAUUCAACUCUCUUAAACGGGACAGGAAGGCAACAUCAGAGCCAUGGAAUUCAUUCUUCCUCUUUGGAUUACCUUGGAAAGAGAAGAAAGAUUUCUUUGUACCUUAGAUUGCAUCCAUUGAAAGAAAAAACUUCAAGAUUUUUCAAUUAAAAAAUGAAGGAUGGUAGUUUUGUUAUAGUUGUUUCACUUAAGUCAAGCUCUUCCAAAAAUUCUAAUUGCAGUGAACUAUGGCAAAUUUUCUAACUUUAUAUAACAGCCAGAAAGAUCAAGAGUUUGUAGGCAUCCCAUUUUCCCAUCAAUCUCUGAAACCUUACAAGAUUUGAACAACCGAAAGAAUUAAUGUUUCAAGAGAUUCCAUUCCAAUUUUGGUUGGAAGACUCCUAAGAUUCCAUUCCAAUUUUUGUGGUCAUAGGUGGCGAUUAUAGUGGUGAGAGGUUCGUGUCUUUAAAGUGUAAGAGUGAAGGAAACAAUCAAGAUGUGUGUGAUUAAGUAGGUUUAUUUUGUAAUUGUAGAAAAUAGUACACACUUUAAACUGAGUUAGGCUCCACAGACGUAGGGGGUAACUAAACUGCGUAAUCAUCUUCGUGUGUUUUGUGUGUUUUUUUGUUUUUCUCAUUUAGUACUUGAAGAAGUGCCCACUAACUUAGGUACCAAUUUCUUAGUGUUGUAUCUCUAUUAGCAACGCACUUCUUGCUAGCAAUAGUUUUUUUUUUUUCAAAAGCUUUUACAUUUUUAUUUCUUUAAUGAUUCAUUAGUUUUUGUUUAAAAAAAAAGUUUUUCAUAAGGGCAAGGAUGAAAUUAAAAUUUGACGUCAACUUGAUUUUUUUUUUAAUAAUAGCUAAAGCUACUCAUAGUCUCUUCCCAACCCUUAAAAAGGAGGAUAACAUGCUUCAGCUCGCUUAAACUCACAUUCUCCUACGCUGGCAACAAUGUCAAUGUCAAUUUAAAACUUGAAUACAAAUUAUUUAUCUCUUCACUUAUUAUUCAAUUAGAUAUAAAAAUUGUUUUGCUUAUAGUUUAGUUAUAUUUUUAAUUGAUUGAACUAGUUUAGUUUAGUUAUACAAAAACUUGAUGACAUAUUUAGGCUUCCAACAUUACAAAAAUAAAAGUCUUUUUAGCUUUCUAUUUAAUUUUUUGCCUCUCUUUAAUCCUCAAACUUAAGUUUAUUUUUUUGUCAGAUCACAGCAAAAGUGAUCAAACGUUUAAUUUGCUAAUGUGGAACAAAUAAUUAAUUUUUAAUAUUUUUUGAAUUUUUAAAAAAUUAUAAUAUAUUUUUUAUUUUUAUAAAAUUUUUAAAUAAUCUUAAUAACUUUCUAUUUUUUGGAAAUUUUUAAAAUUAAUUAAUAAGGCAUUAUGCCAUUUGAUUUUUACUGAACCCGACUGUUUUAGCUUUCACUAAAAUACUGCCAGCUCUACCAACUUUGGAGCAUUGUAGAGAUGAUCUGUGAAGUUGUUGCGAGUAUCUUCACCUCUAAAACUCAAGAAAACAUCAUAUUUCCUUUUAGAAAUGGACGAUGGAGUUGAAGGUAACGACAACAUGAGGAUAUAUGAGAAGAAAAAGAUAUCUCAAUUUAGUGCUCAAAAUCAGAAAAUAGUUCGCUCAAUACCACAGAAAGAAACUGGGAACAAUGGGUUGAUGAGGAUAAGAAAGAGAAAAGCAGAUCUACAAAUAGAUGAGGGAUGAUGUUCUUUCCAAGAAGGUGAGAGUUGAUUUUAUAUCGGAUAUAUAUAAUAGUGCUAUUAAAUUAUUUGUAUGCAAUUAUUGAAUAAAGUUAUCAAACAUAAACUCAGUGAGUCACAUGGCCUGGACAUACACCUGUGUGUCUCACCUGUGUGACUCUAAUAUGAAUUUAGUGAGUUACACGGCCUGGACACACGCCCGUGUGUCUCACCCGUGUGACCCCUACAUCUCAUUACCCACACACAGCCUCUCCCACGCCCGUGUGUCUACAAAUUCAAAGUCAAGGAGUUACACGGCCCGCCACACAGCCUCCCACAUAGUCGUGUGACUCACACGGCCAGCACACGCGCCCGUGUGCAGUUGACACUCCCGAUUCUGGCGAAGAAAAAAACACAGAAAAAGAGGGGUUUUGGCACCCACCUGUUACCCGAUGCUGAAGAAGCACCCAAUUAUAAAAUCCAAGCCUAAAACAAGUUCAAAACACUCAAUUCAAUAAAACUUCCGCAAAAUACGCAAGCACCAACAAUCAAACUUCGUCGAAACAAGUGAAAGAUUACUUACCACGGAUUCCUAGUACUCACUCAAUUCCUAAGUAAACGAUAGGCGUUAGGCAUCUUUUGAAUUCCUCCCUAAUGUAACGAAACAACGCAUAACAAGUUAUCAGACCCCAAGACUUAUGAAAACCCCAAAUUCAAAAUGACAGACUUUAUGAAAAUAUCGACUUAACUUACCUUGAAACACACCAGAACAAGCAAAAAGGCGAUCUAACGAAGCAAUUUAUACGAAAGAACAGACAAUAAAAGAAAAGAAUUAAGGAAAUAUGAACAGAAAAGAAAGAAAGAAAAAGAACAAUUUGGGAAAGAAAAAAAAUGAAGAAGAACGUCAAAUCCAAGAGGGAAGGACAUUUAAAUUUCAAAUCAAUUUUUACUGAAUAUCCAAAAAUAAAAUCAUUGUUGCAAACGCUAUAACUUGAACGCAGAAUUAGAGAGUAGACAGACAUUUAACCGGUGAACCAGCAAGUUUAUUUUUGACAUAAGCUGCACAAAACUAAACUUAAACAAAGAAUCCUAAGUUAAGGGUUCAAGUAAGAAAUUUAACAAAAUUCUGAAAUUUAUGUAACUCAAACCUCAAACCUUUAGUGAGCAAACAAAGCACACAACCACAAAAGCAAACACAUUUUCAUUGACACAGCUUAGCAAUUAAAACUCAAAUUUUGGAGCGUUACAAUGUUGCAAAGCUAGUUUGUAACAAGACAUAUAUAUAAAUUGAAUUCAAACCAUGCAUAAAAGUACAAACCAUAUUCGUUUCUCGUCUACGACUCUCGCAUUUCCUUUUUCUCGAGACAAUCUAACAUCAUCUUUAGCUAUGUACAAUAAUAUAAGUAUAGAAACGAUAUUAGUUUUUCAUCCAAUCACAUUAAAAACAAAUAAUCAAACAUAUUUUGCAUUUUAUUCAUUUUAGUCAAAUACUCAUAUUUUCCAAUAUUUAAUAGCGGAUGAAAAUCUGAUUUCAUAUAUAUCCUUUCAUUAGAGACAUUAUACUUUUAAUCUAUAGCAUAAUUUAUUAAAAAUUUUUAAUUUAUUAAAUUCAUCCCUAAGGUCACAAAAUUAUAUUUAAAGCUUAACUUGAUUUCUAACUUAAACCUUAACAUGAUUUAAGUUUACUAACUAACAAUCUCUUCAAUUUCAAGCUUAAUUUUAUCAAUUAUACAUCAAUGGUAACUUGCUAGACAUCUAACAAUUAAAGAAAUCGAUACAUGGGUAGCUAAACCAAACUCUAAUGUUUCAAAAUUCAUAAAAAUCUUAAGGAAAGAACUUAAUUACCUUGAUUAAUUUUGGAUUAAAAUGGAAAAGAAAAGAAAGAAGUUUUUCCUUCUUCUUAGCUUGGGACGACCAAACACAAUAAGAAAGAUAACUUCAUCUUUCUCUCCACUCACUUUUAAAAUCUUAAUUAGAUUAAUUAAUCAUCAUUAAUAAUAUAAUUUUAAUAAGUUAGUUUUAAUUAAUCAAGUCAAUUAAGAUAAGUGGAUGUAAUCUUACCAUUGCACUAUCAUAUUUUAAUAAUCAUCAAUUUAUUUUAAGGUCCUUAGAUUAAUUAUUAAUUAAGUCCUCAAUUAUUUUCUAAAUUAAAAUUUAAUAGCGAUUAAACUUUUAAAAUUUACGGCCUAAACUUUAAUUAUUGAUUUUCUGACUUAAUUACCGGUUUUUUAAUAUAUUUUUAUACUAACUUUGUCAAUACUUCUAUUCAUAUUUUCUAUCUCUAAGUAAAUAUAUAAUGAAAAAAUUUUAAUAAAAAAAUGAAACCAAUCAAAAUAUACACAUUUCAAUUAUAUAAAAAAAUGAAUUAAAUGAUAAAAAUUUUAAAUAGAAUAUGAGCUUAUGUUCAAAAUGAGUAUGAAUGAAGAUUUUAAUUUUUUUUGGAAAGAUCAUAUCUCAAAUGCAAAUAAAUUUAGAAUGAUUACUUUAAAUGAAAUAAAAAUUAUAAACAAGGUAGAUGUUUAAGUAGCUUACCACAGUUAAUGCUUCUUCGAUUGACCCAUUAUAAAAUUGAAAAACUUUUCCGUUUUGGUUGCAGCCCUUCUUCCCCUGCUUCCUUGUAGAUAUUAUGUUUUCGUUUUAUGUGAGUAGUGAGCAGAGUGUUGGUAGAUGUGUUCAAAAUUUAGAAAAGAUUGAGUGGUAUGGCACUGCAACUCUUUUAUUUCUUUCAAAUCUUUCUCAUGCAUUAUUCUAACACCACACUUCUUCACCUUGGCACUGCGUCCAAAAGGAUCUAUGAAAGACACCUCAAGCUCAUCCCAUUUUUUAUCUAAGCAAUCUGUUGCCCAUAAAUUGCUGGUUUCACAGUCACCAUAUUUAUCGUCCAAGGAAGAUGAGUAUAAGUUAUCACGAGACCAAUAAUGAAGAAAAAGGUGAUCUUUCAUUAUGGGCUCGUUAAGUCGUUUACCCACCAACGAGCCUGUCCAAUCAAUCAGUCCAGGAUUUUUACAAUAGAUAAAUGUUCGACAAUUGAUAACCUCGUCAUCCCUUGAAGCAUCAUUAUUGACAAAAAUGCAGCAAGAAGCAACUCCAAUCCAUUGACUAUCUUUCCGAAGGGGUAUCUUAAUUAAAGAGUCACUUUUUUUUUGGCUAAACCAUUCUGGGAUUUCACUUCCGGGCAUAAUAAUGUCAAACCUUUUUAUUGAAUUUGCAAAUGCCUGCAAAAUAAAACACAAGUCGUUUGGUAACUAAAACCAUAAAUUCUAAAGUAUGAGAUUUUGUAAGGGAGAAUAAAGAGAUUAAUCGACCUUAAGAUGUUUUUUCAGCAGUGUUAAUGCAUUGAUAUUCUCAGCCAAUUUGAAGCAGUUAAAGGCUUUAACGGCAGCCGAAUCCACUAAAUUGCAUACUUUUGAUGGACUUGCAACUACUUGAAGUGAAGAACAACCAUCUAUCUCCAUAUUUCUUAUGGUUGUUAGAAGCCCAGGUAACGAUUUAAGCUUCGUGCAAUUUGAUAAUGCAAGCACUUGAAGCCUGGAAAGUUGAGUAAGAGCCAAAGGAAUGGUGAUGAAAUUGCUACCCCUAAGUUUAAGAUAACUCAAAGAGGAUAGACCACGAAUAUCCGCUUCACCAAGAGCGCACAUGUUGCAAUUUGACAAAUCAAGAAACCAAAGCUUCGAGAGUAGAGUAAGAGAUGCAGGUAUGCUGAUGAAAUUGUUACCAAUAAGAUCAAGAUCUAUCAAGGAAGAUAGGCAAGAUAUAUCACUAGGAAUAUCUCCUUCACGAAGAUUGCAGUCCCUUAGCUUCAACUCUCUUAAUGGACUUAAACUUGACAACGAAGGCAACAUCAGAGGCAUAGAAUUUGUCCUUCCUUCUUGGGUACACCAGUUAAUAUACGAUUUCCCAUCAUCUCCAUAUGGAUCCAACAUUCUUAUAUUCAUUCUCAACCUAUAUAUAUACAUUUUAUUUUGAUAUUAUUUAAAUAUAUAAUAAAAAUAAAAUUAAUAAAACAUAAAAUUUUAUCAUAUAUACCUGAGCAAGAAUGAUGUUUCCUUGGGAUGCAAGUAGUUUCUUUUUUUGACCAUAUCAACUAUCAAAGUUGUGAAGUUUUUCAUUUCAUUCUAAAAAUAAAGGAAAAUAAAAGACAUUAUUUAUAUAUAAAAUAAACAAAAAUAGAAUUGAUUUUUUUUAAAAAAUUUACUGAAAAUUAAAAGAAUUACCAUAAAGACAUCAUUUUUAGUAUGGAGGGAAACUCCAAGCAUGUUAUGCAUCCAUACAGGAAAGCCUCUAAUAAAAAAUAAUAAUAAAACUAUUAAUACUGAAAAAUAGUUAAAUAAUUUAUGAAAUAACAUAAUUAGUUAAAAUUUUAAAAUAAAUUAAUUUACCCAUAAUUCCACUCGGCACAAGUAUAAGAUCCAAUUCAAAGAAUUGCAUAUAAACCUUGGUCUUGAAUCGUUUUAAGAAAUCAAAUAAGAUCAAGAUUUUCACUAAAAUCAUAUUGACGACGAGCUGGUUCAUGUGCAUUUCAAAAUACAUAUGUUUCAACCGCAUCCAAUCCACCUUCUUUGGCUUUUCUUAUAAGAUCCGACCACAUCUAAUAAAAAUUUAAAAAAAUCAAUCAAUCGUUCAAAUUCAAAUUAUAAAAAAUAUUCCGGAUAACUCAAUUGUAAAUUAUUACCUGAGCAGUACUUCUCGGAUAAUGAACCGAACCCGAAAAAACAAUUCUAUGAUUUCCAUAAAUUAUGAUGGAUCUUGAAUCAUAAGUGACAUUAAGCGCAUUCAAAUAAAAUAGGAUGAAAGAAAAAAUAAGAUAAGAAAAUAAAAUAGUGAAUAUAUUCUUCUUCUUCUUCUUUUUUUUUUCCAUCUACUAAAGCUAAAAGGAAGUGUUGAUUGAAAAAUCAGUAGAGUAUGAUAACGUCUUUAUAAGCGUGGUGAUUGAAUUCAUAUCAAAUACUUGAUUUUUAGAAGAUAUUUACUUUGAUUUAUUUGCUGUUUUAAAUAGAUUUAUAUAAUCAGUGAUAUGAGAUUAAAUCAGCAAAUUGUGUUGAAAGUUGAGUUUUAGUUCUAUGUAGCAGCAUUAAUUAAAUAUUUUUGAUAAUUAAAUAAACUUUUUUAAUUAUAAUUAAUUAGAGUAUUGCUUUCAUACGACGGGAGUCAUUGGUUCAAAUCCAAUAAUAGGUAGAAUUUAUUAGAUACCAUCGAUCCCGGUGUCUAAUAAGUUUUUCUAUCCACCUUCUUUUAUUGAUUUUCUAUCUUUUUCAUCCUAUUUUAUCUCCGUUUUCAAUUUUUAAAUUUUUUGUUGGAUCAAGAUCCGAUUUCACUUUUGAUUAUAUUUGAUUCUAUUUAAUUGGCAGAAUCAACAUGAGAUGUAUAAACGAAAGUUUUGUUUUUACGAAAAUUCUCCAACUUGUUACGAAAUCGCGUUGAUAACCUCGACUUGUGUCCUAGCCUGUUUGACAGCUAGAUUUGCCUCAAUUGUUUGCCUCUUGCCUUCAGCUUUCCUCAUGUUAGCUUGCUGAGCUUCUUGUGGACUCAUCUAUAAAAUUCUCGUUUAUUAAAACUUGUAGAGUUCUAGUUAAAUUAAAUUAAGAUUUCUUUCAUCAACAAAUGAGACUUGCUUUUUGAAGAAUAAAGAUUAUAUACCGAAAAGAAUAAGCGAGCAAUUAGUAAAGGGUAUAUCCAUAAUAACUUUUUACAUCACUGGUAAAUGAUACGACACAGUCACGAUUCAGCUAUAAUAUUAUCCAUAAUAACUUUUCACAUUGCUAGUACACGAAUCAAGUAGUUGCCAUCCCAAAGGAUUGUUAGUAGAUCAAUCUUGCUAACACCUGUUAGAGAAAACAGGAUGAAGUACUUCCCUGUGUAACACCAACAAUGGCUCUAAUCCGAAAAAGAGAUUGCAUUUAAAGUUGUUAGCAAACUCAUUCAUUCCUAGCUACCCACAAUGACCAUAACAUAGCGCCAUAGAAACAAGCCAUUUCCUCUUAACAUUCCAAACAUGCAGCAAUAUUCAUACACAACAUUUCAAGGAAUCGCACACAUAACACCCCACCAUUGAAACAACACUCCCCAAGCUUUCCAAGAAAGGAAGUAAGAAAGAAAAAUAUGAUCACAGUUCCCUUCAACUUCAUUGCACCAACAACAAUUGAUGGAAUCAUUAAUUGUUAUAAUACCUCGAUCCCUUAAAAAAUAUUUUGAAGGCAUACCAUUCUGGAAUGAGAGUGUCGAAACCGUUUUUUUGAAAACAAAAAUUUGGUUGUCGACUUUAAAAAUAAAACUGGAGUCGCCACCGAUCCUUUAUUAGGGUGUGAUCGGCUCACCUUAAAAAUUAUUUUGGCCUUUUGAGAAAACGAGUUCGGGAGUCAGUUACGCACGAGGAAGGGUUAGCACCCUCGUAACGCCCAAAAUCGGUACCAAAUUGACUAUUUGAUGUCUUAGUGUCGAAAGUUAAAAAGAUUUUAAAAUCAACUCAAAUGAUGGAAUUUGAAAAGAGAUAAUCAAUUGUUCAAGUCAUGUAAAGAAAUCGAGUCCCAAUACGUUAGGGUACGAUUCCUCAUAAUCUCCAAACUUUGAAUAUCACUUUAUUUUAUAUGAAAAUCUUCAUUUUGAGAAAGUAACAUGCCACACCCAAUACGUUAGGACACAGCAAGUUAGGUUCCCAAAAAUGAUUCUUUAGACUCAUGCAUUUUGAAUAAAAAAAAAUUCCCAAAUACCGAAUUGUGCCUUUUGUUUGAAAAUUCUUAUUUCGAGAAGAAAAUGUCAUGACCAGUAAGUUAGGACCCAACACUUUGAAUUCCCGAGAAUAAGCUUUUAUUUAAAAUUUGCGAACUUAUUGCAAAACAAAUACUUGGCCUUCUAGAUUCAUCGAAAAAUAAUCGCGAUCCAAUAAGUUAGGACACGACCUUCCUCGAGAACCACGAAUACCAAAUAUUUUGGAAUUUAUAAAACAUGAUGAUUUUAAUGCUUUGACGCAACCAAAAUACAUUUUCUUUAGAAAGUGUAGAAAAAUGCUAAUAUAUCACAUAAAAUCAAUAUUUUAAUUUAAACUAUACAUGUAAAAAAAAUGUUAAUACAUAUAUAUACACAUAUACAAAAAAUUAUAAAAAUAAUAAGACAUAUACAUAUAUUUACAAAAUAAAAUAUGAUAUAUAAGUAAAUUUUAAAAAUAUGUAUAUGCAUAUAUUAAAACAUAUAUAAUAAAAUUAUAAAAAUAAAAUAUAAAAAUAUGUAUAGGUAUCUAAAAGUAUAUAUAGAAAUAAAUAAAAAUAAAUAAAAUAUAUAAAAAAAAUAUAUGUUUAUAUAAGGAAAAUGCGGAAAGAAGGAAAAAAAAUAUUUAAAAGUUUUAAUAAUGUACGUAUAUAUAUUAUAAAAAUGUAUAUAUAUUUAGAUUAUAAAAUAUAUAAAAACUAUAUAAAUAUUAUAAAAUAUAAAUAUAUAUGUAUAUAAAAUAAGAAAAUAAAAUACUAAUAAUAUAUAAGAUAUGUAUAUGUAUUUAAAACCAUUUAAAAUAUAUACAUAUAUAUGUAUAAUAAGAUACAUAGGUGCGUAUAUACAUAAAUGUAAUAAUAAUAUAUAAUACAAUAAUGAUAAUAGCAAUAAUAAUAACAAAAACUACAAAAAAGCCUUAAAAAGGACCGUUAAGGAUUAAACUGAAAGCUAAACGAAGUUAAAAGGCCAAGUAAAAAUAGAAAACACCAGGAAGGUCCAAAGUGAUACGCGCGCCAUGAGGGGAGGACUUAAAAAGAAAUUUUCCCAAGUCACUGAAGCGCUGGCAGUGACAUGGAUUAAAUCGUCACGUGAGCAAAAUAUUUGGGCCGAAUUUUAAAAGAAAAAAAAACUUGAUUGAAACACGCAGCAAAAGGGGAAGGGCCAGGCGCGAAAUUUCCCCAUUCAGGGCCAGAACGCGCGGAUCCCCCCUCCGGGUCGGGUCGACGCGCGGGUCAUGGCACCCUAAACGGCGCCGUUUUGUCUUUAGUAUUAAAACUAAAAUUUUUCAAAAAAAAACAAUCUUAUUUCAUUUUUUCUUUUUUCCUUAAAACAAACAGAGGGAGAAAGGGGAGUGCUCUGCUAGGGUUUCCUUAACCUAGCCCCCCCAAGCCGCCGCAGCUCCUCCUUCUCUGCCGUUUCAGACCCCACGGCGGCGAAACGAAGGGAUCCUCCGACAACGCUCCAAAGGUAAGUUCCCCCCUUUUCCCUUCCUUCUCGUUUAUUUUUGUUUUAAAAAUUAAGGAAGAACAAAAUAAAAAAACAAAACAGUACAAGAACAGAGAGAAAGAAAAUAAAAUCAAUCACCUUUAAAAAAAAAUCUUUUUUUUAUCUCUUAUUUCUGUAUUUUUUUUUGGAACCGAUCCUCUUCCUUUUACAAAUUUUCAUCGGCUUUUAAAUAGCCGAAAAUCAGAAAGAAAAAAUGAAACAAAAAUCUAAAGAAAUCUCUUCUGUUCGUGGCUUGUGGUUUUCAUGACAGGUGUGCGACGACUGCAGCAACGUGGGAAGCGACGUGCUGCGAUGGAGGCGCGCGAGCGGCGCGAUCUGCGGAGGUGGUUGUGGCUUGCGGCGGCUGGAGCGGGGAGGCUACUUAGGGUUUCUGAAAUUUCUUGUUUGGGUUAAUGUAAUUGGGCUGAAUUUUUGGGUUUAGUUUGUAGAUGGGUAAUUGGGCCUGCUAUGUUUUUAUUUUAUAUGGGCCCGGGCAGAAAAAAUUGGGUAUUACAGAGAGCAAUAGGAAGCAUUGCACCUUUGAUGCACCAAUGAACCCUCAGAAUCAAGAGAAAACACAAAUUUCUUUACAGUAAAUUUCCCUUUGCUGUCCACCUCCCACAUUCGCCUUAUUACAUUAAUCACUGAAUCCAUACAUAGCCAAUUUCCAUACCGAUGUUCCCUCAAGUAAGCUUUAAUCACACCGUGGUCUCAAAAUAGUUUGCUCAAGGACUGGUGUUUCAGAGAAGUCAUCCCUUGGAUUAUUGCAGAGCCGAAUGAUUUGUGAUAUGGUUUUGUCGAUAUGGGAUCUUCUGUUAGCAUGAAUUGAAGCCAUUUAAGUAGUAUUAACUAUUAAGGACCUAUAUAAACUACAAAAUGAAGCUAUUUAAAUACUAUUUAAGCAACACCAAAACAGAGUACAGGUUCCCAUGGCGUUUUAUUUAGCGAAAAUAGUCUGAUGACAAAGAUAAAAGAUGAUUAUAUUUCACCCUAUUACCUGCUUCUUCAUGCAGUGAAAUAUAGAUGUAAGUUUAUACUAUAACAUAAAAUUUAAUAAAUAAAUAAAUAAUAAAUUUCAUUAAACAGUACAAGUUUCAAUCAUGUAAAAAUUAAUUAAUUAGAUGAAUAAAUUUUUAAAUGCAUAAAAACACUAUGUUGUCUUUCAACCAAAACAUGUCAUUCAAUAAAAGUUGGUGUUCAACAUGUCUAUACUCAAAAUUUAGAGUUGAUUACAUAAUUUGAAGAAUCAUAUUUCAUACUCGUAUCAAAAUAUAUGUUGAGUAAAGAUGUUCAAAAUGAAUACUUUAAAUGUAAAUAAGGUCGGUAAAAAGGUCUAAAAACAGAAUUUAUAGGGCAAGGCUAGUGAAGUAGUUUACCACAGUUACAGCUUCUUCCUCGAUCGGCUCAUUAUAAAAUUGAAAAAAUUUUGCAUCCAUUUUGGUUUUUGUUUUACAAGGGAAGUGCUACCUAUUGAAUCUAUUGAUCCAUCGUUAUUAGCAGAGUGUUGAUGGACAUCUUCAAGAUUUGGAGAACAUUGAGUGGUAUGGCUAUGCAGCUCUUUUAUGUCUUCCAAAUCUUUCUCAUUCACCAUUCUAACACCACACUUCUUCACCUUAACACAGGGAACAUCCGGGUCUGUGAAAGACAAUUCAAGCUCAUCGCAUUCCUGAUCUAAGCAAUCUAUUGUCCAUAAAUUAUUAAUUUCACAUUCACCACAUUUAUCCUCUAAGGAAAAUGGAUAUAAUUUAUCACGCGACCAAUAUCGAAGAAAUAGGUGAUCCUUCGUUAUGGGCUGGUUAAAACGUUUCCCAAACAACCAACUACUUGCAUCGACACGUCGAAGAUCUGUAUCUCGAAAGACAGAUCCAUUUCGACCGGCUUGUCCAGAAUUUCUACAAUGGAUAACAGCUCUGCAGUUGAUAAACUUAUCCCGGGAAGCAUCAUCAUUGACAAAAAUGCAACAGGAAGCUACUCCAAUCCAUUGACUAUCAUUCUGAAUAUUGAAUGGUAGAGGUAUCCUAAUUGUAGAGCCACCUCUCUGUUGGCUAAACCAUUCUGGGAUUUCACUUCCAGGUAUAAUAACAUCAAACAUUUGUCUUGAAUUUGCAAAUGCCUGCAAAAUGAAACUUCAGUCACUUGGUAAAUAAAACCAUAAAUUCCCAAGUACGAGAGGGAAAGAAAGAGAGAUUAAUUAACCUUGAGAUGUUUUUUCAACAAUGUUAACGCAUUGAUGUUCUCCGCCAAUCUGUAGCAGUUAAUGGCUUUAAUGGAAGCUAAAUCCAAUAAAUUGCAUACUUUUGAUGGACUUGCAACGCCUUCAAGUGAAGCACAACCAUCUAUGCACACUCUUGCUAUACUUGUUAGAAGCUCAGGCAACGAUUUAAGCUCUUUGCAACUUGAUAACAUAAGAAGUUUAAGCUUGGGAAGUCGAGUAAUAGACGCAGGUAUGCUGAGGAAAUUGUUACCACUAAGAUCAAGAUGUGUCAAGGAGGAUAGGCAAAAAAUAUCACUAGGAAUAUCUCCUUCACGAAGAUUGCAGUCCCUUAGCUUCAACUCUCUUAAUGAACUCAAACUUGACAACGAAGGCAACAUCAGAGGCAUAUUUGGUCGUAACUUAGAUGAUGGUCCUUUGCACCCAUUGAAAGACAGAAUUUUAAGAUUUUCCAAUUGAAAAAUCAAGGAUGGUGGUUCUGUUAUCGCUGUUUCACUCAAGUCAAGCUCUUCCAAAAACUCUACUUGCUGCAAAUUCACUGGCAAAUAUUUAAUUUUAUAACAACUAGAAAGAUCAAGAGUUUUUAGAUGUUCCAUUUUCCCAUCAAUCUCCGGAAACCUUACAAGACUUGAGCAACCUGAAAGAAUUAAUGUUUCAAGAGAUUCCAUUCCAAUUCUGGUUGGAAGACUCCUAAGACUUGUGCAGUCUCUUAAAUUUAAAAGUUUAAGCAUCUUAAGCACUCUGAUUGAUGGAUGGACAUCUACUAAUCUGGUACAACCUUCCAUAAUCAAAGCUUCAAGUUUUGGUGUUGUUCUGAAGUCUGGUGUCUUGAUCAGGUAUUGAGACCCUUUGAGGUUGAUCAUUUUCAACUUAUACAAGGGCUGUUGAAGACAAUAAUAAAUUAGAGAGAAAACAUAAUAAUGCUCAGUUUUGUUUUUGUUUUUCUUUUUUUACCUUAAUCAAAGUUUAAUCAUUUAUAUUAAAAUAAGCUAAAACACAAGGAUAAGAUAAGUUAAUUCUUACUCUAUUUCCCUUCCAUAGUUGUUCAAUGUGACUAUAUGGUAAAAGAAGUGUGACAAGAUUGUCCGGUCGAAAGCUUGAAGGUAAAUAUCUUAAAGGAUAUCUUGUCCAAUCUAAAAGCCGUAUUUCAUUAGAGAGAUAUUUGAGACCAUCACAAUUUGAUAGGCAAAGAACUUUGAGCAAUCUCAAUUUUUUCAUUUUUGAGAAGGUAUCGUCACUCAAAUUGAGCACCUUGCUCGAUUCCCUAAUAACCAUGAGCAAAACAAAUAUGAGUUUCAAAAUAUACAGAACCAUUUGAUAUCUAAAAGCUAUGUUGCAUCGAUAUUGUUUUUUGAAGUACCCGCAUCCUACACUUAUAUCUAAUGCAUAUCUGAAUAUGGUAUUGAGAUAUGAUUGAACAUAUUAGACAAUAGUCUAUCUAACACUUACAUUUGACUUUGAAUUACCUAAGCCUAAAAAACUAGAACUAAUAUUUUGAUUUACGUUUGGUGCACUGAUGUGUAAUUCUAUGCAUUACCAGUGAAUCAAAUGAUGGCAUGUUAUAGCCUAGUUCGUUAAUAUUAGCAAAGACAAUAACAUACAUCUCUUUACAAUUUCUUUUGAAAGAGUAAUGUGUUUCUAUAUAAAUUUUAUAAAUAUAACAUUGAAAAAUUAAGUAUUAAGGGUGUGUUUCAUUAGGUGGAAAAGUGUUGUUUUUUCAUUGUUUAUUAUUGGAUUUAAAAAAAAUAUAUUUUCUUUUCCUUCAAAUUUUCAUCCUUCCAAUUUUUUAUUCACUAUACCAAGCAAAGCAAAAAUGUUGUUUUUUCAUUGUUUAUUAGUGGAUUUAAAAAAAAAAUAAUGACAAUAUUAAUAGUACAUCUUGAUAAAUUUAAAUGUAUCUUUUCUUACCUUUUAUUGUUGAUGAUCAUGCCUUCAAUAACAUCGGUAGCCUAAAAGUAAUCAAGAAUAGACAAUAAGAAGGCAAAAUAAAUGCUUUAAAUUGUACGAUAAAAUAUUACCACAAUCUUUUGGUCAAAAUAUAGUAAAUAAAAUAUUUUGAACUAAGUAAAACACUUUUUAAUGAAAGUAGUUCAAUAAACUUAAACACUUAUGAAUCCUUAUUAAUAAUUAUAAUUAACAAAUCGGUACGUAAACCAAUUAGACUAAGCUUUGGAUUUACAUCAUAUAUUGAUAAUAAAAAAAAUUGUAUGUAAUUUUUGUUGAAUGACUUACCGUGGUUUUUGUUAGGACAUGAUGGACAUCCCUUUCCUUCCACAAUCUACAACGUUUUCCAGGUUCAUCAACACACUUUUCUUCAACAAUUUUUCUUCCCAUUUCUUGCAACAAGGCAUGCAUCCACAAAUAUUGGUUGCCAUCAUCAACUUUUAUGAGAGAUUUCUUAAUGAGAACAUCAAUUCCAAUAUUUGGAAAAAAAUCACAACCGUCCAAUACUUUCAUUACCAAAUCUUUCUUCUCCCCAUUGAAAAAGCAUGCUAUAUCUAAAAAUAUAUUCUUCUCCCUUUCUUCCAAUCCAUCAAAGCUAAUUCUUAGUGUGUUCAGAAUUUCUUUGUUAGAAUCUUGCUUAAGUCUUUUGAUUGCACAUCUCCAUUGAAUUAUAUCUCUACCGCACAAAAAUGAACCCAAAACUUCAAGAGCUAAGGGCAGCCCAUCAGCAUAAUGUACAAUAUGUUUAGAAAGCUCAAUGAAAUCAUAGUUCGGCACUGUAUCACUAUCAAAAGCUUUCAAAUUGAAAAGCCUAAGUGCAUCGUUGGGAUUCAAUGUUGUAGGCUUAUACACAUCAUCAAUUCGAUAAGAUCGGAGCAAAUGUUCAUCUCUUGUUGUUACAAUGAUCCUACUCCCUAAACUGAACCAAUCACGCUUUCCAACCAAGCAUUUCAAGUGUUGUACGUUAUCAACAUCAUCAAGAACAACAAGAACUUUUUUGCUAGACAACCUGUGGCUAAUUAUGGCAUUCCCUUCAUGAACAUUGAAAAAAUUGAAGCAUUUAUCUGGCAAAAUUUGAGAAAGAAGUUGUUUCUGUAAAGAAACAAGUCCACAUUUGUUUGAAACUUCUCGAAUAUCAGCAACAAAACUUUUACCUUCAAAAUGAGGUGACAUUUGAGUGUAAACAACCCUUGCAAGAGUUGUUUUACCGAUGCCACCCAUUCCGCAAAUUCCUAUAAUGCGUACAUCGUCUUCCCCAAUGUUUAUUUUCGAAUACAACUCCUCCAAACGUAAGCUAAUUCCAACCAACUCAUCUUGAACAAUUGGAUAUGUCUGACAUAAUUUUGCUGAUAUCUUCUUAACAAUGUCUCCGAUGAACUCUGAUUCAUGCCUACAAUGAAAUAAAAAAUCGCUGCUAUCUUUCAAAUGCACUUUUUCGUUUUUAGUUCAGUGAAUCAUGAAAUAUAAUAUAGUUGGAAGCAAACAAAAAGCAAGAAUAAGAUAGUAAGAUAUGUUAUAGCAUCAAAAUACACAACUUGCUCGUCAGUUGAAAUAUGGGAAUUCUCAAUUAAACACAAAAUUAUAAAAAAAAUAACAUGCAAUCCAAAAAAAAAAACAAUUUUUUAGUCAUUAAAAUUAGGAAAUAGAGAAGAAAAGGAAGAAAUACCUAUUAUGUAAAUGCCAUCCUUUGAUGUUAGCUACUUUAGUCAAAGCAUUUCGCCACUUUUGGAUCUUGUCUUUAUCUUCCUUGUACCUCUCUUGGUGUUUGGCGAAGGCUUCUUCAACUUUUUCUUUUUGUUUUCUUAAAUCGGAUGGAUCCAUAUCGUAGAAAAUUGGAAAUACUUUAUGUCCGUUAACAUUUUUUUGUUGAACAAUCUCAGCAAGCUCCUCCAAGCACCAUCCUGAAAAGGCAUAGGUUUCCGAAAAAAUGAUUACCGAGCACCAUGACUGCUGGAUUGCUUUCAAGAGUUCCGGUGCGAUCUCUUCGCCGGCCUCCAGCUUUGGAUCAUCCCUGAAAGUGAUGAUCCCACUUCUUUUUAGAGCAUCGUAGAGAUGAUCCGUAAAGUUCUUGCGGGUAUCUUCACCUCUAAAACUCAAGAAAACAUCGUAUUUCUUUCUGGAAAUUGAUGAGGAAGUCGAAAGUAAUGACGACAUGACGAUGUAUGAGAAGAAAAAAAUAUGUGGAUGUAGUGUUCAAAAUCAGAAAAUAGAUCGCUCAAUACCUUAGAAACAAAGUAGAAAUAAUGAGCAUGAGGACGGAGAAAAAUAAAUGAAAUUUACAGGGAAUAACAAAGGACUUUUCCAAAUGAAUCUUUCUGUAUGAUAAUACCUAUGAAAGGGAGUCGGUAACAAUAAAUUCUGGGGCCAUCGAUGAGCGUUAGAUGUUCUUUUCGGGAAGACUGCAAGAAGGUGAGAGUUGACAAUUGCUGCCUACUUUAAUUACAACUAAUAACGAUAGAGUUUUAAGAGUUUUUUUCACUAUUAGCGUCACAUCUGAUAGUGAAGAAGAGGCCCAAUAGGGUAAACAGGCAAUGCGCGUAGGCGUAGGUCUUCCACAAUCACCUCUGGUGUGCCACUCGUCAGUUGAGAAACCUGGGGGAGCUAUCUUCGUGGUACCAAUGACUGGGGGCAGGGGCCCAUUAUAUAAAACAGGGCAACUUAAACAUAUGCUUUGAAGGUGGAGCCUAUUGCUACAGAAGGGAGGCCGGACUUUUCCAACUAUGGCCUUAUUUAUUGCUAAUAAGAUAAUGCAAAAAAUGGGCUAUGACUUGGAAAAUCCUGUCGGACUAAAAAAUGGGAAGGGGCUUGACGAAGGCACAAAAGAAUACAUUAAAAGAUGGGGAGGCUAUCCUCCGACGUACGGCCUGGGGUACAUCCCAGAUUAUGGAACGAGAGAUGGGUCAGAAUUUGAAGCUUAUGAGUCGUCCACUACUUGUUAGAAUGUGCCACAACUUUAUGUACUUUUUGUAAAUUUAAAAUUUAAUCCCUAUACCAUUAGUUACUAAAUUAUAGGUAAAUUUUUAUUUUAAUCACUUAAUGUAAAAAAAAGUUACAAUUUGAUCAUUGAAAUUUUCAAAAUUAUUUUUUUGUCACUCAACUAUUAAGUGACACUUUUUUUAUGUGAUAUAAUAUACGUGGAUGUAGUGCUCAAUAAACAAGAAGUAAAUGAACAUGAGGGAGGAGAAAAACAGAAGAAAUUUACAGGAAACAAAGGACUUGUCUAGGAAAUUUGUGUAUACGUUUCCCACCUUUUACUUUUCCAAAUGAAUCUAUCUUCAUUAUAAUACCUAUGAAAGGGAGUCGGUAACAAUUAAUUCGGGGGCCAUAGAUCAGCGUUAGACGUUCUUUUCGGGAAGACUCCAAGAAGGUGAGAGUUGACAAUUGGUGCCUACUUUAAUUACAACUAAAACUUACAGAGUUUUAAGAGUUUUUUCUGGUUAAAAUGUGUUACAAGUCAUCGUACUUUUUAUAAAUUAAAAUUUAGUCCCUACAUCAUUAGUCAUCAAACUAUGGGUAAGUUUUUGUUUUGGUCACUUAACUAAAAAAAAUUAUGAUUUGAUCAUUGAACAUUGAGGAAGCGCAUAAUGAUCUAACAUUGUUUUGUUUUGUUCUAUUUUUAAUUUUUUUAUAGGAUUCUAUUGAAGAAUAAAUUUCUAUAUUUUCCAUACAUAUUAGUUCUUGAAAAACAACAUUUUCGAGAUUUUAUUUUUCUAUAAUUUUCAUAUAGAAUUUUCUAUUUUUUAAAUAGUUUUGAUUUUUUUUUUAUAAAUUUAUGUAGAACCAUGGUCAAGUUUACAAAAUAUAAAAAUUGAGGACUAGCGUGUUAUUUUACCAACUAAAAAGUGCCAUUUAACAGUCAAAUGAUCAAGAAAAACAAUUUUGAAAAGUUUAGCGACCAAAUUGUAACUUUUGCAGUUAAGUAACAAAAAUGAUAACUUACCUAUAAUUUAGUGACUAAUUAUGUGGUUUACCCUAAAAAAAGUGUCUUGGAUUUGGUCCUAAGCCCCAUUGGAACAUACGGGCUGUAAAGGAAUCAUUACCCAAUCUAUAUAAUAUAAUAUACAUAAAAGCACGAGUUUGAAAAACUUUUGAAUUGACGAGAAUAUCAUUUACUUUUCAUCAAAUUAAGUUCACAUUUAAAGGUUAAGCUAAUUUUAUUGAUGUAAAAUAAAGUUAUUACGUGAAUAUAAUUUUGAGCAUCUUAAUUAUCCCUUAAUUAAUAUUAGAGUUACACAUCAAUUCAAAAUUUAAGUUUAACUUUGUAAAUAACAUCAAAUAGUUAGACAUAUUUGAUUAAAUAGCAUGUAAGAAAAAUCAUCGACAAAAAAAUUGGAUAUUGUUAGCAUUAAUAAAUUAAAAUUAUAUGUAUAUAGAGAAUAUAUAUAUAUAUAUAUAUAUAUAUAUAUAAAGAAAAGCAAUGGUUCUUUGAAUAGGAAAUAGUGAAUCCUAUUCAAAUUGAAUGGCAUUAAAGAAAAAUGAAAGAUUAUUUUAAUUGAUGAUGAGAUAAUAGAAUAUAAUAUUUUUUUAUAAUUAUGUUGUAUGUUAUUCAUACUAUGUGAAGCAAGCACUCUUAAAAUUAUUUUUUUAUCUAUCUAUAAUUUGUUUGGUAUACAUGGAAAACAUUAUAUAAGUUUGUUUUGAAGAUAAAAUUAAAUUUUAAGAAUUAUUUUUUAAUCAUCAUUAUUAAUAUAAUUAAAAUUACAUGCAACGCAUGUGACAUUAGAAACUAGUGAUUAUAAAAAAUUGGAGUGCGACAAACUCUUGUUGUGAUUAAAAAGAGUUGUAUUUAUAAAAAAUUAUAUAAACAUCAUCAAACGCAUUGGUUGAAUUGCUUAACUUAAAGUUUUGCAAAAAUCAUCAUGAUAAUAUUUUAUAAUUAUUUUUAUAAAAAAGAUAAAAAUACUAUUAUAUUAAUAUUUGUUACUUCUUAUAAAUAGUAAAUUAUACAUAGGGUCUGUUUUGAAGUCAUACGUAGGCAUCUUAAAUGCCAUUUACAUAUAGCAGAUGCCUAUUUCGGUCUUUUAGUUGUUGGACCAAAUGGCGGCAGGGCUAUAAGACUGGCUAUUUCAGCGGCAAAUGGAGCUUCAUUUCUAAAUGGGCUAUAAGCUUGAAGGCAAUGAUCUUAAAGAAUAUCCUAUCCAAUCUAAAAGACGUAGAUACUUGAGAUCAUCACGAAAUUAAUUUUCAUUUCUAAAUAUAAUUAAGUACUUGUUAAUAAUUAAUAACACUAAUUGUCAUGAGUAAUUUCAUAAAUUAUAAUAAGCUUUUUGAUCCAUUAGUAACCGUAUUAUAAAACAUCACAUUCCACUACCCUAUAAAAGAAUAAUUAUUUUUCUAUAAUUUUCAUAUAGAAUAAUUUUUUUACUUUACCGAUAGCAGCACUCUUUUUCAAAGAAGGUACGGUACAUCUUCUUCCUCUUUUUUGCUUCUAAAUUAUCAUGAAUCGUUGAUUCUAUUCAGGGGGGCCUUAUAUAUAUAUAUAUAUGAUCGAUAGGGGAAUUUACACAUAAAUAAUACGUAUAGAGAUUUUUCGAAUCGAAAGGAUAAAUUAUUCUUUAAUUGCGCAGGGAUGCUGACUUUCUGAUAAGUUCCGGUGAUAGAACCGGACGGCUGUUGAAGUACAAUCCUUAUAACGGAGACGUGUCCGUCUUGUACGACGGCUUAGCUUUCCCUAACGGGGUUGCCUUGAGUGCAAACAAUUCGUUUCUUCUAGUGAACGAAUCGAUAAAAAGACGAAUACUGAAGUUCAAUGUGCACGACCCCAAAGCAGCUCCCAAAGUAUUCCUCGAAUUACCCAGGGUUCCGAAUAAUAUAAAGAGGAACGAAAAGGGCGAAUUCUGGGUGGCCCUAAACAGCGGAAGAUUAGGAACGCUUGGAAACGGUGUUCCGGAUCCAAUUGGAAUGAGGUUUAACGAAGAAGCCAAGGUUUUGGAAAUCUUGGAUGGAAAGGGCGCGCCCACUUUUAAUUCGAUAAGUGAAGUCCAGGAACACGGGGGGAAAUUAUACAUAGGGUCUGUUUUGAAGUCGUACGUAGGCAUCUUAAAUGCCUAGUUGAUUUUUGUUUUCUUUUCUUUUCUUUUUUGCGACUUUUUAAUUGUUCCUGUAAUUUGUUUUUCUUUUACUCGAUAAAUAUAAUAAAUAAAUGUUAACGAUUUUAUUUUCGAGAAAUUUUUAAUUAUCUUGAUUUGCCUAAUUGAGACAUUACAUCUUCACGCCUCGUGCACAAGACGAAGUAAGCCAGGCUUGGCGUACCUGAUGGGUUAGUUGUCGAACAUUUUAAAGUUGUCCUUUAUCCCCUUUAUGCUUCGGGGUACACUACUUUUUCCCGUCACAGAAUGUUUAUGUUGUAAACUUGAUAAGCAUGGCACCGAUUCCCAUAACACAAAUUAAAGAACAUCUGCUUCAAUUGAUUGGUCAAAAGAAAAGGUCAAUACCACGACCUAAUUUCUCAUCUCAACAAUGCCUAAUCAGUGUUCCUAAUAGGCUACGGAAAUUGAAUGAGUUGAGAUGCUACUAAGUGUAUCAAAGUAAAAGAAGGACCAAAUAACAAAUUAGGCUAAGCAACCACUCAAUCCUUGCAACACUACUCCCUGCUUCUAUUGCCUGGGGAUAUGAACCAAUAGAUCACGAUGAUAAUUCUAAAGCAACCAUUAUUUGAUCGUCCUCUUACUAGACAAUGGAUAUAAUAAUUCGUGAAGAAAAAGGUGGUCCUUCGUUAUGGAUUGUCCACCUAAAACUUUGAAACUGGAAUCGACCCUUCCAGGAUUUUUAACUUGAAAAACAAAUCCAUUAUUACUAGAUUGUCCAGAAUUUCUUUAAUGGAUAUAAGUUGGGCCACCGAUAACUUUUUCUUCGGAACCACCAUCAUUGACGAAUCCAAUCCAUUGACUGUCAUUCUGAAUAUCGAGAAACAGAGGUAUUUCAAUUACAGAGCUGCCUCUGUGUUGCCUGAACCAUUCCGGAAUUUCAUCAUUUUCGUUUUUUGAAUUCGCAAAUGCCUGCAAAUUUAAUUAUCGGUGGCUCUGUAACUAAAACCAUGGAAAAUAAUUGAGAUUAAUCAACCUUAAUCAGAAAUUUUAUUGCACUAAUGUUCUCAGCCAAUCUGUAGCAGUUAAUGGCUGUAAUGUUAGCACCAUAACUUAUCCACUACUCACUUCUCAUUCUUCCUAGAAGCACUGGCAACUAUUCAAGCUAACUGCAAUCUGACACUCCAAGCUUUUGAAGAUUUGAAAGAAGAGUAAGAGACGCAGCUAUGCUGCUGAAAUUGUUACACCUAAGAUUAAGAACUCUCAAUGAGGAUAGACCAGGAUUGAACCUGAAAUUGUCAUAUUAAUGGCAUGAAGCUACAACCAACUGAGCUAGUAAGCCAAUUGGUUUUUUUUUUAGACACUGUCUUAUAUUAAGCUUUUCUCCGUUGGUUAAAUGAUAAUAUUUUUAAAUUUUGGAUUUAAAAAAUAUAUUUAUUAUACUUUCAACAUAUAUACAUCCCAAAAUACAACCAAAAAUAAAUAGAAGGUUCAUUUUAUUUCCCCAAUAUUUUAAUGCAGAGUAAUGCUUGUUUUGUUGGGUUUGACAUAACCUGUAUGGAUUCGACAGUGAGAUUCGUGGACACCUUUGACAUGAUGAAAGACAACAACAUGCAGUAAAAGAUGUAAGAGGAAAAACCAACGUUAUGUCAUGAAAAGGAACAACACCCCCCCCCCCCCCCCAAAUGGAUCCCCCCCUAUUAAAAUUGAUCACUAAUGGCAAUUUGCUUCUUUUGCUAUGUGUAGUGUAGAGAAGAAUAAAAAUGAAGUUAACACAUAAACAGAGAGUUUUCACCUAUUGGCAUGGAUAUUGGCGGGUAAAUGAAAGAGUAAAUUAUUAAAUCCCGAUACUUUUCGAAAUUUUCAAAAAUUAAGUGCCCUUAAAACUAAUAUAUGUUGCAGUGGGCAAAAAUCACGUCGGUUGCUGCAUAGAUAAGUCGCUGAACCAAUCGUCACAACUCUUUGCCAAAGAUGCAUCAAUCCACACAGCGCCACUAUUCUAUAUAUAGAUCAUCAGCGUCUCUUAUCAUUUGGAUAUUCAAGGAAGUUAAUUUUUCUGGUUACAUUAGCAAGAGGUAAGGCAUAUCAGUGAAGAUGGAAGAUUACGGAUGCGGUAUCAGUUCGAUAGCCAUGAUGCUGUUGGUGGUUGCUCUGCUGUUUUUGGGUCCGCUUGGAAUGCCACCGUUGCAGCCUCCUCCCGCUUACAUUUUCCUCAUCUUCGCUUUCGUCUUGAUCUUCGUUUUCAUCUACCUCUCUCAUGCCUCCAAAUGAUGAUCCAUGGCGAUUUCGUUUGCUUUCCAGUAUUAUUAUUCUCUUUUAUUCAGUUGUUAUCUGAUGAUAAUAAGCUUUGCGGUGGAUAUUAACCACCAAUAGUACACAGUUAUUUGUUGUUUUCAGUCGUUUAUUAAUAAAUUAUAUGAAGUCGAUGGAAGAAUGUCUCUGUUUAUCUAGUACGUAAAUAAACCAUGCAAUGCAUGCAUACUUACGUUGCUCUAAAAUGGACACGACGCCUUUUACUAAUAUUAUUCUUUCUUGCACUCCCAUUGGCUUAGGUACGCUGCAUGCGUUGUCCCUUCAUGCCGUCUAUUUAAUAAUGUCGUUAAUAAUUUUAAUGUGGUCUUCACUCCAUCCAUCGAUCGUGUCUAGCCUCAGUUUUCCUCCAUACAUCAAAUCGUUUGCAUUUGAAUAUCCCAUCUCUCCUUUUAAUUUUAAUUAUACUGAGUCUUCUUAUGUAAAUUUAGUUUAUUCAGGUUGUGCUUAUGAAUUUAGAUUCAAAAUAUGGAGUUAAACACGAUUGUAUGAUAAAAGGCAUUGUCUAUGGUUUCUGCUGCAGAAAAUUGUUAACUUUCGGGAUGACGCCAUUAUAAAAUUUGUUUGCAUGAACUAAUUAAUCCAUAGACUUUAACUAUGUACUAUGUAGGCGUCCUAGUACAAGGAUUGGGUUGUGAGCAAUACUAAUGGNNNNNNNNNNNNNNNNNNNNNNNNNNNNNNNNNNNNNNNNNNNNNNNNNNNNNNNNNNNNNNNNNNNNNNNNNNNNNNNNNNNNNNNNNNNNNNNNNNNNNNNNNNNNNNNNNNNNNNNNNNNNNNNNNNNNNNNNNNNNNNNNNNNNNNNNNNNNNNNNNNNNNNNNNNNNNNNNNNNNNNNNNNNNNNNNNNNNNNNNNNNNNNNNNNNNNNNNNNNNNNNNNNNNNNNNNNNNNNNNNNNNNNNNNNNNNNNNNNNNNNNNNNNNNNNNNNNNNNNNNNNNNNNNNNNNNNNNNNNNNNNNNNNNNNNNNNNNNNNNNNNNNNNNNNNNAUUGCUUCUUCAUGUUCUUCCAUUAGGGAGUGCAUAAAUUGACUCACUAAGCUCACUGAAAAAGCUAUGCCUGGCUCUGUAUGUGAUAAGUAAAUUAACUUACCAACUAAUCUUUGGUAAUGCCCUUUAUCAACUAAUCGACCUUCUUUAUUUCUGAAUUUUACAUUUGGACCAAUUGGUGUGUCAGCUGGGCAGCAACCACUCAUCCCAGCCUCUUUUAAAAGAUCAAUCAUACAUUUUUUCUAAGAGACCACAAGACCCUUCUUUAACCGAGCAACUUUCAUUCUAAGAAAGUAUUUCAAAGGACCCAAGUCUUGGAUCUCAAACUCCAAUGCUAGAUGCUCCUUGAGACGCCUUAUUUCAUCUACAUCAUCUCCUGUAAGAAUGAUAUCAUCGACAUAAACUAUAAUAACUGUUAUUUUACCUUUUUGUCAGUGUCGAUAGAACAUUGUGUGAUCAGCUUGCCUUUGUGAGUAACCUUGGUUUUUAACAACUUGAGUGAAUCGUUCAAACCAAGCUCGAGGNNNNNNNNNNNNNNNNNNNNNNNNNNNNNNNNNNNNNNNNNNNNNNNNNNNNNNNNNNNNNNNNNNNNNNNNNNNNNNNNNNNNNNNNNNNNNNNNNNNNNNNNNNNNNNNNNNNNNNNNNNNNNNNNNNNNNNNNNNNNNNNNNNNNNNNNNNNNNNNNNNNNNNAUUGAUAAAAGAACUCUAACAUAAUUUAAUUUGGCUACUGGAGCAAAUGUUUCAAGAUAAUCUAUCUCGUAUGUUUGAGUGUACCCUUUAGCUACCAGCCAAGCUUUGUAUCUAUCGAAAGAUCCAUCCGGUUUGAAUUUGGUUGUGAACACCCAUUUACAACCCACUAUUUUUUUCCUUACAGGUAAUUCCAUUGUUUUCCAUGUACUUAUUUUUUCAAGAGCAUGCAUCUCUUUUAAAAUAGCCUUCUUCCACUCAAGAACCUAUAAAGCAUCUUUCAUAUUUUUGGGUAUUUCACAAUAUCGAGACACGAAGCAAAGGCUGAGAAUGUCAAAGACAAUGCUUUAUAGGAUACAAAGUUAGACAUGGGAUAUUUGACAAAAUUUCUAACACAUUUUCUUUUAGCAGUUGGAAUAUCUAAAUCAGAAAAUUCAUUGGUUGGAUUAUGAGCUUUACUUGGACUUUUGACAAGAUCUUGCAGGUCGGAUUCUUGGUGAUGAAUCUGGUGGAUUCCACUUUCUUGACUUCAGUUUCUCACAAUAAAUUUGCCUUCCCCAUUAUUAGAAUCUCUAUGUUGUAUAUUCCUAGUCUUUUCUUGAUCAGUUAUAGAAUCUUCCUUACUAUAAUUUCCUCCCUGAAGAUUAGAAUCAAAAUAAGAUUGCGUUUCAACAAAUGUGACAUCCAUGGUAACAAUAAUCUUCCUAUCAAUUGGAUCAUAACAUUUGUAACCCUUUUUAUUAGAAGCAUGGCCAACAAAGACGCAUUUUUUUCUCUAGAAUCUAGUUUACCAUGGUUGUAAAGAUGAACAAAAACACUACACCCAAAAACUCAAAGGGAUAAAUCUAUGAUCAAUUUAGAGCUAGGAAAGUUAUCUUUAAAGAGACGAAAAGGAGCUCUAUAGUUUAGAGUUUUACUGGGGAUUCUAUUAAUAAGAUAUGUAGCUGUUAACAAGGCUUCGCCCCAAAGAUAACGUGGUACCUGACUAGUGAACAUCAAGGCUCUAGUUACUCUCAAAAGAUGUUGGUUUUUUCUUUCUACAAUCUCAUUUUGUUGUGGGGUAUUUGUACAAGAGCUUUGGUGGACUAUUCCAUGUUUGGUUAAGAAAACACAUAAUUGGUCACUAAAAAAUUCCCCACCAUUGUCACUCCAAAAUACUUCUAUUUGCACACCAAAUCGUGUUUUCACUAUAGCAUAAAAAGACUAAAACACAUUUUUAACUUCAGACUUAUCUUUUAAUAAAAAAAACCCAAUAAAUACGAACAUGAUCAUCAAUAAAUGUGACAAACUAACGUUUUCCUAAAAAAGUUGAGAUUGUUGAAGGUCCUCAAACAUCACUAUGAAUUAACGAAAAAGGUUUGGAAACUUUAUAUUUUUGAGGUGGAAAGAAUGACCAAUGAUGUUUAGCCUAUUCAUAAAAUUCACAAUGAUAUGAAUAAGGACUUUUAUUUUUAAAUAGAUUAGGUAACAAAUAUCUUAAAUAGUAAAAAUUAAUAUGUACAAGCCUAUAAUGCCAAAUCAUAACCUUAUCAAAACCAGAAACAGAAUUUAAACAUAAAGUAGUUGUUGGUUGACUUAGAUGGUCGUCGUCAAUAAAGUAAAUUCCACCAGAUUCUUUAGCAUUGCCAAUCAUCCUCCCCGAGACCAUGUCCUGAAAUUUACACAUAGAUGACUUAAAUAUAACAUGACAAUUCGAGGACUAGGAUAAUUUACUGACUGAUAUGAGAUCACAAGCUCGAUUUGGCAUACGUAAAACAUCAUGUAAAACUAAGGAAGAAGAAAUUUUAAUAGUGCUUUUCCCGGCUAUUACCGAGAACGACCCAUCUGCUACUUUGAUCUUUUUGUUUCCUGCACAAGAUGUGUAAGUUGAGAAAAGAAAAUGACUACUAGUCAUGUGAUCACUAGCUCCAGAAUCGACGAUCCACGUGUUUGUUUUACAAGGCUUGACGCUGAAAAAAAUAAAAAAAAUUUAGUACUUGAUUGGGCAAAGGAGAAAGAAGGAUUAUUGGAUGAGUUAAGAACAGAAGAAUUCAUUCGAAACUGUGGUGACUGAAAAAGCUUGAGUAGAUACUCUAAUUGUUCCUUAAUGAAUAGAGACCCUUCUAGAGAACUUUGACCUCAAAAUUUUUAGUAGUUGUUUUGAAAACUCUACUAUCCCCUAAUUAUGAACCACGACCAUUGCCACUCUUUUUUUUUCCAUUCAUCAGUUUUCCAUGGAGCUUCCAACAUGUUUCUUGAGUGUUCCAAUAUUUUUUGCAUUGAUCGCACCAAGGUUUUUUUCUUUUUUCACUAUCAUCAUUAUUUUUAAUAGUUACAAUAGUAGAAUUAUCAUCAUUAGCUUCAAACCCUGGCUUUAACAUUACUUUUCUCCUUGUUUCCUCUUUUCUAACCUUAGAAAAAAUCUCACAGAGUUUUGGAAGCAGUUUUUUUCCUAAGAUCCGAGAUCUCACUUCAUCAAAUUCUUUAUUUAAACCAACCAGAAACAAAUAAGCUCGUUCAUUCUCUUCUGUUUUCAUAGCUUUUACACCAUCUCUUGGACACUCCCAUUCAUCAUUAUAACACUAACCCAAUUCUUUCCAAAGAGACAUCAUCUCGUUAUAAUAAAAAGUAACUUCCUUUUAAGUAACUUCCUUUUCCCCUUGUCUAGCUUUAUAGAGUUUUAUUUUUAACUCAAAUAUCUGUGAAGCGUUUUCUAUAUCUGAAUAAGUGUCUUUCACAACAUCCAAACAUCUUUAACAGUCAAGAGAAAAAGAAAAGGGUUACCUAUGGAUGCUUCCAUGGAAUUAAUAAGUCACGUAAUUAUCAUAGAAUUUUCUGACCUCUACUUGCUCAUCUUUGGUUCGCCCACCUGUGGUUGAUUGACUUCUCCAGUUAAAUGACCUAACUUGCCGUGCUCAUCAAUUCUUAACUUUACGGACUGCGACCAUUCCAGAUAAUUCUUGCCAUUCAUCUUGUGAGAUGUCACCUGAAAAGAAAGGUGGGACGCCUCUGUCCCUUGAGUCAUUGUACUCUCGGUAGUUGUUUCAACAGUAGAACUUUCUUCCUCUGUUUGAUUGAUGGAUCUUUUAUCUCUAGUGAAGGUUGUUUUAACCAUGAUGUUACUAGAGAUUUAAUCUAGCUCAGAUGCCAUGAAAGUUUUCAAGAGAGUAUUUAAUAAAAAUGUUCUAUAAUUUAUUAACUAAAAAGCUGAACUUAAAUAGAGAAAAUAGUCAUAACCUAAUUGAGAAAAUAAUUCCCUUAUUCUAAUAAACUACUAAAAAUAAAAUAAAAUAUUCCUAGAAUAUCUAAAAUGAUUUAUUCUAACAUAUAUCUACCUAAAUAAGAUUUAUCUACCUAAAUAAAUUUAAAAUAUAUGAGUUUCACAUAUUUCAAUAGAUUACUCUUAUUAAUUCCUUCAACAUUUCAUAGUCUUCCCUCCAUUUUUCCUACUAAAAAUCAGUUUGGGCUCCUUUUUUCUCAGAAAAAGAAAAAAGAAGUAACAGCAUACUUUUGCUCUUUAGCCCCUUUCAGUCUGCAUGAACGAUUUCAAGGCCUUGGCUAAUAUUUGAAUAUAUAUUCAAUGAGGUUUUGGUUUUGGUUUAAUAUUUGAUUAUGUUUGAUGCGUCGUUGAGAGCACCAAAAAUAUCAUAUCCCUAUAAAAUAACAAAAAGAAUAGUAUAAAAGAAGUAGGGUCAAAUCCUCAGGGACUGGACUUGCACAAGUUCAUGUUCCUCAAGAUCCCAGGUAGAGUUGUGCCCAAGAAAAACGGCGUACCUAGAAAAAAAUAAAAAAAACAGAAUUAAAAGUUUAGUUGAAUUGAGAUUGCGUAAAUUGAAAUUGAAAUUGUAAAAAUAAACAGAGUUGAGAAAAGAGAGUUUUUUAUGGAGAGAUUCCAACCUCUGGUUAUCUCGAUCCUCCUUGGGUUCNNNNNNNNNNNNNNNNNNNNNNNNNNNNNNNNNNNNNNNNNNNNNNNNNNNNNNNNNNNNNNNNNNNNNNNNNNNNNNNNNNNNNNNNNNNNNNNNNNNNAUAGUGGAAGAGGAUGCCUACAACCACCAGCUCCACUUAGAUUUUAGAUUUACAAUUUAGAGGAACUUGACUCUAGCCAACCGUUGCUUUUGUGGGACCGUCUUACAGUAGAUCAUCACUUCUCAAUGGCGAAUGCCACACCAUCUUGUCUCUUGGGCUCGACAAUCACUGACGCAAUAAGCUAACGAACCGACUGUGAAACCUUCCCAAAACAUACAAAGCAGCCGCCUUUGCACAAGAUGAAAAGACUACUUUUGGAAGGACAUGGACAGAAGUGUCAGUCCUGUAACACGGAGAAACGAUGAAUACUCGUUGAGAAGGCUAAGUGUGGAUUCUAAGCCUUAUGAACCCUUUUUGGGGAAUCUCGACAAACUUUGGCUAGAUAAAUUUAGUGGCUAAUGCUUUUUUGGGGAAAAAGAAAUAAACUUAAUAAAAAUGGAAUUUUAUUGAAUAAAUGAAAUGAACAAAAGCUAGAGCUUUUUGGGAGAGGGAGAUUUUACAAAAAAAGAUGAGUGAAAUUUGUGUCACUCCAUCCCCUAUUUAUAGUACUUAGAAAACCUAAUUUAUUCCUAUAUAAAUUCUAAAAGAUAAAUAAAGAUAAAAGCUAAAAUUAAAUCUAAAUAAUAAUCUUAACAAUAAUCCUAAUACAAUUAAAAUUCAAAUAGAGUUUUGUGUUUAUAAAAUCUCUUCUUUGAACUAUUGUCCCCAAGUCUUCCACACUUUGCAUUUUCGGCACCACUUCUUUCCUAUUUUGCAUCCUGGCCCAUUUUAUCUUCAAAUUUAUGCUUUUUGCCCCUAAAUUUCUUUUUGCCUUUAAUUUAGUCCCUACAAGAUAAAAAAACCAUAAAUAGCUCAAAUUAGUAAGAACAUACUCAAAAUAAAUAUGUAAUUAAUACAAAAAAAUAUGUCAUUCCAGAAUAUUAUCAGAUUCCCCCUACUUAGCCCAUGCUUGCCCUCAAGUAUGGUUCCUAUCCACUGUGAAAUUUAGUUUUUACCAUGAAAGAAAUAUCACUCUAAAGUUUUAUAAAAAUUAGGCAUAAUACAUACGAAAAAUAAAGAGAACCUUUAACUUCCUUUAAGUAAAACCGAAAAAAGUAUUCCAAUUAAUACAUACAAAAAUUAAAAUCAUCUUGAAUUAUUUCAUGAAAAUUAGGUAAUUCACUAAACUUACCAAGACACCCUAUUUGUUUCCACCUUUAGUCCCCAAAUGUAAUUUUAUUAUUAAUAUUCUUUUUCUUUUUCUUUUUCUUUUUCUUUUUCUUUUUCUUUUUCUUUUUCUUUUUCUUUUUCUUUUUGCUUAAGAAUAUAUUGAACCUUUUGACGCGAAAAGAGACAACAGCCAAGCACCCCACCCUGGUUACUCAGCCUAACAUACUCCUAAUUUAUUAUAUUUAAAUAUAUAUUUUUCUUAAGAAUAUAUUGAACUUUUUGACGCGAAAAGAGAUGACAGCCAAGCACCCCACCCCGGUUACUCAACCUAACAUACUCCUAAUUUAUUAUAUUUAAAUAUAUAUUUUUCUUAAGAAUAUAUUGAACCUUUUGACGCAAAGAGAGAUGACAGUCAAGCACCCCACCCCGGUUACUCAGCCCAACAUAUUCUUAAAAAAAAUUUCUCGGUUAGCAGAGUUUUACCUAACAAGUCACACAACUUUUGACGCGAAGUAGGAUGACAACCCAAGCACCCUACCCCAGUUACUCAAUCAGUCACGUUUUAAGCUGCACUCAUAACCACGGAGGCAUCAAAAUUUAUUAUAAUGAAACAGAAUUUUUAAUUUUGGAGAAUUAGGAAAAACAAUCAAGUGUCAAAAAUAAGUUUCGGCAACUACCUAACAGUCAUGAACAUAAAUUUAGCAUACAAUUGUAUUAAGUGUUCUCUUUGCAUUAAACUUAAUCUAUUUUACAAAAAGCAAGAUAGGGUUAACUCUAUUAAUCAUAAUUAUUUUAGCCUAAUAGAAAUAAAAUAGUGGAGACGAAAUCAAUAUGGCAAAAUCAUAACUAACUCAAUAUAUAGGAAUCAUGCUCGCAAAUUAAAUAGUGGGCGAUUUCUGGUCAAAAUCUUAGGCAUGAAAAAGGGCAGGAUAUACUAAAAAAAUUAAAUAUGGGUAGAAACUAGCACAAUGCAGCAACAACAGUAACACAACAGUAAAAGCAGCAGAUAAAAUGACAGAAAUAAUGAGGAAUGCCUCCCCCUACUUAAAACACAUUGUCCUCGAUGUGAAAGAAAAAUAACAAAUAGGGGGAAGAGAAAAAAGUUUAGAAAAACUCCCCAUAUAUUUACUGUCGUUCGCACAGAGCUGCAAUAAGAUCAGUCAUCUACUGGCCGAUGGUGUCGAGUCGUGCCUCAAUGCGUUCCAAUCGUUGCUCGAUGGUCACGGAAGGUUGGUCUUGAUUGGGUACCUCGUGCAGAUUUUGCCGCCGAAAGAUUCGUUCAGCCGGUGUAGAUCGGGUGCCUGGAGGUACAAAAAGAAAGGAAGUAGGAGUGCCAAGAAGCAAUCCCAUCGAAUCGAGACAGCAGGCAACUAAUGGAUCAGCUUGGUAAACAAUAUGUAAGUUUGAAAUAGGGGCAUUAGAGCCAUGUAACAUGUAAAAAGAAUAACAGUUGUGUAAUAAAAAAGCCUAAAAUGAGAAGACGCUUUGCAUUUAUAAUAUGCUCAAAUUGAAGCACAUACCAAUAGCCCAAAUUUACCGGACGACCGGUGUACAUACACCAUAAUAAGAAUAAUUUCAUCUUCGAGACGAUAGCCGGUACAUCUCUCCGACCUGAGAAAUUAUAAGCCAAAUAACAAUGUAUGUAACAUAAGGCAGGGUUACGAAACCACAAAUCCUUUGAUGUUUUAGGGCUAUAUAUGGUUUCAACAUUAUCUAUUAAUAACGCAAAGGCCUCUAUAGCCUUGAAGUCUGCUGGAAAAGUACACAAGUUGUUUUCAUAAUCAGUGGACAAAGCAUAAUCCUCUGUUACAAAAGCCAAUGCAAUAUUAAAAUCAGUUAGGGAUAAACUGUGUGGUACCAAGCAAUCGAAAUGUGAUAAUGCCAGAUAUGUCCAAUGAGAAUUGGUCGUGCCGUUGAAAAUGGAAGGUGGAAUAAAACUCUAAAAUCAGUUCGUAAUAAGUGCAGUGAGUGAUAUCAAAAUUUCCAACCCAACCAAUAUUGCGAAAAUAAUCGGCAACCAUAGUGUCUGUCGAAACCACUUUUUUUAAAAAACAAGUCUACUUGGAUUUUGAAAAGCGAAAACGGAGUUGCCACCGAUCCUUUUUAUUUAGGUGUAAUCGGAUCACCUCAUAAUUUAAUCAUUUUAAGAAAAGUUUAAAUUUACUAAAACGAUAAUUUUUGGUCUACAAAAUCCAGAAAAUGAGUUCGGGAGUCGGUUACGCACGAGGAAGGAUUAGCACCCUCGAUACGCCCAAAAUUGGUACCUUGUUGAUUAAUUAGUGUCCUAAUAUCGAAAAUUUACAAAGAUUUUAAAAUACGAUCCUUUUAUUUAACCAGAAACUUGUAUAAAUCAAGUUGCACGUUAAGACCCUCUUAUUUCAGAAAGAGAAAAUGUCAUGCCCAAUGAGUUAGGGUAUGAUAUUUCACAUCCUCAAAAAUGAGUUUGUCUUUUGAAAAACUCAUGCAAUGAAAUUUAAAAAGGAUAUUCAAUUGUUUAAGUCAGAUGAAAAAUCGAAGCCCAAUAAGUUAGGGCACGAUAUCUCAAAAUUCCAAACAUUGAAUAUUGUCUUUAUUAUUUUUUAGAAAAAAUCCUCAUCUCGAGAAAAUAAAAUGCCGUAUCCAAUGAGUUAGUAUGCAACGUAUCGAAUCCUCGGGAAUGAGCUUUUUAUUUACUUGUUUUAAUUUAAAAAAACUCGAUUACUUAGAUUCAACGAGGAAAAUUAGAACCCAAUAAGUUAGGGUCCAAUCGCCUCGAAGAUCCCAAAUACCGAGUAUUACGUUAUCUUCAAAGCUUUUGAAUAAAAUGAUUUCGACACUUAAGUGAUAUCAAACAUAACCUUUUAAACGAAUAAAAUGCGAUGGAACGAUAAUGUAUAACGCGGAAUGAUAAUUCGUAAGCCAAAAUGUACACUAAUGAACACAAAUAAUCAAUAGAUAAUACAAACAAACAUAGCAACAAUAAUCUCAAUCAUACAUUAUGCAAAUACCGAUAACAACAUCCAACAAUUAAAUGAAUUAAUAAUCAAAUUUAAAAGGUACACUAAAAAAAUUCAAUAGCAAGAGGAGAAAUCAUAAUCAAUAAAUUAUACGUACAAAAGUUUUAAAAUAAACAAUAUAUAUGAGUUUAAAAUAGAUUCAAAAUAGAGUUAAAAAUAAACACUUCAUAAAAUAACAGUAUUUAAAUGAAUUUUGAAACAAUUAUUAUACAAGAAGAAGAUUCAAAUAUAUAAAAUAAUUUACAUAUAUUAAUUUAGAAUAAGUAAUACAUAGGGAGUGAAAAGCCUCAUGUAAAUAAUAAUAUUUAUAAUAAUAUGUAAAAGGUUGAAAUAUGCCAAAUAUAAUAAAAAAAAAGGAUUUUUUGUACAAAAAUAAAUUAUGUAUUUAUAGAAAUAGGUAAAAGAUAUAUAAUAAUAUGAAAUCAAUAAUAUAUUAUAUGUACAUAUACAUAUAUAUACAAAAAUAGUUUAAUAUAAAUUGUGUACAUAUAUAAAAUAGUAUUGAAUAAGAAUAUUAUUGUAUAAAUCUUUAAAGCAUAAAAGUAUGUAUAAGUGAAUUUUAAAGAUGUAUUAUAAAAUAAAACCAUAAAAAAAUGUACAAAUUAUAUUGGACCAAAAUAAAAAAUAUAAACUAAUACAUCUUUAAAACAGUGAUACAGCACAUAUCAAAUUCUCUCGGCUCGGGGGGUGCAAUUUAAUUAUUGCAAAACUCUUUUUGUUGACUGCAUCCAAUCUUCAGCAGCGGACGGAUCAAUUCCUUUUAGUCCCAAAAACUCCGUGGCACUAUAUUUCCGUAGCUCUUUAAUCGUGGCCCAUCUGACAGUUGAUUCUGAUGUAGUAACAGGUACAGUUCCCGCUACACGCUGUAAUGCAUCAGCUAUAGUUCUUAACAAUUGUGAAUCAUCUCUUUCUCUUCCUACAUUAGGAGGUUGAUUAUCUAACGGAUUCACACUAGGUGUAGCAGAUUCAGUUUCUUCAAUUUCUCGACUUCCAGUAUGCAUUUCCUGUUCAUCAUCAUAUAUUCUUUCAUCUGACAUUUUAUCUAUAAAACAAAAUCAAAUAAAUAUAUUAGCAUCCAAAAACCCGACUCAGUUUCGACUUAAAUGUGCCAUGUAAUCUAGACUCUACUUUGAACCCGAUUUAGGCCGAGAAUCGACUAAACCUUAGCUCUGAUAUCAACAAUUCUAACACCCCCUAACCCCAAAUCGUCGCCGAAACAGGGUUACGAGGCAUUACCAGUCCUAUCAAACAAUCUACGGAUAAUUCAUAAUAAAAUAACAUUCAAAAUAUAAUUGCAUAACUAAGUCUGUGUAAUUAAACUUUCGAAGUUUUAAAUAUAAAUUAAAAGGGAAAUGAAACUCGUUCGAGUACUCUAAAUUUUUUUUUGACAAAAUUUCGGCAACAUUUCUGCUUAUUUUUACGUAAAACCCCUGCAAUUAUAACCACAUCAUUUCCAAAUAUAACCAAUUCAUUUCACAUUCUCAUUUUCUAUUCUAAAUACAGUCUAAUCGAACUCAAUCAAUGUAAUACCAAUUUAAAUUUAUCAAUAUGCUAAUUAAAUAAAAAUAGAUAAACUUCUUUCAUUAUAAUUCAUAGACUUAUAACACUAACAUUUUUAACCAUUUAUAUUAAAACAAAAUAACCUCUAUACUCAUCCUAUUUACAUGCCACAUUACCAAAAUAAAAUGUACUUCACCAAAAUUAUGCUGAAGUCGAGUCUAACUUUGGAUGCUGGUUCAGUACUUGACUUCUACAACCUGAGCACGAAAACAACCGCACGCUGAGUAUGCAUAUACUCAGUGGUAUCACUAUAAUUCAAUUUAUAAUUAAAUACAUUAAAUCACACACAUACUUUUCAUUACAAUUAUCACUACUAAUAAACAAUUCAAUCUUUUUAUAUUAUCAAUUAAUUAUAUAUAUAAAUAUCAUUCUUAUUUCUUUAUUUCAAAUUUCACUUUUCACAUAUACUAUGUCAUUCGAGAUUAGUUUUAUCAGUAAAUUUAUUUCAUUUAUCCCUAUUAACUUGACUCGGACUCGGCGGAUACACGGAUUCCAACCAAACACACCAGUAAACAGUAAUCAGUAACGGUAGCAGUAACAGUAACAGUAUUCAACACACAAAGUGCUGAAUCUGUAACAGUAAUAGUAACAGUAUUCGACACACAAAGUGCCGAAUCGGUAACAGUAACAGUAGUCGGCACAUAAGUGUCUGAUCAGUAAGCCGGCAAAUACCCUGUACUCUUUCAUAUCCUAUGGCAUGCCAACUAUAUCCGACUUUCCCGACUAGUUAAUAGGGUAUUUAAUUUACUUUUCAGUAUAAUUUCCAUCUUAGCUCAGUAUCAAUUAUAAAUUCAUUAUUUCAAUCGGUUUCACAGUAUUACAGUAAUUCUUUACUUCAAUAAUUUCACAAUUCAAUGCAUUAUAUAUAACAAUAUUCGGUAUCUUCAUAAUUCAGUUCAGUAUCAGUUUCAAUUUCAAUAUCACAUUAUAAAUUUAUCAUUUAUUAAACACUUACCUUAAAAUACUUACCACACAUAACUAGCAAAUUAAACACUUAAUAAUAAUAAAGUUUGAAUUAUAGUGAUACAAACCAGAAUUCUCUUCGAAUUUAAUCCUCGACGAUCUUUUCUUUUCCUUUUUGGCCCGAUGCUUCAGGCUCGAUAUUAGCUACGAACAAUUAAAAUAAUUUCACAAUCCUUAGGACAAAACAAUUUAAUUGCUGAAAUUUUUAUCUAACUUUUACUUUAAUUCUAAUUUAAUCCUAACUAAACCUAUAUAUUUUUCUUUCUCAAUUCAUACAUUUUUGCUACUCAAUUUCUUGCCAAACUCACACUUAACUAUCUAAUUUUUAUCAUAUUUUCAAUUUAAUCCCUAAAAUUCAAAACUUAUAGUUUAGUUUACAACUUAAUCUUUUAUUCAAUUCCAAACAAAAUUUCUAUCAAAUAAAUCCCUAAUUUAACAAUUUAUUCAACAUGAACCAUGCUUAAAAACCUAUAAACUUUCAAAAUCUCAACUUAUUUUCAACAAAACUUUGUUUUAAAACUUCUAAAACAUCUAAAUUAAAAGAAAAAGACUUGAUUAAACUUACCUUUAAAACUUUAAAACCUUAAACCCUAAUUUUUCCUUUCUUUAUCUUUCUCUUUUUCUUUCUUUCUUUCUCCCUUGUUUCUUCUCUGUUUCGUCUCCUUCAAUUCUGUUUCUUUCUUUUCUUUUGCUUUGUUUUAUUUUAUUUUAUUUUUAGUUAAUUAAUUAUAAGUAUUACAAAUGUAUGUAUUUUAUUAAUACACUUGUAUUAAAUCAUCACCAUACACUUGUCUUUAUUUAUUUUGUUUAUCAAAUAAAAAUCUCAUAAUAUAAUUAUUUAAUUAAUUAAUAUCUUUUACUUAAAUUUUAAGUAAAUAAUAAUUAUAAUACAAGUGUAUAAAUAUUUAUUAUUACACUUGUACCAUCUUUUCACCAUACAUUUGUCUUAAUUUUAAUUUAUUCCAUAAUAAAAUAAUAUAAUUAAUAUAAAUUGCCAUUUGAAUAAAUAAUUGUAAUAAUUAUAAUAAUUAUAUACAUAUAAUAUUUAUAUUUAACUUAAACAAAAUCUUGAAUUUAAUGCAUAUAUGCCGCCUCAUUUUAUAUAAAUGGCUUAAUUGCCAUUUUAGCCCUUUUUACUUUCUUUUAAUCUAUAAUUAGACUUUCACUCUUUAUUCAAUUUAAUCCUUUUCGCUAAUUACUCCUAAUUAAGCCAAAUUCACUUAUCUAAAACCUAAUUAAACACACAACUAGUCUCGUAAAUAUUUCUAAUAAUUAUUUUCGAACUCAAUUCACUAAGACGGAGGCCCGAUAAUACACACACUUUUCUGGUGUCCACGGAUUUUGGGUCGUUACAAGAGCUUUGUGUCCUUGACCAUGCAUGCCAUAGCCUGUGAUCAUAAAAUUCCAUGAUAUAACAUCUUUAGAAAGGGACACAUCUUCGAAUACCCUCUCAGCAUCCUCGAAUACACAUCUUUAAAAAAUGUCUAGAAAAAGAUUUAAUAGGAUAAGGCUAGUAAAGUAGUUUACCACAAUUAAUGUCUCUUGCAAGAUUGGCCCAUUAGAAAAUUGAAAAUUUCUUUUAUCCGUUUUGGUUGCAGCCCUUCUUCCUUCAUCCCCUCGUAGAUAUUACGCUUUCGUUUUACAAGGGAAGUGCUACCUAUUGAUCCAUCAUUAUCAGCAGAGUGUAGAUGAAUAUCUUCAAAAUUUGCAGGACAUUGACUCCUAUGGCUAUGCUGCUCUUUUAAUUGAUCUAUCUCUUCCAAAUCUUUCUCAUACACUAUUCUAACACCACACUUCUUCACCUUAACACCGGGACCAAUUGGGUUUGUGAAAGACAGCUCAAGCACAUUGCAUUCCUGAUCUGAGCAACCUAUUGUUGAUAAAUUCUUGGUUUCAUUUUCAUCUUCCAAGGAAGACUGAUAUAAUUUGUCACGCGACCAAUAACGAAGAAAAAGGUGAUCCUUCGUUAUAGGCUGGUUAUUUUGUUUACCUAACAACCAGCCCAGCCAGUCACUCUCAUCAACUUGUCCCGAUUUUCUACAAUGGAUAACCGCUCUACAGAUGAUAACCUCCUCAUCCCUAGAAGCAUCAUCAUUGACAAAAAUGCAACACCCAGCAACUCCAAUCCAUUGACAAUCAUUUUGAUUAUUGAGAGGUAGAGGUAUCUUAAUUGAAGAGCCACCUGUCUGCCGGCUAAACCAUUCUGGGAUUUCACUUCCAGGCAUAAUAACAUCAAAUAUUUUUUUUGAAUUCGCAAAUGGCUGCAAAAUAAAACACCAGUCGUUUGGCAACUAGAACCAAAAAUUAUCAAGUAUGAGAUUCUAUAAGCGAAAAAUAAGAGAGAUCAAUUCACCUUGAGAUGUUUUUUCAGCAAUGUUAAUGCAUUGAUGUUCUCUGCCAAUCUAUAGCAGUUAACCGCUUUCAUGAAAGUCGAACCCACUAAAUUGGUUACAUCCAACGGAUUUGCAAGUUCAACUACUUCAAGCGAAGAACAACCAUCUAACCGCACAUCUUCAAUACUUGUUAGAAGCUCAGGCACCGAUUUAAGCUCCUUGCAAUUUGACAAUCGAAGGGUUUUAAGCUUGGAAAGUGUAGUAAGAGCUGAAGGAAUGCCAAUGAAAUUGUUACCACUAAGAUCAAGUAAUAUCAAAGAGGAUAGACCAUAAAUAUCACUUGGAAUAUCUGCUUCACAAAGAUUGCGAACAUUGCAAUUUGACAAUCCGAGAUAUUGAAGCUUGGAGAGUCGCAUAAGAGACACGGGUAUGUUGCUGAAACUGUUACCACUAAGAUCAAGUUUUUUCAAAGAGGAUAAACAAGAAAUAUCAUUAGGAAUGUCUCCUUCCCGAAGAUUGCUAUCCCUUAGAUUCAACUCUCUUAAACUGGACAAGGAAGGCAACAUCGGAGCCAUGGAAUUCAUCCUUCCUCUAUGGAUUACCUUGAAAAGAGAAGAAAGAUUUCUUUGUAACUUAGAUGGUCCCUUGCAUCCAUUGAAAGACAAAACUUUAAGAUUUUUCAAUUGAAAAAUGAAGGGUGGUAGUUUUGCUAUAGCUGUUUCACUUAAGUCAAGCUCUUCCAAAAAUUCUAAUUGCUGUAAACUCUCUGGCAAAUUUUCAACUUUAUAACAGCCAGAAAGAUCAAGACUUUUUAGACAUUCCAUUUUCCCAUCAAUCUCUGGAAACCUUACCAGAUUUGAACAACCCGAAAGAAUUAAUGUUUCAAGAGAUUCCAUUCCAAUUUUGGUUGGAAGACUCCUAAGACUUCUACAACCUCUUAAAUUCAAAAGUUUAAGGCUCUUAGAACUCCGAUUGAUGGAUGAACAUGCGCUAAUCUGGUACAACCCUCCAAAAUCAAAACUUCGAGAUAUGUGGCUGUUGUGAAGUCUGGUGUCUUGAUCAGGUUUUGGGACCCUUCAAGAUUGACCAUUUUCAAUUUAUACAAGGGCUGUUGAAAACAAUAAUAAAUUAGAAAGAAAGAUAAAAGGCUAAUUUUUUGUUGUUAUUUUUCUAUCAUAAUAAAAUUUUAAUCAUUCAACUUAAAACAAACUAAAACACAAGGAUGGGAUGAAUUAAUUCUUACUCUAUUUCCCUUCCAUAGUUGUUCAAUGCAACUGUAUGGCAAGAUAAGUGCAACAAGGUUAUCCGGUUUGAAGCUUGAAGGUAAUGAUCUUAAAGGACAUCCUUUCCAAUCUAAAAGUCGUAACUCAUUAGAAAUAUAUUUGAGAUCAUAACAAUUCGAGAGGCAAAGGACUUUAAGUAAUCUCAACUUUUUCAUCUUUAAGAAGGCAUCGACAUUCAAAUUGAGCAUCUUGUUCGACUCCCUGAUAAGCAUGGGCAGAACAAAGAGGAGAUUCAAGAUAUAGAAAACAAAUUCUCUACAAUUAUGUUGCUUCAGCAACCUUUUUUUCUUGAAAUAGACAUGUCCAACACUUAUGUCUGACUCAUAGGUAUAAAAAUAUGAUAUUUCAAAGACUCUUCAAAGAUAUAAAACACUUAAAAAUAAAAACGAACAUACUUAAGUUAAACACAAACUCAUUCUUAACAGCUACAUCUGAGUUCAAAUAACGUAGCUUGAAAGAAUUGGAACUAAUAUUCACCAACACAUCACUAACUCUUUUUCUUUUUUAAAAAGAUUUAAGCAUUGAAAACUUUGCCAAUGCUUUUUAAUUUCUUACUUUUUACAAAAAUAAAAAUAACAACAAUACUAAUAAUAUGCAUAGAUACCUGUUUAUAUAUGUUCUCCUACCUCUUAAUAUCGAUGAUCACACCUUCAAUCACUUCUGUAGCCUAAACAUCAAGAGUAAAACAUAAAAAGACAGAAAAAUAAUGGUUUUAAACCAUAUAAUCAAAUUUGUGAAAACUUACAUUUAUAUUUAUCUAGCGUGUUCAAAAUUAUACAUAUAUUUAGGAAUAUAAUAAAUAGAUGUAUUCUUGAUUAUACAUAUUGCAUAAGUCUUAUUAAUACUUAUAAUCAACAAAAAGAUUUAAAAAGACAUAUAUUUAGAAAGAUAAUGAACUGGUCUAUUCGUUUUACUCAAUCAAGCAUUUAAAACAUAACUUCAAAAAUAUGAAGUUGUAAAAAUGAGUUAUAGACAUUUUUUCACCAGUUAUUCUUGACAAUGUAAAUAGAUAAUUUAUUUAAAUCAAUAAAUAUAUACAAAGAAGUGGUUAUAAUAAUGUAUGUUAUGCCUAAUGAAACUCCCAAACUGUCCUGUAAGGUCCAUGUGUUUUGUACCCAAAAACAUAAUAGUUUGGGAUAAAUGGAAUGACUGCAAGAUUCAAAUUGAACAUAAAAUCUACUGAAUGUCACCUCUUAAAACUUAAUCUUAACCAAUUGAAUUCAACCCGGAAUAUAUAUAAUGCAAUUUCAAUGUAAUGACUUACACUGUUUCUUGUUAGCACAUGAUAAACAUCUCUUUCCUUCCACAACCUGCAACGUUUUCCAGGUUCAUCGAUAGAUUUUUCCCUAACAAUUCUUUUUCCCAUUUCUUGUAUCAAGUUAUGCAUCCACAAAUACUUGCCUUCAUGAACCUUUAUGAGAGAUUUCUUAAUGAGAAUAUCUAUUCCAAUAUCUGAGAAAAACUCACAACCAUCCAAUACUUUCGAUACAAAGUCUUUCUCCUCCCCGUUGAAGAAGCAUGCUAUGUCUAGAAAUAUAUUCUUCUCCUUUUCUUCCAAUCCAUCAAAGCUGAUUCGAAGUCUAUCGAGAAUUUCUUUGUUAGAAUCUCUUUUAAGCCUUUCGACUACACUUCUCCAUUGAGCUACAUCUCUACUGCACAAAAAAGAACCAAAAACUUCAAGAGCUAAAGGGAGACCAUCAGCAUAACGUACAACAUGUUCAGAAAGCUCAAUGAAAUCAUCUUUUGGCACUGUAUCACUAUGAAAAGCUUUCAAAUUGAAAAGUCUAAGUGCAUCGUCAGGAUUCAAUGUUGUAGGUUUAUACACACCAUCGACUCCGUAAGAUAGGAGUAAAUGUUCAUCUCUUGUUGUUACAACGAUUCGACUCCCUAAACCGAACCAAUUACGCCUUCCAACCAAGCAUUUCAAGUGUUGUAUGUUAUCAACAUCAUCAAGAACAACAAGAACCUUUUUACCAGACAACCUGUGGCUAAUUAUGGCAUUCCCUUCAUGAACAUUGAAAAAAUUGAAGCAUUCAUCCGGAAAGAUUUGAGAAAGAAGUUGUUUCUGUAAAGAAACAAGUCCAUGUUUGUUUGAAACUUCUCGAAUAUCAGCAAGAAAGCAUUUACCUUGAAAAUGAGCUAACAUUUGAGUGUAAGCAACCCUUGCAAGAGUUGUUUUACCGAUGCCACCCAUUCCGCAAAUUCCUAUAAUGCGGACAUCGUCUUCCCCAAUAUUUAUUUUCGAAUACAACUCCUCCAAAUGUAAACUAAUUCCAACCAACUCAUCAUGAACAAUUGGAUAUGUCUCACAUAAUUUGGCUGAUAUCUUCCUAACAAUGUCUCCGAUAAACUCUGAUUCAUUCCUACAAUGAAAUAAAAUUUAAUUCUUUCAAAUAAUAUUUUGUUGAUAUCUUUCAAACGCUCUUUUUUUUCUAUUUCAAUGAACAAUAUAGUUUAGAAGCAAACAAAAAGCAAGAUAACACAACUUGUUCUUUAGUAGAAAAAUUAAACUUUACAAUUAAACACAUGUAAUCCAAAGAAUAACAAUUUUGUAGUCAUUAAAACUAUAAAAGAAAGAAUACCUGUUAUUUAAAUGCCAUCCCCUGAUGCUAGCCACUUCAGUCAAAGCCUUUCGCCACCUUUGGAUCUUGUCUUUAUCUUCCUUGCAUCUCUCUUCGUGGUUGGCAAAGGCUUCAUCAACUUUACCUUUCUGAUUUUUAAAAUCAGAUGGAUCAACAUUGUAAAAAAUUGGAAACACUUUAUGACCAUUUUUUCUUUGUUCAACAAUCUCAGCAAGCUCCUCCAAGCAAUAACCUGAAAAGCCAUAAGUUCCCGAGAAAACGAUUACCGAGCACCAUGAUUGCUGAACUGCUUUGAGAAUUCCUGGUCUGAUCUCUUCACUCGCCUCCAGCUUUGGAUCAUCUUUGAAAGUGACAAUCCCACUUCUCCUUAGAGCAUGAUAGAGAUGAUCCGUGAAGUUCCUGCGGGUAUCUUCACCUCUAAAACUCAAGAAAACAUCAUAUUCCUUCCUAGAAAUGGAUGAGUGAAUUGAAGCUAACGACAUCAUGACAAUGUAUGAGAAGAAAUUUGCCGUUUAAAAUCAGAGAACAAAACGCCCAAUACCCAGAAAGGAACCAGCAACAAUUAGUAUUUAUAAGCAACAAGAAAGAGAAAAACAGUUCAAAUUUCUAGGGAAGAAUUAAGUUUUGUAAGCAAAAGUUCUCAAUACAUUUCUCACCUUCCCUUUUUCCAAGUAAAAACGCGUAGCAGUAGAAAGUGGGGUCAUAGACGAAAUAUGAUGGGUUUUUCCACGAAGAAACCAAGAAGGCGAGAGUGGACACAGUGGAGCCUACUUUAAUUGAAGUGUUUGACGGUUUGUCGUUUUUUUAUUACAAACAAUAAUAAGUGAAGAUACAAUAUUCUUCCGUAUUAAAAAACAAUAAAAAAUUAAAUAUCUUUUAUAGAAAUUAUUUUAUGCGGAUCAUAUCAUUUAUGGUCAUUUUUUUUUGUCAUUGGCACGUAAUUUUAGUAACUGUUUAUCCUAAACUCCGAAUUCAAAUUCCGACUCCUAAAUUAUAAACCUAAACUUAAAUUUGAAACCCUGAACCUCAAACCCGAACAUGAACUCUGAACCCCAAAUUGAAAACUUGUCUAAAGUUCAAGAUUUUUAAUUUGAGGUUUAGAGUUCAUAAUUCGAGUGUGAGUUCAAGGUUCAAUAUUUAAAUUUAUGGUUUAGAGUUCAGGGUUUAAAGUUUAAGUUCAAGGUUGUGGAUUUUGAGUUUAAGAUUCAGUGUUUUAAGUUUGGAGUUCAGGGUUCAUUGUUCAAGGUAAAAAAAUUAUCAAAAUUAUAUGUCAAUAACAUUAAAAAAUUACUGAAAUAUUAUUACAUAAUUAGGAAGUGACCUUGAAUGAUAUGGUGGAAAGUAGAGGUGCUCAUGGGCUGGGCCGCCCGGCCCGUUCCGAUAGCCCGCCUGAAAUAUGGGAGGGUUUGGGUAAAAAUAUAGGCCCGAAAUAUGGGCUUGGGUAAAAAAACGAGGCCUGUUUAGAAAACGGGCCGAGCCUCGGGCACAACUUUUUUGGCCCGACCCAGCCCGGCCCGAUAUAAUAAAUAUAUUUAUUUUUUAACUUUUUAAUUUUUUUAAUUUUAAAAAUAUUUUAAAAAUACUUUUUUUAAUUUUAAAAUAUUUCUAAAAUACUUUUUUUAAUUUUUAAAAUAAAAUUUUAAUAUUUAUUAAAAAAUGGGCCGGGCCCGGGCUUAUGAUUUUUUCCCGGGCCGGGCCUGGGCAAAAUUUUAUGCUUCGGGCCGGGCCGAGCCAAGCCCGAGCCUAGGACCCGGGUCAAAAAAAUUUUAUGGGCCCGGCCAGAACCCGACCCGGCCCAUGAGCACCUCUAGUGGAAAGGAUCCAUAAAAUAAUUUCAAAUCUUUUAAAGAUGGCAAAACCCGAACCGUCUAAUGAUUCAAAACUAAUGCUAAAAAAAACUGGUCCAAAAAAACAGAUUGAAUGACUAAUUGAACCGAUUUUUAUUAUUUUAAUAAUUUAUUUAAUUAAACCAUGGAACCGAAAAUUAUUGGUCUAAUCAAUUCAACCUUCAGAGUAAUUCAGAAAAUCUUUCAUUUUGCAGGUUUCUGUAGAGACCAAAGUGAAAAGCAGAUAGUAUCACAAUUUCAAUGCAGGCGUGAGAGGAUUAAUUAUUUUAACAUCGCAAUCAAAUCAUUUUCACCAAUAAUCAUUGCAUGAACAUUUGCCAUCAACAAAGUGAUGGAAACAGUUAGCAUCUCUUACGAUAAUCUCCCUCUUUACCACCUUUGAUAUAUAUUUAGUCACUGUAUGGCAAUCACCACAUACACGGAGGUUCUUACUGAUCCUUAUCAAGCUUCUUGCCGGUGUAUGUAAAAGUCCGAAAGCAAUAGCUAACCUCUCACUAUGCCUCCACAGUGAUUUGAUCUUCAUUGCCUCAUCUACGUCGCGAAGAACACAACUUGUAUCCGGUACAUAACCUAAAGCUUCAAGUUCUGAUUUCAAGUUCUCAAGAAUCCGAUCGAUUUCAACCGAGUUCGGAUGUGAAUCUUCACCAGCGAAAAACGCAUGGAGCUGUUUUCCAACUUCAAUCAGGCUGUAUCCUGGUGUUUUUUUCAGUCCGUGUCCCCUCAUGAGACCUCGAAUAUGAUCUACCGCAUCCCAUCUCCUUGCUUCAGCAUAUAUGUUUGAUAACAUGAUGUAAAUACCCGGGUUUUGUUGAAGUCAGCUCUCAUGCAGCAACAAAGGUGGCCAUGCAAGGAACGUGCUUCAAGCAGCAAACUGGUGUAGCAAGCUAAAGCCAUUUUUGGUUCAUUUAGUUUCUUUAAAUGAAUGUUUUGUAUUUAGUUAGGAUCAAAUUUAGUUGGUAGCUGCAUUUUGAUGUAAUUAGGUGAUGAAUGACAAGUUUAGGUAGCUGUUUAUGUAUUCAAACAAGUUUACCAAGUUACUAGGCAAGUUAGUGGUGUUAGGUGUGUUAUUAGGUGGUAACUUGUUUGUUUUGUUGUUGUUAUCUCAUAUAUGUAUUGGCAUUAUGCCUUCUAAAAUUUGCAAUGAAAAAUCAGCUCAUCAUUCAUUAAAAUCUCUCUCUUUCUUUACUGUUUUCCAUUGCAAAUUUUUUUUCUUUCUUCUUCGGUUGUUUCUGCUCCAAGUCUCGAGGCUUGCUUACCAAGCAAAGCUUGAAAAUCAGCUUGCUGCUGCCUCUUGCACCAACAAUUGGUAUCUAGAGCCCUUGUCUCAGUGGACCUGUUGCUUAAAAUCAAGGAACAUGAUGGCUUCUUCAGGAUUUUCACCAGCAGCCCCACCAGUCUUCAAUAGAGAAGGCUUUCACAUAUGGCUGGUCAAGAUGAAGACUUACCUGCAGGCCUUUGAUCUGUGGGAAGUUGUCAACAUAGAUGCUGAGCCAGCACCACUGAGGGCCAACCCCACAGUAGCUCAGAUCAGACAACAUGAUAAUGAGAGGACCAAAAGGCACAAAGCCAUGUCCUGCAUCCAGAACUGUGUGUCAGAUGUUAUCUUCACUAGAAUUAUGGCCUGUGAGACUCCAAAACAGGCCUGGGACAAGCUUAAGGAUGAGUUUCAAGGCACUGAGAGGACAAGGCAACAGCAACUAUUGAAUUUGAGAAGGGAUUUCGAGAAUCUGAAGAUGAAGGAAGAAGAAACAGUGAAGCAGUAUGCAGAUAGAAUCAUGGCAGUGGUUAACAGCAUAAGGCUCCUUGGUGAGCACUUUGAUGAGGCAAGAAUUGUGGAGAAAGUCCUCUCCACUUUGCCUGAGAGAUAUGAGGCAAAGAUAUCCUCCUUAGAGGACUCAAGAGAUCUUCCUAGCAUCUCUUUGACUGAGCUAAUUAACACCUUCUAUGCUCAGGAACAAAGGAGAGCUAGCAGAUCUGAAGAUCACCAGGAAGGUGCAUUUCAAGCCAAGGCCAGAGAAGUCUUGAGCACAAAUGCUCAAAAAGGCAAAAAGCCUUGGAAAAGCAGGCCUAAGCCUAAUGCUGCAAGGAGCAAUGACCAGCCCUGCAGAUAUUGCAAGAGGUCAGGACAUUCAGAGGAUAGAUGCUGGUUUAGGCCAGAUGCAGUAUGUCAACACUGCAAGAAGAAAGGCCAUGUUGAAAGAUUCUGCAAAAACAGAACCAAGCCAAGGCAGAACCAAUUUCAGCAGCCAAAAGUUGAAGCUCGAGUGGCUGAAGACAGUAGUGACCAAGAAGAGCAGGUCUUUGCUGUUUCUUGCAUAGCUACUGAGAAGAAAUCUUCAAAAGGAUGGUUAUUGGACAGUGGUUGCACCAACCACAUGUCACCUGAUACCUCUUUGUUUAAAACCUUGGAUAAAAGUUGCAAAACCAAGGUCAAGGUUGGAAAUGGUCAGUUUAUAAGAGUUGAAGGAAGAGGAGAGGUGCUGAUAUGUACUCCUACAGGCAACAAAGUUAUUUUAAAUGUCUUGCUGGUACCUGAAAUUGACAGAAACCUUCUCAGCAUAGCUCAAUUGCUUGAGAAAGGCUAUUCUGUUGUGUUUAAGGACAAACAGUGCCACAUUGCUGAUCCCAGUGGAUCAAGCCUUAUGACAGUCACAAUGACUGAUAAAUGCUUUGAGGUUCAUUGGCCAAAUGACUCAAAGUCAGCAUACACAGCCUCCACAGAUGAUUCCAAGCUCUGGCAUCAAAGGCUUGGGCAUGCCAACUUCAGGUCAAUGGCUCGAUUGGCCAAAGAAGGCUUGGCAGAGAACUUCACCAACUCAGUAGAGCAUGAUGAUGUGUGUGAAGUGUGCCAGAUAGGAAAACAGGCAAGACUACCAUUCCCAACAAACUCAGCAUGGAGAGCCACUGAAAGCUGGUGCACUCUGAUGUAUGUGGACCUAUGAGGAUAGAAUCACUCAGCAAUAACAGGUAUUUCAUCCUCUUCAUUGAUGAUUUUACAAGGUUUUGCUGGAUUUUCUUCUUGAAACAUAAGUCUGAGGUAGCUCAAGUGUUUGUGAAGUUUAAAACUGCUGUAGAAACAGAAACAUGUUGCAAGCUGAAAUCAAUAAGGAUAGACAAUGGCACUGAGUACACUUCAGCUCAGUUCCAAGCCAUUUGCAAUGAUGCUGGCAUCAAACAUCAGCUUACAAAUGUUUACACACCUCAGCAGAAUGGGGUAGCUAAAAGAAAGAACAGAAGUCUGAUGGAUAUGGCUAGAUGUCUCCUGUUCGAGAAGAAACUGCCCAAUACCAUGUGGGCUGAGGCAGUAAACACUGCUGUUUACCUUCAAAAUAGGCUUCCUACCAAAUCUCUUGCAUCCAAGACACCUUUCGAGGCUUGGUUUGGAUUCAAGCCUUCCUUGGCACACCUAAAAGUGUUUGGUUGCCUGUGUUAUGCACAAAUACCAGCAGCAAAGAGAGACAAGCUCUCUAAAAGGGCUCAACCAGGUGUCUUAGUAGGCUACAGCUCAGUUAAGAAGGGCUACAGGGUGCUGGAUCCCUUGACAAACAAAGUCCAAGUGAGCAGAGAUGUCAUCUUUGAUGAAAAAGCUUGCUGGAAUUGGGAAAAGAGUGAACCAGAAGCUGCUUCAGAAGACCUGGUGCCUGUAAGAGGCACAAGGUCUUUGGAUGAAGUUUAUGAAAAGGCACAGGUUGCUAUAGCUGAACCUAGCAGUUUUGAAGAGGCUGAGGCAGAUGAAGGUUGGAAACAGGCUAUGGCUGAUGAGAUCAACAUGAUUGAGAAGAACCAUACAUGGGAGUUGGUUGAAAAGCCUGCCAACAGAAAGACCAUUGGUGUAAAAUGGGUCUAUCGAGUGAAGCACAAUGCAGAUGGAAGUUUGAACAAGCUAAAGGCCAAGCUAGUUGUGAAGGGCUUCAGUCAAAGGUAUGGUCUGGACUACUUGGAAACAUUUGCUCCAGUAGCCAGACUCGAUACAAUCAGAUUGCUAGUUGCUGUAGCUGCUCAGAACCAGUGGACAAUCCAUCAAAUGGAUGUCAAGUCAGCAUUCCUCAAUAGAUUCUUGGAAGAGGAGAUAUACAUUGAACAACCUCCAGGUUUCAUAAUGUCUGGAAAGGAACAUUUGGUGUACAGGCUAAGAAAAGCCUUGUAUGGCCUAAAACAGGCUCCUCGAGCCUGGUAUACUCGAAUUGACUCAUAUCUGGUCAGUUUGGGAUUUGAAAGAAGUGCUAGUGAGCCAACACUUUAUGUUAAAAGAAAUCGAGGUGAAACACAGCUCAUUGUGUCACUCUAUGUUGAUGAUCUUCUAGUGACUGGAGGAGACAAAUUCAUGCUGGCUGAUUUCAAAACAAAAAUGAAAGAGAUGUUUGAAAUGUCAGACCUGGGAUUGAUGACAUACUUCCUAAGAUUGGAAGUUAAUCAAGCAGAAGGAGGAAUCUUCUUGAGACAAAAAUAAUUUGCCUUGAAAGUUCUAGCCAAGUUCUCAAUGGAGAAUUGUAAACCAACCAGCACUCCUAUGGCUGUUGGCAUGAAGCUAUCGAGCCAAGAAGAUUAUGAAUCUGUUUGUGAAACUGACUACAGAAGCCUGUUGGUUGUUUGCUGUAUUUGACAGCAACAAGACCGGAUAUUCUGUUUGCUGUGAGCAUGCUAUCAAGAUUCAUGCACUGCUGUAACCAGCAGCAUUAUAAAGCUGGAAAACGAGUGCUAAGAUACAUCAAAGGCACCUUAAGCCAUGGAAUACAUUUCAGUAGGGCUGAUGAAUUGAAAUUGAUUGGCUACACUGACAGCGAUUGGGCUAGUUCAAAAGAUGAUAUGAAGAGCACUUCUGGUUAUGCCUUUACACUAGGCUCAGCUAUGAUUUGUUGGAGUUCAAGAAAACAAACGAUGGUGGCUCAGUCUACAGCUGAAGCUGAGUAUGUAGCAGCUGCUAAUGCAGUUAAUCAAGCUAUAUGGUUAAGGAAAAUUUUGAAUGAUUUGAAUCUACAGCAGAAUGAAGCAACUAUGAUACAUUGUGACAAUAAGUCAGCAGUUGCUAUUGCUAAAAAUCCUAUCUUCCAUGGCAGGACAAAGCAUUUCAAUAUAAAACUGCAUGUGAUAAGAGAAAUGGAGCAAGCUCGAGAAAUCGAGCUGAUUCACUGUAGCUUUGAGAAUUAGAUUGCUGAUAUCUUUACAAAGUCACUUGGUGUGUCAAGAUUUCUAAAUUUAAGAAAGCUACUAGGAGUCUGCUGCAAAGAAGUUGAGGAGGAGUGUUGAAGUCAGCUCUCAUGCAGCAACAAAGGUGGCCAUGCAAGGAACGUGCUUCAAGCAGCAAACUGGUGCAGCAAGCUGAAGCCAUUUUUGGUUCAUUUAGUUUCUUUAAAUGAAUGUUUUGUAUUUAGUUAGGAUCAAAUUUAGUUGGUAGCUGCAUCUUGAUGUAAUUAGGUGAUGAAUGACAAGUUUAGGUAGCUGUUUAUGUAUUCAAACAAGUUUACCAAGUUACUAGGCAAGUUAGUGGUGUUAGGUGUGUUAUUAGGUGGUAACUUGUUUGUUUUGUUGUUGUUAUCUCAUAUAUGUAUUGGCAUUAUGCCUUCUAAAAUUUGCAAUGAAAAAUUAGCUCAUCAUUCAUUAAAAUCUCUCUCUUUCUUUACUGUUUUUCCAUUGCAAAUUUUUUUUAUUUCUUCUUCGGUUGUUUCUGCUCCAAGUCUCGAGGCUUGCUUACCAAGCAAAGCUUGAAAAUCAGCUUGCAGCUGCCUCUUGCACCAACAGGUUUGUUGCGUCCAAACUUAAUAAAUAGUCUGCAGCUUUUAUGCCGAUAUCAAUGUUCUUGUGCAUUCUACAUCCAUUUAUGCCUCCUAGAUUCUGUUAAUAGCAAAGGUACUGUAUAAGCUACUACUCAGUUUGUACAUUACUCUUGAAAUACACCCUUUAUAUCAGAUGAAUUGGAAAUUAGAAGUAAACUUACGACAUAUAUUACCCUUUUUUUGUUUUGUUGGAAUGUUUUGGCUGAUAAAUAAUAUACUUCAUGCAAUCUCCUUUAUCAGAAAAGAAAAGAGUGGUAUAAAUAAGCUGUUAUUCCAUGUUGGUAUAACUAUUGUAGUAUUUGGUAUAAGCUGCAAUUUCAAGAGGAUUUUACAAGAAAAAUUGUGAGAUUAUUAUGAUUGAUUUAAAAGUGAAACAAUUAGAUAAAUUACUACCUCCUUUUUUUUUGCUUAUAAAUUCUUGAUGAUUUGCCAUAUAUUAUGAAAGAUGAUAAACGGAGAACUUGUAUUUGUAGGAGCAACGAAGGAAAUUCAAUUUUAUUGUCUAUAUAAAAGGAAUCAUAUUUCGAUAAGGAAAUCAUCAUUCUCCAACUUGAAUGAAAACUACAAUGAAUAUAUAUAUAUAUACAAAGGCAAAAGAGCUCGUAGGUUGAAAGUGAAACAGAGCUUCAGUAACAAAAUUUGACUCAAAUUCUGAAAAAAAAAUCUAUAAAAUUUAUUGUUUUUGGUUUCUCUCCAACUUAUCAGAAUCAUUCAACUUUUUAUUUGCAAUGCGAAACAUUUGAGAUAUUAGAAGCAUGUCCACAAACACUUUACUCUUACAAUCCAACUUCACAUUUUCCUUGAAAAUUUGAAAACAUAUCACGUGAAGCCAUGGUGAUUUUCAAAUAGAAAGAAAUCAUAGAUACUAGACGCACAAGUAUCCCAUAGCUUUUCGUUGCUUUUCCUGCUGGUAGGAACUAAUCAUUUUCUUAACCUUUGUUCCUCUAAAAUUUUUCUCCUUUCCAGCAAGACACUAUUAGGAAUGUUAACACCAGAUGGUGGUGGAAUAUUUCGAGGCUGUAAUAUUUUUUGCUGUUGAAAACAUGGUAAAGAAUCUAUUUGUACCAUCAAACAAAAACAUGGGAAAAAGAGAAACCUAUAAAAUUAACAAAAUAGGAGAAAAUAUCUUGAAAAGGCUAGUCAAGUAUUAUUGCUUCUUUUCUGAUUAGCCCAUUAUAAAAUUGAAAGUUUUUUGCAUCCGUUUCUGCUGCGGCCGUUCUUCCUCUGUUUCCUCGUGGAUAUUGCGUUUUCAUUUUACAAGGGAAGUGCUACCUGCGGAUCCAUCGUUGUCAGGAAAGCGAUGAUGGAUAUGGUCAAAGUUUGGAGAAGAUUGAGUGGUAUGGCACUGCAGCUCUUUUAUUUUUUCCAAAUCUUUCUCAUACAUUAUUCUAACACCACACUUCUUCACCUUAAGGGAAGGAUAACCAAGUGUGCCUUCGAAAGACAUCUCGAAAGACAUCUCAUCGCAUUCAUGAUCAGAGCAAUCCAUUGUCCAUAAAUUAUUGGUUUCCCAUUCACCACAUUUAUUCUCGAAGGAUAAUGGAUAUAAUUUAUCACACGAGAAAUAACAAAGAAAUAGGUGGUGCUUUGUUAUGGGCUCCGAAUAUUCUCCACCAAAAGCAAAGAAAUUUGAUGAGAUCUGUUGCGCGGAAGCGUGUAAAAGAGUAAAAUUAUUGUACUAAAAAAUCACACUAAGUUUAAUUCCCAGGAAAGAGAGAUGGAUCACGAGGAUCGCUUAAGUACCAGGUCUUUCCUAGCCAGAAUAUCCCUCUAUCGUAAUUUAAUAGCACAAUAAAUCACUACAAUCACACUCACAAAAUAUGCAAAAUAAACAAUAAAGAACACUAGAAUUUUAACGAGGUUCAGCAAAUUUUGCCUACGUCCUCGGGCACUACCAAAUAUAUUUCACUCCAAAAUACAAGUGAAAGUUUACAAAUAAGGAGAGAGAACAAUUGCCUUAAGUAGAGAAUGGCAAAUGUGGGAUGGAGAAAAUGAGAAAUAGCUAGGCCUAUUUAUAGUUGAAGCUCAAGGAUUAACUUGCAAAGUCCCUAUACAAUUAGGGACCAAAAUUGCAAUUAUCCCAAGCCAAAUUUCAACCCAAAAAUCUGUGCCUUAAAUGCUUAGAUUUUCUGUGCCAAAUUUCUGACACCAUCCAUAUCUUUGAAAAAGUCAAAGAUGGUUGCUAAUAAUCUCCACCUUGAAGAUUUGAUUAGGAUAAUCUUAUCUUCACACAUUCUUUCUGCCUUUGACAACAAUACUUGAUAGUGCCUUCUUCAACUAUUAAACUUGCAGGAUAUUGAUCAAGUUCAAACAAUGUUCGAACUUGAUUGUUGGUACCACCUUGGUCAUCAUAUCUGCGGGAUUAUCUGCAGUCUUAAUCUUCUGUAGACGAAUUUUCCCCUCAUCAAUAAUUUCCCGCACAAAAUGGAAUCGUACGUCGAUAUGCUUUGUACGUGCAUGAUAGACUUGAUUCUUUGCUAAAUGAAUAGCACUUUGACUAUCACAAUACACAUUAAUAUGCUCCUGAACCAAUCCCAAGGUUUUAACCAUACCUUGUAACCAAAUAGCUUCCUUUACAGCCUCUGUUACAGCCAUGUAUUCGGCUUCUGUGGUUGACAACGCAGCUGUAGACUACAGUAUAGACUUCUAACUUAUUGGUCCUCCAGCAAGUGUAAACACAUAACCAGUGGUUGAUCUUCGUUUGUCCAAAUCACCGGCAUAGUCAGAAUCAACGUACCCAAUAAUACCUUUACCAAGUGUAGUGUCCUGCUUGAACAGUAAUCCAACAUCCACGGUCUUCAGAAUAUACAGUAGAAUCCAUUUCACAGCUUGCCAAUGUCCUUUUCCAGGACUAUGCAUAUACCUACUCACUAUACUAACUGCCUGUGAAAUGUCGGGUCUUUUACAUACCAUUGCAUACAUCAAGCUACCCACUGCAUUAGAAUAUGGAACUUGUAACAUGUAUUCUCGUUCCGUAUUUGUCGAAGGAGAUAGUUGUGCAGAAAGCUUGAAAUGAGAAGCCAACGGCGUACUUACAGGUUUGGUCUGCUCGUUCAUGCCAAACUGCUGUAGUACUUUCUUCAAAUACUGCUUCUGAGACAAACUAACUCUGCCUUAAGCUCUAUCUCUACAUAUUUCCAUACCAAGAAUCUUCUUAGCUUCACCUAGAUCUUUCAUCUAAAACUCAAGAUUGAGUUCAGUCUUCAAUCUCUCAAUCUCAACUUUGCUCUUAGAUGCUAUCAGCAUAUCAUCAACAUAUAAGAGAAAGUAUAUGAAAGUUCCUACUUGUAGCUUCUGAAAAUACACGCAAUGAUCAAAUUUACUUCUUGUGUACCUUUGCCCUUUCAUGAACUGAUCAAAUCGCUUGUACCACUGCCUCGGAGAUUGUUUCAAUCCAUAAAGUGACUUUGUCAGUUUGCAAACCCAAUUUUCUUUAUCAGCAACCUUGAAUCCAUCAGGCUGAGUCAUAUAGAUUUUCUCUUCCAAAUCACCGUGUAAAAAAGCUGUCUUCACAUCAAGCUGAACUAGUUCAAGGUCAUAUUGCGCAACCAAGGCUAGCAAAAUCCGAAUAGACGAAUGCUUCACAACUGGAGAAAACACUUCAUUGUAGUCUAUGCCUUCUUUCUGAGCGUAACCCUUUGCUACCAAUCUAGCCUUGUAUCGAAUUUCAUUUUUACCAGGAAAUCCUUCCUUUUUUGCAUAUACCCAUUUGCAUCCAAUUGCCUUCUUUCCCUUGGGCAGUGUCACCAACUCCCAAGUCCUAUUUUUAUGAAGAGACUGCAUUUCUUCAUUCAUAGCUUGCUUCCACUUUACACCAUCAGGGUUACUUAUUGCUUCUGUGUAUGUAGAAGGAACAUCAUCAUCUGCAAUUAGAAGUGCAUAGGCCACUAUAUCACCAAAGCGAGCAGGCCUACGAAUCUCUCUUCUUGGCCUCUUAUAUGCAAUUGAAUCUUGUUGCUGUACAAGUUCUUGGGUCGAAACUUCUUCAUCAUUUGUUUCUUCAAUGUUAGCUGGAUCAUCAUUAACCUUUUCAAGCUCCACCUGCUGCAAAGUACUACUGGUUUUGUCAUCCUUUUGUGAAUCCUUGUUCUUCAUUAUGGUUGAUUCAUCAAAAGUCACAUCUCUACUGAAAACAAUCUUCCUUGUAUCAGGACACCAGAGACGGUAUCCUUUUACUCCACUAGUUAUACCCAUGAAUAAUGCUUUCUUUGCUCUUUGGUCUAACUUAGAUUCUUUUACAUGAUAUUAUGCAGUGGAACUAAAAACAUGUAAAGAAUCAUAAUCAGUAGCAGGUUUACCAGCCCACAUCUCCAUAGGAGUUUUUCCAUUUAUUGCAGCUGAUGGCAACCGGUUAAUUAGAUGGCAAGCAUAUGUAACUGCCUCAGCCCAAAUUUCCUUGCCCAAUCCAGUAUUGGACAACAUACAUCGAACUUUCUCCAGUAUAGUCCGAUUCAUACGUUCUGCCACCCUAUUCUGCUGUGGUGUAUCUCGAACAGUGAAGUGUUGCACAAUGCCCUCAUCUUGACAUGUAAAAAUGAAUCAUUUUUGUACUCAGUACCAUUAUCUGAUCGAAGUCGUUUGACCUUUCGACUACUCUGAGUCUCCACCAUCUUCUUCCACUUUAGAAAUGCAUCCAAAACUCCACUUUUUCUUUUCAUUAGAUACACCCAUACUUUUCUUGAAUAAUCAUCAACAAAAGUAAUAAAAUAGUGCAUACCUCCCAAAAAAGCCACUUUGGUAGGUCCCCACACGUCACAGUGAACAUAGUCCAGAAUUCUUUUCGUAUUGUGAAUUGCUGAACCAAAUUUUACCCUCGUCUGCUUGCCCAGAACACAAUGUUCACAGAAUUCCAAUUUGCAAGAAUUUACAACUUUCAACAAGCCUUGCUUCGCCAAAGUCUGCAAAGCUUUUUCACCAGCAUGUCCUAAUAGCAUAUGCCAUAACCUGGUAGCCUCUGAAUCUGUAUCUUUCACAAAAGCUGUUGAUAUUGAUCUAAUAACUGUACUUCCAUUUAAAUAGUACAAGUUAUUUCUUCUAGUGCCUUUUAUCACCAUCAAUACCCCAGCUACUACCUUUAGUAAUCCAUCUCUCAAAGUGACUGUGAGCCCUUUAGAUUCUAGGGCCCCUAAUGAGAUGAGAUUUUUCUUCAAGCUAGGUACAUAAUGAACAUCUGUCAAGACUUGGAUUGAGCCGUCGUGAUUCUUCAAUUUGAUUGUACCUACUCCCAUUUUCUUACAAGCACUGUCAUUGCCCAUAAAAACAACUCCACCUUCUAGUUCUUCAAGACUAGAAAACCAGUCCUUAUUAGGACACAUACGGUAAGUACAUCCCGAAUCCAAGAUCCACUCAUCCGUAUGACAUGUCAUUGCCAUGCCAACCAAGCUAAAGUCUGACUCAUCAUCAUGCUCCGCUACACAUGCAUUAGAAAUAGCCUUGCCCUUUUGUAACUUAGGACAAUUCUUUUUCCAAUGCCCUUUCUCACGACAAAAAGCAUAUUCAUCUUUGGCGGGUCUCCCUUUGGACUUGCCUCUUCUACCAGGUUUGUUGCUGUGUGAACGACCUCUUACUGUUAAGACUUCUGCAGUUGUAUCUCUGUGAUCUCUUUUAUCUUUCUUUUGAGUCUCAGAUCUAUACAACGCACUGCAGACUACAUCAAAUGUGGUCGUAUCUUUCCCAAGAAGCACUGUGGUGGUAAGAUGAUCAUAUUCAUCAGGAAGAGAAUUCAACAACAAUAAUGUCUUGUCUUCAUCUUCAAAUUUCUCAUCCAAAUUUAGCAAGUCUGCUAAAAUUUUAUUGAAGGAGUUCACAUGGUCAUUCAUCGACAUACCGGGUGCAUACGUGAACCGAAAAAGUUUCUUUUUCAUGUAAAGCCUAUUUUCAAGACUUUUCGUUAGAAACUUUUCUUCCAGUGUAUCCCACAACUUCUUCGCUAAUGUCUCCCUCAGGACAGAGUACUUCUGCUCUUUGGCCAAACAUAGGCGGAUUGUACCACAUGUCUGUCUAUUGAUCUUGGCCCACUCCUUGUCAUCCCUCUUGUCAGGCUUUUCGUCAAGGGCUAUAUCCAACUCUUGCUAACAUAAGACAUCCAGGAUCUCACACUGCCACAUACCAAAAUUAUUAGCACCAUCAAAUUUCUCUACUUCAAAUUUUGCAUUGGUCACGGUAGUCUUUGUUGAUGACGAUGCCUCUGCCAUUCUUCUCCUCAACCCCAACUACUGUAUAUGUGAACAGUACCGUCUACGUGAAUAGUGCCAUGGAUGAACAACACCGUAUACGUAAAUAGUAUCGUAAACGGUCGUAUUCCCCAAGUACGAAUCUAGCUCGGAUACCAAUUAUUGCACGGAAGCAUGUAAAAGAGUAAAAUUAUUGUACUAAAAAAUCACACUAAGUUCAAUUCCCAGGAAAGAGAGGUGGAUCACGAGGAUCACUUAAGUACCAGGUCUUUCCUAGCCAGAAUAUCCCUCUAUCGUAAUUUAAUAGUACAAUAAAUCACUACAAUCACACUCGCAAAAUAUGCAAAAUAAAUAAUAAAGAACACUUGAAUUUUAACGAGGUUCAGCAAAUUUUGCCUACGUCCUCAGGCACUACCAAAUAUAUUUCACUCCAAAAUACAAGUGAAAGUUUACAAAUAAGGAGAGAGAACAAUUGCCUUAAGUAGAGAAUGGCAAAUGUGGGAUGGAAAAAAUGAGAAAUAGCUAGGCCUAUUUAUAGUUGAAGCUCAAGGAUUAACUUGCAAAGUCCCUAUACAAUUAGGGACCAAAAUUGUAAUUAUCCCAAGCCAAAUUUCAACCCAAAAAUCUGUGCCUUAAAUGCUUAGAUUUUCGGUGCCAAAUUUCUGACACCAUCCAUAUCUUUGAAAAAGUUAAAGAUGGUUGCUAAUAAGAUCCAUCGAUGAUUUCUACCUUGAAAAUCAGAUCCAUUAUAACUAGAUUGUCCAGAAUUUCUACAAUGGAUAUAAGCUCUACCACCGACAACCUUUUCCUCAGGACCACCAUCAUUGACGAAAAUGCAGUAGAAAGCAACUCCAAUCCAUUGACUGUCAUUCUGAAUAUUGAGAGGCAGAGGUAUGUCAAUUACAGAGCCGCCUCUCUGUUGGCUGAACCAUUCUGGGAUUUCAUUUCCAGGUAUAAUAACAUCAAACUCUUUUCUUGAAUUCGCAAAUGCCUGCAAAUUAAAACAUCAGCCUUUCUUGAAUUUGUAAAUGCCUGCAAAAUAAAAUAUCGGUGGUUUUGUAACUCAAACCAUGAAAAAAAGAAAGGAGAGAUUAAUCAACCUUAAUGGCAAUAAGGUGAGCACAAUCAACUAUCCACUCACUUGUCAUUCUUGCUAGAAGCACAUGAAACGAUUCAAGCUCACUGCAAUUUGACACUCCAAGCCUUUGAAGAUUGGAAAGAUGAGUAAGAGACGCAGCUGUUGGAACUUAGAAAAUAGAUUGAAGAAAUUUGACAGAAACUUGAGCUAAAAGGCUCAAAAACUUGUUGAGCAAUCAAGCAAAAAUCAGACAAAGAACUUGAGUAAAGAACCAGAGAACCAAGAAGAAUUUUGAGUGAUAUUUUCAUUACAUUUGAAAUGAGGCAUAUUGCCAUUACAUAAACCAAGCAUUGAGCUGGUCAAAAGAGACAAACUUCACCUAAUCAUCAACCUAACUCCACUAAGUAUCCUUGAAACUUAUAAAACAUGACUUGCACACAUAGGUAAGCUGAUUUAUCAAUCCAUCAGCACCUAAUUACAUCAAGUACAUUAACAACUUGGUUUAAAUCUAAAUAAGUUACAAAACAUCAAUUUGAAAGUAACAAAAGGAAACAGCAGCUUGAACUUCAGCUGCAACUGCAUGGCUCGGGCAGCUCCUCUGCUUCUUGGCUGCAUGCAGGCCAACUUCAACAGCAGCUAUGCUGGUGAAAUUAUUACACUAAGACCAAGAAAUCUCAAUGAGGAAAGACCAGAAAUAUCACUAGGAAUAUCUCCACGAAUAUUGAAUAAGUCGCAAUUUGACAAUGUAAGAUAUUCAAGCCUGGAGAGUCGUGUAAAAGACCCCGAUAUAGUGUUGAAAUUGUUAUCGCUAAGAUCAAGAUUUGUCAAAGAGGAUAGACAAGAUAUAGCACCAGGAAUAUCUCCUUCACCAAGAUUGCAGUCCCUUAGAGUCAACUUUCUUAAUGAACUCAAACCGGAUAAUGAAGGUAGCAUUAGAGCUAUGGAAUUCAUCCUUCCUCUUUGGCUUACCUUGAAAAGAGAAAGGAGAUUUCUUUUUAACUUAGACGGACCCUUGAAUCCACCGAAAGACAAAAUUUUAAGAUUUUUCAAUUGAGAAAUGCAGAAGGGUGGUUCUUUUAUGGCUGUUUCACUUAAGUCAAGCUCUUCCAAAAAUUCUUCUUGCUGCAAAUUCUCUUACAAAUUGUUCGUGUUUAGAACUCGAACUUUGAUGGUUGAUCGAGAGUUUUAAAGCAGAAAGAAGAGACGGAAAGUUUUAAGUAGAAAAAUAAUUGAAGACGUGAAUAUAUUAAUUGAUUUGCACCUCAACUAUUUAAAUACAAAAGUUCAAGCUAAAAAUAGGAAAAAAAAGGUUCUAAAAAAUCUGCUAAAAAUUUGUUAACAUAAUAGCAAACAAAUCAAAAAUCUAAUCUCCUAAAGUCAAGGAGAAUUAUUCAAACUUAAUAACAGAAAAAAAUUUAAAUGGCAGCAAUCUUAAACACAUUAUCUCAACACUCCUCCUUGUUUAGAUGCUGCAAACUCCAAUUAUAUUUCUGUCGAGAGGUCGAUCAACCAACUCCCAAGUUUUGUUUUUCUCGAUCGUCGCAAGCUCCUCCUUCAUUGCAGCCAUCCAAUGUUGACUAUUUUUUGCAUCAUGAUACCCUGCAGGCUCACAAAUAGCCAUGUUACAUCUUUGGUAAAUGUAGGAGAGCAGCCUUGUUCUUCUGACAGGUGCAUCAUCGGCCAAAACAUCUUGCCCUUCAUCUUCAAGCUCUUCUAACGUGCUGCCAAUGGUAAAACGAUUUGGUGCACUAGAAGUUUGGUUCGUCUUGGUUGAGUCUUCCCAAUUCCAUUGCUCAUUUUCAAAAAAAUAAACAUCUCUUCUCACAAUAACACGUCCAGUGUGUGGUUGAAAGACUCUGUAAGCUUUAGAUACGUGCUAUACCUAACAAAAAUGCUAGCUUCUACCUUUUUGUCAAGCUUAUCACACUUGACCUGUGGAAUGUAAGUGAAACAUAGGCAGCCAAACACUCUAAGAAACUUUAACGAAGGUUUGUAACCAUACCAAGCUUCAAAUGGCAUCUGAUCCUUCACAGCUUUUGUUGAAAUCUGAUUUGCAAGAACACAGCAGUGUUUGCAGCUUCUCCCCAAAAGCCUUUUGGAAGAUUCUUCUCAUGAAGCAUACAACGAGUCAUCUCCAUUAUGAAUCUGUUCCUCCUUUCACUGACUCCAUUUGUUGUGGAGUGUAUGGCGCCGUCAACUGAUGCUCAAUUCCAGCCUCUUCACAAAACCUAUUAAAGGUUUUUAAAGUGUACUCCUUGCCAUUAUCAGAUCUUAAAAUCUGAAUCAUGCAUCCACUUUCAUUCUCAACUCUAGCUUUGAAUUUUCAGAACAUAUCAGCAACUUCUGAUUUUUGCUUCAACAAAAAAAUCCAACACAUUCUUGUUAGAUCAUUAACAAAGGCUAUGUAAUAGAGGUUACCAUUUAACGAAGGAGUUCUCUGAGGACCACAAAGAUCAGUAUGAACAAGCUGUAACUUCUUCGAGGCUCUCCAGGCUUGUUUAGGAAAUGUUUGUCUAUGUUGUUUCCCAAAUUUACAAGCUCGACAAUGAGGUAGAUCAUCAUCAAUGUCUGUAAGUCCUUCCACUAGCUUCUUCAACUACAUUUGAAGUAAUCCUCAAUGGUGAAAGUGCCCAAGUCUCUUGUGUCAAGUCUCAGUAGCACUAACUCUGGAUUUAAAAGCCAUUUGCUCAUUUUCCAUUGGAUUAAGAGCAAAACUUUUUCCCUUCAUUUUGACAUUGAACAAGUCUCUGCCAUUAGCAUCUCUAAUCAAGCACUGCUUAUUCUCAAAUAGCACUUUAUAACCUUUAUCUAGCAACUGGCCAACACUUAAGAGAUUUUGAUCAAUUUUAGGUACAAAUAAAACAUCUGAAAUGAAUUUUGUACCUUCAUAGCUUGUAAUAGCUAUUGUGCCUUUUCCCUUGACUUCUAAGUACUCACCAUUUCCAAUCCUCACUCUUUUGACUUCAGUGUUUCUCAAUUCCUCGAAGAGCUCCUUGUCAUACGUCAUGUGAUUUGUGCACCCACUAUCAAUCAACCAGCUCUCACUUGAUUCUCUGCCUGAGAAACAAGUAACCAUGAACAAUUGAUCUUCUUCUUCUUGAUCAACUACCUGUGCAUCUACUUCUUGCACCUGGCCUUUAACCUUGCAAAUCACUGCUUCAUGUCCAAGUUGAUUGCAUUUGGAGCAUUUGGCGUCAGGUCUUUUCCAACAUUUGAAUGGUGGAUGACCUUUCUUCUCACAAUGGCGACAAGGUGGGUAGGAUUUCUUGACACCUCCUUUUUUGAUCUUCUGAUAAUUGCCUGAUGAAUUUUCUCCACUCGUCGAUUGGUUUUAAAAUUUUUCUUCUUUUUAUACCUGUUGUUAUCUUGAUGCUUGACAGGUAAGGCCCCUUCUAUCACUCCCUCUUGCCUCAUAUUCAACUUUACAACAACCAGAAAGAUGAAGAGUUUUUAGAUGUUCCAUUUUCCCAUCAAUCUCUGGAAACCUUGCAAGAUUUGAGCAACCCGAAAGAAUUAAAGUUUCAAGGAAUUCUAUUCCAAUUUUGGUUGAAAGACUCCUAAGACUUGUUCACUCUCUUAAAUUCAAGAGUUUAAGUCUCUUAAGCACUCCAAGUGAAGGAUGAACAUCUACUAAUCUGGUACAACCUUCCAUAAUCAAAACUUCGAGAUUUGGGGCUAUUGUGAAGUCUGGUGUCUUGAUUAGGUUUUUGGACCCUUUAAGGCUGAUUAUUUUCAACUUAUACAAGGGCUGUCCAAAACAAUAACAGAUUAGAGAAAAAACGAAAAACAUAAUAAAAACCCAUUUUUAUUGUUUUUAUUUUUAUCUUAUUCAAAUUUAACUGUUUAUAUUAAAACAAGCUAAAAUACAAGGAUUAGAUGAAUUUAAUUCUUACUCUAUUCCCUUUCCAUAGUUGUUCAAUGCGACUAUAUGGUAAGAUAAGUAUGACAAUAUAUUGAAGGAUAUCCUCUCCAAUCUAAAAGUCGUACCUCAUUAGAAAGAUAUUUGAAAUCCUCACAAUUUGAGAGACAAAACACUCUGAGCAAUCUCAAUUUUUUCAUCUUUGAAAAGACAGCAACACUCAAAUUGAGCAUCUUACUUGAUUCCCUAUAAACCAUGGGGAAAAUAAAAAUAAGCAUUAAAAUAUACAAAAACAUUCAAUACCUAAAAACUAUGUUUCUUCAAUACUAUUUUUAAGGACUUGCAUCUGAUAGCUAUAUCUAACACGCAUUCAAAUAUGGGCAUUGAUAUAUGAUCCUUCAAUAACUCUUUAAAUACAUGAAAAAGCUUUUCAUUUUUUUUAUAUCACACAUAAUAUAUCUAUCUAACACCCACAUUUGACUUCGAAUUACCUAAGCCUUAGAAACUAGAAUUAAAUUUUUGAUUUAUAUUGGUGCAAUAAUAAUGCAUAAUUCUAUUCAUCGUUACUGAACGAAACUAGGACACAUCAUUAAAAAUGAAAUCAAUUAGUUUUAUUUUUAAAAACGUUUGAUGACAUAUUAAAAUCUUGUCCACUAAGAUACACUAUGAGUGCAUCAAAUACAAGCAUUUACUAUUAGAAAGGAUAUAUCUCUAUGUGUUUCUUUUGAAAGAGUCAUGCGUAGCUAGAUAAAUUUUAUAAAUAUAACAUUAAAUAUAAAGCCUUAAAGGCUUUGUCCAUUGAUUCUUAUUGGAUACUUUUACAACUAAUAACAAUAUUAAUAAUACACAUCAUAAAUAUGUACACAUAUUUUUUUACCUUUUAUUGUGAUAAUCAUGCUUUCCAUUAUUUAUGUAACGUAAAAGAAACAAGAAUAGAGAAUAAGACAAAAUAAAUGGUGUAAACGGUAUGAUAAAACUUAUAAAAAAUUGCAUAUAUAUUUAACACUAGCAUAACCUUUUGGUCGCAAUAUAGUAUAUAAAGCAUUUUAAAUAAAGUGAAAUUAAAUAUUAUUUAUAUAAAUCCUUACUAAGAGUUCUAAUCAACAAAAGGAAUUUAUCUCAAAAGCUACUGAAUGUCAUUUUUUAAUGGACUCUCUAUAUAAAUAAAUCCGACUAAGUCUUUUUUUUUUUAUUAAAAAUUCUAUAAAAUGAUAGUAUGUAUAUUUUGUUGAAUGAUUUACCGUGUUUUUUGUUAGGAUAUGACGGACAUCUUUUUUUCUCCCACAAUCUGCAAUGUUUUCCAGGUUCAUCAACAGAUUUUUCCGUAACAAUUUUUCUUCCCAUUUCUUGUAUUAAGCAAUGCAUCCACAAAUGCUUAUGUUCAUCAACUUUUAUGAGAGAUUUCUUAACGAGAACAUCUAUUCCAAUAUUUAAGAAAAACUCACAACCAUCCAAUACUUUCAUUAUAGAAUAUUUCUCCUCUCCAUUGAAGAAGCAUGCUAUAUCUAGAAUCCUCCCUAUUGAAGAAGCAUGCUAUAUCUAGAAAUAUAUUCUUUUCGCUUUCUUCCAAUCCAUCAAAGCUUUCGAAGGCUAUCGAGAAUUUCUUUAUUAGAAUUUCGUUUAAGUCUUUCAAUUGCACUUCUCCAUUGAGCUACAUCUCUACCGCACAAAAAUGAACCCAAAAGUUCAAGAGCUAAGGGGAGACCACCAGCAUAAUGUACAAUACGUUUAGAAAGUUCAAUGAAAUCAUCUUUCAAUGUUGUACCACUACCAAAAGCUUUCCAAUUAAAAAGCCUAAGGGCAUCAUUAGGAUUCAAUGUUGUAGGCUUAUACACAUCAUCAACUCGGUAAGAUCGAAGCAAAUGUCGUUACAAUGAUUCUACUUACUAAACCAAACCAAUCACGAUUUCCAACCAAGCAUUUCAAGUGUUGUAUGUAAUCAACAUCAUCAAGGACUAUAAGAACCUUUUUGCUAGACAACCUGUGGCUAAUUAUGGCAUUCCCUUUGUGAACAUUGAAAAAAUUGAAGUAUUCAUCAAGCAAUAUAUGGGAAAGAAGUUGUUUCUGUAAAAAACCAAGUCCACAUUUAUCUGAAACUUCUCGAACGUCAGCAAGAAAGGUUUUACCUUCAAAAUGAGGUGACAUUUGAGUAUAAGCAAUUCUUGCAAGAGUUGUCUUACCAAUGCCACCCAUUUUGCAAAUUCCUAUAAUACGAACAUCAUCUUCCCCAAUGUCUAUUUUCAAAUACAACUCCUCCAAACGUAAACUAAUUCCAACCAGCUCAUCAUGAACAACAGUACAGGUCUGACAUAAUUUCACUGAUAUCUUCUUAGCAAUAUCUUCGAUAAAUUCUGAUUCAUGCCUACAAGGAAAUAUGAUUUAAUUCUUUUAAAAAAAUUGUUGAAUCAUAAUAUAGUUUGGAGCAAACAAAAAGCAAGAACAAGAAAGCAAGAUCUGUUACCACAUCAAAAUACACAACUUUCUCUUUAGUUGAAAUAUUGAACUUUACAAUUAAAUAUGUAGUAACUGAAAUUGAGUUCGAAUUUUAUAUUUUUUAAAUAUUAUUAUUUCUUAUUUCUGUAAUUUUAUUAUUAAUUAGAAUUAUAGCUAUUAUAUAUUAAUAAAAGGGAAAGGAAAGAGUUAAAAGAGAGAGAGAGAACUAAAACAAGACACACCCAGCGACAGGGUGAGCCAAUAGAAAGACAGAAAUAAAACAAAGAAAUUAACAAUAUUGUUAAUUUCAAUUCAAAAAAUAGUCUAGCGGACCAAAAUACUGUUUCGACAAAACAAAUAGGAAUAUUGGAAAUAAACAUAUAUAUAUAUAUAUAUCAAUUCAAAAAAUAACAAUAUUGUUAGACACUAAAACUAGAAAAUAGAGAAGAAAGAAUGACCUGUUAUUUAAAUGCCAUCCCUGACGUCAGCCACUUCCCUCAAAGCAUUUGGCCACCUUUGGAUCUUUUCUCUAUCGUCCUUAUAUCUCUCUUCAUGUUUUGCAAAGGCUUCUUCAACUUUUCCCUUCUGUUUUCUUAAAUCGGAUAGAUCCACUUAGUAGAAUAUUUUAUGUUCCUUAUCCUUUUUCUGUUUAACAAUCUCAGCAAGCUCCUCCAAGCACCAACUUGAAAAGGCAUAGGUUUUUGAAAUAACGAUGAUCGAGCACCAUGAUUGUUGAAUUGCUUUAAAGAGUUCAGGUGCGAUCUCUUCCCCGGCCUCCAACUUGGGAUCAUCUCUAAAAGUGACAAUCCUACGCCUCUUUAGAGCAUUGUAGAGAUGAUCUGUGAAGUUGUUGCGAGUAUCUUCACCUCUAAAACUCAAGAAAACAUCAUAUUUCCUUUUAGAAAUGGACGAUGGAGUUGAAGGUAACGACAACAUGAGGAUAUAUGAGAAGAAAAAGAUAUCUCAAUUUAGUGCUCAAAAUCAGAAAAUAGUUCGCUCAAUACCACAGAAAGAAACUGGGAACAAUGGGUUGAUGAGGAUAAGAAAGAGAAAAGCAGAUCUACAAAUAGAUGAGGGAUGAUGUUCUUUCCAAGAAGGUGAGAGUUGAUUUUUUAUCGGAUAUAUAUAAUAGUGCUAUUAAAUUAUUUGUAUGCAAUUAUUGAAUAAAGUUAUCAAACAUAAACUCAGUGAGUCACAUGGCCUGGACACACACCUGUGUGUCUCACCUGUGUGACUCUAAUAUGAAUUUAGUGAGUUACACGGCCUGGACACACGCCCGUGUGUCUCACCCGUGUGACCCCUACAUCUCAUUACCCACACACAGCCUCUCCCACGCCCGUGUGUCUACAAAUUCAAAGUCAAGGAGUUACACGGCCCGCCACACAGCCUCCCACAUAGCCGUGUGACUCACACGGCCAGCACACGCGCCCGUGUGCAGUUGACACUCCCGAUUCUGGCGAAGAAAAAAACACAGAAAAAGAGGGGUUUUGGCACCCACCUGUUACCCGAUGCUGAAGAAGCACCCAAUUAUAAAAUCCAAGCCUAAAACAAGUUCAAAACACUCAAUUCAAUAAAACUUCCGCAAAAUACGCAAGCACCAACAAUCAAACUUCGUCGAAACUUUUGACUCACUACACGAAACAAGUGAAAGAUUACUUACCACAGAUUCCUAGUACUCACUCAAUUCCUAAGUAAACGAUAGGCGUUAGGCAUCUUUUGAAUUCCUCCCUAAUGUAUCGAAACAACGCAUAACAAGUUAUCAGACCUCAAGACUUAUGAAAACCCCAAAUUCACAAUGACAGACUUUAUGAAAAUAUCGACUUAACUUACCUUGAAACACACCAGAACAAGCAAAAAUGCGAUCUAACGAAGCAAUUUAUACGAAAGAACAGACAAUAAAAGAAAAGAAUUAAGGAAAUAUGAACAGAAAAGAAAGAAAGAAAAAGAACAAUUUGGGAAAGAAAAAAAAUGAAGAAGAACGUCAAAUCCAAGAGGGAAGGACAUUUAAAUUUCAAAUCAAUUUUUACUGAAUAUCCAAAAAUAAAAUCAUUGUUGCAAACGCUAUAACUUGAACGCAGAAUUAGAGAGUAGACCGACAUUUAACCGGUGAACCAGCAAGUUUAUUUUUGACACAAGCUGCACAAAACUAAACUUAAACAAAGAAUCCUAAGUUAAGGGUUCAAGUAAGAAAUUUAACAAAAUUCUGAAAUUUAUGUAACUCAAACCUCAAACCUUUAGUGAGCAAACAAAGCACACAACCACAGAAGCAAACACAUUUUCAUUGACACAGCUUAGCUAUUAAAACUCAAAUUUUGGAGCGUUACAAUGUUGCAAAGCUAGUUUGUAACAAGACAUAUAUAAAUUGAAUUCAAACCAUGCAUAAAAGUACAAACCAUAUUUGUUUCUCGUCUACGACUCUCGCAUUUCCUUUUUCUCGAGACAAUCUAACAUCAUCUUUAGUUAUGUACAAUAAUAUAAGUAUAGAAACGAUAUUAGUUUUUCAUCCAAAUUAAAAACAAAUAAUCAAACAUAUUUUGCAUUUUAUUCAUUUUAGUCCUUAUAUCUGAAAUACUCAUAUUUUCCAAUAUUUAAUAACGGAUGAAAAUCUGACUUCAUGUCCUUUCAUUAGAGACAUUAUACUUUUAAUCUAUAGCAUAAUUUAUUAAAAAUUUUUAAUUUAUUAAAUUCAUCCCUAAGGUCACAAAAUUAUAUUUAAAGCUUAACUUGAUUUCUAACUUAAACCUUAACAUGAUUUAAGUUUACUAACUAACAAUCUCUUCAAUUUCAAGCUUAAUUUUAUCAAUUAUACAUCAAUGGUAACUUGCUAGACAUCUAACAAUUAAAGAAAUCGAUACAUGGGUAGCUAAACCAAACUCUAAUGUUUCAAAAUUCAUAAAAAUCUUAAGGAAAGAACUUAAUUACCUUGAUUAAUUUUGGAUUAAAAUGGAAAAGAAAAGAAAGAAGUUUUUCCUUCUUCUUAGCUUGGGACGACCAAACACAAUAAGAAAGAUAACUUCAUCUUUCUCUCCACUCACUUUUAAAAUCUUAAUUAGAUUAAUUAAUCAUCAUUAAUAAUAUAAUUUUAAUAAGUUAGUUUUAAUUAAUCAAGUCAAUUAAGAUAAGUGGAUGUAAUCUUACCAUUGCACUAUCAUAUUUUAAUAAUCAUCAAUUUAUUUUAAGGUCCUUAGAUUAAUUAUUAAUUAAGUCCUCAAUUAUUUUCUAAAUUAAAAUUUAAUAGCGAUUAAACUUUUAAAAUUUACGGCCUAAACUUUAAUUAUUGAUUUUCUGACUUAAUUACCGGUUUUUUAAUAUAUUUUUAUACUAACUUUGUCAAUACUUCUAUUCAUAUUUUCUAUCUCUAAGUAAAUAUAUAAUGAAAAAAUUUUAAUAAAAAAAUGAAACCAAUCAAAAUAUACACAUUUCAAUUAUAUAAAAAAAUGAAUUAAAUGAUAAAAAUUUUAAAUAGAAUAUGAGCUUAUGUUCAAAAUGAGUAUGAAUGAAGAUUUUAAUUUUUUUUUGGAAAGAUCAUAUCUCAAAUGCAAAUAAAUUUAGAAUGAUUACUUUAAAUGAAAUAAAAAUUAUAAACAAGGUAGAUGUUUAAGUAGCUUACCACAGUUAAUGCUUCUUCGAUUGACCCAUUAUAAAAUUGAAAAACUUUUCCGUUUUGGUUGCAGCCCUUCUUCCCCUGCUUCCUUGUAGAUAUUAUGUUUUCGUUUUAUGUGAGUAGUGAGCAGAGUGUUGGUAGAUGUGUUCAAAAUUUAGAAAAGAUUGAGUGGUAUGGCACUGCAACUCUUUUAUUUCUUUCAAAUCUUUCUCAUGCAUUAUUCUAACACCACACUUCUUCACCUUGGCACUGCGUCCAAAAGGAUCUAUGAAAGACACCUCAAGCUCAUCCCAUUUUUUAUCUAAGCAAUCUGUUGCCCAUAAAUUGCUGGUUUCACAGUCACCAUAUUUAUCGUCCAAGGAAGAUGAGUAUAAGUUAUCACGAGACCAAUAAUGAAGAAAAAGGUGAUCUUUCAUUAUGGGCUCGUUAAGUCGUUUACCCACCAACGAGCCUGUCCAAUCAAUCAGUCCAGGAUUUUUACAAUAGAUAAAUGUUCGACAAUUGAUAACCUCGUCAUCCCUUGAAGCAUCAUUAUUGACAAAAAUGCAGCAAGAAGCAACUCCAAUCCAUUGACUAUCUUUCCGAAGGGGUAUCUUAAUUAAAGAGUCACUUUUUUUUUGGCUAAACCAUUCUGGGAUUUCACUUCCGGGCAUAAUAAUGUCAAACCUUUUUAUUGAAUUUGCAAAUGCCUGCAAAAUAAAACACAAGUCGUUUGGUAACUAAAACCAUAAAUUCUAAAGUAUGAGAUUUUGUAAGGGAGAAUAAAGAGAUUAAUCGACCUUAAGAUGUUUUUUCAGCAGUGUUAAUGCAUUGAUAUUCUCAGCCAAUUUGAAGCAGUUAAAGGCUUUAACGGCAGCCGAAUCCACUAAAUUGCAUACUUUUGAUGGACUUGCAACUACUUGAAGUGAAGAACAACCAUCUAUCUCCAUAUUUCUUAUGGUUGUUAGAAGCCCAGGUAACGAUUUAAGCUUCGUGCAAUUUGAUAAUGCAAGCACUUGAAGCCUGGAAAGUUGAGUAAGAGCCAAAGGAAUGGUGAUGAAAUUGCUACCCCUAAGUUUAAGAUAACUCAAAGAGGAUAGACCACGAAUAUCCGCUUCACCAAGAGCGCACAUGUUGCAAUUUGACAAAUCAAGAAACCAAAGCUUCGAGAGUAGAGUAAGAGAUGCAGGUAUGCUGAUGAAAUUGUUACCAAUAAGAUCAAGAUCUAUCAAGGAAGAUAGGCAAGAUAUAUCACUAGGAAUAUCUCCUUCACGAAGAUUGCAGUCCCUUAGCUUCAACUCUCUUAAUGGACUUAAACUUGACAACGAAGGCAACAUCAGAGGCAUAGAAUUUGUCCUUCCUUCUUGGGUACACCAGUUAAUAUACGAUUUCCCAUCAUCUCCAUAUGGAUCCAACAUUCUUAUAUUCAUUCUCAACCUAUAUAUAUACAUUUUAUUUUGAUAUUAUUUAAAUAUAUAAUAAAAAUAAAAUUAAUAAAACAUAAAAUUUUAUCAUAUAUACCUGAGCAAGAAUGAUGUUUCCUUGGGAUGCAAGUAGUUUCUUUUUUUGACCAUAUCAACUAUCAAAGUUGUGAAGUUUUUCAUUUCAUUCUAAAAAUAAAGGAAAAUAAAAGACAUUAUUUAUAUAUAAAAUAAACAAAAAUAGAAUUGAUUUUUUUUAAAAAAUUUACUGAAAAUUAAAAGAAUUACCAUAAAGACAUCAUUUUUAGUAUGGAGGGAAACUCCAAGCAUGUUAUGCAUCCAUACAGGAAAGCCUCUAAUAAAAAAUAAUAAUAAAACUAUUAAUACUGAAAAAUAGUUAAAUAAUUUAUGAAAUAACAUAAUUAGUUAAAAUUUUAAAAUAAAUUAAUUUACCCAUAAUUCCACUCGGCACAAGUAUAAGAUCCAAUUCAAAGAAUUGCAUAUAAACCUUGGUCUUGAAUCGUUUUAAGAAAUCAAAUAAGAUCAAGAUUUUCACNNNNNNNNNNNNNNNNNNNNNNNNNNNNNNNNNNNNNNNNNNNNNNNNNNNNNNNNNNNNNNNNNNNNNNNNNNNNNNNNNNNNNNNNNNNNNNNNNNNNCCAUAAAUUAUGAUGGAUCCUGAAUCAUAGUGACAUUAGCGCAUCCAAUAAAUAGGAUGAAGAAAAAAUAGAUAGAAAAUAAAAUAGUGAAUAUAUCCUCUUCUUCUUCUUUUUUUUUUCCAUCUACUAAAGCUAAAAGGAAGUGUUGAUUGAAAAAUCAGUAGAGUAUGAUAACGUCUUUAUAAGCGUGGUGAUUGAAUUCAUAUCAAAUACUUGAUUUUUAGAAGAUAUUUACUUUGAUUUAUUUGCUGUUUUAAAUAGAUUUAUAUAAUCAGUGAUAUGAGAUUAAAUUAGCAAAUUGUGUUGAAAGUUGAGUUUUAGUUCUAUGUAGCAGCAUUAAUUAAAUAUUUUUGAUAAUUAAAUAAACUUUUUUAAUUAUAAUUAAUUAGAGUAUUGCUUUCAUACGACGGGAGUCAUUGGUUCAAAUCCAAUAAUAGGUAGAAUUUAUUAGAUACCAUCGAUCCCGGUGUCUAAUAAGUUUUUCUAUCCACCUUCUUUUAUUGAUUUUCUAUCUUUUUCAUCCUAUUUUAUCUCCGUUUUCAAUUUUUAAAUUUUUUGUUGGAUCAAGAUCCGAUUUCACUUUUGAUUAUAUUUGAUUCUAUUUAAUUGGCAGAAUCAACAUGAGAUGUAUAAACGAAAGUUUUGUUUUUACGAAAAUUCUCCAACUUGUUACGAAAUCGCGUUGAUAACCUCGACUUGUGUCCUAGCCUGUUUGACAGCUAGAUUUGCCUCAAUUGUUUGCCUCUUGCCUUCAGCUUUCCUCAUGUUUGCUUGCUGAGCUUCUUGUGGACUCAUCUAUAAAAUUCUCGUUUAUUAAAACUUGUAGAGUUCUAGUUAAAUUAAAUUAAGAUUUCUUUCAUCAACAAAUAAGGCUUGCUUUUUGAAGAAUAAAGAUUAUAUACCGAAAAGAAUAAGCGAGCAUUUAGUAAAGGGUAUAUCCAUAAUAACUUUUUACAUCGCUGGUAAAUGAUACGAUACAGUCACGAUUCAGCAAUAAUAUUAUCCAUAAUAACUUUUCACAUUGCUAGUACACGAAUCAUAGUAGUUGCCAUCCCAAAGGAUUGUUAGUAGAUCAAUCUUGCUAACACCUGUUAGAGAAAACAGGAUGAAGUACUUCCCUGUGUAACACCAACAAUGGCUCUAAUCCGAAAAAGAGAUUGCAUUUAAAGUUGUUAGCAAACUCAUUCAUUCCUAGCUACCCACAAUGACCAUAACAUAGCGCCAUAGCAACAAGCCAUUUCCUCUUAACAAUCCAAACAUGCAGCAACAUUCAUACACAACAUUUCAAGGAAUCGCACACAUAACACCCCACCAUUGAAACAACACUCCCCAAGCUUUCCAAGAAAGGAAGUAAGAAAGAAAAAUAUGAUCACAGUUCCCUUCAACUUCAUUGCAUCAACAACAAUUGAUGGAAUCAUUAAUUGUUAGAAUACCUCGAUCCCUUAAAAAAUAUUUUGAAGGCAUACCAUUCUGGAAUGAGAGCAAUAGGAAGCAUUGCACCUUUGAUGCACCAAUGAACCCUCAGAAUCAAGAGAAAUGUUGAAAUUGGCCAACCAUGCUGCUGUUUGAAGUGCAUGCAGCUUGAUGACAUGAUGCAGCACGUAUACUUGCUGUAACAGCAAGGUUUUCUCUUUAGUUUCUCUGUUAAGCUACUUAGUUGAAAAUGAACUAAGUUGGUAUUGUUUUGAUGUUUUUAGGUGCUGAUUGACAUAAUCAGCUUGUGUGCAAGUUAAGUUUUACUUGUUUCUAAGUAUAAUUAGUGGUAGUAGGUAGUAUUUGGUGAUGUAUUUGACUAUAUAUAUGUUGUUUUCUAGUUGAAUGAAUGAGUUGAAUGAGCUAUCAGCCAUAAGCUCCCUUGCUGCAGGUUUGUGAGCAAGUAAAAAUUUUCUUGCACCUUGCUUCAUGUUCUGUUCUCUCUGUUCUCUUAUUUUGCUGCUGCCAUUGUUCCAACAAGAAAACACAAAUUUCUUUACAGUAAAUUUCCCUUUGCUGUCCACCUCCCACAUUCGCCUUAUUGCAUUAAUCACUGAAUCCAUACAUAGCCAAUUUCCAUACCGAUGUUCCCUCAAGUAAGCUUUAAUCACACCGUGGUCUCAAAAUAGUUUGCUCAAGGACAGGUGUUCUAGAGAAGUCAUCCCUUGGAUUAUUGCAGAGUCGAAUGAUUUGUGAUAUGGUUUUGUCAAUAUGGGAUCUUCUGUUAGCAUGAAUUGAAGCCAUUUAAGUCGUAUUAACUAUUAAGGACCUAUAUAAACUACAAAAUGAAGCUAUUUAAAUACUAUUUAAGCAACACCAAAACAGAGUACAGGUUCCCAUGGCGCUUUAUUUAGCGAAAAUAGUCUGAUGACAAAGAUAAAAGAUGAUUAUGUUUCACCCUAUUACCUGCUUCUUCAUGCAGUGAAAUAUAGAUGUAAGUUUAUACAUAUAACAUAAAAUUUAAUAAAUAAAUAAAUAAUAAAUUUCAUUAAACAGUACAAGUUUCAAUGAUGUAAAAAUUAAUUAAUUAGAUGAAUAAAUUUUUAAAUUUAUAAAAACACUAUGUUGUCUUUCAACCAAAACAUGUCAUUCAAUACAAGUUGGUGUUCAACAUGUCUAUACUCAAAAUUUAGAGUUGAUUACAUAAUUUGAAGAAUCAUAUUUCAUACUCGUAUCAAAAUAUAUGUUGAGUAAAGAUGUUCAAAAUGAAUACUUUAAAUAAAAUAAAAGAUGUAAAUAAGGUCGAUAAAAAGGUCUAAAACCAGAAUUUAUAGGGCAAGGCUAGUGAAGUAGUUUACCACAGUUACAGCUUCUUCCUCGAUCGGCUCAUUAUAAAAUUGAAAAAAAUUUGCAUCCAUUUUGGUUUUUGUUUUACAAGGGAAGUGCUACCUAUUGAAUCUAUUGAUCCAGCAUUAUCAACAAAGUGUUGAUGGACAUCUUCAAGAUUUGGAGAACAUUGAGUGGUAUGGCUAUGCAGCUCUUUUAUGUCUUCCAAAUCUUUCUCAUUCACAAUUCUAACACCGCACUUCUUCACCUUAACACAGGGAACAUCCGGGUCUGUGAAAGACAAUUCAAGCUCAUCGCAUUCCUGAUCUAAGCAAUCUAUUGUCCAUAAAUUAUUAAUUUCACAUUCACCACAUUUAUCCUCUAAGGAAAAUGGAUAUAAUUUAUCACGCGACCAAUAUCGAAGAAAUAGGUGAUCCUUCGUUAUGGGCUGGUUAAAACGUUUCCCAAACAACCAACUACUUGCAUCGACACGUCGAAGAUCUGUAUCUCGAAAGACAGAUCCAUUUCGACCGGCUUGUCCAGAAUUUCUACAAUGGAUAACAGCUCUGCAGUUGAUAAACUUAUCCCGGGAAGCAUCAUCAUUGACAAAAAUGCAACAGGAAGCUACUCCAAUCCAUUGACUAUCAUUUUGAAUAUUGAGUGGUAGAGGUAUCCUAAUUGUAGAGCCACCUCUCUGUUGGCUAAACCAUUCUGGGAUUUCACUUCCAGGUAUAAUAACAUCAAACAUUUGUCUUGAAUUUGCAAAUGCCUGCAAAAUGAAACUUCAGUCACUUGGUAAAUAAAACCAUAAAUUCCCAAGUAUGAAAGGGAAAGAAAGAGAGAUUAAUUAACCUUGAGAUGUUUUUUCAACAAUGUUAACGCAUUGAUGUUCUCCGCCAAUCUGUAGCAGUUAAUGGCUUUAAUGGAAGCUAAAUCCAAUAAAUUGCAUACUUUUGAUGGACUUGCAACUCCUUCAAGUGAAGCACAACCAUCUAUGCACACUCUUGCUAUACUUGUUAGAAGCUCAGGCAACGAUUUAAGCUCUUUGCAACUUGAUAACAUUAGAAGUUUAAGCUUUGGAAGUCGAGUAAUAGACGCAAGUAUGCUGAGGAAAUUGUUACCACUAAGAUCAAGAUGUGUCAAGGAGGAUAGGCACAAAAUAUCACUAUGAAUAUCUCCUUCACGAAGAUUACAGUCCCUUAGCUUCAACUCUCUUAAUGAACUCAAACUUGACAAUGAAGGCAACAUCAGAGGCAUAUUUGGUCGUAACUUAGAUGAUGGUCCUUUGCACCCAUUGAAAGAUAGAAUUUUAAGAUUUUCCAAUUGAAAAAUCAAGGAUGGUGGUUCUGUUAUCGCUGUUUCACUCAAGUCAAGCUCUUCCAAAAACUCUACUUGCUGCAAAUUCACUGGCAAAUAUUUAAUUUUAUAACAACUAGAAAGAUCAAGAGUUUUUAGAUGUUCCAUUUUCCCAUCAAUCUCCGGAAACCUUACAAGACUUGAGCAACCUGAAAGAAUUAAUGUUUCAAGAGAUUCCAUUCCAAUUCUGGUUGGAAGACUCCUAAGACUUGUGCAAUCUCUUAAAUUUAAAAGUUUAAGCAUCUUAAGCACUCUGAUUGAUGGAUGGACAUCUACCAAUCUGGUACAACCUUCCAUAAUCAAAGCUUCAAGUUUUGGUGUUGUUGUGAAGUCUGGUGUCUUGAUCAGGUAUUGAGACCUGAUGAAGUUGGUUCAGCAUGCAGCAAACUCGACAGCAUGCAGGCCAUGAAGACCAAGACAUGCAGGAGCUGCUGAUGCAAGCUUAUUUUGUAAUUCCUAGUCAAUGAAAGGUAAUCUUAGUUCAUUUCUAACUAAGUUAGGUUGUUGACUGAUGUAAUUAGCUUUUGUAUGAGCUGUAAACACAACUUUGUAUAAGUUUACAAGCCAAAAUUUCAAGUUUCCAUGUAAUUAGUGGAGGUAGGUGAUGUUUAGGUGAUUACUUACUGUUUUUGACAAGCUUAGUGCUUGGUUUAUGUAUUGGCAUUGUGCCAUUAUUCAAUUUAUGAAUGAAGUUCAGGUUGUUCAUCAAUUUUCCUCUUCAUUUUUCUUAGUUUUUCUUCUUUUUUGCUCGAAUUCUCUUGUUUGCUCAGCAAGUCUCGAGACUUGCUCGACAAGUCUGUGCUGAGUCUGUUAGUUUCAGUUACAGCACCAACAAUUGGUAUCUAGAGCCUAUUUCUUAAGGGAUCUGUUAUACAAAUCCAUGGCUUCAUCAAGCUUUUCACCAGCUGCACCUCAAGUCUUCAAUGGAGAAGGCUAUCACAUAUGGGUGGUCAAAAUGAAGACCUACCUGCAGGCAUACGAUCUGUGGGAGGUGGUCAACUCAGAUGUUGAACCAGAACCACUUAGAGGCAAUCCAACAGUGGCUCAGAUCAGGCAGCAUGCUGAAGAAAGGACCAAGAGGCACAAGGCUAUGUCUUGCAUCCAGAACUCAGUGUCUGAUGUGAUUUUCACAAGGAUUAUGGCCUGUGAAUCACCAAAACAGGCCUGGGACAAGUUGUAGGAAGAGUUUCAAGGGACAGAGAGGACAAGGCAGCAACAGUUGUUGAACUUGAGGAGAGAUUUCGAGAAUUUGAAGAUGAAGGAAGAAGAAACUGUCAAGCAAUAUUCUGACAGGAUUAUGGCUGUGGUUAACAGCAUCAGGCUCUUAGGAGAGCUGUUCAAUGAGGCUAGGAUAGUGGAGAAGGUUAUAGCAACUCUGCCUGAGAGGUAUGAGGCAAAAAUCUCAUCUCUCGAGGACUCAAGGGACCUGUCCACCAUUUCCCUAACAGAGUUGAUCAAUGCUCUAUAUGCUCAAGAGCAGAAGAGAGCAAGCAGACUGGAGGAGCACCAAGAAGGUGCCUUUCAGGCAAGAACAAAUACUGCCUACAAAGGAAAGAAGGCCUGGAGAGACAAACCAAAGAAUAAUGCUGCAACGAGAGAAGGUCAGACUUGCAAGCACUGUAGAAGGGUUGGUCAUCCAGAAGAAAAGUGCUGGCUUAAUCCAGAUGCUGUAUGUCAGCAUUGUAAGAAGAAGGGUCAUGUUGAGAGAGUCUGCAAGAGCAAGGCCAAAUCGAAGCAGAAUCAGUCUCAACAGAUGAAAGCUGAGGCUCGAGUAGCUAAGGAGGACAGUGACCAAGAGGAGCAAGUCUUUGCUGUGUCAUGAUCAGCUGCUCAGGUAAGGUCCUCAUCUGGUUGGCUCAUAGACAGUGGUUGCACUAACCAUAUGACAUAUGAUGCUGCGAUUUUCAAGUCUUUAGACAGAAGCUGCAGAACUAAGGUCAAAAUAGGAAAUGGUCAUUUUAUUCAAGCUGAAGGCAAUGGUGAUGUGCUGAUAUGCACCCCCACAGGUGCCAAAGUAAUUUCAAAUGUGCUCUUGGUGCCUGAAAUUGACAGAAACCUGCUCAGCAUAGCUCAGUUGCUGGAGAAAGGUUAUUCUGUUGUGUUUAAAGACCACCAGUGCCAAAUCAGUGAUCCAAGUGGAUCCAAACUGAUGGCAGUUCCUAUGGCUGAUAAGAGCUUUGUAGUUGACUGGACUAAGGAGUCUGACAUUGCCUACACAGCCACAUCUGAUGAAUCCAAGUUGUGGCAUCAAAGGCUGGGACAUGCCAACUUCAGAUCGAUGGCCCGAAUGGUCAGAGAAGACCUGGAUGAAAACUUCAUCAACUCAGUGGACCAUGAUGAUGUAUGUGAAGUAUGUCAGCUAGGAAAGCAGGCCAGACUCCCAUUUCCCUCGACUCAAGCCUGGAGAGCCUCUGAAAAACUCCAACUGGUGCAUACUAAUGUGUGUGGCCCUAUGAAGACUGAGUCAUUAAGUGGAAACAGGUAUUUCAUACUGUUCAUUGAUGAUUUCUCGAGAUAUUGCUGGAUUUACUUCUUAAAACAGAAAUCAGAGGUGGCCUCAGUGUUUUGGAAGUUCAAGACUACUUUUGAGACUGAAACAGGCUGCAAGCUGAAGACCAUAAGGUCUGAUAAUGGGACUGAGUACACCUCAGUUCAGUUCCAAUCCUUCUGUGAUAAGGCAGGCAUCAAACAUCAACUUACCAACACAUAUACACCUCAGCAAAAUGGUGUAAGUGAAAGGAAGAAUAGGAGUUUGAUGGAUAUGGCCAGGUGCUUAUAAUUCAGAAGAAUUUGCCUAGAACACUAUGGGCAGAAGCAGUUAACACUGCAACAUACAUUCAAAAUAGACUACCAACAAAGGCUUUGGAUCAAAAGCCCCCAUUCGAGGCCUGGUUUGGCUUCAAGCCAUCACUGGCUCAUCUGAAAGUCUUUGGAUGCAUCUGUUAUGCACAUGUACCUGCUAUCAAAAGGGACAAAUUGUCUGAAAGGGCUCAACCUGGUGUUCUGGUGGGCUACAGCACUGUUAAGAAGGGCUAUAGGAUCUUGGAUCCUUCAACAAACUAGGUGACAGUUAGCAGGGAUGUGGUAUUUGAUGAAAGGUCAUGUUGGAACUGGGAAAGACAUGAACCUGAAGAAGUUUCUGAAGAACUUGCAACAGACCAAGCUGAGCCAGACCAAAAUAUUCCAGAAAUGGACAUUGAUGAUGAACCAGUCAGAGGAACAAGGCCAUUGACUGAGAUUUAUGAAAGGGCUCAUGUAGCCAUAGCUGAACCAAGCAACUUUGAAGAGGCUGAGGCUCAGCAAGGGUGGAAGCAGGCAAUGGCUGAGGAGAUCAGCAUGAUUGAGAAGAACCAGACCUGGGAAUUGGUUGAAAGGCCAGUCAAAAGGAAGGUGAUUGGGGUGAAAUGGGUGUACAAAGCCAAGCAGGAUGCUGAUGGUACCUUGAACAAGCUGAAAGCAAGGCUAGUUGUCAAGGGGUUCAGUCAGAGGUAUGGCUUAGACUACCUGGAGACCUUUGCACCAGUGGCCAGGCUUGACACCAUCAGACUACUGAUUGGUUUAGCAGCACAGCUCGAGUGGAAGAUCCAUCAGCUCGAUGUAAAAUCAGCCUUUCUGAAUGGUUUCCUAGAUGAAGACAUCUAUGUUGAACAACCACAAGGGUUUGAAAUAGCUGGCAGAGAGCAUAUGGUCUACAAACUGAAGAAGGCCCUAUAUGGAUUAAAACAGGCUCCAAGGGCCUGGUACAGCAGAAUCGAUGGCUACUUGACUGAUCUGGGAUUCGAUCGAAGCAAGAGUGAGCCAACACUGUAUGUCAAGAAACAAGGGACACAAACACAACUUAUUGUGUCCCUGUAUGUUGAUGACCUUCUGGUGACAGGAGGAGAUCGAGCAGUGCUGGCUAAUUUCAAGACCAAGAUGCAGGAAGUGUUUGAAAUGUCUGAUCUUGGGGAGAUGUCCUAUUUUCUUGGAAUGAAGGUAUCUCAAGCACAGAAUGAGAUACUUCUAAGCCAGAGAAGCUUUGCCACAAAGACUCUGACCAAGUUUUCCAUGCAAAACAGCAAGACAACUAAAACACCUGUUGCUGUUGGAGAAAAACUAUCGAGCCAAGGUGUUUUUGAGAAAGUAUGUGAAACAACCUACAGGAGUCUAGUUGGUUGUUUGCUAUACUUGACUGCCACUAGACCAGACAUCAUGUAUGCUGUAGGAUUACUCUCAAGAUUCCUGCAUUGCUGUAAUGAAAAGCAUUUUCAAGCUGCAAAGAGAGUGCUGAGAUAUGUCAAAGGCACUUUAAACUAUGGUUUGAAGUAUAGCAAAGAAGGCAAUCUAAAGCUGGUUGGCUACACUGAUAGUGACUGGGCAGGCUCGAUAGAUGACAUGAAAAGCACCUCAGGGUAUGCUUUUAACCUUGGAUCAGCCAUGUUUUGCUGGAGCUCGAAGAAGAAAAGUCUAGUGGCUCAAUCUACUGCUGAAGCAGAGUAUGUGGCAGCAGCAAGUGCUGUCAACCAAGCCAUAUGGCUAAGGAAAAUCUUGGCUGACUUGAAUGUGCAUCAAAAGGAAGCUACUGAGAUCUUCUGUGACAACCAAUCUGCAGUAGCAAUUGCUAAAAAUCCAGUGUUCCAUGGAAGAACAAAGCAUUUCAGCAUCAAGUUGCAUGUUGUUCGAGAAAUGGAGCAAGCUCAGGAAGUAAAGCUGAUCCACUGUAAUUCAGAGGAUCAACUUGCAGACAUUUUAACCAAAGCCCUUAGUGUCACAAGGUUCGAAUGUCUAAGAAAGAAGCUAGGUGUUUGCUCCAUGCAAACCAAGGAGGAGUGAUGAAGUUGGUUCAGCAUGCAGCAAACUCGACAGCAUGCAGGCCAUGAAGACCAAGACAUGCAGGAGCUGCUGAUGCAAGCUUAUUUUGUUUAUUUUGUAAUUCCUAGUCAAUGAAAUGUAAUCUUAGUUCAUUUCUAACUAAGUUAGGUUGUUGACUGAUGUAAUUAGCUUUUGUAUGAGCUGUAAACACAACUUUGUAUAAGUUUACAAGCCAAAAUUUCAAGUUUCCAUGUAAUUAGUGGAGGUAGGUGAUGUUUAGGUAAUUACUUACUGUUUUUGACAAGCUUAGUGCUUGGUUUAUGUAUUGGCAUUGUGCCAUUAUUCAAUUUAUGAAUGAAGUUCAAGUUGUUCAUCAAUUUUCCUCUUCAUUUUUCUUAGUUUUUCUUCUUUUUUGCUCGAAUUCUCUUGUUUGCUCAGCAAGUCUCGAGACUUGCUUGACAAGUCUGUGCUGAGUCUGUUAGUUUCAGUUACAGCACCAACAAGACCCUUUGAGGUUGAUCAUUUUCAACUUAUACAAGGGCUGUUGAAGACAAUAAUAAAUUAGGCCGAAGACAUAAUAAUGCUAAUUUUUGGUUUUUUUUACCUUAAUCAAAGUUUAAUCAUUUAUAUUAAAAUAAACUAAAACACAAGGAUAAGAUGAGUUAGUUCUUACUCUAUUCCCCUUCCAUAGUUGUUCAAUAUGACUAUAUGGUAAAAGAAGUGCAACAAGAUUAUCUGGGUGGAAGUUAGAAGGCAAAAAUCUUAAAGGAUAUCCUGUCCAAUCUAAAAGCCGUAGUUCAUUAGAAAGAUAUUUGAGAUGAUGAUCACAAUUUGAUACACAAAACACUUGGAGCAAUCUCAAAUUUUUCAUCUUCGAGAAGGUAUCGUUGCUCAAAUUGAACAUCUUACUUGAUUCCCUAAUAAUCAUGAGUAAAACAAAAAUGAGCUUCAAAAUAUACAAAAACGUUCAAUAUCUAAAAGCUAUGUUGUAUCGAUAUUUUUUUAUGUACCCACAUCCGGUACUUAUAUGUAAUGCGUAUAUGAAUAUGGUAUUCCGAUAUGAUUGAAUAUAUUAGACAAUACUUAAUCUAACACUUAUUUCACACUUUUAAUUACCUAAGCCUAAAAAACCUAGAACUAAAAUUUUGAUUUAUGUUUAGUGCAUUGAUGUGUAAUUCUAUACAUUACUAGCGAAAUGAUGGCAUUAUUUGGAUUUACUUUUGAAAACUUUUAAUGAUAUGUUAUGGUCUAGUUCAUUGAUAUAUACUGUCAUUACAUCAUAUAAAUAAACCAUUAAUUUUUACAAAGACAAUGACAGUAAUUUUUUUAUAAUUUCUGUUGAAAGAGUAAUGUGUUUCUUUAUAAAUUUCAUAAAUAUAAGAUUGAAUAAUUAAGCAUUAAGAAUGUGUUUGGUUAGGUGAAAAAGUAAAGGGAUAUGAGAAUGAAGGAUGCUUGGUAGAAAAAAGAAAGAGAUGAUCAUUUACGUGUAUGUUUUCCUACCAUUUAUUGUCGAUGAUCAUGCCUUCAACCACUUCGGUAGCCUAGAAGUAAUCAAGAAUAGACAAUAAGAAAAUAAAAUAAAUGCUCUAAAUUGUACGAUAAAACUUUUGAAAAUUUACACACAUGUUCAACAUUAUCACAAUAUUUUGGUUGGAAUAUAGUAAAUAAAAUAUUUUAUAAUGAAAGUAAUUCAAUAAAAUUAAAGAUACUCAAUGUCACUUGAGGAUCAAUAUAUAAAACAGUUAGACUAAGCUUUGGAUUUAGAUCAUAUAUUAAUAAAAGAAAUUUUUGUAUGUAACUCUUGUUGAAUGAUUUACCGUGUUUUUUUUUAGGACAUGAUGGACAUCCCUUUCCUUCCAUAAUCUACAACGUUUUCCGGGUUCAUCAAAACAUUUUUCUUCAACAAUUUUUCUUCCCAUUUCUUGCAACAAGGCAUGCAUCCACAAAUAUUUGUUAUCAUCAUCAACUUUUAUGAGAGAUUUCUUAAUAAGAACAUCGAUUCCAAUAUCUGGAAAAAACCCACAACCAUCCAAUACUUUCAUUACCAAAUCUUUUUUCUCCCCAUUGAAAAAGCAUGCUAUAUCUAGAAAUAUAUUCUUCUCCCUUUCUUCCAAGCUAAUUCGUAGUGUGUCAAGAAUUUCUUUGUUAGAAUCUUGUUUAAGUCUUUCGAUUGCACUUCUCCAUUGAAUUAUAUCUCUACUGCACAAAAAUGAACCCAAAACUUCAAGAGCUAAGGGGAGACCAUCAGCAUAAUGUGCAACUUGUUUAGAAAGCUCAAUGAAAUCAUAUUUUGGCGUUGUAUCACUAUCAAAAGCUUUCAAAUUGAAAAGCCUAAGUGCAUCGUUGGGAUUCAGUGUUGUAGGCUUAUACACAUCAUCGAUUCGAUAAGAUCUGAGCAAAUGUUCAUCUCUUGUUGUUACAAUGAUCCUACUCCCUAAAUUGAACCAAUCACGCCUUCCAACCAAGCAUUUCAAGUGUUGUAUGUUAUCAACAUCAUCAAGAACAACAAGAACCUUUUUACCAGACAACCUGUGGCUAAUUAUGGCAUUCCCUUCAUUAACAUUGAAAAAAUUGAAGCAUUCAUCUGGCAAAAUUUGAGUGAGGAGUUGUUUCUGUAAAGAAACAAGUCCAUGUUUGUUUGAAACUUCUCGAAUAUCAGCAAGAAAGCAUUUACCUUGAAAAUGAGCUAACAUUUGAGUGUAAGCAACCCUUGCAAGAGUUGUUUUACCGAUGCCACCCAUUCCGCAAAUUCCUAUAAUGCGGACAUCGUCUUCCCCAAUAUUUAUUUUCGAAUACAACUCCUCCAAAUGUAAACUAAUUCCAACCAACUCAUCAUGAACAACUGGAUAUGUCUGACAUAAUUUUGCUGAUAUCUUCUUAACAACGUCUCUAAUAAACUCUGAUUCGUGCCUACAAUGAAAUUAAAAUCCGAUAUGCACUUUUUCAUUUUUAGUUUAGUGAAUCAUGAAGUAUAAUAUGGUUGGAAGCAAACAAAAAGUAUGAAUAAGACAGUAAGAUACAUUAUAGCAUCAAAAUACACAACUUGCUCGUUAGUUAAAAUAUGGGAAUUCUCAAUUAAACACAAAAUUAUAAAAAUAACAUGCAAUCCAAUAAAAAAAAAACAAUUUUUUUAGUCAUUAAAAUUAGGAAAUAGAGAAGAUAAGAAAGAAAUACCUAUUAUUUAAAUGCCAUCCCUUGAUGUUAGCCACUUCAGUCAAAGCAUUUCGCCACUUUUGGAUCGUGUCUUUAUCUUCCUUGUAUCUUUCUUCGUGUUUGGCAAAGGCUUCUUCAACCUUUUCUUUUUGUUUUCUUAAAUCGGAUGGAUCAACAUGGUAGAAAAUUGGAAAUACUUUAUGACCCUUGUCAUUUUUUUGUUUAACAAUCUCCGCAAGCUCCUCCAAGCACCAACCUGAAAAGGCAUAGGUCUCGGAAAAAAUGAUUACCGAGCACCAUGAUUGCUGAAUUGCGUUGAAGAGUUCCGGUGCGAUCUCUUCACCAGUUUCCAACUUUGGAUCAUCUCUAAAAGUGACGAUCCCAGUUCUAUUUAGAGCAUCGUAGAGAUGAUCCGUAAAAUUCUUGCGAGUAUCUUCACCUCUAAAACUCAAGAACACAUCGUAUUUCUUUCUAGAAAUGGAUGAGGAAGUCGAAAGUAACGACGACAUGAGGAUGUAUGAGAAGAAAAAUAUGUGGAUGUAGUGUUCAAAAUCAGUCGCUCAAUACCUCCGAAACAAUAAGUAUAUGAGCAUGAGGGGAGAAAAACAGAUGAAAUUUCGAGGGAAGAACAAAGGGAGUAGGUGAAUCUAUCAGUACAAUAAUAUCUAUGAAAAGGGAGUAAGUGUGGAAAUUCGGGGUCAUAGAUGCUCUUUCCGGGAAGACUCCAAGAAGGUGAGAGUUCACAAAAUGAAGCCUACAAUUUUUCUGAAAAUUAAAUUCAUUAAUUUAUUGAGAACCAUAUAAUCCAGGCGAAACUCAUAGUAGAUGAUGAAUAGUAAACUCUAUCAAUACAAUAAAGGCUUUAGCCUUAACAAUAAUAAAACAUCAUGGCACGUUAACAAUUAGUUUUGUCACAACUCAAGUACGAUAUAUUUAGAGUAAUUACAAACACUUAAUUUGAUAAGGAAAUCAACCUCGGAUGGUCUAAAGCAACGAGCAAAAAUUGACAAAAGAAUCGAACGUACGCCAAAUUAGAGAGGAUGACAAUAAAAUCAUCUCUAAAAUCACUUGUAAAACUAAGAUUAUAUGCAUAAACACAAUUAUUAAAUAAUUGAAAAAAAUAUAUAAAACUUAACAACAUGAAAAUAGAUCCUACAAUUAUCAUCAAGUAACAUGUUGGACGGUUUGUGUUUUAUUAUUAUUAUUAUUAUUAUUUUAUAUUAUCAUAUCUACUUUAUAAUCAGUAGCUUAUGUUACAUAGGUGAUUUUACGCAUUUAAUAUUUGAUUAAUUUUUUUAAAUAUUAUACUUUUAAUUGAAGUAAUUAGUAUAGAAUAAUAUUUUUCAUUUAAAUUAUUAAAUAUAUGUAAAAUAUAUUAAUUUAUCAAUUCAAACAAAUAUUAUAAUAAAAAGUUUUUAAAUAAUAAUUAAAUAAUUUUUAACAUAUUCCACAUAUAUUAUAGUUUUCCUUUAUGUAGCUAAUGCAAUGUAAUAUUACUCAAAAUAAUAACUACUUAACAUAAUUGUCAGCAACCUCUUGGCCUAUUUACAAAAACUUGGUUUUGUAGGUACGAGAGCUUGGGUUCAAUCCUAAGCAAUCCUAUUUUCCUCCCUUAAAUAUAUAUAUAAAAAAACUGAGCACAAUAAACUCUAAUAAUAAUUAUAAUGAUAAUUUUAAAUUUAGUAAUAUAAAAAAUAAAUAUAUUUUUCAAACUCGUUGUUAUAUAUAUAUAUAUAUAUAUAUAUAUAUAUAUAUAUAUUACAAAUUAAGUAUUAAAAUUGUGUUUUACGUGUCAUAGCAUUUCACCACCAUUUGAUCUUAUCUUUUAUCUUCCUUUCUUCGUGUUUGGUGAAGGCUUCUUCAACUUUUUCUUUGUUUUCUCAAAUCGGAUGGAUCCACAUCGGGGGCCAUAGAUGAGCCUUAGAUGUUCUUUCCGAGAAGACUCCAAGAAGACGAGAGCUGUUGUUAACAUUUAUAGAGUUUUUCUUGGUUAAAAUGUGCCAGAAGUCCCUGCAUUUUUUAUAAAAUUAAAAUUUAAUUCCUAUACCAUUAAUCACUAAAUUAUGGAUCAAGUUUUGCAGGUAUCUUCACCUCUAAAACUCAAAAAAACAUAAUAUUUCUUUCUAGACAUGGAUGAGGAAUUCGAAAGUGACGAUGACAUGACGAUUUAUGUGAAGAAAAAUAUAUAUGGAUAUAGUGUUCAAAAUCAGAAAAUAGAUGGCUCAAUACCUCAGAAACAACGUAGAAACAAUAAGUAUAUGAACAUGAAGGAGAAAAACAGUUCAAAUUUCAAGGGAACAACGAAGAUUUUUGUCAGCAAUUUCUCUAUACAUUUCCAUUUUUUCUUCCAAAUGAAAGCGCGUAGGUGUGGAAAUUGGGGGAUGAUAGAUGAGUGAUAGAUGUUGUCUCCAGGAAGAAUCCAAGAAAGAGUCCACAAAAUUGAGCCUACAAUAAUUAUAAGUGUUGGACCGUUUGUGUUUUACAUUAUCAUAUUUACUUCAUAAUUAUAAAGUAUUAACUAAUUGUGUUUUACAUGCUUAACUAGUUUCUUAUGUAACAUUCAUCUAAUUAUUUUUAUUUUAUUAAUUAGUGUAUUUAAUUAUUAUUUAAAGAUAUAUGAUUAUUUAUUUAAAAAUGUAUAUUAUUUUAUAUAAUGUAAAAUAAUUAAAAUAUUUUAUUAGACUUAACACAUACUUUAGUACUUGAGUUUGACACUUUUUUUUUUAAUGUGAUACUUAUGUUAUUUUUUGGUCCAAUCAGGUAUUUGUAUUUGACAAAAGUUAUAUAUUUUGACACCCAAAACUAAUGAUGUUAAGUGUUUAAUUCGAGUUUUAGGGCUGGUUUGAUGAAAAUUAAUUGCUAAUUAUGUAUUUUCAUCAAACCAACUCUAAAACCCGAAUUAAAUUACAUCCAUUGGACUUUAUUUGACAAAUUAAAUGCAAUAUUAAACAAAUCCAUAAUUAACACUAAAUUUAUUCUAUUAACAAAAUCAUGAAAAAUUCAAAGUUAAUAAUAUUAGCAAUUAACUUUCAUCAAAUCAAUUCCCAGACUUAAACUAAAUGCUAAAAAGUUAACAUCGUUACUUUUGGAUACCAAAAUAUACAACUUUUGUCAAAUAAAUGUAACAAAUUGAACAAAAAAAAAAGACAAAGAGUACCACAUUAAAAAAAAAGUGUCAAACUCAAGUACCAAAUUAUGCAUUACAUUAUUUUGUUACAAGAUAUUGUUUAAUUAUAAACUUCAAUAUUUAAAUUAAAAACAAGAGUCUUGUUUGGUGGGAUGUUUUCUUGCUGCUAGUGUGGUCCACUUCCCAAAGAUGAAGAAUACAUUGGCAAAUUUGUGACAUCCUUUAAGGUGUGUGCAGAUCUCGAAUAUGGGAGAGAAUAGAUAUUUGUUUAGAUUUUUCAAUAAGGUGAACAUUGAUAGGGUGAUUAAUGGAGCACCAUGGACUUUCAACAAUCAUUUGUUAGUGUUCCAUCAUUUGGCUAUUAAUGAAUAUCCCAUGCAAGUACCAUUGAUUUUUCAUGGUUUUGGGUUUAAGUACAUGAUAUUCCCCUUGGAUUUUUCUUUGAAGUAGUGGCAAGAUAGUUUGGUAAUUUUAUUUGAGAAUUUUUCGGAUUAUGAUUUGAAGCAGAUUUCGAGAGGUGUUGGUCAAUAUUUGCAAAUAAGAGUUAAAUUAGAUGUGAGUUCCCCAUUGAAAAUUAGUAGGAAGAAAAUUUAGGUUUCCUCAUCAAGUUUCAUAUAUGCGAGAUUUCAGUAUGGAAAACUCACAUUAUUCUAUUUCAUAUGUGGCCGUAUAGAGCAUGGAGAAACUUUUUGUCUAGUUAGGUUUGUCACACCCCGAGUUUGGUGGAUCCGAAUUAUGGCAUAAAGUUGCAAAGAUGAUCUAUUUGAAGUAUUAUAGUUUGCCAUUUUUGGUCUUUCAACGAGUACGAUUGGGUGUAAUGUACCUGCCGCUUAGGAGAUUAAAUAUUUUUGUCUCAAAUCAUUAAGUAAUUCUAGUAAAGGAUACCACCAAAUGUUUAACAUCGUGGUUUGUCUGAGCAUUGUGUGUAACAGCCCAAUUUUCAGUGGUGUUGGAAACAGUGGUUUGAGACCACUAAAUCUGACAAGUUAGCUCAUAAAUUUUACUAUAUAGUGUUUAUGAGUCGAUUGUGAAUUUAGGGAGGCUUAUGAAUUAUUGAAUUAUGCUUUAGAAAUAUUUGUUAGAUUAAUUGGUUUUGAAAACGAGGUAUCGAGACAUCAAUUUUAUAAACCGAGCCUUAAAUAUUUUUAUAAAUAUUUAAAGAGUGUCAUUAAGGUAGUAUUAAAAUUUUGUUAGAAAAUUUUAUCGUUUCGAUAGUUAAUUAAUUAAAAAGAACUAAAUUGAAAAAGGCACAAAACUUGCAAAGGUGAUUAAAUAGCAUGAAUAGUAAAUUAGGGAGGACUAAAAGGGAAAUUAGACACCCAAGGAAUGGCUGAGGCGGCAUAAGCAGAAACAAUAAUCUUGGAAUUAGGUGAGUUAAGGGCAAAAUUGUAAAUUUUUCCAAAUUAACUUAAAUAAAUUGAAUUCUAUACUUUUACAGGCUAUUCUUCUUCAACUAAAUAGCCAAAAAUGCCAUAGGAGAAGGUUUUAAGCUGGUUUUAUUUAUUUUGCUUCAUGUAAGUUCAAUUCUUGCUCUUUUAUUGUAAUUUUUGUGUUUUUAAGACUUUUACAAUUAGGUCCAACUAUCUAAUUCAUUAUUUUUUUUAUUUUAUGGGUAAUUUUGAAAGUUACCAUUGAUGAGUGCUGGGUUUUUGGAUGAAUUAACAUAGAUUUGAAGUUUUAAUUUUGUUAUAUGAUGAUUUUAUUAAGUAAUUUAAAUAGAAAUUGAUUUUAGGACCAAAUUGUGAAAAAGAUUAAAUCUUAGGGUUUGGUAUUAAAGUCUAUUUAUUAAAGGCUGUGUAGUAGCUUAUAAUAUUUAUAUAAAGUGUUAAUUGAGAAAAAAUAGCUCAUUUGAUGAGUUAAUUACCAAGGGACUAAAUCAUAAAAACUGUAAAAAUUAGGGUAAUUGUGUAAUUUCAAAAUUUAAAGGGUAUAAAUUGUAAAGUGAAUUAUAAUUGAAUUAGAUGCUAAUGAAUAAACAAUUUUACAUUAUAGAUCAAGACCCCAAAGAAAAUCGUGAAAAAAGAGAAAUUAGCUAAAUAGUCAUUGGAUUGCAACAAAUUCGACAAAUUAGUCCAAGUAAGUUCAUAUGGUUGAACUUUCAUGAUUAAUUGUUGAUUUAUGAAUGAUAUAAUGUAUUAUUUCAGGUUUUUGUUUUUGAAAUAUGAUUAUUGUAAAUAUAUGAAAAUUGAAUUGAAAAGUUCAAAUUAAGUGGAACGUAUGAUUGAGUACGAUCGUUCCAUGACACAAGAUGAAUUGACAGAUAAGACCAUGGUAGGACCAUGGCAAUGUUUGAAUGUAAGACCAUAGUUGAGAUGUGACAUUUUAAUGAAAAGACUAUAACUGGGUUAUGCCACCUUGAACGUAAGACCAUGGUUGGACUAUGGCAGUAAAUGUAUAUGUGUAAGACCAUGGCAGGGCCAUGACAAUUGUGCAAGACCAUAGUUGGACUAUGGCAUUAAGAAAAUGAUGUACUCAAAUCUGUAAGACGUUCUCUAAUUUGGCAUGAAUUGGUAAGUAUUACAGGGAUUAAUGUGAAAGAAAUUAAAUAGUUAUUGAUAUUGAGCUCAAUUAUGUGAAUUCAUCAAAAGAAGUUGUGAUUGGCAGGAAAUGUUAUGAAAUGCUUAAUCUAAAUGAAUUAUUUAGUAUGUUCGGUAAGAUUUAUAUUUAAAUCCUAUGAACUUACUAAGCUUCAUUAAGCUUACUCGUGUUGUUUAUUAUUUCUUGUAGAUUAGCGUAAGGUUAGAGGAUCGGAUCAUCACAUCAAACUACACUUCGUUAUUUCUGGUAGUUUUUGUAAUGUAAAUUUUGGUUUAUAUGGCAUGUAUAGGGUUGGUUUGGUGAUGAAAUAGUUUGAAUUAUAGUUAUGAAUAUUAAAUAUUCGUAUGCAUAUAAAUAGUAGCAGUAUUUGAUAUAUAUAUUUUUUUUCCUGAGUACUCGGUUUAGUCCCAGACCACUUUUAAUGUCUAUUUUGGGCCUUGGAGGUUCAUUUUAGGGACUACAUGAAUGAGUUUGGUUGUUUUUUUUAUUGAGAUACGAAUAUGAAAUGUAUGAUUGUUUGAGCUAAAAGUUCGGUAAUACUUCAUAACCUUAUUCUGAUAACGGAUAAUGGUUAGGGGUGUUACAUUGUGCUAGUUAAGUUGAACAUGAUCUGGUUAAGAACCAACUGGAUUGGCUGGUCAAACAUUUAUUGAGAAAGGACUUUCAUUUAUGUUUCUCUUAGAACCUGUAGGCCAUUAAGAAGGACAAUUUUAAAUGUAUUGACAUUUGUUAAGUUCCCACAGGUUGAGUGGGUUAUAUAUAUGGGUGAGAAGGGUCUAUUGGUGCGGUCGUUGAAAGCACCAAAAAUAUCAUAUCGCUAAUAAAUAAUGAAAAAAAUAGUAAAAGGGAAGUAGGGUCAAAUCCUCAGAGACUGUAUUUGUACAAUAUCUUGUUCCGUGAAAUCUCAGGCAGAAUCUUGCCCAAGAAAACCUGCGUUCCUAAAAAAAAACAAAGAAAAUAAUAGAAUUAAAAGUUUGGAUCUGGAAACGAAAAAUAAAAUAAAAACAGAAUUAAGAAUAUUGAAUCGAAAAUUUGAGAAAUUAAAAAUACAGUUGAGAGAAAGGAAAUUCUUAUGGGAAAUUCCAGCCUCCAGUUGUCUCGUUCCGCCUUGGGUUCAAUCUUCGGCUUUUAGAUGAUCCUUCCCAAAUCGAAUAAGGCAGUUAUAGUGGAAGAGGACGCCUACGACCACCAGCUCCAAGGAUUUAGACUUAUGAUUUGGUGGAACCUCACUCUAGCCAACAAUCGCUUCUAUUGGAUCGUCUUAUGCUAGAUCAACGCUUCUCAAUGGCGAAUCCCACGCCAUUUUGUCUCUUGGGCUCGCCAACCUCUGACGCAGUAAGCUAACGAACCGACUGUGCAACCUUCCCAAAACAUGCAAAGUGGCCACCUUUGCAUACGUUGAAAAGCUUACUUCUUAAGGGACAUGGACAGAAGCGUCAGCCCCGUAGUACGGAGAAACGAUGAAUACUCAUUGAGAAGGCUAAGUACGGANNNNNNNNNNNNNNNNNNNNNNNNNNNNNNNNNNNNNNNNNNNNNNNNNNNNNNNNNNNNNNNNNNNNNNNNNNNNNNNNNNNNNNNNNNNNNNNNNNNNUGGAAAAGAAAAUAAAUAAAAUAAAAAUCAAGAUUUUAUUAAAAUGAAAUAUGAGAAGAACAAAAGCAUAGACUUUUGGGGAGAGAGUGUUUACAAAAAAGAUGGAUCCUCUUUUGAGUCACUUCACCCCCUAUUUAUAGUGCUAGGGGAGAUAGUCUAAUCCUACUUAAAUUCCCAAAAGAUAAAUACAUUUAAUUAAAGAUAUAUAAAUUAAAAUCCUAAAAUUAAAUAAUCCUUAAUAAUUAUCUUAAUAUUAAUUAUCCUAAUAUAAUUAAAAUAGAGUAUGAUAGAAUAAAAUCUCUUUUUUUUUGCAUUUCAACCCUUGUGUCCUCCAUGCUUGUACUUUUGGCACCAACUUUUCCUUGUGUCGCACAUUGGCCCAUUUUAUCUCUAAAUUCAUGCUUUUGGCUUUUAAUUUUGCUUUUGCCUCAAAUUUAGUCCCUAUGAGAUAAAAGAUCAUAAAUAGCUCAAAUUAGCAGGAUCAUACUCAGAAUAAAUACAUAAUUAAUACAUAAAAAUACGUUAUUCUAAAGUGUUAUCAAAUUCCCCUACUUAGCCCAUGCUUGCCCUCAAGUAUGGUUUCUAUCUACUGUGAAAGUUAGAUUCUGCCAUAAAAGAAAUACUACUUCAAAGUUUUAUAAAAAUCAGUCAAAAAUGCAUAUGAAAAAUAAAGAAAACCCUAAGCUUGCUUUAAGUAAAACAAAAAAAGUUUUUCCAAUUAAUACACACAAAAAUUAGAAUCGACUUUAAUUAUUUAAUGAAAAUUAGGUAAAUUACCAAACCUACCAAGACACCCUAUUUGUUUCCUCCUUUAGUCCCCAAUUUAUAUAUAUAUAUAUUGUGCUUUAAGAAUAUACUGAACCUUUUGACGCGAAGAGAGAUGACAGCCAAGCAUCCUACCCCGGUUACUCAGCCCAAUAGACUCCUAAUUUAUUAUAAUUUUUUUCUUAAGAACACAUCGAACCUUUUGACGCAAAGAGAGAUGACAGCCAAGCACCCCACCUCGGUUACUCAGCCCAACAUGUUCUUAAAAAUUAAUUCCGGUUAGCGGAGUUUUACCUAACACGUCACACAACCUUUUAACGCGAAAUAGGAUGACAACCCAAGCACCCUACCCUGGUUACUCGGUCGGUCACGUUUUUAAGCUGCACUCAUAACCACGGAAACAUUAAACGACAUUUUAAUAAUAAUUUUUUUAUGAGGAUUUUAGAGAAAAAAAUAAUCAAGUGUAAAAAAAAAUAAGUUUCAGUAAUUACCUUAAUAGUCAUCAACAUAUUUUAGCAUGCAAAUAUAUUAAGUGUCCACUUUGUAUUAAACUUGACCAAUUUUACGAAAAGCAAGAUAAAGUUAACUCUAUGAAUCAUAAUUAUUUUUAGCCUAAUAAGAAAAAAAUAGUGGAGAUGACAUCAAUUAUGGAAAAUCCGUAAUUUCCUCAGAAAAUAAAAAUCUUACUUAUAGGUCAAACAGUAGGCAAUUCUUGGUAAAAAUCUUGGGAAUGAAAAGAGGCAGGAAGUUCUAAAAAAAUAAAUAUGGACAAAAUGGAGCCUCAAGCAGCAACACAGCCAAAAAUAAUCACAGCAACAACAACAACAACCAAAAUCACAGCAGAGUACCCCCUACUGAAAGCACAUUGUCCUUAAUGUGGACGAAAAGAAAUAAAUAGGUAGAAAAGUUUAGAAAAACUCCCUGUGUUGUUUCUGUCGAUCCAAUAUGAUGGGAAUGAGCUCGGUCAGUUGCUGGCCAAAGGUUUCAAGUUGGGACUCAAUGCGCUCUAAGCAUUGCUGAACGGUUUUCUUCACAUUUUUUCUCUGUUUUAUCUAAGCAAAAGAAGAAAAAUUUAUUAAUAUCCAAAUAAGUAAUAAAUAAAGUAAAGAAAAAAUAAUAAUAAUAAAAAUUAGGGUGCCUUCCAACAAGCGCUUGUUUAACAUCGUUAGCUCGAUGCCGUUAUUUGUUCUAUGGUGGUUCCAAAUGGAUUUUCUCAACCGUGUGGGCUUGAAAAUUCUCAUAAAACGGCUUCAACCACUGGCCAUUGACUACGAACCAAUUUUCAGAUUCUUCACUCUUUAUUUCAAUCGCUCUAUGUAUGAACACUUAAGUAACAAUAAAAGGUCCUUGCCAUUGUGAUCGAAGCUUACAUGAGAAUAACUUUAACAUGGAGUUAUAAAGUAAAACUUUUUGUCCUACCGAAAAAUGCUUCUGAGUUAUUCUCUUAUUGUGAAACAACUUUGUCUUGUCUUUAUAAAUGUGAGCAUUCUCGUAGGGAUCAUUGCAAAUUUUUUCUAACUCUUGGAUGUCUAAUUUCCUUGCCUUUCCUGCGGGUUCUAACUCCAUGUUACAUUGUCGAACGACCCAAUAGGCUUUAUGUUCCAAUUCGACCAGAAGGUGGCAAGUUUUUCCAAAAACAAGUCGAUACGGGGUCAUACCAAUCGGUCCCUUAUAUGUAGUUCGAUAGGCCCAAAGUGCGUCAUUUAGCUUAAGGCUCCAAUCUUUUCGGCUAGGACGAACUAUUUUCUCCAAAAUAGUCUUGAUUUCCCUAUUCGAGACCUCAACUUGACCAUUCGUUUGGGGAUGGUAAGCCGUAGCUAUAUGGUGGUAGACUCCGUAUUUUGACAACAGUGCAUUCAUGACCUUAUUACAAAAGUGGGUGCCGCGAUCACUGAUUAUGGCUCGAGGCGUGCCAAACCUAGAAAAAAUAGUUCGUUUUAAAAAAUCCAUAACAGUUAUGGCAUUAUCAUGGUGAGUAGGCUUUGCUUCUAUCCACUCAGAAACAUAGUCUACUGCAAGAAUUAUAUAUACAUUGCCAAAUGAAGAAACAAAUGGGCCCAUGAAAUUGAUGCCCCAAACAUCAAAUAUUUCACAUACAUGAAUCGGGGAAAGGGGCAUUUGAUUUUGUUUAGUGAUGUUACCUGUAUGUUGGCACCCAUCGCAAGACUUACAGAAUUUAUAUGCGUCUUAAAAAAUUGUGGGCGAAUAUAGCCCACAAUCUAACACCUUAUGAGGGUCCACUUAGGGCCAAAGUGACCUCCGCAAGCUUCAGCAUCACAAAAUUAAGGAUAGAAGUUACGUCGAUUUCUGGAACACAUCUUCGUAUUAUCUAGUCUGAACAGUGUUUCCACAAGUAUGGGUUUUCCUAAAUGUAAUAUCGAGCGUCGCGUCUAAGUUUGUCCCUCAUGGAACGUGCUAACCCAGUGGGUAACGAUCCUGUUGCUAGAAAGUUUACUAUAUCUGCGUACCAUCGGAGACAUACCUCAGUCGAGAAUAGGCUCUCAUCAGGGAAUUAAUUCUUUCUUAAUGGGGAUGUCGUCAAAAGGUACUUUUGUUCUGCUUAAGUAGUCAGCCACUAAAUUUUCGCAUCCCCUUUUGUCUCGAAUCUCGAUGUCAAAUUCUUGGAGCAGCAAAAUCCACCUAAUGAGCCUCAGUUUUGCUUUAUUCUUAGCGAUCAAGUACCUAAGGGUUGCAUGAUCAGAAAGAAUAAUUACUUUAGAUCCUAAUAAAUAAGGCCAAAAUUUAUCUAAAGCAAAUACAACUAUUAAGAGUUCUUUUUCCGAAGUAGUGUAGUUGCUCUGCGCAGUAUCUAGGGUUUUCGAGGCAUAACAUAUGACAUGUGGUUCUUUUUCUAUCCUUUGCCCCAACAAGGCUCGUACACUGUGCUCGCUGGCAUCGCACAUAAUUUCAAAUGGGUAUUUCCAAUCUGGCAGUUGCACUAUAGGAGCGGAGACUAACUUUUGCUUGAGUGUAUUAAAUGCCUACUUACAUUUUGGGCCAAACUCAAAUUUCUUAUCCUUCUACAACAACUUACAUAAUGGUUCAGCUACCUUCGAGAAGUUUUUUAUAAAGCGCCUAUAGAACCUUGCAUGGCCAAGGAAAGAACGAAUUUCCCUCACAGUAGAUGGAUAAGGCAAAGAAUUUAUAAUAUCAAUUUUGGCCUUAUCGACCUCAACUUCUUUAGAUGAAACAACAUGACCCAAAAUUAAACCUUGGUCUACCAUAAAAUGACACUUUUCAUAAUUUAAGACAAGAUUAAAUUCUAUGCACCUACUCAAAAUUAUAGUUAGGUUUUUAAGUCAUUCAUCAAAACAACUCCCAUAUACAGUAAAAUCAUCCAUAAAAACUUCGAUAAUUUUUUCAUAUAUUCAGAAAAUAUACUCAUCAUGCAUCUUUGGAAGGUGGCCGGCGUAUUCCAAAUACCGAAUGGCAUCCUUCUGUACGCAAAUGUACUGAAUGGGCAUGUAAAAGUGGUCUUUUCCUGGUCCUCCGGUGCGACUGGAAUUUGAAAGAAACUUUAGUAUCCAUCAAGACAACAAAAGUGAGUUUUUCUGGCUAUUCUUUCAAGCAUUUGAUCUAUAAAAAGAAUAGGGAAAUGAUCUUUUCUAGUGUAUAAGUUCAACUUCCUGUAAUCAAUACAGACGCGCCACGUAUUUUGUACUCGGGUAGGUACCAAGUCACCUUUAGCAUUUUUCUUUACUAUCACGCCCGUUUUCUUAGGCACGACUUGAACCGGACUUACCCACUUACUAUCAAAAAUAGGGUAAAUUAUGUCAGCAUUCAGAAGUUUGAUUAUUUCCUUUUUUACUAUCUCCAUCAUAUUCGGAUUUAGCCGUCUUUUCUCCUCUCGCCUUGGUUUUGUGUCUUCCUCUAAGUAGAUCCUGUGUGUGCACGUCAAAGGGCUUAUCCCUUUUAAGUCUGCAAUGGUCCAUCCAAUCGCCUUCUUAUGACUUUUUAGUACAUGGACCAAACUUUCCUCUUCAUGUGUAGAGAGUCUAUUGGGGAUUAUGACUGGUAGGGUAUUACCCUUCCCCAAAAAUGUAUAUUUCAGAUGCACAGGAAGUGGUUUCAACUCCAACUCUAGUGCCUAUAUAACAGAAGGUAACAUUUUAGUAUUUAGAGAUAAUAACUCAUUAACAACUUCAAAUUCAUCAAGUUUAGAAUUAUCUCCAUAAAUUGACUCAAAAUUUUCUUCCACCAAAGAGUCAAUUAUGUCGAUAUGAUUUACACUCAAGAUUUCGCUUGGAUGGCUAAUGGCGUCGUAGACAUUAAACUUUACGAUCUCCUCAUCAAACUCCAUUGUGAGAGUUCCACUUCGAACGUCGAUUUUAGUACUAGUUGUACUAAGGAACGGUCGACCCAGUAGGAGAUCUAAAGAUCUAGGAGUGCUAUCCUCCUCCAUUUUGAUCACAUAAAAAUCUGUAGGGAAAAUAAGCCAAAACAUCCUCAAGGACUCUUUUUGGAAACACAACAACCUGUCUGCCAAAUGAAUGGUAACACCUGUUUUUGUUAAAAAACCCAUAUUAAGUGAUUCAUAAAUAGAAUAUGGCAUUACAUUUAUAGAAGUCUCUAGAUCACACAUAGCCUUCUUAAUUCCCAGAUAACCUAUUUUGCAUGGUAUUGCAAACAUGCCCCUAUCCUUGUAUUUUGCCAGCAUUUUUCGCUGUAAUACUGUAGAUACAUUCUCACCAACACUCAUCCUUUCAUUACCUGUUAAUUUUCGCUUGUUAGUGCAAAGAUCUUUAAGAAAUUUAGCAUACCGCGGUAUUUGCUUGAUGGCGUCCAACAGUAAAAUGUUGAUCUUGAUAUUCUAAAUGUUUCAAGGAUUUCUUUGUACUCUUUACCUCUUCGACACUAGUUGAAUCGUUCUGGAAAUGGAGGUUGAAUUUUAGGUAAUGGAGGAUUCAGUCAGACCUGUUCAUCUUUCUCGGGUUUUUUGGGUGAUUUUUUUGCCAAGACUCCUGUUAGGAAUCGGUUCCAGUACCUUUCCCCUUUGCAAUGUCAUUGCAUUUGCAUUUUGUCUAGGGUUUGGUUCUGUUUGUGACGGCAGCUUCCCUUAAGAGGUCAAUUUCUCGAUUGAUGUGGUUAGCUCUCUGAUGGACGCCUCAAUUUUCUGUUGAAAAUCCUUCGCCUCUUUUUGGAAAUUAAGAGUUUGCUAUUAGAUUUACUGUUGAAAAUCAAGAACAUUAGCUGCUAACUUAUUGACCAUGGUUUCUAGAGAAUUACCUGAACCUUGCGGCUGUUGCAGAAACUGAUUUUGGUAUGGCUGGUUAUUUCGUAGAUUGACCCCAUAACUUAAGUUAGGAUGGUCCUUCCACCCUGGGUUGCAGGUAUUAGCGUAGGGGUCGUAUCACCUUUGUGGUGGCCCAGGGAAAUUUCCCACAGCAUUUAGAUGGGUCGUGGUAUCAUCAUACAAACUGGGAUAUGCAUCAGUUGCAUGAUCAGUUGUAGCACAUAUUCCGUAUAAUCGGGCUGUCUUCGUUUUUUCUACAAUAAGAGAGUUCAUCAUAUUAGAAAGUUUAUCAACUUUAUCAUCUAAGGUUGAAUUACUUAGCUGGUGAACCCUUUUAGGAGGUUUAGUAUUGGCUCGAAACUGCUGAGAAUUUGCAGCCAUCGUGGAGAUCAAGUCUCUCGUUUGUUGGGGAGUCAUGUUGUCCAAUGCUCCACCACUAGCGACUUCUACCAUAUUCAUCUCAAUGGGCUUCAAACCUUCGUAAAAGUAUUGGAAGAGAGACUGCUCCAUUAUACCAUAUUGUGGGCAGCUUGCACACAACUUUUUAAAUCGCUCCCAAUAAUCGUAAAGGGACCCAACUUCUUUUUGCAUUAUUCCAACGAUCUCUCUUCUUAGCUCAGUUGCUUGAGAUGCUGGAAAAAACCUGUUUAGAAACAAACGAGAUAGAUUAGCCCAAGUUGUAAUAGAUCCAGAGGGUAAAUGAAAUAACCACUCCUUAGCAGAAUCUACUAAGGAGAAAGGAAAAGCACGUAAUUUAAUCCGAUCCUCAGUUACCCCCUGAGGUUUCAUGCUAAGACAAACCAUAUGAAACUCUUUCAGAUGCUUGUGGAGAUUUUCAUUUUGCAACCUACGAAAAGUUGGCAGUAACGGGAUUAAACCUGACUUCAACUCAAAAUCAGUAUCCAUAGUAAGAUACGCGAUGCACAAUGGCAGUUGUUCUGUCGGAGCUUCAGUAAGUUACCGAAUCGUUUGAGUCAUUGGUUGGUGUGCUAAAUUCGGGUUUUCGUUAACCCUAGCGUUAAACACUUCUUCUGGUGAGUCAACUUCUACCUUUUCGCUUUCAAAUGUUCUAAUAGGGUUUUCGUUAACCCUAGACUCAACUUGGUCAUUGACUUCGAUUUCUGGCGAUGGUUUACUUUGAGUUCCAACCACCACUGACUGCUUUUUUCGUAACUUUGUCUCCUUGCGAUUGGCUCUAGCAGUCUUCUCAAUUUCUAAAUUGAACGCAAGAGUACCUGGAGCAAAUCUGGUCAUAAGAAACAAAAAAAACAAGAUUAGUACGUUGCCAAUCCCUAGAACGAUUCCAAAAUUUGGUGCGGUCGUUGAAAGCACCAAAAAUAUCCUAUCCCUAAUAAAUAAUGAAAAGGAAUAGUAAAAGGGAAGUAGGGUCAAAUCCUCAGAGACUAUAUUUGCACAAUAUCUUGUUCCGUGAAAUCCUAGGCAGAAUCUUGCCCAAGAAAACCUGCGUUCCUGAAAAAAAAAUAAGAAAAUAACAGAAUUAAAGGUUUGGAUCUGGAAACGAAAAAUAAAAUAAAAAUAGAAUUAAGAAUAUUGAAUCAAAAAUUUGAGAAAUUAAAAAAGAGUUGAGAGAAAGAAAAUUCUUAUAGGAGAUUCUAGCCUCAAGUUGUCUCGUUCCGCCUUGGAUUCAAUUCUCAACUUUUAGAUGAUCUUUCCCAAACCGAAUAAGCCAGUUAUAGUGGAAGAGGACGCCUACGACCACCAGCUCCAAGGAUUUAGACUUACGAUUUGGUGGAACCUGACUCUAGCCAACAAUCGCUUCUGUGGGAUCGUCUUAUGUUAGAUCAAUGCUUCUCAAUGGAAAAUCCCACGCCAUUUUGUCUCUUGGGCACACCAACCUCUGACGUAGUAAGCUAACGAACCGACUGUGUAACCUUUCCAAAACAUACAAAGUGGCUGCCUUUGCAUACGUUGAAAAGCUUACUUCUUAAGGGACAUGGAUGGAAGCAUUAGCCCCGUAGUGCAGAGAAACGAUGAAUACUCAUUGAGAAUGCUAAGUACAGAUUCUAAGCCUCAUGAACCCUUUUGGGGUUUUUCGACAACCUUUGGCUAGAUGGGUUUAGUGGCUCAUGGUUGUGGUAGAAAAGAAAAUAAAUAAAAUAAAAAUAGAGAUUUUAUUGAAAGGAAAUAUGAGAAGAACAAAAGCCUAGACUUUUGGGGAGAGAGUGUUUACAGAAAAGAUGGAUCCUCUUUUGAGUCACUUCACCCCCUAUUUAUAGUACUAAGGGAGAUAGUCUAAUUCUACUUAAAUUCCCAAAAGAUAAAUACAUUUAAUUAAAGAUAAAUAAAGAUAAAUAAAAUUAAAUCCUAAAAUUAAAUAAUCUUUAAUAAUUAUCUUAAUAUUAAUUAUCCUAAUAUAAUUAAAAUAAAGUUUGAUAGAAUAAAAUCUCUUCUUUUUGCAUUUCAACCUUUGUGUCCUCCAUGCUUGCACUUUUGGCACCAACUUUUCCUUGUGUCGCACAUUGGCCCAUUUUAUCUCUAAAUUUAUGGUUUUGACCCUUAAUUUUCUUUUGCCUCAAAUUUAGUCCCUAUGAGAUAAAAGAUCAUAAAUAGCUCAAAUUAGUAGGAUCAUACUCAGAAUAAAUACAUAAUUAAUACAUAAAAAUACGUUAUUCUAGAGUGUUAUCAUCUAUUGAGAAUUUUUCUUCUAUUUGUUCCUUCAAUAUUGUUCUCUGUUUCUUCAAGUUAAGUGCUAUUUCAAUCUCUUCAAGUUAGAUGUUAAAAUGCAGGGAUCAGUUAGAGGUCACUCUAUCUCUUAGUAAGUAACAUGGUUUUGCAUGUUAAGUUUUGAAGGAUUUAUGAUGUUAAGAGUUUAAUGAGAAAUAGGACUAAAACAAGGUAUUGCAUAGGGUUUAUCUAUGAUUGAGAUGUUGAAAAUUUGUGUAUAUGGAUUUUAAUAGGGAAAUUGUGUUCUUUUAGUAGCUGUUGCUGCUAGGCCAAAAAAGAUGUUCGAGUUUGGAGCUUUGAACUAUAGUUGGUGAGUAUCAGGUGAGUGUUUAUCUUAACUCUUGCAUGUUCACUGUUUAGAUAUAAACAAGCAUAAGUGAUAAUGAUAUCUUUGAAGAUUGUUAAGAAUGUGAAAACUAAAUGAUGCUAUAUGUAGUUAUGAUGGAAUGUAUGAAACUCAGUGUGAAUAGAAUGUUGUUCGUAAAUAUAUAUGUAAGAAUCAAAUAAGUAUGAAUAAUCUGAGAAGUGGGGUUGGAGUAACAUUCUUUUGUGAUGUCUCUGGUAUGUCAGGUAUAUUGCUAACUAGACUGAUAUAUCACGAUAUGAGUGUAUGUGUAAGACCAUGUGAUGGAAACCCAUGACACUGUAUGAUAUGAAAACACCCACGGUGUAUCCUCUAGUGAAACAUAGUCUGGAUUGGCAGGUCACGAUACAUGAAGUGAAUAAGUCCAUGUGUUUAAGACCAUGGCAAGAUGUGUUUGUAUGAAUACUCAUGGUAAAGCCUCUGUUAUGAUAAAAACUGGACUGGCAGAUCACGACAUAAGGUUUAAGUAUAAGACCAUGACUAAGGAACCAUGACAUCUUCUGUGAAAGUUCGUCGGGACAAUAAACACGUAGUUCUAAAUGUGUCCUAUAUGGCAUGAUCAACUAAGCCUUUGUGGCAUAUUUUGUUUGGUCCUUGUGGCGUGUUCGACCAAGUCUUCAUGAGAAAUGAUGACUAUCUGUCUUCUUUAUGGUAAGUCCUGGAUGUAUUCUGGGUAUGUUGUGAUAUGAUCAAGGUUAAAAUGAGUCGAAUUAAGCCUAUGAAGUAAUCAAAUAAGUUCAUUAAAGAAUAUUUUUGGAAAAGAAUUGUGUAUCUGUUUGUCUGAAGAAUGGGGAAUCCGCCUCGGUAAUGUGUUAGUAUAGAAAGAGUGUAUUGUGGUUAUGGAAGCUAUGAGAAAUUGGCAGUUGGAGUUCUAAUGAGCUGUAUAUAUAGUGUUGAAAUCUGGGUACGUGAUAUCCACCAUAUUUGAUUAGUAUCUCAUUCGAUUCUAGAAUUUCAAAGUAAAUACUCCAUUUGUUAAUUCAGGUUAUUACGUAUUUGUUGCCAGAGGUACAAAGAACUCUUUGAUUGAUCUGGUUAGUUAGUUAUCAGUGUGCUAUUGUGUUGGGUAUUGAAUUAGAAUAUAGAAUGAAGGAAAAACUGAUAAUAUUCAACUCAACGUGGGAAUCUACCAAAACGUAAGUAUCCGUCAAUGAAUUGUAUGCCGUCUCACUCAAGAAUCUUAUGAAAUUGGAGCUAUUCGUCAUCUUGGGUUGUUGUUCGAUGAAUUAACCUGAAGGUCUCAAACGAUCCAUAAUUAAUAUAAGUAUGUGUUAAGCUUAAGUUAGCAAAUAAUUUAUCUUUCAAAAAGGGUAUGGAAAGAUCGUAAAUCAUUUAGGUAGUUAAGAGAGUAUGAUUAUGAUAAGAGUGGUGUGUCUGGCAUAUAGGAAGUGUAGUCCAGGUAUUACUGAUUGAUACAUGACAGAAUCACUCAAACAUCACAGGAGAUACUUGAAAGAGUAGGAUCUUACAUUGGUGAACUCGAUGCUCUUAGGACCAGGUCAUCUGCAAACAUAAUGGAGUCAGAGAGAUGGAAUCCUCCGGGUAGGGGUUGGUUUAAUUACGAUGUAGCUUUUCAAAAGCACUCGUUGAGAUCAUGCACAUGGAUUAUCAUCAGAAAUCAUGAAUGGGGCACUCUUGUAUCCUCAAUAAGACAGAACAAGCACAUACGUACUGAGUUUGCGGCGGAGGCUCUUGCAUGCCUUCAAGAAAUUAGAUUGGGGUUAGAUCUGGAGCUCCAAGACGUUAUUGUUGAAGCCUCGAAGGGAUGCUCUAACGGUGGAUAAAAACUUCUGUGCAAAAAUAGAGAUGGAUCAGUUAUCGAUGCGUUCAUUUAAGAGUCAAAUCCCCUAAGUCAAAGUUGCAAGAAAUGCAUGUUUAAGCAUACUUGAGCUAUGCUAAAUUUAUUGAUGUAAAUUAAAAUUAUUACUUGAGUACAAUUUUAAGUAUCUUAAUUAUCACUAAAUUAAUAUUAAAGUUACAUAUCAAUUAAAAUUUAAGUUUAAAUUUAUAAAUAACAUCUAAUAGUUAGAUAUAUUUAAUUAAAUAGCAUGUAAAAAAAUUAUCAAUAAAAAAUUAAAAAUUGUCAACAUUAAUAAGUUAGAAUUAUAUUUUUAUAAAGAGAAUAUUAUAUAUAAAUAUAUAUAAAGAAAAGCACCGGUUAAAAUUGGAGCGUGAUAUAAAGAGAAUAUUAUAUAUAUUGUGAAAAAUAUAGUGUUUCCGGUUUUAAUCUCAUCAUGAUGACAUUUUAUAAUUUUUUUAUUAUAAAAAGUAAAAAAGUAAAAAUACUAUUAUAUAAAUAUUUAUAAAAAUAAUAAAAUUUUUAAUCAUUUCCCAAAUUUUUAUUUCAUUAAUUAUAUAUUUAUUUAUUAAUUAGUCAAACCAACCUUAAAACUGAAAUUAAAUCACAUUCAUUGGAAAGUAUUUGACAAAUUAAAUGUAAAAUUAAAAAAAAAUUUAAAAUUAGCACUAAAUUUAUUCUAUUAAUAAAAUCAUGAAAAGUUCAAACAUAAUAAUAUUAGCAAUUAACUUUUAUCAAAUCAAUCCUAAAACCCGAAUUAAACACUAAAAAGUUAAUAUCGUUACUUUUGGGUACCAAGAUAUAUAACUAUUGUCAAAUACAGAUAACAAUUUGGACCAAAAUAUAACACGGGUAUCACAUUAGAAAAAGUGUCAAACUUGGAUACCAAAUUAUGUAUUAAACCAUUUUAUUACAAAAUAUAUUGUUUAGUUAUAAAUAUCAAUAUUUAAAUUAAAAAAAUGUAAUUCAAAGACGAAUAUAAAGUGCAAUUCAAUAUUUAUCGAAUUUUAUCUACUCAAAAUAUUUAUUUAGCCCUAUUUGAUAAACGAAAAUUCAACUAAAAACCUUAAUAUUUUUCAUAAUUUUAUUUUUUAAAAUAUAUUUGAUAACUGUUAAUAAAAAUUACUUUGUAGAAUUUUUUUCACAAAGAAUGUAAAAAAUAAUAAGUAAAUAGGAAUCUAUUUAAUUUUUAAUAAAGAAUAUGUUCAAUUCUUUUUAUUUUAUUUUAUUUCUUUUUAGACUAUAUUGUCCCAAUUUUUUCUUCACUUUGCUCUUUUAUUCAACAUAAUCUCUGCACAAUAUUUAUUUUUCAUAAUGUUUAUAAUAUUUUAUAAAUAAUAUUAUAAUUUACUAUAAAUAUUUCAUCUUUAUAGUAACCUUAUUUAAAAUAUGACUUUGAUUAAAAUAAUGUGUAAUGUUUAAAAAUUAAGGAUAAAAUUGUAAAAUAGUUUUUUUAAUAAUUUAAUAUUUAAAAUUAUCAAAUAAUCUAAUUAUAUUCAAUUAUUAAUUUUAAAUGAUAUAUCAAACAUAUAUUAUAACUUAAUUUUUCCGCACUUAAGUUUUUUAGUUUAUCAAAGGGGACUUUAAUUUAAAUAUAUUAAUAAAAAUAUUUUCUUACGUUAAGUAAUAACUAUUUAAAAUAAUAAAAUAUUUUUAUUUAUAGACUUGAAUAGUUUAUAUUAUAAUGAAAAUAUAAUUAAAGAAGAAUAUAUAAUGUAAAUCAAUAUUUAUAUUUAGUUACAAUGUAAUAUUAAAAAUAGUAGUUUAAAUCACAAUGAAGUAGAAUUAAAAAUGAAUAUAAAGCGUGAUUCAAAACUUCAUCAAAGUUUUAUCUAAUUUUAAUAGAAAUAAAUAAAAAUAUUCUUAUGUUAAAGUAAGAAAUAAUUAAAAUAAUAAGAUAUUGCUCAUCUAUAAGAAAUAGUAAAUAUUUUUCUAUCUCCCAAAUAGCAAGACAUCUUUCAGAAAAGGCGAUCAUAAUUGGCUAGCAGUUGUGGGAUUGGGAGAGAGGGGGAACAAAAGAUAAUCUCUUUUUUACCGGCAUUUAUAAGCACCGGUGAAAGACCGGUAUUGAUUUUCCUGGCAAUCAUGAACCACUGGUUGACCGUCGUAGGCGGAUGCCAGUAAAAAUUUUCUGACGAGCUGACCAUAGGUGUCGGUAAAGUGUGAACAUUUACCGACAAUAGUCAAAAUCAUAAAAAAUACCAUAUAUCUCUUACUAAGUCCCACUAUAUCGUAUACAAAAGAAUGUGAUGGAACUUACAAAGUCGAUUACAACAAAAUAAAGGCUCUUACAAAACAUAAAGUUUGAGUUUUAAGCAUUCUGAAAUACAUCCAAACUAUGCGAAAAAGCUUGAAUCUGUUAAGUUUAGUUCCCAUGCAAAGGUGGCCAUGCACGACAUGCAAAGGUGGCCAUGCACGACAUGCAAAGGUGGCCAUGCACGACAUGCAAAGGUGGCCAUGCACGACAUGCAAAGGUGGUCAUGCUCGAAGAAAUAGCAGCAAGCAGUGGUGCCAUUGUGUGCAGCAACUGAAGUUUGAAGCUGCCAAUCCACUUGCUGUUUUUAGUUCCAUUUUGAUUGUUUUGUAAUCUAGUUCAUGUUGAACUAAGUAGGUAAAUGUUUUGAUAUUGAUUGACUGAAAAGUCAGCAAUGCAAGUUGUACAAGCUAAUCUUGUAAGUUUCAAUGCAAAUUAGUGGAGUUAGGUAGUUGAUGUGAUUACUUGUUUGUUUUACUUGUUGACUGAAAUAUGUAAUGGCUUAAUGCCUUGUUGUGUGUUAAUGAAAAAUAUCAGCUCAUUUUUCAUUCAUUCUUCUUCUCUCUUUUCUGUUAAUUCACUUGCUAGUUUCAUUUUCUGUUUUUGCUUCUGAGUUUGUUUCUUCACCAAGGCUCGAGGCUUGCUAUUCAAGCAAGAUACAAAACAGCCUGUUAUUGUCUCUUUGUUCCAACAGAAUCCUUACUUAUUUGUUGAUGCAUUUCCAACCUGCAUAGAAAAAAGAAUCAACAUGAAGCAAACAAAUUACAAAUUAGAGAAUGAAAACUGAAUAAGCAAUCAACACCCAUACAUCACGCACCAAGGAUGAACAUGAAACACACUGACAAAUUUUAAUCCCCUUCUAGCUUGUUAAUAAGAAGCAGAAGCCAAAAUUGUAGAGUGAAAGAAGAUAUGAACAAGAACAUAUUCACUUUUAACCAAGCACAUAAAUUGUGGAAACCUCCUUUGCAUGGCCUUGAUGAAAGAGAUAGGAGGCUUAUAAUCAUUAAUCUCAAUGGCUUUUCUCAAAACUGAUAUCAGUAAAUACAACGAAACAUGAAGAUAAGAUUAUGUGAUGGAAGAGAAUAGAAUGUACAGAUCCUAAAAACACUUGUGCAAUAUUGUACUCCAUCAUAUCAUAUCUUUCCCCAGCUUAAAAGAAGUUGAACUUAGUUUUCUUCAAAUAUAAAUAGUGGAAUUUGAGGUGAUGAUAAUCGAAUUUCAGCAUGAUUUCUCAAGGAUUAUUACAAAAAAAAUAUGGAGCUUCUGAAUUCAUUAAAAAAGAACAAGGUAAGCAAUUAUAGAUAAUUGUUCCUUGGUUAAUUCUGUUGUUAAGGUGGAAAUGAUCACAGCAUUGUUAAGCUCUUGCAACUUCUAAACAGAGGCAAGGGCCCUGUCUGUACCAACAUCACUCUCAGAAAACACAAAAUUGCUGGAUAAAUCCCACAAUUCCACUACCCCUUCAUCAUGAAAACUCAUUGGUUUGACACCAGCGAGAAUGAGAUUCUUUGCUGCACAAUGAAGAAUAAAAUUGAUCAGUAAUGGCAAUUUGGUUCUUUUGCUAUAUGUAGUGUAGAGCAGUUAAUAAAAAUGAAUAAUAAACAUUGCCACCUACUGUGGGGGAAAUGAAAGAGUAAAUUAUUAAAGUCCAGCAUUUUUUGAAAAAUUUAAAAAUAAAGUGCCCUUAAAACUAAUAUAUUGUUGAGAGUUGGACUGCAAUGCAACAUGGUGCCAGCCACUAUCGAGAUCAACAGCAGCUAUCGAGCUCAACUGUUUUAGCUUGGCAUGCAAGGUUGAUUUUUGGACCGAAUGAAGCAAUCAGUUUUUAGCUAUUUUGUUGUAAUGUUAUUUAGCUUAGUCCAAUUGUAACUAACUCUCAAAGUUAGUAGGAUUAAGUUUGUGAUUUGAUUUUUGAUGUAAAAGCUGAUAUGUCAGCUUAUCUUUGUAGUUGUUUAAGUUUGUAUUAGUUUUAGUUAAGUGGGAGCAGUUAUGUCAUUAGGUAACUGUCAAAUUAAGCCAAAAUAACUCUUUUAUAUUUUCAAAUUAUGAAUGAAAAUAGGUAAUGUUCAGUUACAAUUUUCUUGCUGUACAUUCAAGUUUCAUUUGCUGCUUUGCCAAUUUUUCUUUUCUGCUUCGAUCAAUCUUGCUUCUGCUUGGUAAAUUUGUUUGCUCGAUGCUGCCAAUGUUCCAACAAAUGGUAUCGUGAGCCCGAAUCUUUGAGGGGCCUAUGCAUUCUGUUGUUUUUCAAACCAAAAGCAAAGCUAAAAUUUAGAAGUGAUAGAGGUCUUUGAACUCAGUCUAGCAAAAUGAGUUUCACUCCACCACCUCCACCAGUGUUCACUGGAGAAAACUAUCACAUUUGGAUAGUCAAAAUGAGGACUUACCUUCAGGCACACGAUCUCUGGAGUGUAAUCGAGAAUGAUGCUGAACCACCUCCAUUGAGGGCUAAUCCCACCAUUGCACAGAUGAGGCAGCAUGCUGAGGAGAGAGCCAAGAAGCAUAAGGCUAUGGCCUGCUUGCAAAAUGGAGUCUCUGAUGUGAUAUUCACUCGCAUCAUGGCCUGUGACUCACCAAAGCAGGCCUGGGAGAAGCUGAAGGAGGAGUUCAUGGGGACUGAUAAGACAAGGCAACAGCAGGUGAUCAAUCUCAGGAGAGACUUUGAGAAUUUGAGGAUGAAAGAGUCUGAGACCAUCAAGCAGUAUUCAGACAGGAUAAUGGCCAUUAUCAACAGCAUAAGGCUCCUGGGAGUGGAUUUCACAGAGAGCAGACUUGUUGAAAAGGUCAUCACAACUCUCCCUGAGAAAUUUGAGUCAAAAAUCUCUUCACUUGAGGACUCGAGGGACUUAUCAGCCAUUUCAUUGUCUGCGCUGAUAAACUCCCUGUAUGCACUUGAGCAAAGAAGGGCAAAUAGGCAGGAGGAGAAUCCUGAGGCUGCUUUCCAAGCUAAAGCCAGUGAAGGCUCGAGUGUGAGUGCAAAAGGCAAAAAGCGUUGGCACAAUAGAAGGUCCAAGUCAGGAAGAGAUGAAGCAAAAAGGGUGUUCCCACCAUGUGUUCACUGCAAGAAGACAACACACUCAAAAAAAUAUUGCUGGUUUAGGCCAGACAUACAAUGCAGAAAGUGCAAGCAAUUUGGUCAUAUGGAGAAGGUGUGCAAGGGCAAGCCAAAAGAAAUCACUCAGCAACAAGCUCGACCUGCUGAGGAUUUGCAAGCUCAGGAGAAGCAUGUAUUUACUGCAACCUGCUUUGUUGGCACAACAAAGGCCAGCAAUGAUUGGCUGCUAGACAGUGGUUGCUCACAUCAUAUGGCAGCAGAUGGGAAGCUGUUCAAGGGCCUAGACAGAAGCCUCCACUCAAGGAUCAGAAUUGGAGAUGGCAAGCUAAUUGAGGCUAAGGGUAAGGGCAAUGUGCUGGUUAGCACUGGUUCAGGUAACAAGCUGAUCUCAGAUGUGCUUUUUGUACCUGACUUAGACCAGAACUUGCUUAGUGUAGGCCAAUUAGUUGAAAAGGGCUAUACAUUGGUUUUUAAAGAUGGCUGCUGUAGUGUUCAAGAUAUGCAUGGUCAAGAAUUAGUCACAGUCUCUAUGACUGAUAGGUGCUUUAUGCUGGAUGUUAGCCAAGUGGAAAGAAAGGCAUACACCAGCCUUGCUGACAGCACUGACUUGUGGCAUAGAAGACUAGGCCAUGCCAAUUUUAGAUCUAUUAAUCUGUUGCAUAAACUGAAUUUGGUUGAUGACAUUUCAAAAAUUGAGGCUAGUGGGAAUGUUUGUCAGGUUUGUCAGCUUGGUAAGCAGGCUAGACUGCCUUUUCCUGCUGAUAGUGCUUGGAGAGCUCAAAAUAAGCUCGAAUUGGUGCACUCUGAUGUCUGUGGCCCUAUGAGAACACCUUCAAUCAAUGAGAACAUGUACUUUGUCCUGUUUAUAGAUGAUCUAACAAGGUUUGUGUUGGUCUACUUUUUGAAGCAAAAGUCAGAAGUGUUUGAGGCAUUCUGCAAAUUCAAGGCAUAUGCUGAAAAUCAGUCAGGCUGCAAAAUUAGAGCCUUGAGGACUGAUAAUGGUAAUGAAUAUAUGUCUGAGAGAUUUCAGAAGCUUUGUGACAGUGCUGGGAUUCACCAUCAGCUUACUACAGUCUAUACUCCUCAACAGAAUGGUGUUUGUGAGAGGAAAAAUAGGACUGUGUUGAACAUGGCCAGGUGCCUAUUGUUUUAAGGUAAGCUUCCAAGUCAGUUUUGGGCUGAGGCAGUUAACACCUCAGUAUACCUGCUCAACAGGCUGCCAACUCAAGCAGUCAAGGAUAAGACUCCUUUUGAAGCUUGGCAUGAAGUCAAACUAGUGGUAACACACCUGAAAGUGUUUGGUUGUGUGUGUUAUGCUCUUGUUCCAGUGGAAAAGAGAACCAAGCUCGAGAGCAGGGCAACUCCAGGAAUCUUUGUUGGCUAUAGCAGUAACAAGAAAGGUUAUAGAGUGUAUGAUCCAACAACAAAGAAGGUUUUGGUCAGCAAGGAUGUAAAAUUUGAUAAAGAAAAGGUGUGGAAUUGGAAUGGUGCUGAAGAUGACAUGUCUGAAAUGGACCAGUUAGACUUGGUUGCUGAACCUACAGAAGAAGGAUCGAGUGAUGAUGCUGUUGAUGAUACACCAGUGAGGGGCACCAGAACUUUGGUUGAUGUCUAUCAGAGGUGUAAUAUUGCUGUGAUUGAGCCUUCAGACUUUGAAGAAGCUGCCAAGGACAGGAACUGGAUGAAAGCUAUGGAGGCUGAGCUGGAAAUGAUCACCAAAAAUCAAACAUGGGAAUUGGUGAGUAGACCAGAACACAAGAAGGUCAUAGGAGUUAAAUGGGUGUACAGGGCCAAGUACAGUGCUGAUGGCUCAUUGAACAAGCACAAGGCUAGGCUUGUGGUGAAGGGCUACAGUCAGCAAUAUGUGGUGGACUUCCUGGAAACAUUUGCUCCAGUAGCAAGACUGGAGACAAUCAAGCUUCUGUUUGCUUUAGCAGCUCAGAAGCACUGGAGGGUUCACCAAUUGGAUGUAAAGUUAGCAUUCCUAAAUGGCUUUCUUAAGGAGGAGAUCUUCAUCGAGCAACUAGAAGGUUUUGAAGUUGCUGGACAUGAAGACAAAGUGUACAGGCUUAGAAAAGCCCUUUAUGGCCUGAAACAGGCACCAAGGGCCUGGUAUGACAGAAUUGAUGCUUACCUGAUCAAGCUUGGAUUUGUGAAGAGUUUUAGUGAGCCUACCCUGUAUGUUAAGAGGUCAUAAGUUGAAACCUUGUUGAUUGUCUCCUUGUAUGUGGAUGACUUGUUGGUGACAGGGAGCAAAGUUGAACUCAUUGAUGAAUUCAAGCUUCAAAUGCAACAAGUGUUUGAGAUAACUGAUUUGGGGGUCAUGAUAUACUUCCUUGGCAUGGAAGUUCACCAGUCUGAUCGAGGCAUCUUCAUCAGCCAACAAACAUUUGCUUUAAAGAUUCUAGGUAAAUUUUGCAUGCAUAACUGUAAAGCAGUCAACACACCAGUGGCUCAAGGAGAAAAGCUGACAAGCAGUGGUAAUCAGCAGAGAGUUGAUGAGAUGCACUAUCGAAGCCUAGUAGGUUGCCUGUUAUAUUUGACAGCAACCAGACCAGACAUCAUGUUUGGUGUUAGUCUGCUAUCUAGGUUUAUGCACUGUUGUAAUGAGGUACAUUUGAAGGCUGAAAGAGGGUCCUUAGAUAUAUCAAAGGCACUGCUAGCUUUGGUGUGAUGUUUGAAAGUGGGAAGGAACUGAAACUAAAAGGUUACUCAGACAGUGACUGGGCAAGAUCCCUCGAUGACAUGAAGAGUACCUUUGGAUACUUCUUCAAACUUGGAUUAGGCAUGUUUUGCUGGAAUUUAAAGAAGCAACAAACUGUUGCUCAGUCCACAGCUGAAGCAGAGUACAUUGCUACAGCAGCAGUAGUCAAUCAGGCCAUUUGGCUUAGGAACUUACUUCAAGAUCUUAAUGAAACACAAGCUGAUGCAACUGAACUUUGGGUGGACAACCAGUCAGCAAUUGCCAUAGCCAAAAACCCUGUGUUCCAUGGUAAAACUAAACACUUUAAAAUUAAGUUGCAUUUUGUUUGGGAAGCUGAGCAAACAAGGGAAGUCAGCCUUGUGCAUUGGAACUCAGGAGCAAAAUUGGUUGACAUACUGACAAGCCCUUAGGGGCUGCUCGAUUUGAAUCAUUGAGAAGUGAAAUUGGAAUGUGUUGCAUAUAGUCCAAGAAGGAGUGUUGAGAGUUGGACUGCAAUGCAACAUCGUGCCAGCCACUAUCGAGAUCAACAGCAGCUAUCGAGCUCAACUGUUUUUGCUUGGCAUGCAAGGUUGAUUUUUGGACCGAAUGAAGCAAUCAAUUUUUAGCUAUUUUGUUGUAAUGUUAUUUAGCUUAGUCCAAUUGUAACUAACUCUCAAAGUUAGUAGGAUUAAGUUUGUGAUUUGAUUUUUGAUGUAAAAGCUGUAAUGUCAGCUUAUCUUUGUAGUUGUUUAAGUUUGUAUUAGUUUUAGUUAAGUGGGAGCAGUUAUGUCAUUAGGUAACUGUCAAAUUAAGCCAAAAAUGUAACUCUUUUAUAUUUUCAAAUUAUGAAUGAAAAUAGGUAAUGUUCAGUUACAAUUUUCUUGCUGUACAUUCAAGUUUCAUUUGCUGCUUUGCCAAUUUUUCUUUUCUGCGUCGAUCAAUCUUGCUUCUGCUUGGUAAAUUUGUUUGCUCGAUGUUGCCAAUGUUCCAACAUAUAUGUUGUAGUGGGCAAAAAUCACGUCGAUUGCUGCAUGGAUAUGUCGCUGAACCAAUCGUCGCAACUCAUUGCCAAAGGUGCAUCAAACCAUACAGUGGCACUACUCUAUAUAUAGCUCAUCAGCGUCUCUUAUCAUUUGCAUAUUCGAGGAAGUUAAUUUUUCUGGUUACAUUAGCAAAAGGUAAGGCUUAUCAGUGAAGAUGAAAGAUUACGGGUGCGGUAUCAGUUCAAUAGCCAUGAUGCUAUUGGUGGUUGCUCUGCCGUUUUUGGGUCCGCUUAGAAUGCCACCGUUACAGCCUCCUCCCGCUUACAUUUUCCUCAUCUUCACUUUCGUCUUCCUCUUCCUUUUCAUCUACCUCUCUCAUGCCUCCAAAUGAUGAUCCAUGGCUAUUUCAUUUGCUUUCCAGUAUUAUUAUUCUCUUUUAUUCAGUCGUUAUCUUAAACAAAACUAUUAACCGUACAAAUAUAUAUAUUUGAAGGAUGAUAUUUCAUACUCAUAUUAUGAGCAAAGAUAUCUAAAAUAAUUAUUUUAUGUAAACAACGUAAAUGUGCAAAAGAAAAGGAAUUAAUAGGACAAAGGUGGUUAAAUAGUUAUACUAUAGUUAAUGCUUCUUCCACGACUGGCCCAUUAUAAAAUUGAAAACUUUUUGCAUUUGUUUUGGUUGCCGCUCUUCUUCCUCCGCCUCCUCGUAGACAAUAAGUUUUCGUUUUAUGUGAGAAGUGUUACCUACUGAUCCAUCGUGGUGAGCAGAGUGUUGGUGGAUGUGUUCAAAAUUUGGAGAAGAUUGAGCGCUAUGGCACUGCAACUCUUUUAUUUCUUCCAAAUCUUUCUUAUACACUAUUCUAACACCACACUUCUUCACCUUAGCACGGCGUCCAAAUCGAUCUACGAAAGACACCUCAAGCUCAUCGUAUAUUUUAUCUAAGCAAUCUGUUGUCCAUAACUUAUUGGUUUCACAGUCACCAAAUUUAUCCUCCAACGAAAAUGGAUAUAAUUUAUCACGCGACCAAUAACGAAGAAAAAUGUGAUCUUUUAUUAUGGGCUGGUUAAAUCGUUUACCCAACAACCAGCUUCUCCAAUCAAUCCGUCGAGGAUUUCUACCUCUAAAAAUAGAUCCAUUACAGCUGGCUUGUUUAGAAUUUCUACAAUAGAUAUAUGCUCCACAACCGAUAUAUUCCUCAUCCCUUGAAGCAUCAUUAUUGACAAAAAUGCAGCAGCAAGCAACUCCAAUCCAUUGACUAUCUUUCUGAAGGUUGAUAGGCAGCGAUAUUUUAAUUGAAGAGUCACUUGUUUGUUGGCUAAACCAUUCUGGGAUUUCACUUCCGGGCAUAAUAAUAUCAAAGAUUUUUCUUGAAUUUGCAAAUGCCUGCAAAACAAAACACAAGUCGUUUGGUAACUAAAACCAUAAAUUCUCAAGUAUGAGAUUUUGUAAGGAAGAAAAAAGAGAUUAAUCGACCUUAAUAAGUUUUUUCAGCAGUGUUAAUGCAUUGAUAUUCUCAGCCAAUUUGACGUAGUUAAUGGCACUAAUGAAAGCAGAAUCCACUAAAUUGCAUACUUUUGAUGGACUUGCAACUACUUCAAGUGAAGAACAACCAUCUAUCCACACAUCUUCUAUACUUGGUCGUAGCUCAGGCAACGAUUUGAGCAUCUUGCAAUCUGACAAUCUAAUAGAAUAAAGCUUGGAAAGUCGAAUAAUAGAUGCAGGUAUGCUGAUGAAAUUGUUACCCUUAAGAUUAAAACGUCUCAAAGAGGAUAGACCAGAAAUAUCACUAGGAAUAUCUCCUUCACAAAGACUGCGGUCCCUUAGAUUCAACUCUUUUAAUGAACUCUGAAAACAAAGGCAACAUUGGAGCCAUGAAAUGCGUCCUUCCUCUUUGGAUUACCUUGAAAAGAGAAGGCAGGUUUGGUAGUAACUUAGAUGAUGGUCCCUUUCUCCCAUUGAAAGACAAAACUUUAAGAUUUUUAAAUUGACAAAUGAAGGAUGGUGGUUUUGUUAUGGCUGUUUCACUCAAGUCGAGCUCUUCCAAAAACUUUGCUUGCUGCAAAUUCUCUAAUAAAUUUUCAACUCUAUAACAACUGGAAAGAUCUAGAGUUUUUAGACAUUCCAUUAUCCCAUCAAUAUCUGGAAACCUAACGAGACUUAAGCAACCCGAAAGAAUUAAUGUUUCAAGGGAUUCCAUUCCAAUUUUGAUCGGAAGACUCCUAAGACUUUUGCAAUCUCUUAAAUCCAAAAGUUUAAGGUGCUUAAUGACUCCUGUUGGAACUGAGAGUAACUAACAGCAAGUUUAACCAAGAAACUUGAGCAGCAAGUGUCGUGACUUGUAACAGAAACAAGCAGAAAACAAAACAUAAAUUUUGUUUUAAGAAAAGCAAGAAAGAUGGAGAGAGUUUGAAUGAAAACUUAAUUCAAUUCAUUCAUUCAUUACCAUUACAAGAAUAGCUUUAAGCCAAUACAUAAGUCAAGCUUCUAGCUUGUCAAAAAAACAGUAGGUUAACCAAAACAAUACCUACCACCACUAAGUUUCCUAGUAAAUUGGAAUAAUAACUUGUACAAAUGAAUAAAGCUGGUAAACAGCUCAAUCACUAUCAAAAUUACAUCAAAUAUCAUCUUAUCAUAGUUCAAAAUGAACUAGAUUACAUUACAUAAACAAAAAAUUCAAAAUGAAGCUAAACAUCCUUGCUUUCUCGUGCAAACUGCUGCUUCUGCAUGGUGGUCUUCAAUGCUGCAUGCUAACCACCUUUCAACACUCCUCCUUGGUUAGCAUGUUGCUGACUCCCAUCUUCAUUCUUAAGCUUUGAAACCUUGAAACAUUAAGAGGUUUUGUUAAAAUAUCAGUUAAUUGUUCAUCAGAACUGCAAUGAACCAGUUUUACUUCAUGAGCUUGUUGUUUUCUCGAACUGCAUGAAACUUAAUGUUAAAAUGUUUUGUCUUUCCAUGAAAAAUAGGGUUCUUUGCAAUUGCAACAGCCGAUUGGUUGUCACACAUUAUCUCUAUUGCUUCCUCUUGUUCAAGGUUGAGGUCGAUUAGAAUUUUUCUAAGCCACAUGGCUUGAUUAACAGCUGCAGCAGCUGCUACAUAUUCUGCUUCUGUAGUAGAUUGAGCAACCAGUGCUUGUUUUUUUGAACUCCAACAAAAUACUGCUGAGCCAAGAUUAAAAAGAUAGCCUGAAGUGCUUCUCAUAUCGUCUAUCGAGCCAGCCCAAUCACUGUCACUGUAACCAACCAAUUUCAAGUGUUUUGCUUUGGUAUACAGCAUUCCAUAGCUCAGGGUUCCUUUGAUGUAUCUGAGAACUCUCUUGGCAGCUUUAAAAUGACUUUCAUUGCAGCAAUGCAUGAACCUUGAGAGUAAGCUCACAGCAUACAUUAUGUCUGGUCUAGUGGUAGUUAGAUAUAAUAAACAACCAACUAGACUCUUAUAAGUUGUCUCACACACUGGUUCAAAAAAACUUUGACUCGAUAGCCUUUCUCCUAAAGCAAUUGGUGUGCUAGUGGCUUUGCAAUUCUCUAUUGAAAAUUUGCUGAGAAUUUUCAUGGCAAAGGUCUUUUGACUUAACCAAAUUCCUUUCUUUGAUUGUGUUACUUCCAUGCCUAAAAAAUAGGUCAUCAACCCCAAGUCUGACAUUUCAAAAUGCUGUUGCAUUUUGGUUUUGAAACUGAUCAGCAUCUCUUGAUCUCCUCCUGUCACCAAUAGGUCAUCGACAUAUAAUGACACAAUGAGCUGAGUUUCUGCCUUGGUCCUUUUGACAUACAAAGUUGGCUCGCUAAUACUCCUCUCGAAUCCCAAACUGAUUAAAUAACUAUCAAUCCUGCUGUACCAGGCUCUUGGAGCCUGUUUUAAGCCAUACAAGGCUUUCUUCAACUUGUAUACCAUUUUUUCUUUACCAGUCACUUCAAAGCCUUGAGGUUGUUCCAUAUAAAUUUCUUCUUCAAGAAAUCCAUUGAGAAAUGCUGACUUUACAUCGAGCUGAUGUAUCUUCCACUGCCUUUGUGCUGCUAGUGCAACUACCAAUCUGAUGGUGUCAAGCUUGGCCACUGGUGCAAAGGUCUCCAGGUAUUCUGAUCCAAACCUCUGACUAAAGCCUUUGACAACUAACCUUGCCUUUAAUUUGUUUAAACUACCAUCAGCAUUCUGUUUGACUCGAUAAACCCAUUUAACUCUAAUGAUUUUCCUGUUUGCUGGUCUUUCAACUAGAUUCCAGGUCUGAUUCUUUUCAAUCAUGCUGAUCUCUUCAAUCAUUGCCUGCUUCCAACCCUCCUGACUUUCUGGUUCUUCAAAACAACUUGGUUCAGCAAUGGCCACUUGUGCUCUUUCAUAAACAUCAACCAAUGAUCGAGUCCCUCUGAUUGGUUCAUCAUCCACAUCCAUUUCAAAUGUGUCUUGAUCAGUUCCAACUUGAUCUGAUGUAAAUUCUUUAGUUACAGCCUUUGGUUCAUUUUUAUCCCAGUUCCAGCAUGCCUUUUCAUUGAACACAACAUCUCUACUCAUAAGGAUCUUGUUUGUAGAGGGUUCUAGCAUUCUGUAGCCUUUUUUAACUGUACUAUAGCCUAUCAGAAUCCCUGUUUGAGCUCUUUUAUCCAGCUUUCCUCUUUUCACAGCUGGAACUUGUGCAUAACAUAUGCAACCAAAGGUUUUGAGAUGAGCCAGUGAUGGCUUGAACCCAAACCAAGCUUCAAAUGGAGUCUUCUGAGCUAGGGCCUUGGUUGGAAAUCUAUUUUGAAGAUAGACUGCAGUGUUUACUGCUUCAGCCCACAAGGUUUUAGGCAGAUUCUUCUCAAACAAGAGGCACGUUACCAUAUUCAUCAAACUUCUGUUUUUUCUUUCACUGACCCCAUUCUGUUGAGGUGUAUAUACAUUAGUCAGCUGGUGUUUAAUGCUUGCAUUCUCACAGUAGGCUUGAAACUAAGCUGAGGUAUACUCAGUUCCAUUAUCUGACCUUAGUGUCUUAAGUUUGCAGCCAGCUUCAGUUUCCACAGCAGCUUUAAACUUUAAAAACACAUGAGCCACUUCUGAUUUGUGUUUCAUAAAGUAAAUCCAGCAGUAUCUUGUAUGAUCAUCUAUGAAAAGAAUAAAGUACCUGCUCCCAUUGAGAGAUUCGGUCUUCAUUGGUCCACACACAUCAGUGUGCACAAGCUGCAACUUCUCUGAUGCUCUCCAUGCUGUGUUUGCAGGAAAUGGCAACCUUGCUUGCUUUCCUUGUUGACACACCUCACAAAUUUCAUCAUUUUUCACUGUUUUAAUGAAAUUUUCAGCCAACCCUUUAUUAAUCAUCUGAGCCAUUGAUUUGAAGUUAACAUGUCCAAGCCUCUUGUGCCAUAGUUUGGAGUCAUCAAUGGAGGUAAUACAGGCUGAAUGUGAGUCACUUGGCCAGUCCACUUCAAAGCACUUAUCAGUCAUGGUGACUGUCAUGAAGUUUGAUCCACUUGGAUAAAAAAUUUGGCAUUCUUUCUGCUUGAACACAACUGUGUAUCCUUUCUCUAGCAGUUGAGCUAUGCUAAGAAGGUUUCUGUCAAUCUCAGGCACUAAUAGCACAUUCGAGAUGACUUUGUUACCUGCAGGAGUGUGUAUCUGCACAUCCCCUUUUCCUUCAGCCUUUAUAAACUGACCAUUUCCAAUUUUUACUUUGGUUUUACAAGCUCUGUCCAAAGUUUUGAAAAUGGUUGCAUCUGGUGACAUGUGGUUUGUGCAUCCACUGUCUAGCAACCAGCCUUUCAAGCCGUUCUUUUGGUUUGCUGAGCAUGACACAGCAAAAACCUGUUCUUCAUGAUCACUACUAUCCUCAGCUACUCGAGCUUCAGCUUUUGGUUGCUGAAAUUGGUUCUGUCUCGGUUUACUUUUAUUUUUGCAAACCUUUUCUACAUGCCCUUUCCUUUUGCAAUGUUGGCAUACAGCAUCUGGUAUGAACCAGCAAUCUGCUUCAGGAUGACCAGUCCUUUUGCAGUAUCUGCAGGGUUGAUCCUUCCUUCUUGUGUUUUCAGACCUUGACUUGUCCCUCCAAGUCUUUUUACCUUUAUGAGCAAAGGUGCUCGAUGUUGGCUUGGCUUUGGCUUGGAAGGCUCCUUAUUGGUGCUCUUCUAGUCUGUUGGCCCUUCUUUGCUCUUGUGCAUACAAGGCAUUGAUUAACUCAGUUAGGGAGAUGGUUGUCAAGUCCCUUGAGUCUUCGAGAGAUGAGAUCUUUGCCUCAUACCUCUUAGGUAAUGUGGAUAUGACUUUCUCCACUAUUCUGGCUUUACUGAACUGCUCUCCUAGGAGCCUUAUGCUGUUUACAACAGCCAUAAUUCUGUCUGAAUACUGCUUGACUGUUUCUUCUUCUUUCAUCUUCAGAUUUUCAAAGUCUCUUCACAAGUUUAGCAGCUGUUGUUUCCUUGUUCUCUCAGUCCCUUGAAACUCUUCUUUCAGCUUGUCCCAAGCCUCCUUUGGUGUUUCACAGGCCAUGAUUCUUGUGAAAAUCACAUCUGAAACACAGUUUUGUAUGCAUGACAUGGCCUUGUGCCUUUUUGUUCUUUCAUCAGCAUGUUGCCUUAUUUGAGCAACUGUUGGAUUUGCUCUGAGAGGUGCUGGCUCAGCAUCUGAAUUGACUACCUCCCAUAGGUCGAAUACCUGCAGGUAAGUCUUCAUUUUGACUACCCAAAUAUGGAAUCCUUCUCCAUUGAAGACUGGUGGUGCAGCUGGUGAAAAACCUAAUGAAGCCAUGGUUUCUAGUACUGAACUACAACAGGUCCUCUAAGCAUAUGGCUCUAGAUACCAAUCAUUGGAACUGAGAGCAACUAACAACAAGUUUAACUAAGAAACUUGAGCAGCAAGUGUCGUGACUUGUAACAGAAACAAGCAGAAAACAAAACAUAAAUUUUGUUUUAAGAAAAGCAAGAAAGAUGGAGAGAGUUCGAAUGAAAACUUAAUUCAAUUCAUUCAUUCAUUACCAUUACAAGAAUAGCUUUAAAGCCAAUACAUAAGUCAAGCUUCUAGCUUGUCAAAAAAACAGUAGGUUAACCAAAACAAUACCUACCACCACUAAGUUUCUAGUAAAUUGGAAUAAUAACUUGUACAAAUGAAUAAAGCUGGUAAAUAGCUCAAUCACUAUCAAAAUUACAUCAAAUAUCAUCUUAUCAUAGUUCAAAAUGAACUAGAUUACAUUACAUAAACAAAAAAUUCAAAAUGAAGCUAAACAUCCUUGCUUUCUUGUGCAAACUGCUGCUUCUGCAUGGUGGUCUUCAAUGCUGCAUGCUAACCACCUUUCAACAACUCCGAUGGAUGGAUGAACAUCCACUAAUUUGGUACAACCUUCCAAAAUCAAAACAUCAAGAUUUGAUGCUAUUGUGAAGUCUAGUGUCUUGAUCAGGUUUUGGGACCCUUUGAGGUUCAUCAUUUUCAACGUAUACAAGGGCUGUUGAAAACAAUAACAAAUUAUAAUAAUGCUCUUUUUUUUUAUCUUAAUCAAAGUUUAAUUAUUUAUAUUAAAAUAAGCUAAAACGCAAGGAUCAGAUGAGUUAACUCUUACUCUACUUCCCUUCCAUAGUUGUUCAAUGCAGCUGUAUGGUAAGAGAAGUGCAACAAGGUUGUCCGAUUGGAAGCUUGAAGGCAAUGAUCUUAACGGGCAUCCUUUCCAAUCUAAAAGCCGUAGCUCAUUAGAAAGAUAUUUGAGAUCAUCACAAUUUGAGAGGCAAAGCACUUUGAUCAAUCUCAAUUUUUUCAUCUUUGAGAAGGCAUCGACACUCAAGUUGAGCAUCUUACUCGAUUCCCUAAUAACCAUGAGAAAAAAAAAAGAGUUUCAGAAGAUACAAAAAUAUUCAAUAUCUACAAGCUAUGUUGCAGCGAUAUUGGUUUUUAAAGCAUCCAUACCCAAUACUUAUAUCUAAUGCAUAUCCAAAUAUGGUAUUGAGAUAUGUUUGAGCAUACCCAUGAUAGACAAUACUCAGAAACACUUGCAUCCGACUUUUAAUUACCUAAGCCUAAAAAAACUAGAAUUAAUAUUAAUAGUACAUAUUGAUAAAUUUAUAUGUUUUCUUACCUUUUAUUGUCGAUAACCAUGCCUUCAAUCACUUCGGUAGCCUAUAAGUAAUCAAUAAUAGACAAUAAGAAGACUGAUAAAACUUUUGAAAAUUUACAUACACAAUCUUUUGGUGGAAAUAUAGCAAAUAAAAUAUUUUGAACAAAGUAAAACAUUUUCUAAUGAGAGUAAUUCAAUAAAAUUAAAUGCUUAUAUUACAAAUUAUUAUUAAUAUUUAUGAUCAACAAAUGAAAAUCAUCUUAAAGCUACUCAAUGUCACUUAAGGAUCAAUAUAUAAAUCAAUUAGACUAAGCUUUGGAUUUACAUCAUAUAUUGAUAAAAAAAAUUGCAUGUAAUUUUUGUUGAAUGAUUUACUGUGUUUUUUGUUAGGACAUGAUGGACAUCUCUUUCGUUCCACAAUCUACAACGUUUUCCAGGUUCAUCAACACAUUUUUCUUCAACAAUUUUUCUUCCCAUUUCUUGCAACAAGGCAUGCAUCCACAAAUAUUGGUUGUCAUCAUUGACUUUUAUGAUAGAUUUCUUAAUGAGAACAUCAAUUCCAAUAUCUGAGAAAAACUCACAACCAUCCAAUACUUUCAUUACCAAAUCUUUCUUCUCCCCAUUGAAAAAGCAUGCUAUAUCUAAAAAUAUAUUCUUCUCCCUUUCUUCCAAUCCAUCAAAGCUGAUUCUUAGUGUGUUAAGAAUUUCUUUGUUGGAAUCUCGUUUAAGUCUUUCGAUUGCACUUCUCCACUGAGCUAAAUUUCUACCACACAAAAAAGAACCCAAGACUUGAAGAGCUAAGGGGAGACCACCAGUGUAAUUUACAACAUGUUCAGAAAGCUCACUAAAAUCAUCUUUCAGCAUUGUGUAACUGUCAAAAGCUUUCAAAUUGAAAAGCCUAAGUGCAUCGUUGGGAUUCUAUGUUGUAGGUUUAUACACAUCAUCGAUUCGAUAAGAUCUGAGCAAAUGUUCAUCUCUGGUUGUUACGAUGAUCCUACUCCCUAAACUGAACCAAUCUUGCCUUCCAAUUAAGCAUUUCAAGUGUUGUAUAUUAUCAACAUCAUCAAGAACAACAAGAACCUUUUUGCUAAACAAUCUAUGGCUAAUUAUGGCAUUCCCUUCAUAAACAUUGAAAAAGUUGAAGCAUUCAUCUGGCAAGAUUAGAGAAAGAAGUUGUUUCUGUAAAGAGACAAGUCCACAUUUGUUUGAAACUUCUCGAAUAUCAGCAAGAAAGCUUUUACCUUCAAAAUUAGGUGACAUUUGAGUGUAAACAACCCUUGCAAGAGUUGUUUUACCGAUGCCACCCAUUCCGCAAAUUCCAAUAAUGCGGACAUCGUCUUCCCCAAUGUUUAUUAUCGAAUACAACUCCUCCAAAUGUAAGCUAAUUCCAACCAACUCGUCAUGGACAAUUGGAUAUGUCUGACAUAAUUUUGCUGAUAUCUUCUUAACAAUGUCUCCGAUAAACGCUGAUUCGUGCCUACAAUGAAAUAAAAGAUCGCUGCUAUCUUUCAAAUGCACUUUUUCAUUUUUAAUUCAGUGGAUCAUGAAAUAUAAUAUAAUUGGAAGCAAACCAAAAGCUAGAAUAAGACAGCAAGAUCUGUUAUAGCAUCAAAAUACACAACUUGCUCAUUAGUGGAAAUAUGGGAAUUCUCAAUUAAACACAAAGUUGCAAAAAAUAACAUGCAAUCCAAGAAAAAACAAUUUUUUAGUCUUAAAAUUAGGAAAUAGAGAAGAAAAGGAAGAAAUACCUAUUAUGUAAAUGCCAUCCUUUGAUGUUAGCUACUUGAGUCAAAGCAUUUCGCCACUUUUGGAUCUUGUCUUUAUCUUCCUUGUAUCUUUCUUCGUGUUUGGCGAAGGCUUCUUCAACUUUUUCUUUUUGUUUUCUUAAAUCGGAUGGAUCCACAUCGUAGAAAAUUGGAAAUACUUUAUGUCCGUUAACAAUUUUUUGUUGAACAAUCUCAGCAAGUUCCUCCAAGCACCAUCCUGAAAAGGCAUAUGAUUCCGAGAAAAUGAUUACCGAGCACCACGACUGCUGGAUCGCUUUGAAGAGUUCCGGUGCGAUCUCUUCGCCAGCCUCCAGCUUUGGAUCAUCCCUAAAAGUGAUGAUACCACUCCUCUUUAGAGCAUCGUAGAGAUGAUCCGCGAAGUUCUUGCGGGUAUCUUCACCUCUAAAACUCAAGAAAACAUCGUAUUUCUUUCUGGAAAUGGAUGAGGAAGUCGAAAGUAACGAUGACAUGACCAUGUAUGAGAAGAUAAAUAUAUGUGAAAGGAGAAAAACAGAUGAAAUUUACAGGGAGCAACAGACGACUUUUCUUAAAAAAUUCUGUAUACGUUUCCCACCUUUUACUUGUCCAAUAAAUUCGUGGGCCAUAGAUGAGUUAGAUUUUCUUAUAGAUUUUCAGAGUUUUUUGUUAAAAUUUGCCACAAGUCCCUGUCCUUUUUUAUAAAUUUAAAUUUUAGUCCCUAUACUAUGGGUAAGUUUUUGUUUUGGCCACUUUAUUAAAAAAGUUUUAAUUUGAUCAUUGAACUUUUCAAAAUUGUUUUUUUGUCACCCGACUAUUAAGUGACACUUUUUUAGUUAGUAUAAUAACAAAUUUAAUCCUCAAUUUUUAUAGUUUUUUGUCAAUUUGACCCUGAUUUUAUAUAAAAUAAUAAAAAUUGAAAUUCAUUUUAAAAAAAAUUAGAGAACUCUAAAAUUUUAAAUUAAAAUAAAAGUAAAUAAAAAUUUCAAAAAUAGAUAAAUGAGAAAGUGAGCGAAAACUGUUUAUAAACCUUCCAAAAUUUCUCUCAAAUUAUUGGUUCUAUAUAUAUAUUUUUACCUCUUUUGUUUCAUGGUUCUUUCGUUAUAAGAAAAGAAAAUUCAAAAUAUAGUUUUUUUUUUUUUUGCUAUUUGGACUUAUAAAAAAAUAAUUAAAUUUUUGAAUUGAGUCUGAAAAAAGGAAAUUUUAUGGUAUAAUUUGUAUUUCUUUUUUAAAAAUGGCAUUAGAGUCGAUUUCUUAAGCCUCUGUAAUAUCAAUUUUCAAUGUUCUUCAAGGACAUGAAACUUGACUUGAAAAUAUUACUAAUUUAGUUUCAAGAAACAUUGAGGAAACAAGUAAUAAUCUAACAUUUUUUUGGUUUUGUUCUAUUUUUAAUUUAUUCUAGGGUUGUAUUGAAUAAUAAUUUUCUAUAUUUCCCAUACAGUUCUUCACAAAUUUAGAGAGAUUCGUGGACAGAUGUUCAGUAGCAUGUAUUGGGGUUAUGAAGUGAAAUGAAUAUGUUGUGAUUUGGGCCCAUACCAUCUCCAUUUCAGUUUUCAUUUUCACCUUUCACAUUAUUUUAUUUUAUCUUAAUUUCUUUUCAUCAUUCUUUUCUUUUUGCUUUUGAUUGUUGGAAACUUGGAGUACUUGGGCAUUCCCAAGCCUCGCUUUGGGACUUCUUGAUAGCACACCGGCCUUAUAGCAAAUUAAAUGGGAUAUAAACAUUGUGACAUUAAUCUCAUAUUUUGAAAUAUUUAAUACAAGGUUUUCAGAAUUAGAUUGGUGACUAAAUUAAUCAAUUCAUUGAUUUUUUAUUGGUUUAUUCGAUUUAAUUAAAUAAAUUAUUAAAAAUUAUAAAUAUUAAAAUAUUAGAUAAUAACGGUUGAUUCAACAUGUUUCGAACAUUUUGUGAGUCAAAUGGUAAAUACACUUUCAGAAAAUCUCCACCAUAUCACAUCUUUCCCCAGCUUGAAAGAAUUUCAACUUAGUUUUUUUCGGAUAUAAAUAGUAGAAUUUGAGGUGAUGAUAAUCGAAUUUCAGCAUGAUUUCUCAAGAAUUGUUACAAAAGGUAUGGAACUUCUAAAUUCAUUAAAAAGGAACAAGGUAAGCAAUUAUAGACAGUCGUUCCUUGGUUAAUGCGGUUGUUAAGGUGGAAAUUGAUCACAAUAUUGUUAAACUCCUGCAACUUCUAAACAGAGGCAAGGGCCCUGUUUUUACCAACAUCACUCUCGGUAAACACAAAAUUGCUGGAUAAAUCCCACAAUUUCACCACCCCUUCAUCAUGCAAACUCAUUGAUUUGACACUAGCGAGAAUGAGAUUCUUUGCUGCACAAGCAAAAGAAAUAAACGUCUAAGUGAGAUACCACAACCUGUAUGGAUUCGACUGUGGGAUUCGUGGACACCUCUACAUUGACAUGAUGAAAGACAACAACAUGCAAUAAAAGAUGUAAGAGAAAAAACCAACGUUAUGUCAUGAAAAAGAACAACCCCCCCCCCCUCCCUCCCCCCCAAAUGGACCCUCCUGUUAAAAUUAAUCACUAAUGGCAAUUUUCAUCUUUUGCUAUGUGUAGUGUAGAGAAGAAUAAAAAUGAAGUUAAUAAAUAAACUGAGAGUUUUCAGCCAUUGGCAUGGACAUUUGCCACCUAAUGUGGGGGAAAUGAAAGAAUAAAUAUAGUACAAGGAAGAUUACCGGAUCUCUUUAACUAUCAAUUUAUAAAUUCAGGCAUAAGUAUAUUGCAGGUCUAAAAUAUGAAAGUAAACAUUCGAACAAGAGAUAAGUAAAAAACAUAUUCUUGGUGCAUGGAUAUCCAGUGAUUAAUCUUCCAUUUAAGUGUCUAAGAAAGUAAUAAUUCAAUCCAAUUAAUUCCUCAAUCAGCCCAAUUACAUAAGCAUGCAGCCUACUACUCUAGUAGUACUAUACGACACAGCAUCCAACGUAUCACAGAAGAAAAUCUUUAGCAGCAACAUGUUGAAUGUGCGAUAGAGGGGGCACUAUCAUCAGGUUAUCCAAUAACUUUUAUUUUAAGCUGAAUCCUCUUGUUUUUUAUUUUUUGCAAAGUCAGUGAAAUACACUGAAUCCCCUUGUUAGAACACUAUUCUUACCGGCCGACGAAUUAAUAAGUUUGAAAUUGGAAAAAUCUUAUAGAUCCCCUCUUAUAUGCCUCUGACCCAAACAUACAAGCAACAGAAUCAUCACCAGAUCAAAAAUUUUGACUAAGAACUAGCGUAAAGCUAGUGAGGUUACAUAUACACUCAUAACGCCUAAAAACCCAAGAAAUAAUAAAAAUAACCACCUGUAAAUAACUCCUAAAUGAACUCAUUAUAACGAAUUUCAAAACACUAAAAUUUAAUACAAAACUAAUAUAUAUAUGUUUUAGAGGGCAAAAAAUCACGUCGGUUGCUGCAUAGAUAUGUCGCUGAACCAAUCCUCGCAACUCUUUGCCAAAGUUGCAUCAAUCCAUAUAGUGCCACUACUCUCUCUAUAUAUAUAUAGAUCAUCAACGUCUCUUAUCAUUUGCAUAUUGAAGGAAAUAAAAUUUUCUGGUUACAUUAGCAGGAGGUAAGGCAUACCAGUGAAGAUGGAAGAUUACGGGUGCGGUAUCAAUUCGAUAGCCAUGAUGCUGUUGGUGGUUGCUCUGCUGCUUUUGGCUCCGCUCGGAAUGCCACCGUUGCAGCCUCCUCCCGCUUACAUUUUCCUCAUCUUCGCUUUCGUCUUGGUCUUCCUUUUCAUCUACCUCUCUCUUGCCUCCAAAUGAUGAUCCAUGGAGAUUUCAUUUGCUUUCCAGAAUUAUUAUUCUCUUUUAUUCAGUCGUAUCUGAUGAUAAUAUGCUUUGCUCGGGAUAUUAACCGCCAAUAAUACACGGUUAUUUGUUGUUUUCAGUCGUUUAUUAAUUAAUUAUAUGAAUUUGAUGGAAGAAUGUUUGGGUUUAUGUAGGACGUAAAUAAACCAUGCAAUGCAUGCAUACUUAUGUUGCGACACGACGCCUUUCACUAAUAUGAUUCUUUCACUCACUCCCAUUGACUUACGUACGUUGCAUGCGUUGUCCCUUCAGGCCUUCUAUUUACUACUGGAUUAAUAUUGUCGUUAAUUCAUCAAUCAUGUCUUAAAAAUCAAUUUGAGUAAAUUAAAUUUACAUAAGAAGACUAGCGAAAAAAGAAGAUUAGCGAAAGAAGAGCUUUAGUCCCUCCAUACUUAGGUUGUGGUCAUGAACUUAGAUUCAAAAUAUGGAUUUAAAUUUAGUCUAUGCUUCCUGCUGCAGUUGUGGUUAACUUUCAAGAAAGUACAUAUUCGGGAAAGCCAAACAAUUCAAGAUCACUUAAAUUGUACGGAUCAUACAUUGUCAUCAACUGUAGUAGAUAACAAGUAGGUGGAAAGUUGCAUAUAUGGGUAAUUAGAGAAGUAGCAGGUUGAGCAGGAAAAAUAGAUGAAUCGUACAUGAGAGAGCAAGCAUUUGGGUUAUCGUCGCUAAAAAUUUGAGGAUAAGCAAACUCGGAGUAUCUUCUUGCCAUCGUCUCCAUCCAUCUCCUUUGCCUUGAUCUUCUUCUUUCUUCUCUCCUGCAUCUUUCUUCUUUUCUUCCUUGUUUUCUUCGUCAUUCACUAUACAUUAAUUAUGGUAUUAUACAAAGAAAAAAAGCGCCAACUACGGAUUCAAUGGAAUUUGUAGUGGAGAUUCCUUUAAAAUCUUGAGACAUAAAAUUUUACUAAAUUUCAAAAAUAAAAUUUAAAAUAUUUGGUUGAAUUUUGAAAUUAACGAGUUACCAAUUUUGAGUAUGGUAAGGAUGCUAUAAUCUUUAAUUUAUAAAAAUUGAAAGGGAUUUAUAAAAUCUGAUUUUAUAGAUGGCCAAUUACACAUGGCCAACAAAGAUUUGUUUUAUUAUAUGUGAAUACUUAAAAUUGAAAUUUAAAAAUAUGUACGAAAUUAAUAAGAUAUCAAUUUUGAGUGUCGUAGGAGUACUAUAACUUUUCCUACCCAUAACUGAUUCUCCAACUUAAUUUUUUUCUAGAUUUAAACACGGAUCUUAAAAUUGUCCUUAAAAGACAUUUUAAAAUUUCUUUAUAAAAUUUAAUUCUAUGGGUGACUGGUCACAUCUAGUAAAAAAAGAUAGGUGAUGAGUUUUAAUUUGAAACAUUAAUGCAUUGUAAUUUAAUUACUAUUAGAUUCCUUGAUUCAUUUAUUCUAAAAGCAUUCACGCUUUACUCGACCAAAGUCAUCCAUUCAUGGGAUGCCUUCCUUUGCACUCAAGCAAUGCUCGACUUGGAAGGCACUUGGAAGGCAAUCGAAGUUGCUUGUGGUAGACGGCCGAUCGAAGCUAGAGCGCCGGUAGAUGAAACCUUUCUCGCUGACUGUAUAAUGGAUUGCUAGGAUAAAGGAGAUAUUCUGGCCGCUGUCGAUGGGAGGUUGGGAAAGAAGUUUGUGUCUUAUGGUCACCAUUCCUCCAUUAACAAGUACAGAGUCGCUUGUGUCUUAUUCAUCAUACAAAUUUUUUUUUUAAGGAUUUAUGAUCCAAAUUCAAAAUAUUUGGGAUAGAGCGUAUUGCAGCUUCAAAGGCCAAAGUUGUUGUAAAUUUACAACAAUUGUAUAGAGUGUUGCAUAAGCCCUCGAAGCCCCCAUGUUCUUGUUGGAGUUGGAAUCCUCAUUUGUAACAGGCGCUGUAUCAAAUAUUUCAACCAUUAAUCAAAAGCUUCUUUUUCAGGGACUUGAUUUUUUGCAUCUGAAUCGAAGGUUUGAAAAGUUAAAUUCUUUGGGGUGCCAUUCAAUGGACUAAGAAAGCUGAAAUGAUAUUUUUAUCUUAUCAUUUUUUAUUUAUUAAAUGUGUCGUAUUUAUAUCAAGGAUUUUAUUUUAAACUUUUAAUUUCAAAAUGCUUUUUGCCUUCUUUGAUUUAGUACUCUCUAUAUCAAUUUCAUGUUUGUGAAAUUCAUCCAUUCUAAAUGCAUUUUGCCUUUCGUUUUCAAUAGGGUGAUGAUGGAUAUGUUCAAAGUUUGGAGAAGAUUAAGUGGUAUGGCACUGCACCUCUUUUAUUUCUUCCAAAUCUUUCUCGUACAUUAUUCUAACACCACAGUUCUUCACCUUAACAGAAGAAGACCUUUUUGAGUCUUGGAAAGACAUCUCAAGCUCAUCGCAUUCAUGAUUAGAGCAAUCCAUUGUCCAUAAAUUCUUGGUUUCACCUUUAUCCUUUAAGGAUAAUGGAUAUACUAAUUCACGCGAGAAAUAACGAAGAAAAAGGUGGUCCUUCGUUAUGGGUCGUCGAUCAAAAUUAAGGAAAUUGAAAUUGACCUUUCGAGGAUUUUUAACUUGAAAAACAGAUCCAUUACUACUAGGUUGUCCAGAAUUUCUAGAAUGGAUAUAAGUUGGACCACCGAUAACCUUUCUCUUGGAAUCACCAUCAUCGCCGAAAAUGCAGCAGAAAGCAACUCCAAUCCAUUGAUUGUCAUUCUGAAUAUUUAGAGGCAAAGGUAUUUCAAUUACAGAGCCGCCUUUCUGUUGGCUGAACCAUUAUGGGAUUUCAUUUACAGGUAUAACAACAUCAAAUCUUUUUCUUGAAUUUGCAAAUGCCUGCAAAUUAAAACAUCAAUCGUUCUUGAAUUUGCUAAUUAAUAAAAUAUCUGUUGCGUUUAAAUCAUUAAACAAGAAUCAAAACAAAGAAUUUGUGUUUGAAAGAUGAAAAAUAGAAGCAAAAAUCGUAUGUUGGAUUGAGAGAAGAAGAUGACUUAUCUCAUUACUUGAAUAAGUAACAUAACAUAUACAUAAAUAGUUCUAUUAUAUUGGAAGAAAAUAAACAUUGCUUGUGCAAAUAACCAAGCUGUAAAAUCAGCUUAAUGAUAACAUAAAACCUACUAAAUCUGCUAAGUACAUGGCUGAACCUUAGCAAAACAAAAAGUUACAAUCAAAUCAAACAUAAGUCACAUGUUACAAAAGUAAAUCCACUAUGGACAUUGGCAUGUUGCAUGCAUGCUGCUGCAUUGUUGCCAACUUUCAACACUCCUCAAUUGGCUACAAAGUAGCAGACUCCAAUUUCCUUCCUCAGAUACUCAAAACUUGUGGCAGCCAAUGGCUUGGUCAAAAUGUCUGCGAGCUAAACCUCCGAGCAACAAUGAAUCAAGUUAACUUCCUUUGACAAUUCUGCCUCCCUUACAAAAUGGUGCUUGAUACUGAAGUGCUUGGUCUUGCCAUGAAAUACAGGAUUCUUGGCAAUGGCAACAACUGACUGAUUAUCUACUUUGAUCUCUGUUGCUUCCACUUGAUCAGCAUUCAAGUCAUUCAAAAGCUUCCUAAGCCAAAUUGCUUGAUUAACAGCAGUAGCAGUUGCAAUAUACUCUGCCUCUGCAGUGGAUUGAGCUACUGUCUGUUGUUUCUUAGAACUCCAACUAAAAACUUCUAAGCUUAGAGUGAAAAAGCAGCCCGAUGUACUCUUCAUGUCAUCAACUAAACCAGCCUAGUCACUGUUUGAAUACCCAACCAGUUUCAGUUCUUCAACUUUCACAAACUUCACUCCAUAGCUUAAGGUUCCUUUGACAUACCUUAGGACCCUUUUAGCAGCCUUGAAAUGAGUAACAUUACAAUUCUAUAGCUCUUCUUAUCAACUCGAGCAUGGUCACUGUUGCUGGAGAGUUUUUCUCCUUGUGCCACAGGAGUGCUAGCAAGUUUACUAUUUGUCAUGCAAAACUUGUUUAAAAUUUUUGAAGCAAAAGCCUGUUGGCUUAUGAAGAUGCCAUGUUCAUUCUGAUUCACUUCCAUACCAAGGAAGUAGGUCAUCAAUCCUAGAUCAGUCAUCUCGAAAACAUCUUGCAUCUGCUCCUUGAAUUCUUUAAUCAACUCACUUAUACAACCAGUAACCAACAAGUCAUCCACAUACAGAGACACAAUCAACAAGGUUUCUUUCUCAACCUUCUUUACAUAGAGUGGAUGCUCAUUAGUGCUCUUCUCGAACCCCAGCCUUGACAAAUAAGCAUCAAUCCUAUCAUACCAAGCCCUUGGAGCCUGUUUUAGGCCAUACAAGGCCUUCUUGAGCUUGUAAACCUUAUGCUUUUUACCAAGAACCUUGAACCCAUCAGGUUGCUCAACAAAGAUCUCUUCCUUGAGAAAUCUAUUCAGAAAAGCUGAUUUAACAUCCAACCGGUGCACUUCCACUGCUUCUGAGUAGCUAAAGCAAACAAUAGCCUUAUGGUGUCUAGCCUUGCAACUGGUGUAAAUAUUUCAGAGAAAUCGGUGCCAUACUGUUGACUAUACCCUUUCAAAACCAAUUUUGCCUUAUACUUGUUCAAUGACCCAUCUACAUUGUUCUUGGUCCUGAACACCCAUUUUACACCAAUAACUUUUCUGUUUGCUGGCAUGUCAACCACCUCUCAUGUGUCAUUUUUGUGAAUCAUCUUCAUUUCUGCCUCCAUUACUUCUUUUCAAUAACCCUCCUUUGCAACUUCAUCAAAGUUGAAAGGCUCAAUAAUGGUCAUAUCAUACCUCUCGUAGAUGUCAUAAUAGUCCUUGUACCUCUGACAGGUACAUCAUCAUAAUCAUCCUCAGUUUCAGCUUCAGUCUUAGCAUGCUGUAAACCAAGAACAUGCCGGUCUUGCUCAAACAAGCUUGCAUCCGUUCCAUCCCAUUCCUGACAACUGCCCUCAUUGAAUUUCACAUCUCUACUUUCAACAAUCUUCUUAGUGGAUGGAUCAAAGACCCUAUACCUUUUUUUAUUCUACUAUAGCUAACACAGACUCCAUGUAUGGACCUUUUUUCUAGCUUGAUUCUCUUCUCAGCUGGCACCAGUGUGUAGCAUAUGCAACCAAACACCUUCAAGUGUGAGACAGUUGGCUUAUGUCCAAACCAAGCUUCAAAUGGAGUUUUACCCUUGACUGUAUUAGUUGGCAGCCUAUUUAGCAAAUACACAGAUGUAUUUACUACCUCAGCCUAAAAAUUGUUAGGCAUUUUGCCUUCAAAUAAUAGACACCUGGCCAUAUCGAGAAUAGUCAUGUUCUUUCACUCAUAAACACCAUUCUGCUGUGGUGUGUAGAUGGUGGUUAAUUGGUGCUGAAUUCUAGCUUCAUCACAAAUCUUCUGGAACCUUUGAGACACAUAUUCAGUCCCAUUAUCAGACCUCAAUAUCUUCAACUUGCAACUGGCUUGAUUUUCAGCCAAUUCCUUGAACUUGCAAAAGAAGUCAACCACAUCUGACUUUUGUUGCAAAAAGCUUACCCAACAAAAUCUGAUGCAAUCAUCAAUGAACAAUGCAAAAUACCUACUGCCAUUCAAAGAGGAGGUUUCCAUAAGUCUACAAAUAUCUGUAUGGACCAGUUGGAGCCUCUCUUGAGCUUUUCAAGCUUUGUUAACAGGAAAAGGUAGUCUGGUCUGCUUGCCAAACUGACAGACUUCACACACAUCAUUCCUAGGCUCUGUCUAGGACAUGUCUUCAACUAAGCUCAUCUUGUGUAGUAAACUUAGUGACUUAUAGUUCACAUGCCCCAGCCUCUUGUACCACAAACAUGAUUCAUCAGUCAAAGCUGUAUAUGCGUUUGCUUCUAACUGAUUCACAUCCAAGGUAAAUGAUUUGUCAUGUAUAGCUACUGUCACUAUUACUUAAUCAAAAGCAUCAUUAAUCACAUAUGUCUUUUCUUCAAAAAUAAGGGAGUAACCCUUUUCUAACAACUGACCAAAACUAAGUAGAUUCUGGUCAAUAUCAGGUAAAAAAAGAACUUCUGAAAUGGUUUUGUUACCUGACUGAGUGCAGAUCACAACCUUGCAUUUGCCUUUCGUCUCGAUGAACUCACCAUUCCUAAUUUUGAAUUUGGACACAAAACUAGUGUCUAGCUCCCUGAACACGCCUUUAUCUGAAGCCAUGUGAUGAGUGUAGCCACUACCAAUCAGCCAAUUCUUCCCGACUUUGCUCAAACUUGCAAAACAAGAGGCAGUGAAAACAUGCUCCUCUUGAGCUUGAACAUCCUCAGCAACUUGAGCUUGAUUCUGCUGCUGUGGUUGUUUUUUUACUUUAUUCUUGCAAACUUUUUCAAUAUGGCCAAGUUUCUUACAGUUUCUACAUUGAAUGUCAGGCCUGUACUAGUAGUACUUUUCUAAGUGAGUGGACUUUUUGCAGUGAGUGCAUGGUGGAAACUUCCUUUUAGCAGCAUCCUUCUUUUCUUUUUCUUUCUUUUCUGACCAAUGCCUCUUGCCCUUGUUGCUUGAGCUCGAGUUUGAGCUUUCUCUGCUUCUAGCUUGAAAGGCUCCUUCAGAAUACUCCUAUAUUCUGUUUCCCCUUCUUUGCUCUUAUGCAUAGAGAACAUUUAUCAGCUCUGUCAAAGGUAUAGCUGAUAGGUCUCUAAACUCCUCCAAAGAAGAGAUUUUUGACUCAUACUUCUCUGAAAGAGUUGUAAUGACUUUUUCAGCUAUCCUUUUGUCACUGAACUCAUCCCCAAGAAGCCUUAUGUUGUUGACUACAGCCAUAAUCCUGUCAACAUACUACUUGAUGGUUUCAAACUCUUUCAUCUUCAGAUUCUCGAAGUCCCUCAUUAGGUUUAUCAACUGCUGCUACCUGGUCUUGUCUGACCCUUGAAACUCUUUCUUGAGUCUGUCCCAGAUCUAUUUUAGAGUGUCACAAGCCAUUAUCCUUGUGAAUAUCACAUCUGAAACUCCAUUUUAAAGGUAUGACAUAGCCUUACACUUUUUGGCACAGUCUUCAUUAUGCUGCCUAAUUUGAGCUAUGGUUGGAUUAGCUCUCAAAGAUGGUGGCUCUGUGUCAGCUAGAACAACACUCCAUAGAUCAUGAGCCUGCAUAUAUGUCUUCAUUUUCACAGCCCAAAUGUUGUAGUUUCCACCAGGAAAGACAGGUGGUGGUGGUGGUGGUGGUGGUGAGAAACUCAUUUUUCUACAGCAACUAAAACAAGCCAACAAAAACAACUUCCGUUUCUUUUCUUUCAAGCACGAGUCACUCAAGGAAUAGCUUACAACAAAAGGCCCUAAAAGAUGAUAGGCUCUUGAUACCAUUUGUUGAGUUUAAAUCAUUAAACAAGAAUCAAAACAAAGAAUUUAUGUUUGAAAGAUGAAAAAUAGAAGCAAAAACCGUAUGUGGAUUGAGACAAGAAGAUGACUUAUCUCAUUACUUGAAUAAGUAGCAUAACAUAUACAUAAAUAGUUCUAUUACAUUGGAAGAAAAUAAACUUUGCUUGUGCAAGUAACCAAGCUGUAAAAUCAGCUUAAUGAUAACCUAAAACCUACUAAAUCUGCUAAGUACAUGGCUGAACCUCAGCAAAAAAAAAAGUUACAAUUAAAUCAAACAUAAGUCACAUGUUACAAAAGUUCAAUGACUGAAAUACACCAUAGACAUUUGCAUGCUGCAUGUAUGCUACUGCAUCGUUGCCAACUUGCAACAAUAUUGGUGGUUCUGUAACUAAAACCAUGAAAAAAGAGAGAGAGAUCAAUCAACCUUAAUAUUGUUUUCAGCAAUGUUAUUGCACCAAUGUUCUCUGCCAAUCUGUGGCUGCUACCGGCCAUAAAAUAAGCCUAAUUAUGUUUCCACUCUGUUGUCAUCCUUGUUAGAAGCACAUGCAAUGAUUCAAGCUCACUGCAAUUUGACACUCCAAGAUAUUGAAGAUUGAAAAGACGAGUAAGAGACGUAGGUAUGCUGGUGAAAUUGUUACCACUAAGAGCAAGAUAUCUCAAUAAGGAUAGACCAGAAAUAUCACUAGGAAUAUCUCAUAUACCCAUAUUGCACAGGCUGUAAUUUGACAACUUAUCUUCAAGCUUGGAGAGUUGAGUAAGAGAUGUAGGUAUGUUGUUGAAAUUGUUACCGCUAAGAUCAAGAUCUGUCAAAAGGGGAUAGAUAAGAAAUAGUACUAGGAAUAUCUCCUUCACCAAGAUUGCAGUCCCUUAGUUUCAAGUUUGUUAAUGAACUCAAACUGAAUAAUGAAGGUCAUAUUGGAGCUAUGGAAUUCUUCCUUCCUCGUUGGCUUACCUUGAAAAGAGAAAGGUGAUUUCUUUUUAACUUAGACGGACCCUUGCAUCCAUCGAAAGAAAAAACUUUAAGAUUUUUCAAUUGAGAAAUGAAGGAUGGUGGUUCUUUUAUGGUUGUUUCACUCAAGUCAAGCUCUUCCAAAGAUUUUGUCUACUGCAAAUUCUCUGGCAAAUAUUCAACUUUAUAACAACCAAAAAGAUGAAGAGUUUUUAGAUGUUCCAUUUUCCCAUCAAUCUCUGGAACCCUGUCAAGAUUUGAGCAACCUGAAAGAGUUAAAGUUUCAAGGGAUUCCACUCCAAUUUUGGUUGGAAGACUCCUAAGACUUUUGCAGUCUCUUAAAUCCAAAAGUUUAAGUUUCUUAAGCAGUCCAAGUGACGGAUGAACAUCUACUAAUUUGGUACAACCUUCCAUAAUCAGAACUUCGAGAUAUGGGGCCAUUAUUAAUGGUAGUAACAUUUUAAUUAUUUUAAUAUACUUUUACUUUUAGAAAUUUUGUCCCAUUCUUUUGUUUCAUGUCAUGUUCGAAAAAGAGUAUGAAUAAUAGGUUUGGAGUAGUAAAAAAUGGCUCAUUUAAUAUCAUAAUAAUAUUUGUUACAUGUCAAAUCGAUUUCAUGUUGUCUUAAUAUCUGGAAUUUGUUUUCUAAUUUUUAUUAUUAUUAUUUUUCGAAACAUUAUUAUACAUUUAUAUCAUAUUCGUUCUUUUUGAUACAAUGCCUAGAACUAUCCAUAGUCCCUCCCUCACCCUUAAAUAGGAGGAUAACGUGCUUCAGCGUACUCAAACUCACGUCCUCCUGCACUAGCAACAAUACUGAUGCCAAUCGAGUUAGGACUCAAACCCACGUGUUCUUAAACAACUAGGUUUGACGACCCUAAGAAGUUAUCAUAGGCUAGACGAGGUCGGGAGGUAAGCGAGUAUAAACCAAUCGAUUAAUUAGUUAGAGGUCGGGAGGUAAUAAUUGACUAAUUAGUAGCUAAUCUACCGUAAAACCCUAAUCCGAAGUUUAUUACGAAUCUUGAAGCGAGUUAAUCUUUCUAAUUGAUUUUUUUUAAUUUUAGUGGAUUGUUAUUUUUCUUAUUUAAAUUCUCUCAUUAAUCUAUUUUAUGGUUUAUCGUAAUAUAGAGAUUAAUUACUACUACUUAGACUUAUUAUUGUAGAAAGGUUUCCGUAGAUUUAUUCCAUCCUCUCUUGGGUACAAUCCUUAGAAUACUUUCAAAUAUUUUGUUAUACUAACUAUAUUACACUUUGACCCGUGCACUUGCAAACACCGCUAUUCUAAAUUCUUAUAUAUUUUUGGUGUAUUAUUUUAAUAUAAACAAUAACCCCUUUAGCACUACCUUGGCCAACUUUAGCUACAGACCCCUGCUUCAAACGAAUUGGGUCAGUGGUCCGACCUUCUCCACUACCUCCAGCCUCAACCAAGACACCCUUUCCUUUUUUAUUAGCUUCCAUAAUUAUCUCCCUUAUUUCCUCCCCCGAAUUAGCGUUGCCUGGCUUCCAAGGAUCCCUGAAAUUACGCCUUAACUUUCUCUCCACAAGCAUCCAUGGUCUGUAGACUGGUGACUCCUCUGGUUUAUCAUCUUCCACCAUCACCGCCAUAUCCGCCAUAGAGUGUUUCGCAUAAGCCCUCGAAGCCCCCUUGUUCUUGUUAGAGUUGGAAUCCUCAAUUGUAAAAGUCACUGUAUCAAAUAUUUCAACCAUUAAUCAAACAAUAACAGAGAAACUUAACUAAAUAGGAGAAAAAAUCAAUUUGUACGAAAGGGCUAGUGAAGUAGUGUACACAAUUAUUGCUUCUUCCCUGAUCGGCCCGUUAUAAAUUUGAAAAUGUUUUGCAUCCUUUUAGGGUGCGGCCCUUCUUCCUCGGUUUCCUCGUCGAUAUCACGUUUUCGUUUUACAAGGGAAGUGCUGCCUGCGGAUCCAUCUUUUUCAGUAGAUUGAUGAUGGAUAUGUUCCAAGUUUGGAGAAGAUUGAAUGGUAUGGCUCUGCAGCUCUUUUAUUUCUUCCAAAUCUUUCUCAUACAUUAUUCUAACACCACACUUCUUCACCUUAACAGAAGGAUACCCUUCUGAAUAAGAUUGGAAAGACAGCUCAAGCGAUAAAUUCUUGGUUUCACAUUUAUCCUUUAAGGAUAAUGGCGAGAAAUAACGAAGAAAAAGGUGGUCCUUCGUUAUGCGUUGUCCAUUAAAAUUAAGGAAAUUGAAAUCGACUAUUCGACUAUUUUUAACUUGAAAAACAGAUCCAUUACUACUAGAUUGUCCAGAAUAUGUAGAAUGGAUAUAAGUUGGACCACCGAUAACCUUUUUCUCGGAACCAUCAUCAUCGCCGAAAAUGCAGCAGAAAGCAACUCCAAUCCAUUGACUGUCAUUCUGAAUAUUGAGAGGCAAAGGUAUUUCGAUUACAGAGCCGCCUCUCUGUUGGCUGAACCAUUCUGGGAUUUCAUUUCCAGGUAUAAUAGCAUCAAAUCUUUUUCUUGAAUUCGCAAAUGCCUGCAAAUUAAAACAUCAGUCGUUCUUGAAUUUGCAAAAUAAAAUAUCGGUGGUUCUGUAACUAAAACCAUGAAAAAGAAGAGAGAGAUCAAUCAACCUUAAUAUGUGUUUUCAGCAAUGUUAUUGCACUCAUGUUCUCAGCCAAUCUGUAGCUGUUAGUGGCUAUAAAGUAAGACCAAUUAUGUUUCCACUCACUUGUCUUCCUUGUUAGAAGCACAGGCAACGAUUCAAGCUCUCUGCAAUUACACAGUCCAAGAUAUUGAAGAUUGGAAAGACGAGCAAGAGACGCAGCUAUGCUGGUGAAAUUGUUACUAUUAAGAUCAAGAACUUUCAAUGAGGAUAGACCAGAAAUAUCACUAGGAAUAUCUCCUUCACCCAUAUUGCACAGGCCGCAACUUGACAACUUAAGAUCUUCAAGCUUGGAGAGUCGAGUAAGAGAUGCCGGUAUUCUGUUGAAAUUGUUAAAGCUAAGAUCAAGAAAUGCCAAAGAGGAUAGACAAGAAAUAGCACUAGGAAUAUCUCCUUCACCAAGAUUGCAGCCCCUUAGUUUCAACCUUGUUAAUGAACUCAAACCGGAUAAUGAAGGUAGCAUUGGAGCUAUGGAAUUCAUCCUUCCUCUUUGGCUUACCUUGAAAAGAGAAAGGAGAUUUCUUUUUAACUUACACGGACCCUUGCAUCCAUCGAAGUAUAGAACUUUAAGAUUUUUCAAUUGAGGAAUGAAGGAUGGUGGUUCUUUUAUGGCUGUUUUACUCAAGUCAAGCUCUUCCAAAGAUUCUGCUUGAUGCAAACUCUCUGGCAAAUAUUCAACUUUAUAACAAUCACAAAGAUUAAGAGUUUUUAGAUGUUCCAUUUUCCCAUCAAUCUCUGGAAACCUCGCAAGAUUUGAGCAACCCGAAAGAAUUAAAGCUUCAAGGGAUUCCAUUCCAAUUUUGGUUGGAAGACUCCUAAGACUUUUGCAAUCUCUUAAAUUCAAAAGUUUAAGUCUCUUAAGCAUUCCAAGUGAUGGAUGAACAUCUGCUAAUCUACUACAACCUUCCAUAAUUAAAACUUCGAGAUAUGGGGCUGUUGUGAAGUUUGGUGUCUUGAUGAGAUUUUGAGACCCUUUAAGGCUGAUUAUUUUCAACUUAUACAAGGGCUGUUGAAAACAAUAAUAGAUUAGAAAGAAAAGAGAAAACAACAUAAUAAACCUCAUUAUUAUUAUUAUUAUUAUUAUUAUUAUUAUUAUUAUCUUGUUCAAAUUUUAACCGUUUAUAAUAUUAAACAAAUUAAUUGUUUAUAUUAAAAUAGGCUAAAACAUAAGGAUUAGAUGAAUUUAAUUCUUACUCUAUUUCCCUUCCACAGUUGUUCAAUGCGACUAUAUGGUAAGAGAAGUACGACAAGGUUGUCCGGUUGAAAGCUUGAAGGCAAUGAUUUUAAAGGAUAUUCCGUCCAAUCUAAAAGUCGUAGCUGAUCAGAAAGAUAUUUGAGAUCAUCACAAUUUGAGAAACAAAGCACUCUGAGCAAUCUUAAUCUUUUCAUCUUCGAGAAGACAUCGUUACUCAAUUUGAAUAUCUUGCUUGAUUCCCUAAAAACCACAGGCAAACAAAAAAUGAACAUUAAAAUAUACAAAAACAUUCCAUACCUAAAAGUUAUGUUUCUCCAAUACUAUUUUUUAAGGGCUUUUAUCCGAUACUUAUAUCUAACAUGUGUCCAAAUAUAAGCAUUGAUAUAUGAUCCUUCAAGAACUCUUUAAAUACAUGAAAAGGCCUUUUAAAAAAAUCAUACAUACCCAACUUAGACAUAUAUAUAUAUAUAUAUAUAUAUAUAUAUAUAUAUAUAUAUAUAUAUAUCUAUCAAACACUCACUUUUGACUUCGAAUUACUUAAAGCUUUAGAAACUAGAAAUAAAUCUUGAAUUAUAUUAGUGCAAUAAUAAUGCGUAAUUCUAUUUAUUGUUAUUGAACGAAACAGUAACACGUCAUUAAAAAUGAAAUCAAUUGGUUUUAUUUUUAAAAACUUUGAUGACAUAUUAAAAUUUUAUUCUCUGUGAUAUACCAUCCGUGCAUCAAAUAUAAGCACUUAAUAUUAGCAAUGAUAUAUUGCUAUUGUGUUUCUUUUGAAAGAUUAAUGCGUUGCUAGAUAAAUUUCAUAAAUAUAAUAUUAAAUAUUAAACAUUCAAGAUAUUUUCAUUGAUUUUUAUUGGAUACUUUUACUAAAAAAAACCAAUAACAAUAUUAAUAAUACAAUAUGUAUAUUUUUUUACCUUUGAUUGUCGAUGAUCAUGCCUUCAAUUAUUUCUGUAACCUAAAAAAAGUAAGAAUAGAGAAUAAAUUAUUUUAAUUAAAGUAAAACAUUUCCAAUGAGAGAAUCGAAUUAAUUACUUAUUUUUUCAAAUCCUUAUUAACAGUUACCAUCAACAAAAGGAAUUUAUCUCAAUGCUAUUGAACGCUACUUUUUUAUGGACUGCUAUAUUAAUCAACUGUACUAAACCUUACUCAAUUUUAUUUCAGAAAUAAAGUAAAACAUUUUGUAAUGAGAGUAAAUCAAUCAAAUUAAACACUUAUUUUAUAAAUCCUUAUUAAUAUUUAUAUUCAACAAAUGGCAAUUAUCUUAAAGCUACUCAAUGUCACUUAAGGAUUGAUAUGUAAACCAAUUAAACUAAGCUUUAGAUUUACAUCAUAUAUUGAUAAAAAGAAAACUUUGUAUGUAAUUUCUGUUGAAUGAUUUACCGUGUUUUUUGUUAGGACAUGAUGGACAUCCCUUUCCUUCCACAAUCUACAACGUUUUCCAGGUUCAUCAACACAUUUUUCUUCAACAAUUUUUCUUCCCAGUUCUUGCAACAAGGCAUGCAUCCGCAAAUAUUGGUUGUCAUCACUGACUUUUAUGAGAGAUUUCUUAAUGAGAACAUCAACUCCAAUAUCUGGAAAAAACUCACAACCAUCCAAUACUUUCAUUACCAAAUCUUUCUCCUCCCCAUUGAAAAAGCAUGCUAUAUCUAGAAAUAUAUUCUUCUCCCUCUCUUCCAAUCCAUCAAAGCUAAUUCGUAGUAUGUCAAGAAUUUCUUUGUUAGAAUCUUGUUUAAAUCUUUCGAUUGCACUUCUCCAUUGAAUUAUAUCUCUUCCGCACAAAAAUGAACCCAAAACUUCAACAGCUAAGGGGAGACCAUCAGCAUAAUGUACAACUUGUUUAGAAAGCUCAAUGAAAUCAUAUUUCUGCGUUGUAUCACUAUCAAAAGCUUUCAAAUUGAAAAGCCUAAGUGCAUCGUUGGGAUUCAGUGUUGUAGGCUUAUACACAUCAUCGAUUCGAUAAGAUCUGAGCAAAUGUUCAUCUCUUGUUGUUACAAUGAUCCUACUCCCUAAACUGAACCAAUCACGCCUUCCAACCAAGCAUUUCAAGUGUUGUACGUUAUCAACAUCAUCAAGAACAACAAGAACCUUUUUUCUAGACAACCUAUGGCUAAUUAUGGCAUUCCCUUCAUGAACAUUGAAAAAAUUGAAGCAUUCAUCUGGCAAGAUUUGAGUAAGGAGUUGUUUCUGUAAAGAAACAAGUCCAUGUUUGUUUGAAACUUCUCGAACAUCAGCAAGAAAGCAUUUACCUUCAAAAUGAGGUAACAUUUGAGUGUAAGCAACUUUUGCAAGAGUUGUUUUACCGAUGCCACCCAUUCCGCAAAUUCCUAUAAUGCGGACAUCGUCUUCCCCAAUGUUUAUUUUCGAAUGCAACUCCUCCAAAGGUAAAAUAAUUCCAACCAACUCAUCAUGAACAAUCAGAUAUGUCUGACAUAGUUUUGCUGAUAUCUUCUUAACAAUGUCUCCGAUAAACUUUGAUUCAUGCCUACAAAGAAAUUAAGUUCUGAUGUUAUCUUUCAAAUGCACUUUUUCUUUUUUAGGUUAGUGAAUCAUGAAAUAUAAUAUAGUUGGAACCAAACAAAAACAAGAAUAAGACAGCGGGAUCUGUUAUAGCAUCAAAAUACACAACAUGCUCGUUAGUUGAUGUAACGCCCACUUCAGAUUUGUUAAAUUUUGUCAUUAAUCAGCAUUUGUAGUAGUGGUUUAGUGUCUUAGUUUUGUUUGAGGUCUUGGGUUUAAGUCAUGUUUUUAUUUUGGGGAAUUAAAUUAUUUUUGUUAGACCAUGGUCAAUUGUUUAGGUUGGAGGUGUUGGAUUGGGUUUUGUUUUGAACUCU